GAAGUCAUAAGCAAAGAUAGAGAAAUACUAACAUGAGGUGACAGCAGGUGAAGGUGAUAGUUGUUUAUUUCAGCCUCUUCAGUUGGUAAAUAGACUACAAGAAGUCGUACACAGGUAAUCAAAUGACUCAACCUCUGUAUUUCCCAUUAACUUGAUCCUAUUUGUGCCAGCUUCUGUCUAAUGAAGGGAAAUUAAUGUGGAUCAACACAACAUAGCAAAUGUAAUCAGUGUACGCAGCAAGGGUCAGCAAAUCAACACUGUAAGCUGCAGAGGCGACAGAAGCAAAUCCGCCCUGAAGGGAACAUUUUUCCACGCAGUGAUGGAGAUUUACUCAAACUUUUCUCUUUCAGCACAGCUUUUCAAGUGAAGGACUUAAAAAUGCAAAGAAAAACUGAUAAAAGCAUAUCAAAGCUAACUAAACAGCAACAUUUCCAAUAAUAGCCCAAAUCCCCAAACACCCAUGCACAGGCACUCAGAGCUGUCUCUCUUUAAACGGCUCUCUGUACUUAAUUUAUAGUCCUGCUUUAAACAUUUAUAUGUCCGUCCCCUUUAACUAAAUGCAAAGGCCUUGAUGUUUAACAGCACAAUUGUGUAUGCUUCCAAUCUGUGAGUGCUGAGCAUCCAUGCACAGCUCCCUGUUGUAAUGUUCAGCACAACUGGUGCACACUGUCCUGAUUUAUGAGGAGCUGUUAAAUUCAUCUAUGUCAAGUUAUGCACACUGCGCUGUAAAACCGACCCAUCUUAUCCUCGGCUUUUUAUCUGGGCACAACAGUUCAUUCAUUAAAGAGGAAGAAUUAUGAGAUCUGAUGCAUUUCAAAUGAGUUUCCCUUGACCUAAGAAUUUAUGGGAACGUGUGUUUUUUUUAAAGGAACAGAGGGUCUGCAGGGAUGUAUUGAGAUUUAAACUGAGCCCCACAUAAUCUGCACCUGAAUCCAACCUGCUUAGUAUUUACCUUAAGGCGGAAUUCAUUCAACUCAAUGUGAAUCUGUGUUUUCUAUGUUUGUGUAUCAAAGCAUCUGUUAAAGAGGGAAUAAAGCGAAGUAAACGCUGUGAAUCUGAAGAAUGCUUUGCAGCUAUUAUGUGUACGUCACUUGAACAAACGUAGAUGACUCAGAUCGUUUCUCCUUUAUGACUGCAGCAAAAUGCAACUUCUGCAAGCCAUAUUAUAAGGCGAGUUCUUGUCAUAGCAUCUGGUCUCAAGAAAUUAAAAGCAAAAAGGAGAACUCAGUGUAAUAUGAGUAAAAAUAGCUGCCACUGCAGGAAGCAGAUUAUGCUUCUGGAGUUUCUUGACAUGGAAAAAAUCUCACUUGUUGCGCUGGCAGGUUUUUUUUCUCGCCACAAGCAGAUCAAGUUUAUUUUUUAGGUUUUUCAAUUCACAUAUUGGAAUUAGAGAUAUCACGAUGUCAGAUUUUCACCUCACUGUUAUCAUGGCUGUAAUAAGAAACUUCAUAAUCUUAACUGAUUGAUGCGAUUACUUUAAAUGCCACCAUCAUAUCCAGACUCAUGAUUUAUCAUCUGUUCCUUAAAUGAAACUUCUUGGAGACAACAUUGCCCAAUUAAAAGAUUGUUUGUCAUGCUUUUAUUUUGGUAUUUUUCAGACUUCGUUUAGGUUGCUUUGAUUCUUGCAUUGUCAAACUAUGCUUUUAUUUUGAAGUUUACUACCUCUGGUAGAUCAUGUGUUACAGAACUGGCUAGAAAGUAUGAAUGUUGGAUUGAUUAGUAACCUGGAGAGGCAAAAGCUCUGUUGUUGUAUUGGAAGGAUCCCGGCUGCUGCAGUCUAAUGUCUAAUCGAUCUUCAGAGGAUCUCAAACUCACUCCUGGUGGCGCAGUCAGCAGCAUGUUAAUGUCCCCUCCUAUGUCCCAUCCUCUCUGCCAUCAGUUAAUGUGACAAAAGUGAUUGGAGUGGUUGCAAAGACAAGAAAACUAUAUGAACAUAUGUCUAUUUAGUGUUUACAUUGAGAGAGGUACCCGUUAUAGUCAUCGUGAAAGUUGUUGGCGCCGAAGGAUUUUCUGUAUUUUGUGAUCUUCUUCCUCCUUGAUCCCCAAAAAGCUUUUCCAAACCUUCUCAUAUCUCUCUUAUGUCUGAAAUUGUGAGUAAGACCCAAAUUUGUGCUCAGAGGAGCCAAGAGGAGCACUUGUAUGAGCGGAGUGAUGUGAAUUUCCAGGAGAAGGGGAGAGCUAUUCACAUCUCUAUAGGGGUAUUUUUAUAAUUUCCUGCUCUCUAUCACAUUUUAUCUAUUUUUAUACGAGUGAGUGACGUCAAUCUUUCUCAUUGUGAUGUUCUCUAUAAGCUGAAAGGUCAUGUUCAAAUAAAAAUUAAGCGAGAUUGCACCAAACGUAGAUAAGUGUGAUACCGGGAGCAGCAUCUUCAGAAGUAUGCGGCAUCUUUACUUUGACAUCUUACGUGGGUGAGAUUUGAGGUUUAUAGAAAGGUCUUUUUAUACGACGGAUAUAUAGCAAAAUCUACACAUGCUCAUAUUUACCAGUUUUAAUGUUUCUGGAAGUUAACACCAUCACUCAAAAGCUCUCCUCAAACAAUGCCGUAUCCACCUCCGGAGCUCCGUAAACCCUUUAUUGUGGCACGUCAUGUCUGUUUGAAGACACCUUGAGUACUUCUCUGCCUCACUGAACCAUCUGUGUACUAGAAAUCAUCUGACAGCUGUCACUUCACAGCUUGUUUUACUGACGUUUCAAGUGCAAUCUCAGACGCAGUUUUAUACCAACAGUAAACGUCUGCAAGUCGAAACUUUCCUCUGCAUCAUCAAGUUAAAGUCACACGCUUUAAAUGUCAGACACUAAAAACGGUUUUAUCUUCUCUCGUCUGCUCUGUAUAUGAUUAUCUUUGAUCUGAUUUUCAAUGUCACAACUUUUUGCUGGUAAUGAUAACAAUCUCACACAAAGUAGAUUUAUCACUUCCUCUCUUAUCUGCAGGAGAGAGCGGUGGGUCACCUGUAAUAAAUGAGUUUGCAAUGUGUGAAUCAGUGGAAAAACUGAUGGAUUUGUAAAAAGAUGGACUGGAUUUCUUUAAAAAGAGGAUAAUCUAAUGAUUUCAAUCUUCAUCUUUGUGUUGAGAUAAGCUAACUUUCUUUUUUAAGAUGAAAACAAAACAAAAAAAGCUGCCAAACAAACACGUAAAGUCAGUUCAGCUGCCGGAUUUAUCUUUAAGUAGACGCAGGUAUGUUAGAGAUUUAAAAAGCCUGAUGCAACAUCUGCUUCGACAUUCAUUUACACCUUUGAUAAUACCUGCAGAGAUGAUCAAACAGCAAUACUUUAAAACUGGAACAAGAGUGAGAGAAAAGAAUUCAGUAAGAGGUUAUUUCACCUCAGACUGUGAAAGCUUUGAGAACUUUGAGCCUGUGGAGGAAGUAUUUCCAGUCACCUGAAUGAUAAUAGAUCAGGGAACUUGUACGUAAUGUUCCACUAAGGAAUCGAUGUGAUACUUGUAGGAGAUGUCUUAACUGGAAAUUUCCGGAGACUCAAGCUGAACAGAACAGAAUCAGAGUCUUUCUAGUGCACAAACAGGAACACCGAAGUGGCGUAGAUGACGCAGACGUCUGUACAGCAACAAGAUUAACAAAAACAACGACAUAAGGGAUGCCCCUGGCACAUGUACUCACACUUUUCUGCCUCCUAUUAGCCUGGCCUCAUUCUUCAACUGUAGAGCUGUCCCUCUACUUGUAAUAAAUAUGGAUUUUAUUCUGUAAAAUAGGCUUUCAUAUAUAAUGGAGAUGAUAUUAUAAGAAGUUCACAUGUUAAGUGACAUACGUGCCUUCUUAUCUCCUGGUACGGUUACGUGACACUCUCUAAACUGAUUCAGUACCCGGCAUCUCCUGAAUCUUUCAGGCUGAGUUUCCCUGUGGACAGUGAGCGGCAGUGUGUGGAGUCAUGUGAGCAGAAACCUAAAGAAGCCACAGCAGAAAGAGAGAGAGAGGGCCUCUUGUGUUGCCAGAUCAGAGCUUAACUCUGCGGCAUCCUGCCAGGACAGCUGCACCCGUUUGGAAGACUCGAAGCCAUGAGGCGCCUCAGAGGAGUCUCUGAUGCAUGGAUAUCUGCUGCCUAACCUAAGAGAGAAAGCGGGGAGAGCACAGAUGGGCACAGAGAGAGGAGACCACUGUGGUGACGGCAGGUAAGCUCUCAGUCAACAGGGGCAAAGAACAAGCCUGCUCUCUUUCAGGUGUGGUGGCGGGUAAUUCCUGUGAUAAAGCAUCUAACAGGAUCUUAAAGCUGGCACUGGAUUAUCUGAGCUCUUUUACAGUGAAAAAAAAGAAACACUCUACACUGUUACUGUCUAUCUUCCCAGAAAAGCUGCAAGCUAACAACAAGUUACAGGUUGAUUUUCUAACAUCUGGGCAGACCUCGGUUUUUAGCAAGAAAUCAAAUCAACCGAAGCCGACCUGCAAAAAAACACUCCUUUCCUCUGUAGAAAUGUGUAAAAACAGGAGUUCCCACAGCUGUGAAACUUGACGGAUAAAUUGGGUGCAAAGUCACAGUGAUCACAGCAAACACAGGAAGAAAAAACCCUCCCCCAAUCAAUAAAGAGCAGUUUGAAAACAACACAAAACAAGGACAGGAGCCAGAUGAGGCAGUGAUGGAGGUAGAAUUAAUGUUGAAGAGCAAAAAAAAAAGGGUAAUAAUGAGAAAAUAAGAUAUAAAAUGCUUAAAGAGGAAAAUAAAAUGCAGGAAGAUGAGCAACAAAACUGACCCUGAAUAAAUAAAUAGAUAAAAUAAGAAGUUUAUGAGUUGUUAAAAUGGACUAAAAGUAAAAUUUUGUGCCACAUUAUGACAGAACAGAACCAAGGAAACCAAAAAAUAAAAAGGUCUUUUGAAAGUGUUAUUUAUUUUUAAAAAUUUGUUUGAAAACCAUUUAGAGCCUUUAUUUAACCAUAAUAGCAUAAAUCCAUUAUAUCAAAUGUUGAAACUGAAAAGUGAGAUAUGUUAAUUUUGAAACAGUUUGAUAAUUUCAAAACCUCUUUUUGAGAGACUUUGAGGGUUUCAUCUUCAGUACAGUGGAGGCUGUAGAUCCAUGUGAAUAUCAGGACAGAUGAAUAUCAUUGUGUCCUCACUGAUUCUUCUCUCGACUUGUUAUCAUGUAAAACAUUUCUACUAACGCAUCCUUGAAUGCACUGUUCUUGAAAAAGCUUCAUUAUAGUCCUUCAAACAGGGCUGCAGUACAUCACAGUCGGAGUCUAAAUACACUUUUAGUGACUAAAUGCUCUCUUUAUGAUGAAUCACUCUUGGAUGGUUUCCAACUCAUAUGAGUACAUUUUAUUCCACUUUAACAGCAUGAACGAGUUUACGAGUUCCUCUCAAAGAAAGUUCUGGUGCUGUAUGAGAUCUGUCCGAAAUCAAUGCUGAACUGAUCAGCCUGACAGCCUCAGGCGAACCUCAGGGCCUCUCACAUGCCUCUUUCUCGCCAUAUCUUAUUUAGUAUUUUUGUCUUUAAGAGAUUACUGCAAAGGAUUCAUGUGCUGAUGUUUAAUUAUCUGUUCACUGGCAUACAUUUCUCCUAUAUAGCUUUAAGCGUUUCUAGAUUUUACUUUAGUGUUUUAGAAGUACUGUUUUUUUUUAUUUCAGCUGCUGUAUUGUGUCGUUUCUGCACCCUUUUGCUCUUUAUUUGGUUAAAUGUGCUGCAGAAGUUUAGAAGAUGAGGAAAGUCUGUACCGGGAUAAGGUUGGGAUUGUCGGCUGAGCAGAAACAAGACUUUAAACUACUGAGAAUGAAAAUUUGACCAAAUGUUUUUUUCAGCCAUUUGUCUCUCAGAUGCUCACGGUAACCAAUGUUGUCUCACCAGUGCAAUUUCCAGAGACUUGACUGUGCAGAGACUUGUGUCGGCAACCCUCAGAGCCCAACUCUCUACAGACUAAACUCCUACUGCCUCAAAAUUUGCAACAUGUGUUUUUAAAGGUCUUAUGAGAUGUUCCAAUUAGCGCUGUCACAAUUAACCAUUAUUGAUGAUAACUGCCUUUUUAAACAAAGCAAAAUUAGGGAUGCACCAAUCAUAUAUUUGGAUUGGAUAUGGGAUGAAUGACGCCAAUCCAGCGUUCCAAUCCAGUCUUUUUUUUUCUCUUAAUUAUUUUUUCUUUUAAUACAUUGAAGUCUUACUACUUUUUGCUGUGUGCUGAUGUGCAAUUUGAUUUUUGUUAAUAAAUAAUAUUAAGUAAAUCGUUUGGUGUGUUAUGACUGACGGAUGAGCCCCCAUUUGUUACGCCCCACCCCAAGGCGGCCCUAUGGGACUAACAACCAUCCUCACCUUUUGACCCAUUAAAUUAACAAAACACCUUCAAAAGAGGAGUUAAAGAAGCCAUCUUUACCAGGCUGGAGAAACCUUCUCUGAACAGAGGGGGUGGACUCAGGCACAAUCUCUCUGGCACUUACAAUGCAGUUCUCAGCUCUCUCCCCAGAAAGCUCCACAAACAUUCACACCAGGAACCACAUGACUCAGGUGGCAUGAGUCAUGUGGUCACAUGAUAGGAGUCGCUAACGACCCUUUCAGGAUAACGACUUAGGGGGGACACUCCGAGAGAUGGGUUUCUACGACCCAUUCUUUUCAACUCCUCCCAGUCGUUACUGUCCCCCUUCUCCAGUAAGAUAAAUAUCUGCUCCUGACACUAGCACUUUUAGAACUGAAGAAGCUUCUUGGAUAAGAGGCGAAACGUCUUCUUAACUCUACACAGUCCAGUUGCCUUUUUUUUAAGUCUUCAAGAUAACCAUGACCUGGAUGAAUGAGAAUCUACAUGGACACCUUCAAAAGUUUAACACGUGAUUUAAUGUGACAAAAUAACAAAAUUUCGAACUAAACACAAAGCACCCACAACACUAUUGAGAGGCAGCAGGGCAGCAGUUCCCCACCAAAUGCCUCUCCAGACUGCAGGCAGCUCUGGGCUUUUAGACUCUCAGCGCCAGUUGAGUCUGAUCGGCACUCAAGUGAUUUCACCUGGGCAGCUAUGGAGAGACAAAAGGGGAAAAACACACGCAAAACAAACACACAGCCGUAACAAUCUGUGUUAAUUUGUUACCUUUUUUUUUAACAAGGCUAAUGUCAAGCCCGAUGCCUUCACUCACAGGGUAAGGUAUACAGUUCAUUCAUUUAACAGUAGUAUUGGAUCGGUAUCACUCAGCCCAGGUAUCGGUAUCGGAUAGGAUUGGGAAAAAAUUGAUCAGUGCAUCUCUAAGCAAAGUGAUACUGCAGUAUAAACAGGCAUCCUGUAAUAUCAUGUAAUCGAUUAGUUCACAGUGGUGGAUGGUGGUGGCUCUUUACGAUGGUUGCCACCCAUCAUAAAAUGAAGUGAAAACAAAGAAGCAGUAGCAGCCUGUGUAAACACUGUCAGCCACGCCUGAAAGAGACGAUCAAAGAUUUAUUAUGUCUCCAAAACCAGAGUUUAUGUCUCUACAUGUGUGCUGAUACACUGAACAUUUCCCUAAACAAGACAGUAAAGAUGUCAAAAUAAAAGCAUCACAGUCAAUCAUUGUACGGGGCGAUCUCUCUCACAUACUUGGCAGGUUAAUUGGUCCCUCUGAAUUGCCUGUAGAUGUGUUUGUAUGUGUGAGAGAAGGAAUGAUGGAUGGAAACUCUAUGAAGGAGUUUCUGUCAUGAGGAUAGUGACACAAAACACAGAAGUUGGUGAGUUGUGCUCAUUGGUGAACUUUGUGAAGUAUCGCGUCGCUUCACUUAAUUUAACUGAUUGUGCUCCUUUUUCCAAGUUUACCUCAGAUAUGCUGCUGAAUUUUGUUUGUUUUUUUCCACCAUUACCAUGGGGUGAAAAUGUGAUAAUAUUAAGGCCAUAUUUCAUAUUGAAUGGUUCUGCAUUGUUUGCGCAGCUUCACUCAUGGUAACUACAGAAAGUGUCAAAAGCAUUCUGCAUUGGUCUCUGAAGAGUUAUUAUGAUUCCCAAAGGUAGAGGAGGCCAUAUUUGAAAUGAUGUUUCCAUCUUGGCUUGAUGUAAAACAGGGAAAGAGGUGGAGUUUAGGUGGGCCUCUAGCACCUGGUCAACAGCUACAAUAUUCACCUUUCAGACAAAUCAGCCUCAUCUAGCAUUAUGAUUGAUAUGCAUGAUUUUGCUGUGAUAUAUUCCAAAUGGUGAGUUUUAAGCAUAUUUACUAGUUCUUAAGACUGAAACCAUUUAUUGAUCGAGGCUGUAAACAUGUUUAAUUCUGGUUUAAAAAUGGACAUUUGAUACUAAUCCUAAUGGGGAUUCCUUGGUUUGUGGAGGCAGCUUUAAGUGUGGACACUUGCAAAGCUGCAGUUUUUUGGGUAUCCCCUUGGCUGACCAACACUUAAGGGAUAGUCGCAUAUAUCAAAGUAUUUGGCUGUAUCUCGGGUGGUAAAAGGAUUUCACAAAUUUUGUGAGGGAACAUUUUUCCAAGUGGCUUUACUGGAAUAACCUAUUGAAGCACUGUCUGAGAUUCUUGGUUUGAUUCAGGUGAACUUUAAACUCAGUCAAAUGUUCGGAUGUUGUACAGUCAGAGAGGAAAAGAAAAGUAGAGAAAAUAAUCCAAGCAGAUAAUGAAAACAAGAAUAUGUUUUAUCCAACAUUUAAUUAAUAUCCUAAAUCAAGACCCCCCGGCAGUUGCCUACUUGACUUUAUAAUGAAGUCCACCCCUGCUUAUGUAAAGAAAAGGUUUAGGCGGUCUUGUUUCAGUUCUGCAUUAAAGGAGGAAGGUUCCCAUUUAAGUCUGUAAUAUUAAUUUGGCCUUGAAACUGUUAAGAAGAACGAACAAGUCUGCUCAUAUAAAUUAAACUAAACCCACAUAUUCCAUUUGUAUCUCUGCAUUCCCUUUAAAUGUCUAAGAUUAGACAAAAACCCCUGGGUAAAAGAUGAGUUAUUCAUGAACAGGGGAACUGCACUUGGCACCUAGUAUUCAAAUGAAAGGAGCCUCAGAUGGAUGAAUACUAAACAGGAAGUCAACAGCAGUGUCCCAUGAAAUUUAGACUAAGCAGAAUCUUUUGUGUGUGAACUACUGUAAUGGCUUACAAAAAUAUACAAACAUAACUAACAAGGAAACAAACAACCCAAAGUACUUUACAUCUUUGUUGAAUUAGAGCAGCGAGAGAGGAGAUUCAAAUGGUAAACUUCAUAGACAAAAAGUUAGAGUAUGACCUGUAUUCCCUGGUGUCAGGUAUCCAAAAUAAUGUGUGCUAAUUAACUGAGAAUGAAGCAUUCUACCUACACCAGGGUAGAUGACAACUGUGAUAUGAUAAUUACAGCAAUAAUGAGCCUGACUAUUAAUACAUUUUCACCUUUCAUGAACUAACAAUGUAUUAUUAUGUUUUGUAUGUGAUAAAUAUACGCAAGUUGGAUAAGACUAUAACUGAAAUAUUACUUGUUGUUCCUGUGAGGAAGUUUUAGAGUGUGUUGAUUUUGGCGCCCCCUGUGGACAAAGCAGUGAAGUGGUGUUACUUAACUCUUUUGCUGGUCAAUUUAAAUUCUCAUCCUGCUUAUUUCAACUAUUACAUGAAUCUCUCAUCCAGAAUUUCAUGCUAUAAAGAUAACACUGUUUUGGUAGUGCAGAGUUGAUCACUUUUUCUCACACCUACUCCUGGCAGCUUUUUCUGAAAAAGAGACAUGCAUUUUAAACUUUCUCUCUUUCAGACCACAUAGCUUUAAUAAAUGAAGUUAUCAUUUCUUGUACAAGUUUGCUUUCAUCCGCUAACUUUUGACACAGUUUUAUAGAGUGAAAGAUGGAAUUUAACCCAAAUGAACAAUUUGCCCAUUUCUACGCAAAUAGACACUGUAGAGUUGGGAGAAAGACAUUUUUCCGGUCCAGUACAGUCAAAUUUUAAGUUUUUGAAGGUCAUGCCAAGUCCUAUCCAAGCCGCUCACAGUUUUAAUAAAAAAAUGAUGAUGGUACAGUCAUAAAAGCGUGGUUCCUGAUGGUUGAAAAUAUGCAACCCCAUUUAUUUGACACCAUCAUAUUAUGUCUAUACCCACCUUUGCAUUGAGAUUAAAAUAGAUUUUUCUUUUGUCUGGAGUGGCCAAAAUGGCGCACUGACUUUUGUAAUGUGGGUCUGAAGUAUGUUUGUACUCACAUAAAUGAACAGCACUAAUUUAUCCCCCAGCCUCUGCGAUCACUUUUGUGUAAUUUCCAUUAAAGCAUCUUUCAGAUGUUAUAUACCGGUGUACAUUUUUUUUAACCUUUAAUAACAGGGAGGCAAAACUUCUCGGCUGAUAUUUACAUAGAUUCAUAAAAUGUAAUUUAAUAAAAAAUAUCUUCCACUGAAGUUCAGGAAAGCUCUUAGCGGCUUGUUAAAAUGACAAAUAGUGCAAAUUUAAAAGCUUAAAGUCUCCAGUUACGUUAGAGUGAGAAUUGAAUAUAAUCAGAGUCUAAGUCUCAAACUUAAGUCUUUAAAUGUUAAACCUAGCUCAAAACAACCAUCACAUCAAAAGUUUCAGCAUUAUGGACAUCUGCUCACAAACCUGUCAUUUAUGCAAACAAUACAAGUAUAGUUUCACUUUGGUUUACUCAAAAUGACAUUGAUGCUCUCUCUUAGCUGUUUCAGUCUCUACAAACUGAUAUCAAAAUGUCCAAAUUUUUAAAACUGUUUUACCAGCUUGUGGCUCAUGAAGUGUGUCUGUUUGAUGCUGAUCCAACAGCCAACAAUGCGACUGUCAAAGCUCUUCUGCUGUCAAGAUUGUGUCAGACUGAACCGUGUUAUAAAAGACUAAAAUUCUCUUCUAGCAGUGAGUCUGAAGAUAAUAUUUUGUGAUUUCUGCAAAAAAAGAGUCUCAAUAGGAAGAUAAAUCUAGUGAAACAUGAUGGUAAAGGUUACAGGCAUUUUGUGUUGCAAAAUGAAAAAUAAAUGACCAUGAGUCUGUAAGAAAAACUGCAACAACUCGUGGUGUAAGAUAGGACACAGUGUGUAGAAGUUUUACUCUUAAACUAACCAACAAGAAACCUUUUUUCCAACCUUGACACCUUUUACAGGUACUUUUUCCAAAGCUACUUGGGGAAAAUUGUCAAUUUUUGCACAAUAACAAGAGGUCACAGGGUUCAUUUGUCAGAAAAAUAGGUCACUCUGCUCAUUUUGGGCAUCUCUAUAAAUGACCAAUUUUGUUCUGCUGGCUCGAACAGACAGUUAGUGGGCAUAUUAAGUGUAAAACUGUAAAACUCCUCGGAGGUGAGGCCAUCAACAACACUGGACAGAGUCCUGGCAGCUGCAAGUCUUUGUCACAGUGUUGUUAGUUUGUCUUGGGGACUCUGUAAUGACUUCGAUAAUGAGUCUGAAUAUGCAAAUCUCCUAAUAUUGGCACAUGUUCGCCAGAGAAGGAACCCGUCCUGCUGAAUGGGGCCAAGCUUCAUAUUUUGCACUGCUUUUUAAUGAAAGCGGUUUAGUUUGGCAGACAGUUGCUUCUGGAUUGUUGCUGCUGUUGUGAUGAUGAAGAUGGUGGGUGCUCUGUACUGGGGCCUGUUUCCAUGGCGCUGGAGUCUCUUGGCCGAAUUUGAACUCAGUUGGACCAGUUUAGCCUAAAACUUCACACUCCACUGUGAGGAAUACUUUGAAAACAAGUGGUCGUGCCUCAAAUGAUAUGGUGAAACUGCUGCUAUAUAACCAGGCAUCCUUCAUACCCUUGAGCAGCUUUGUGGUCAAUAGUGAAUAAGAAUUGUGUUUUAAUCAUGUUUUGGUUUGUGAUUCUCACUUCUCAUUUCUCAUGUAUGUCGAUGCUUUAGUGUCUUUUCCCACCUUUCUGAUUCUUCCUUGUUAGUCCUACUUUUGUCCAAUUACCCCAUGUGUAUUUGGUGUUCCAGUUCAUUUUCUAAGUCUUUCCAACUCCUUCUCACCCUCUGGACAUCCCCUGUGACAGUCAGUGUGUUUUUCAAAAGCAGCAGCAAUCGGUGUUAAAAAAUUAGGCCAGUGUGAAUGUGCAAAAAUAUGCAGUUUCUCAAUUGUCCAUUUAAGGUCGGCUGCAUAAACUAAGUAAAUCUCAUAAUGAAAAUGCACAUUUUAACAACGGGGUUUAAGAUUUGCACAACGUAAUCAUCUUUUUUGCUAGCUGUUUGCAAGGAGGAGAAAGAUUCAACUAUUUUUUUUCCUAUUCUCUGGGUUAGUCAGAAGUUAGCUGGAGUCAGCAAAUAUGAUGACUGCCAUUGUUGAGCUUGGCAAUGCCACUUUGGAAAUCAACAAAUGACGUCAUUGAGACCGUGUCCAUGUUUUUGACAAUCACCAAGGGUCUUUUUGCCUGUUUUCGCCUGCUUUGUUGGGUCUUUUCCUUUCCUUGUUUAUACUGAUUUCCCUAUCUAACUGGUGUAAUUCACAUGGUACAAUCAAACUGAGGCAUAUCCAAUCAAUUCUUGGUUUUUAAUCAGGACAAAAUCUGGGCUCUAAAUGAGGCGAACAGCACAGAAAGGUUGGAUUAAGUUUCUCAUUACUUAUUGGUGUAUUUUGGGUGUAACUUUAUUCAAACCAAUCAGUGUGUCCUCCCUUUGAGAAACAGACGCAGCCUUUCUACUUCAGUACACCAGGCAAAAACCUAACCCUAAUGGCUUUCUCCUACUGUGCCUCUAAUGAUGCAGAAAGCACACAAAGGCCUCUGUUUAAGUUAUACAUGUAUGGACUGAUGUUAAUCUCCUGAGACAAUUCCUCUGAACAGCAGAAACAGAAGUAACAGUUCUGGACAGGAUCUAAUAUCAGAUGACAUACGGUGUAGUUCACAUCAUAGAGGAGUAGCUUUUAAUCUUUAUUGACUUGUUUUCACUGCUGAGUCAAACGGCUUCGGUUUGGUCUCAAGCAAUACAGUAUCUGAGGGUUUGGCUGGUAGCAUUUAAAAAGGGUGACCAUACGUCCUCUUUUACCUGGACAUGUCCUCUUUUUUGGGGGCUGUCCGGCCUUGUCUGAGGGAGUAUAUCCUUCAAAUCUCCAGGGUUUUGUAUGGAGGUUUUUGAGUUUGUGCCGCAUGGAUAUACUAAAAUAGAAGCGCGUAAAAACACUCAACCCGACCCGAAAAACUCUCAAAAUUAACUAUGCCCGACUCUGUGACUCCGCCCCUGCGUAGUUGUGUCCUCUUUUGGGGUAUUCAGAAUAUGGUCACCCUAAUUUAAAGUUAGCAGUUAUGAGCACUGAAAAAAAAUACUGCGUAGUUGUGUGUGAGCAUGUCUGUGUGUGUGCAUGUUUCUGUGUAUAUUUGAGUGUGCAUGAUGGAGAGCUUGAUAGAGAGGUGGAAAAUAAAGACAUUUGUGCUGCACACCAUAACACAUUGACCCCUUCAAAUUAAAAAUCCCUUGUUUAUAAUUUUCCAGUAAAUUCAAAUUAAAGCUGGCAUCUGCAUUAAAUGAGAAUGACUAUAAAACCUCAGAGCUCCUAUGAGGAGUUCUAUACUGAUGCACCUUUAUGGCCCCGCAACCGCAAAUAAGACCAUCAGCCAGAGUAUUGAUCAUUUCUUUAUAGGGAUUUUUAACGCUGAAACUGUGCGGCCUUUGUUUGCAUUUUUAUUUGUUGAUAUACUGCUUCAUCCACAUGGAGGCUGCCAAGACUAACACACAAUAGAUGUCCCUUUACUGCACAUUUGACAAUACCUACUACUCCUCAACAUGUCUGUUACAUGCACCUGUGUGUGGCGCCCAAAAGGGUUGAUGUAUAGACCAAAUUAUCCAGGAAGAGAUAAAUAAAUCUGUACCUCCACUUUAUGGGUGUCUUUUAUUUCGUCGGCACGAUGAUAAAGCUCAGUAAUCCGUUAUCAAACAAAGAAUUAGAGCCUUGGGAGAGGAGAGAAGAGUGACCUGUAUUGACUGGGGAAAAAAAAUAAAAACGGGGGCACCUAUUGAUUUUUACCUCACUCUGUCAAGGUCAUUGAAAUGUCAGUGUAAUUGAAGUUCUUCAAUAGACACGGUGAAAUAUUCUCAGUCACAUGACAGCCUGAGGAGAUAGCAGCCAUUGUUGUGUGUGGUGAGGAUGUAUUAUGAGGUCAGGAGGGGAUAAAGAUGAUAAAGAGAGGAUGAAACAUUUACAUCAAUAUAAUCUGACAAAAUGCUGAUUCAACCUCUCACAUGAAGUGUAACUGUGUGAAUGUAUUCAUUCUCUCUGCUUGCUUAGUCCUUUGCAAGGUCACUAUAGAUCUUGAGUUCAGACAGGCAGAGAGAGUCUCCCUGUGUGGCUCAGUGGAGAGUCAUAUUUAAUGAUAAAGUUUGAUGUCUCUCUGAAAAAUGUUUGACUUUGCAUCUUCUCUGUACUUAAAGUUCACUGGUUCGUUGCAAUAUUUCCAUACCACUGAUCUCAUUAUGGUCAGCUUGAAAUGACUAAAGAUUUUGCUUUGGGGAUUUUCAUGAAAUGCUUUUAAUUUUAACUUUGAAAGAAAUAAUCAUGACCGUAACUAAACUGAAUACACAGAUGCGACAAUUAAAACUCACUUUAGUCAAGUUAAUGUCAGUCCCAUUAAGGUAAGGUUAGAGAAGUGUAUCAGGAAAAUAUACUUUAAAGUAUCAAACAUUCUUGUCCUUGUCCACUAACCGUGAUCAGCUGCCAGAGGUUGGAAGUUGUUAUUUUUCAACUUAAAGUUCCACUCCCAUCGUUUUUUUUUUUUUUUUUUACAACUUGGUUCUCAGUGGUCUUUAGAUUGUGAUUAUGAAGUUUUUACCAAAAAUCACGUUACCUGUGUCAUUUUCAAGGGCUUUUCUUCUGCAGAGCUCCAGUAGAUCAUUAGCAAUUUGCCACUGAGUCAUGGGCGGAGACAGCGCUGCUCUGCACACUCCUCUUCACUUCGCUAUCUUGUAGCCUAACAUUGCCGGUGUGGUAGAAGUGGCAGGUGAGAUAGGACCAAUUUAGUUCUUGGACACUAAUGUCUUUGGAGACAUGAUGAAAGAUAUCAUAAUUAGCUUACAAACAUCGCAAUCUGCUAACACACAUGCUUGUUCCGCGAUCGUUCCUCUGUUUUUCUCCUCUAUAUGCAGAGUGUGGCCUACAUAGCAGGGCUCUGGGGGCGGCGCUUGGAUUGGUUACGUAUGAAAUCUCAGUGUAUCUGAACCUGCCGUUUGGGUCUGCCAGAGAUUCACGUCGAUUUGAAUGAAGAAAUACUCAGAAAAGCAAUUUUGGUUUUCUCAUGAUAUGUCCUGUAGCAUCAGAAAAAUGCCAUAUGAACAUAUAAAAAACAAGAAAAACACGAUUUUUAUCAGAGAGGGUCUUUAAACAUAUUUCCUCAAUGUUCAAAAUUAAAGUAGAAAUAAUUUUCAGGAACAAAAUUAGUGAAUAAAUGCAAACUAAACAUAUGUGGGUGCUCACACUCCUGCCACCCAUGAAUAAGUUGGAACCCCAGUUAGCCCAACCCAGGUGAAAAAUAUCUGUAUCAUUCACAGGCCAUUUCAAGGAUCCCAAAAAUCUUAUGGCAAAGUGUUGUGCCAUGUUAUAUCAUAUAUUCUAUUGUCUCUUAUUGUAUUGUAAUUAAGGGUGCAAUAUUUCCUCCUUUAAUUCAGUACAGCAAAAACUUAGGGCGCCGUCAAAGAAAAAUGGAAGUUAAGAAAGUUUCUAAAACUUUAAAAAGUUAUUACUUUACCAUUUCUGAUGUUUAAGGCAUAAUCAAAGCUGCCAGACCGCCCAGAUAGAAAAUAGACCUUUUACAGAUAAUGAUCAGCUCUUAUCUACAUGAUAAGUUCUUUUACUUUAAAUAAAACAUGCAGGAAGUAUUUAUCAAUGAAUAAACGGAGUAAUCGGAAAUUAUUUUUCAUGCUCUUUACUGUCAAUUUAAGCAUCAGCUCUUACCACUUCUAUGUUUUCCUCAUAUGUCUGACCACUCAGUGAGUCAUCACAUCUGAACAAUCUACCUGUCUGCACUUCAACUCCACUGGUGAUCCAUUUGAGCGUCAUCGUAAAUGUUCGCGCACCACUGCUCAUCUCUUUAAUUACAAUGUAAUUCCCACUGUGUGCACUUUGAUUUAGCAUUUGGAUGCCGUUGACAAUAUCUUUAUUUAUCCCGGUACGCAAUAUGUCUCACAUCUGUUUGAUAAAUCCAUCUCCCACCUCCCCUCCGCCCCUCUAUCCUCCCCCCUCUAUCCUUCCCAUACCUAACUCGUCUUUUAUCUCUCUUCUUUGCGCAGGCAUCGUGUCCUCUGGCAGUCUAAGUAGCUCAUUGUUGUGGGGAGUGUGUUCCCUCAUGGGAGCCAUAGCCAGUCAAGAGUGGAUUGCUUCAGUGCGAUGCAUUUUUACUUUGUCUGUCAGUUGUGAUGAAGGAUAAGAAACAGUGUGUUCUUUUGAGACGCGCAGAAUCAAAUAUGGGAAUUAUGAUAAAAAAAGACCAUUUCUUUACAUUGUUGUUAAAGGAGGAGCGAUAAAGGGAAGAAGUUAUACCGAUGCCCAAGGGGAUGAAAGACCUUGCAGAAUGUAUACCAGGGUAAUAUAUAAUAAUAAAUGUACCCUGCUGUUCGUCAUAGUCAAAAAAAUACUAAGUAUGAAAUAUUACCCUCCUGUGUGUUAGUCUUGUUUAUGGUCUCGCUUGUUGAUUUGUUGCCAUGGCAGUUUUGCAAGGAAAAAUUAGCCUUACCUAAUCAACCUCGGCAGAAAACAAAACAAAACGGUUUCGACCUUGAUGAUAGAGUUUCACUCAUUUAAGAUGUGCUUCAUUGCAUCACUUUUCAUUGUACAGCGCUUUGCUCUACAGACUCGUAUACAGCGGGAUGCUGAUCCAACGCAAAAAUCCAAAAUUUAUGAUUCAGACCAUAAUCGAGGCACACAGCUCAAUAGUGUUUACAUUACUGGACAGUUGCAGUUGCAUGAUUGCAGAGUCAGUCACUAUUUAAAGGGCUAACUUACAGUGCAUUAAUAUUUCAUAAAGUAGUUUGAGUAUGACAAAGCUGGGCGAAAAGAGUUGAAAUUCCUCGACAUUUACAUAUCAGUUAUAAUAAAAAGUGUUAAAGUAAGAUUUAUGUAAAUAGUUUAAGACAAUUCAGUCUUUGGUUACAGUCUACAGUUUCUCUGGAACAACAAAGAAUUAAUGGAGAAAUUAAAGAGUAAGAAGUCGUAAAGGAUGAAAUUUUCCCAUCCUAUAGUUGGUGUUCUCACUGUUUGAAGGACAUCCUGUUGGCCCCUUGCUAAUGCAUUUUGCUAACUGUUUUGAUAUGUAAAAGGUCAAUCGUAAGAUGACCUCUGUAGAAAACCUGAUAGAAAUGAGCUGAAAGGGGACAAUGUUGCCAUCUGCUGUGGCGGAGGUGGACAUGCUCCUGUCAAUAAUUCAAUUCUUACACGGUGCUUGUUCACAAAACCAGGUUUGAUGCCUAAUUUAGCUAUAACUGUAGCUCGACUUAACUCUGCGUGCAAGUGUACCAAAUAAGAAGAUUUUGAGGUCCAAUUCAGGACAGCGACUGUGUCAGGCAGGAAAUAACAUCUUUCCUCCCACUGUGGUCUGAGCGGUACUUUUGAACUAUCAAGAAUGAACGCAGAAUUGGCUUGACCUACAAUCUUUCUUCACACUCUAGGAAAAGUUCUGCUUUUGAACAACCACAAUAAAAUAAUAAAAUAAGACAAAAGGAAAAAAAGCCUUUCAGACAAAUUGUACCAAAUUCUAAUCCAGUGCAGAAAGAGAGGAAGGCUGAGGCAGUGACAGUGCAGAGUUAAGGGUGGGACAGUGCAAGCUUGAGGCAGGGAAAGAAAUAAGAGUGGGCAUGGAUACACAAAAGACGAAUGGGUAAUAAGAGAUGGUAAAAAAAAAAAAGAGAGAGAGAACAGUCAGUCAGAAAAUUCAAUACCCAGGCCUAGAGGGUUGAGAAGGUAUGAAAGGUACUGCUUGGAAGACAAAGAAGAACAAAAGAGUUGUUGUCGUGCGCAAACCACUUUGUUUCAAUCGACAUCCUUUUGUAGUAAAAGCCUGACAAACUCAGGUUCAUACUUAUCAUGCGUCACAGGAGCGUCUUGUCCUUGAGAGCCAUAGUUGUCUGAGCAGCUGAAGUGUUGAGCGAGCAGAGCUUUUUCGUCUGGGAUCAGGCGUCACUAAAUUUUCCCAUUUUGACACUCUGUACCUUUAGUUAAGUAUACCCCGAGGUGUGGGUCAAGCAAGCACAUGAGGACUAAGUCUGCUGCCUCUAACGUGUUCAAUUUCUGCCACAACCCGAGUACAUGAACCCUGAAUGACUGUGAUACAUCACUUCACUGUGGUAAAAAAAAACAAUCUCAGUAACCAUUUGUAACCUUAGAGAGAACGGGCACAAUAACAAAUAGGACUCCAACUAAAAAACUGUUCUUUUAAACAUUUACUUCUGAUUAAACAAAAUGAUUCAAAUGAUCUCAAGCUGGAGAAAAUAAGAGUCCGUUAACUAGAAUAAAUUACACCUAGAAAAGUAACUACCUCAGUGUGGUUGGUGUGUUUUCUUGGUGAAGUUUUGGCUCUGGCUGUCAGAAGAACUAAUGACACAUGGCUCUGAGAUGGUGAAUUUGUUUGGGGUUCGUUGACCUUAAUUUUUUUAGUCUUUUAAAGUAGCUCAACACAAGCUUCAUCACAGUUCCUGAAACGAUGAGUUUCUCUUCACAGUCUGCGAUGCUCUUGACUUGUAUCUACUCGUGAUUGUUUGCUGUUGGAAUGAUAGAUUUUGACCUGUGGAGAAAGUCAACUCAACACCACCCACUCUACUUCGACUUCUCCUACUACCACUUCUACUAAUUAUGAUAAUAAUUUUAAAAGAGAACAGUUAUGAUAAAAAUCUGUGUUUCUACUUAUCAAAGCUACCUUUGAGGGCCCCUCACAUUAAAAGGAGCUUAAAAAAAAAAAAAGAGGUCACCAUGAAGCUAAUUUUGCUUACUACAGAGCUGCGAGAGCCCACCAGCAUCUCUCACUUUGUCUCUGAUCUCUCCCCAAUCCCUCUGCCCCGAAGCAAUCCCCUCAGCAGCCAGCAAGGUGCAUGUGACCCCUGAGGGCUGGCCAGCCAGUGAACUCCUCAUGAAGGCAGACUCCAACACAAAGGGGGCUUUAACAAUAGUUCAGUCAAAGAAGAAGAAGAAGAAGAGCAGCUCCUAAUCACCACACUCUUGGGCUUCUGGAGAGCGAAGGUGCCAGACUCUAACAUGAAGCUAAAAACCAUCUCAGGGAGCAGAAAUCAAUGCAACACACUCAGCCAAAGAAGUGUGUAUGCUCUUCUUUUGAAGAAUUGUAGAGAUCUGAAAUACUGGAACAGCCUAUCUCAACAUUUUCUAACUUUCAGAUCAUUGUCUGGGGAGUGUGAGUGAGUACAUUACUGCAGAGAACAAAGCAGACACUUGAUUGAUGGGUCUAAAGUGUUCCCUGAAAUAUAAAACACUGGGUGACGAAGCAAACAUGCACUAUCAGAUAUCAGAGGCUUAUUGGAAGUUUUUGAAGCGAGAACAAACGUUUUUUUGAGGUACGCCUUGUUUGGGUAUUUUUCAAAACAGUAUUUUGGGAUAAAAUUAAAUGUAGGCGAUGCAAUAACUUUAUAUUUCAGUCAGUAAUGCCGAAAAUAACGAGGUUCCUCUACCUUCAAACUGUUCAGGGGAGUUCCACUUAAAUUCCUCCCCACAGGAUCGCAUCAGGAUACAGCUUCCACAAAAAGUAGAUGAAUUAGCAAUAAACAAUAAAAAGCAUCACCUCCAGCUCACUAAUGACUACCCAUGAUCCUCCGCUCCUUCCUGCACAUAUUCCACCAGGGAGAGGGAGAGUGAUGUGGGCUGUGCCUGAAGUUUUCUGCUUACCCUUAUUGCUUUUGCUGCCGAAGACAAUAUUAUUAUCUGCAGCUGCAGGCCUCUGAGUGCACAACUUGUAAAUAACAAACCAGGCUGGACAGAAGCCUGUGAGGCCACUGCUAAUCCUGGUAUUAUUCCACUUUUAUUGUUGCUAUUUGCUCAUUAUUUCUCAUCUCCUCUGGCUGAAGACAGCCAGUUAAAUUACUUUCACCCCAUUGUUUUCUUCUGUCACAGAGGCCAAAUUAGCAUUGAGGACAGGCAACAUUUAGCAAUGCCUUUAUUCCUUUUUAGCUCUCCUUUCCUCAUUCUUGACCCCCUCUAGAGCCCACAAGCAACACAAACUGUCACUGUGGGUGUUGCUAAAUGCUCAACAUUCUGAACAUAAUUAUGAAAAAUGUUUUUUAUUAUGUUUUCAUUUGCAACAUCCUUCCAUUUAGGGGGAAUGAGGAAAACAGUAGGUGGUAAUCUCCAGAUUCAAGCAAUAACCCUGCUGGUUCCCCGGUGGAGGUUUGGGGAUGAGAUCAUCACAAAGCUAAACCAGAUUGAUGUUUUGCUCCAAAUCCAAUUGGAGUAGUUAUAAUCAGCCGUCUAAUAGUAGUGUUUGAGCCUCCAGAGAGCUGCAGUAUUCUGUAUUUGCUGAGAGAAUGGAAACGUUGUGCUCAGGUUUGACUCACUAACAUCCCUCUUAUGGGAGGAAUGACUCUGACAAAGCCUGGGGGCAAAGCUGGUUGUUCGCUUCACUGUGCUCAUUGUUGCUCUGAAGACACCUAAAGAUAUGCGGUGGAUGAAACGGCUGUGAAGGCUCUCGCUAUGUGGAACAUUGCUCUCUGUGCGCUCUGAAUAAUUAUUCCUGCACCAUCAUAAUGCACCUGAUAGAGGUUCUGCUGCACAGAAAAAACUGCUUUUAAAAAUUCAGCCAAACCAAACCAACAUGAGAAAUUACAACUAUGUCAGAACUCUGAGAAACUUUUCAAAGCAUCACAAUCAGGGUGAUGUUUUUUUUCAAUCAACCUCCAUAGCUAGUUGUUUUCCGAGGUUACGAGCCACGAGCGUUUCCAACAGCUACAACUUUAUUGUGGGAAAAAAAAUAUUUGAUGAUAAAAUUUGACUAUGGUGCUCAAAAAUUUACUUCUACUAGAUCUGCACCCUUUUGAAUGUGAAGACUACAUAACUACAGAAGAUCUAAAAUGCUAUGGCUCAUUUUUAUUGGUUAGUCCGAGGCCUGUACGAUUUGGCAAAAAAAAAUGAUCACAACAUAUUUUGUCGUAUCACAAUUUUUUCUAAACUGACAGUUUCUGUACUAAAAACUAAAGAAAGUAGAGAUUAGUUCAACAUUUUAUUAACAUAUAAAGAAAAAAAAUUGAAUAAGAUACACUUAGAAAAUAUAAAAAAACAUUUUAACCCAACAGUACAACAAAAGUAGAUAAAUACUAAAUAACAGUGAAUUAGUUUACAGUCCUAAGUGUUUUUGCAGGUAUGAAAGACCAAAAAUAAACAAAUAUCUCCACCAUGUUCAGUGUUGCCCCAACAGGUGAUCCACACAUAGGAAAGACUUGUAUAGGACAUAUUGUUUUGCACUUAAAGGGAUAUUCCGACAUAAAAUUAGGUUAUGGUCAAACACACCGUAACACCAAGUUAGACACCCCGUCGAGAGAUGAAUGUUGCCGACUGCUUGCUUCACAAGUUAUACCAACUUUACACUUUACAACCGCACGAUAGCAAUACACAGCAGUCUGAGGAGCAACAAAUCUCAACCAAAACGCCACUCUAUAGCCACAAAUAAUGCUCAGAACAGCACCCAACUUCAUCAACAGUACAUCUAGGGUCCCAGCCAUAGCACUAGCCACUAAACAUCUUUUUAGCUUUGUUUAAUUUCUUUAGCAAAGAGGCUAACGCCUACUCUCUUCCAGCAGCUGCUUGUUUGUAGGGAGACCUCAGACGAGUCCAUCACUGAUUGCAGCAGGGUGACACAGCUCAAGGAAGAACAUUUAUGAUCAUUUCUUUGUGGAAAUGCAAUCAGACCGAGAGGCUAAGGCAGAAGAGCUACCGCGUCUGCAGUGCAAAAUGAUUAAUAUGAUGAUUAUUACCUCAUGAUAAAGAAAUGAUCAUAAAUGUUCUUCCUUAAAGUUGGUAUAAGAAUCAAGCAGUCAGCAACAUUCAUCUCUCGACGGGGAGUCUAACUUGGUGUUAAAGUGUGUUUGACCAUAACUCAAUUUUAUGCCGGAAUAUCCCUUUAACAUGGUCCCUUGCAUGCAAACAAAAGGCAGUAUGAUACCAAAGGACCAAUGAGCAAACAGCUAUGUACAGGUAGUGCUGGUGGGGAUUGUGGUGUCAUAGCUUCACACUGUGUUUACUUUAUAAUUUCCAAUGCCCUUUUAGAGGACUACUAUAAAUGCCAACCUGUCAAAAUGGCUAGUGGGAGUGACUGUGUUUAGACACCACAGCUGAAAUCCACCUGCAUUUAUCAGGUGAGCAGGUGCAAAUGUCAAGCCCUGAUCACCAUUGAUAUUGUAAGUUACACUUUUUUUUGCAGAUAAUGGGAAUAAUGUUGGAAAAACAGUUUGGUUAGCGGUUUGAGAUCAGAUGUGACUCACCUUCAGUGAUGUCUCUUGAGUCAGCACUGAAUUAGGCUGAGGUCACUACCAAGCUGAGUGCUAUUUACUGCGCCUAAAUCAUUGACUGUUUACUACUGUAGUAUAGAUUUCACUAAAUGAAACAUACAUUUAACCUCUAGGCAGAAAAGUCAGCUCAGUCCACAGCAGACAGGAUAAUUAUGUUAAUUUAAAGCAGAAACUCAUGGCUAUGGAAAGCUCUGUGACUCUCUGCUCUUUGAUAUUUCCUCUCACCAUUCCUCGUCUGCUAUAUUUAUCCAGCGGAGAACGCUGCAGGAGCCCGCUGUUGUCAGCUGAGCUGUCAAUCAUGAAGUCACAUCCCCUCUUUUCAACAUCAAAUAACAGAUCAAAGAUAAACUUCAAUGGAAAAUGAACAUUUGCACAUAAAUCAACAUGAUAGAAACUACCUAUGAUGACAAGAAAGCAUGUUUGAAAUAACAUAUAUCUGGCCUGCAGUUUUAUCUCAUAGUCCAACCCAUAUUUUGUCUGUUAUAGAGGUGGAAACUUUGAGACUUAUACUGCAAGCAGUCACCAGGGGGAGCUCUAAAAGUUCUGGCUUCACUUUAGUGGGGCUAUUGGGCUGGUCAUAUUUUUAUGGUCUAAAUUCGUCCAUUGGCUCAUCUGCAGAGAAAAGAUUACCAGGGGUGUUACAUUCAUGGCAGAUUUAUGAGCAGGAGGAUUAAGUUUUAUGAUGCAACGUUUUUAUGAAUUUACUUACUCCCAGUCAUCAGUGUGCUAUGUAAGAGCAGUGGUGGUAUGUAAUGUAGAGAGAGGACAUGGUAUAUUUUGGGGUUAUAUUAAAAAAUUAAUAAAUAAAAGCCUAGGGCUGUUAGAGGUGAACCAACCAGGCCUAGCUACCUACCCAGAACCUACAACAUUAUUUCUUAUUGUGUGGUGGAUUCCUCUUCUUUCAGUCUCUAUUAGAUAUGCAAAACUGAAGAGAAAAGGGUUAAAUUGUCGGUCUCCAGUGGAUGGGAGUCAUGAUGGGUGACGAGCUGUGAUGACAGCCUUCAUUAGUCAGCAGGUCAUUAAAUUUGGAGAAAGAGCAGAAGAGCUCUGUUUAAAUGGAGCUCAAUAAUCCCUCAGGGAAAACAUUCAUGAGGGAGGAAUUUCUAUUUCCAGAAAACUGUUACUCUUAUUUAAACAAAGACUGAGGAGGGAGGUUGUGGUGGUAUCUUAAAACCCUUUUCAGCAACUCCAGUCUUACUCAUCAGCCAUCCAGGGAUCUCAAAAACAAUACGAUAUGAGCUUAUGCAGUCAUGACAGUCACAGGUUACAGUUUCUCUUACCGGCUAAUGGACUAAAUCCAAACAAGAUGGAAAACCAUAAUGGGGGUCCUCACUAUGUGGUCACAGUUCUAGAGAAGCACCUUCCACAGUUCUCUGCACUCAGGUACAAGCUUCACAGCAAACAUUAUUGAUUUCCCAGAGCUAAGUGCAGAGCACAUCUGAAGCCUUAGGCUAGUGCUAACUGCAGGACUGUGAAGUUCACUACAGACAAAGAGCUUGGAUGCAAAAAGAAAGCUUGAAGAUCUGCUUGGGUAGUUUGCAUGUGUGUACUGUUAGCUGCAAGGUUUGACACUGAAAUAAAGAAGGAGGAGGAAGAGGAGGGAGAUUUGGCUGAUGAUAUCCUUCAGUUUUUUUUUUGCAGCACAGGUACUUGUGUCUGCUCAAAUCAAUGGUACAGAGAGAUGUUGAAGUACUGAGAAAGAAUGUGUUUCCUGGCACAAUAUCUUCCAAACACAUUGAAAUGCCAUAACAUACCAAACGUUCCUGUGAAGCAGUGAUCUAUUCAGAAAAAUUCAGACGCUAAUAGGUUUUUGAAAGAACAAUGAAACAGACACUGCAGUAUAGUUUGGCUGACCUUGACUAAAUGAAUCAUCCUGCAACUCUUGUGUAACUCGUUCAGCGUCAACUUUUUAUCAACGGGGAGAGAUAAAGAGUCGCAGGUUUAUCCAUAACUUUCCACCAGGUUUUGAUCUUAUAAACUCUCGCAGGUACCUGCACUGACAGCCAGAAAUACAGUUAUUUACAGCUAUUUAACUGCAGUGAAAGAGAUUCAGUUCAUAUAUACAGCCAUUGUGUCUCAUGUAUAAAAGAGCAGUGCUGCCACUUUACAUUCUGCUCCCUGUCACAGCCGCGACUUUUAGAGAAAGACAGAAUCCUGGAAAAAGUGGUUGCACCUGUCACCUUCUUCAAAGGGUCUUCGUGCAUCUUGUCACACCUUUCCCAUCCCCCAUUGUGUGAGGAGCACAGGCUGGCAGGUCUCCAUUGAUCUGUACGAGGGCUGCGAUAAUUGGGCCAUUAAGAUCUCAAAAAGACACCCAGCAUGUGGUAGAGAGAGAGUCAAACAGCCUGCCAAGAAAGAGGACUUCCAACUCCUUGGCAUCACUUGUUAAGAUUUCUUUGCUAUGCCAUGAAUUAUGUGUUCAAACAGUGUGCUGAUUUCACUUGUGAUACUUUGAUUUAUCAAGUGCUAAAUGCGGCCAAGCAUGCAAAUGAGACACAACAAAUAGAAACACUUAAACUGGCAUGCACUGUUUGCUUUAAGUAAAUGUUUCCAUAUAACUACAAUUAACUCCCCUUAAACUAAGGUGCUCCUUUCCCUAAGUAAAUGUAAAACUAAUAAAUAGUCAAUUACAGCAUAAAACAGGCCCGAUGCUUUGAUCCUGAGCUUUAGGUUGAGCAACAAUCAAAGCUCAAUUUGGGAAUUUAACUUGACGAUUGUCCUUGUCCCUGUUAUCAAGCACCAGGAAAGAAUGAGUUUACUGGGCUGUCUUCUGGUUAACCCACUAUUUCAUGUACCAAAACAACUGACAACAAUGCAGGUUGAAAGAUAAAUAAACAUCACACCUUUUACAGCUCUGUACCUUUUGACAGGUUUGUCUUUUUUAAUGUUUUUUCUUCUCCUCAAUCCCCAACUUUAUUAUCUGGGUAUGUUUGUCCGACUCUGAGAAGUUUGAUUUAGUGCAAUUUUCAAAGGUGUUAACAAGUGCUCUCAAAGUCUUGUUUCAUUUGGCCCAAUGUAAUAAAUCACUUUUUGGAAAAUGUGAAUGCAAUGACUGAGACCUCAUCACUAUUUUGAGUCGUCUAGUUUUAACCUUUUUGCUGAAAAUAGAAAUCAACUACCAAGGGAGUGACACACAAAGUGAUCUUGUAGUGACAAAAAUCUGUGAAAAGACUGUAACCAGAUAUAACACACUGAUAAAUAAGUGAAGAAAAAAAAUCAUAAAACUAUAGAGAUACAGAUAAUGAAACAUAGACGGAGAAUGGAGUUAAAAGGGAUAAAAACAACAUCAAAAAGAAAGAAUAAAAACGACAAGAUGCAAGUCUUAAAAAAUACCAAAUACACAAAUGACAACAAAGAGAUAUAAUAUGACUUCAAAGAAGUGUUCAUAAAUGCAGAAAGAUACAAAACGACAACAAAGAGACACAGCACUACCACAAAGAGAUUCAAACCAGGAACAAAGCCUGUAAUUAAAAAGAUAACAAUUACUUAUUCAUAUUGAAAAACAAUAGGGACAAAGGUGACUUCAAAGAGCUGCAAAACAACCACAAAGGGGUGCACAACUACCUCCAAGAGAUACAAAGUGAACCUGACAGGGUGUAAACCAGCUGCAAAGACAGACACAAAAUGACCCAAGAGAGACACUGUACAACUUCAAAGGGUCACAAAACAACCGUAAAAACACAUUAAUGACUUCAAAGAGAAGAUAGACAAGCACAAAAGUCUUUAAAAUACACUUAGGGUUCCCAAACAAGCACAAAGACAAGACAAGAACAACAACAAAGGCACCAACAAAGGAGGCUCUUUCAGUCAGGGUGUCUUGCCUCGAUGAGAGGAGUGGGGGACCUUUUACGUCAGCGGCCGGGGUCCUGUUGUUUUUUAAUUCGACCAUAGGCGGGCGUAAAACUCAUCAGAAAAACUGGAAGUUAGCAUCAGACUGGGCUGAAGCAAACAAACACAUCUGGCCGGUCUGGCAGGGAUUUCAGCAGACCAAUGAGAAAACAUGGAGAUAAUUUGGACCAGAAAUCGAUAGCAACUGCCAACACCAGUCGGUCUCUGAGUCGUGAUAAGGUUUCUUUCUGCUCCAUUAAGUAACUCCACUCUGGUGUCCUUCACAGCUCAAGCUCAGAUACUCAUCACCUCAACUGUAUUAAGUACUUGUAUAAGAAAAUCAAAUGCAACACACAGUAAUGCAAGAUGUGGACAUUAGACACAGAAAACGCUGAACAAAAUGCAGCAUUUCUUUGUCAGCGAUGAACAGAGGCAGCGGAUUGUAUCUCUGGGAAUCAAAAGAAAUCAUCCUGUAUGGACACAAAGACUUGGACAGCAAUCUGCAUUUCAGACAUUGAUUUGUCCCUACUUUGCAUAAGAAGUGUCACUUUCCUCUUUUACACACACUCUUCUUUACAAUUACCUUGUAUUUUGAGAGUUAUAAUGAAAUUCUGGGUUAUUACGUUUUUUUUUUUUCCAUCAUUGCUUCUUUCAGUUAAAAAAAAAAACAAAAAGUAAUUGUUAUAAUCUUGAGAGAACAUAGAAAAUUAGAUGGGCCAUAACAAAGACACUACUAGGAAAACAAUCCCGCUAUAUUCAAAGAGAAUACUCAAGUGAAUGAAACCAAAAGUACUUUCAAAGUACUUUGAAAAAUAACUGUGCAUGCAUGAAAGUAGCUUAUACAUAAGGUAAAAUUCAAAUCAGACUACACUUUGAUAAUAUGGGUGAGUCAGCUAAGCAGAAGUUGAAGCAGAAAACAUUUUCAUCUUUUUGUUCAUUACUCACUCGUAUAUUCCUCUUCAUCCUUCCUUGUUAGCUGAUCAUGAAGGUUCACUCUUCAGCCAAACAUAUAUCGCCACAUCCUCCGACCACCCCUCAGUCUGCUGCUGUCAGACUCUAAAUCCAUUCCUCUCUCUCUGCUCCUGUCAGUUUGUCAUCUCGAUGUGGAUCCCUCCUUCACCACCCGUCACCUCCAGUCCAUCUCAUCAGUGUCCAGGUUGAGCUCCUCAGGCCUCAUCACAUCCUGCAUGCUUCCAUCAACACCGGAAGACUCCAUUCGGUGAGUGUCCUAUAUUUCUCCCCGCCUUACUACCACUUACAAUGGCCCAAGACGUGGCACAUUUCCCAUCUUUUUCAUGCAUCUUUAAAAAGCUGCACUCUUACAAUGGCAAAGACCCUGGAUAUUGUAGAAAUGCAGCCUUAAGUUUUCAGAGAUCUCAGAGACAUCCGCCAAUGACUUUCUUUUCCAUACUAUCGCUGUGUUUACUGUCCAAUUAACUAAAGCUGAACGAAAAAGAUAAGAUGGACAAUUGAAGCUGGAAAAAUUGUUCUAAUCAUUUAUGUGUGUGUGUGUGUGUGUGUGUGUGUGUGUGUGUGUGUGUGUGUGUGCUUGCGAGAGAAACAAACAUCACAAGCGUUUUUAAUUCACAUCUAAUCCCCAACUGUUAGUAAAGUUUUUGUGUUAUGACACUGUCUGCUAUCUUCAGAGCCAAGUAUUCACACUGUAAUUAGUACGUUGAGAUUAAUUUGAAUAAACUAGUUUAUUUAGGCCUUUUUGAAAAUGGACUGCAUUUUAAAGUCUUUCCAGUCUUUAAAACAAUCAAAAAUCUGCACUUCUAUUCCAAAUUCACACAGUUUCAAGAACAUAUAUCUAUAUAUUUGAGUGCUAUUGGUAUCAGGAGCUGGAGAUCCAAUUCUGCGAUUUUCUUCUUUAAAUGGAGUGCAACCUGCUCCAUCUCCUGAGCCAAAACUUGAGCCACAACAUUUACUGUAAGGCCAAGGCAUCUUAAAAAGUAGUUCAGUUAUAUAGUGUUCUGGCUCAGUAGGAGGCACAUAAACAGUGCUUGUGUACAUCUGUUGUGGGAACUCUUAGUCACAGUUUUAUUUUUUUUUCUGCAGUGUUAAAGUGUGUUAACACCCCCCACAUUUACUAAUGAGUUUAACACACAAGUUUGCCACUGAUCCAUGCUGUACUUAAGUCUUAUUUCUAAGUUGAGUUGUCCCUGAAACUGAUCAUUUAACCACAAUGGCCACUGCUGAUUUUGCUUCUUUUGCAAAGUUUGCGCACAGUUUCAUGUGAUUCCAAGUGAGUGACAUAUUGUAUGUUACAUUGAUGCAUGGGUUGAUGGAAGAUGGGUGAUGCCUGGACCUUAUAUGGAUUGAUGGAUGUAUGAGUGAUGCAUGGCUGAUUUUUUGAUGGGUGGAUGCAUGAACGGAUGGACUUUAUUGAUCGUAAAGCAGUGAGCUGAAUGUCUGUUAUGUAUGUGAUAUGACAAACAGCUCUAUCACUCAUGCUAUUGUGAUGUGGUUGUCAGGUAAAUCUCACCUGUCUCAACCAAAACUUUCCCACACUGUCUUUUGGCAGCUUAUCUUCUCCUGAACAAAGAGGUUUUACUUUCAAUCAGAGUGAUGAAACUUGAUAAUAAGACAAAGCAGUCAAAGCAGAGGGUUUGCCCUUCAAAUCAAAUCUCUAAAACACUGAUGGGAUGAAGGUUUGCCCUGUUUUUUCUUAAGUUGAAAUCAUGACAGAUUCAGGUAAUGGACUCUGUCUUCUUUUCAUCAUGCAGAAAGCUGAAUUAUGUGUUUGAAAAGCAAGAAAAAGCAGGAUUUGUCGCCUGUCUGCUAGACUAAAUAUCACGUCUUGAGGCCAUUAUUGCAGGCUUAACUUUUCAUAAUUACAGCAUAAGUGUAGACACAAACAACAGUUAAUAUUCUGACAGGUUAUAGGCACUGUAGGAGGGUUUUUUAUUGAAUGCACUCAGUCAACCUUUGUUUAUGAAUAACAAUGGCAGCGAUUAAAUCACCACCAUAAAUAUAAUGUGAAUUUGUUAACAGAAAAUCCUCUUGACAUUUUGAUUUGCCUGAAAUAAAUCCAUCACUCUGAUACAAUAGGAUCUGCCUGAGAGGAACGGUGUAAGCUCACACCAUGUGUUCUUACCGGAGUGAACAGAUCAGUUUGAAUAAAUAAGAACACAAUUGAGUUUAUGAAAAACUCAACAUAAAAACCCCUUAAAAAUUGUGCACUAUUAUUUGUUGAAUUAAUCUUUAUUGAGUAAAUGUUUAUGUGCAGUCACUACCAGCUUUAAACCACAAAGGAUUGGUUUAGCUGGAAACUAAAUGUGUUUAAAAGUCACUAGAUUGAUAUAGACCCUCUUUUUCUGUGAGUGUCUUUACUUAUCUGGACUGCGCGCUUUAGGCUGCAUCCUGAUGAUAUGAUCCACAAUUUUGGCAGCUGGCUCCCACUAUUACACUGUUUAACAGGUGGCCAGGAUGCUCUGUAAUUGGCCAAGAGAUACUGGGAGAAAAUAGUAAGGGUGUAAACACAGUGAGUCAUGAAACACUUCUCAAAUGUCUUGAGAGUUUAACUCACUCACUUUGUUGAUUUAAUCUUGUUGAUUUGUGCUUUUACAGUCGGGUUUCAGUGCUUCAGCAAAACAGUGCUACCAGAACAUGAAGCAGCUGUGCUUGUUGGAUAAAAGAGGUUAUUUUCACAUGGUGUUGACAUGCCUCCUGUGACUAGAUCACAAGUGGACACCACUAAGCACAAGUGUUUACUGUUUUCAUCCACACGUGUCUCCACAUGUGUUUGCCGUGACCAUUUGUGAUCAGAACUCACUUGCCUGCUUCACAUGAUAAAACCAUCCGUGCAUCAUUUCCAUUUGAAAAGACCGAAUAUAUCCUAUUAGGGAGAGCAUGUUCUCUCAGUUCUGAACAAUUCCUCAUCAGCUAAAAAGACUCGAGGAAGACUAUGGCUCUCUCGACAACAGGCAUUAAAGGAGGGAGUGAAAGACAGGCGAAAUCAAAACAGACUGAACUGUGACUGUGGAGAUGUUUGACACAAAUAUGUCACUUUCAUAUUCUCUGUCUUUCCAGAUUUUUUUGCUUGUUGUUGCUUUUACAUGCCAAUAUGUACAUACUUCCCCGAACCAAGAGGGCUUCUCCUCCCUAUUUGGCAACUGCUAGACUACAACAAGGGGUGAUACUUAAGGGAGCAAUGCAUUCUGGGUGCAUUUAGACCUGCAGCUGAGAAUAAUACAUGUGUGAAUGAAAUAAAAGGCAAUUUGUUCAGAACUUAGUGACAGGCAGUCGUAAGGUAGUGGUUUUGUAAAAAUGCAUGCAAGGCAAAUGAUUUGAACGUCCUAGCUUCUCAGGAGGCGCACUCUUUCCUGCAUUACUACCAAUGAUUGGAUUCGUAAAUAGUGCUUCAUAAGGUGCCAAAUCAUUCAGAAUAAUGAGGUUUCUCAGUCAGAAGAACAAGGUGUUCUGCAGUGUUCUCUGUGCAUACGUCAUCCCCCUCAGCUCACUUUCUUCUUUUAUAUACUGUAUGGAGGUCUGAUCCUUUGUUCUGAGACACUGAUUGCACAUUUCCUUUGAACAUAAAGUAAUAAUGCAUGAUAGUUGCAUUAAAUUUGUUUUUUUUUUUACCUCCUGUUCUUACUGAGUUAUAGAUUUAUAUUGUAUAGAGUUUGUGUCUUCACAUAUCUGUAGAAAUGCUUCUGAUGCUACCUGACACUGUGAGCACUCAAUCCUCAGAGGCUUCACACAAAUAAUCUUCAGCUUGGAAAGCUACAUAGGGGUUUGUCUCCCCGGCAGCUCACGCAUAGAUGAAGUGAUAAUUAGUUUAUAAGGUGUUGGAUUUAGGGGGGAUAUAGAAGCACAGCUGAGGCUAAUUGUAAAGGCAAAGCAGUGUCUCAUGAUGGUAUCACUUUCAGGCUGAAGGUCAGGACAUGUGCUGUCAGACCUCUUCCUGUAAUAAAUAGUGUGGCCCACAGGAAAAUGUCUAAAUAGCCUCUUUUUUUGUCAAGGUGGUUGUCCUCUGGAGCAAAGAUGAAUGUUGAUGAAUAUUCACUCCAGGUACAUUAUAUUUCAAAGGCUUCAGACUCACUGCUUGUAGUUAUAUUGCUGUAGAGUUUUUGCUUUUUGAAUUUACACUUUUACCACCCCAAAACAUCUUUUUAUUCAGAGGACUUAUUUUCAGUUGGUAUAUUUGCUAUUAAACAUCCAUCACACAAAAUUAAAAGAUACAUUACUCUAUUUAGUACUAUUUAGCCUUAAACUUGUCAAUCAGUCUUUGAAAUGAUAGACAGACAGACAGACAGACAGACAGACAGACAUUGAAUUGAGGCCAUAUCGCCCAGCCCUAGAGAAUACAGACAUACACACACACAGUUUAAUGCACACAAACAAAAGAGACAUAAAUACACACACACACACACACACACACACUCGUAUGUAUCUAUAUAUGUAUAUAUUUUUAUCAUAUUGUUCUGAAAUCAUCAAACUUGGUUGUAAAAUUUCAGAAGAUGUUUUUCCAGAAUAAAAGUAGAAACAAUCUAUCUGAACAAAAAAGGAAAUCAACAGAAAAACUCUCAAAUAAAUAUAUCAAAAAGAUGUCUGAAUUUGUUCAGUUUCAUUACUUUUUUUUUCAGAGAACCUGUCGAGUCUCAUUUGCAGUCUUUCUUUUUUCUUUUGCCUUUGGUUUAUUUUUAUUAUUGAAGACAAACAGUUGCUUUUGUAAGUCUGCCUAGCCUACAUUUAUCACUCAUUUUGAAAAAAAAGUAAAUCAAAUUAAGACUAAAUAUUGAAAAAAAUUGGGAAAUUUAAUUUUGUCAUUAAAUCUUUUAGAAGUUAAAGAGAUAACUUCAUAAAAAACUUCAUUCAUAUUUGAUAUAAAUGUAUGCAAAAAUCUGAUUAUUCUUUUUAUGCCUAAUAUACAGUUAAUUACAACCCAGUUUGUUGUAAGUUAUGAAAGCUGAACGGCAAAAAUCUGCUGUGAGUUAAAGAUGCAAAUUCCGCCAAACCUCCCACCAGACUGUCCUUCUGUGAAGUCAUUCUGUCCUUUCAUUGUGGGAGGAGUGGGUAUUUUUAUGUCUGGCCCUGUCCUGGCUUGAAUGCCAAUGUAAUUGAGGGAUAGGCUUUCAUUGGAGAGGUCCUAUCACUACAGUGAAGAGACCUGGCAGCCGUAAGUACGCAGGGAGACUGACACAGCCAAGCCAUUUGCCAUGCCAGGCAUUUCACAUCAUUGUGGAUUCCAUCAUCGUUGAGCCCCAGGCGGACUGGUUGGAAAAUAUCAGCCACAGAAAUAAUUAGCUGAGGGAGAACUUCUUGUGACCAGCGACCCAUCAGCGGUCCUGCCUCUUUUGUGAUUGUGUCUAUCUGCAUUUUGAAUGAAUAUCUUUUUUUAUAUUUGGGGUCUUUCACUUUCAUCCUGUACUUCUCCUUUCAGUAAAGGUUUCAGAGCCUGUGUUCAUCAGACAACACUUAUGUUGAGCACAUUAUUUCUAUAACUCCAUUUUGAUUUUAUGUAUUUUAAAAAGCUCUAAAAACUGAACACUAUGAAAGCCACACCCAGCUUGAUGUUUGUAGAUAAUAAAUUCAGCAACUUAAUUUUUCUAGCACUGCAGUAAAACUCACAAACUUCAGAUUGCACUUUUUAAAGGGAGCACAGGUGUCUGCAUGCUUGAUCCGUGUGACCUUAUGCUGACUCAUCCUGCUGUAAACUGGCCAACACCUACAAACCUCUUCCAAGCUCUUAGUCAUGCACUGUUCUGCUGGUGAAGACUCAGGAUACAGUUUAUUUUAUCACCAUUUGAGACACAAGGAUUUCACUUUCUCACACAGACAGAAGAAACAUAAUGUGAAAUGAUUUUUUCCCAACAGAUUUGUCUAAACUGCCACCGUAACAAAAGGCUUUUAUUCUGUGCAGUUUUAAUCUUGAUACCUAAAGUCAUACUAAUCUGAUGAUAACCAGGAUUAAAGAUUUAAAGAUUAGAUUAGAAGCACAAUGCGGCUGGUGUUAUUUUUAUCACCACACGAGUUCAAGUUUCAGCAUGAUGUGACUGCUUCGCAUAUUCACAUGCGCAGAGAUAAAUAUGAUGAUUUGAUCUUACUACAGCAAUUUGAAAUAAUUCACUCACAAGCCCCCUCUGAGAUGCUCUCAUUAGUGAACGUCAGGAAUACUUAAACCUCUCCAAAGGCAAAAAUCCAAGGUGAACUGUCCUCACAUCAUCAGUAUCGCAACAUGCAGUCUUCCUGUGACAUGGACUUUGAUUAAGUGAGUCAAUUGGCCCACAGAGGACACUUUUCUCCUGUUGACCCCUGCUGAUGUGUCAUCUGCAAUAAUCUCAGAUUGUGUUUGAUAAGACCCGCUCCUUUCGUCAAGCAGAGGCAGUGAUCUGCUCUCGCUGACACCCUCAUCUCCUCAUGUGACAGGAGGAUUACCAGAUGAUUUGAAAUGAGGGCCAGCUGACAGCCGUCAGUAAGUGUCGAUGAACCAAAGCGUGAGGUUUCAUUCAGAGGAAGCAAUCAGGAGACAAGAAUGAAGGAGGGAAACUGCAUUAUGGGUGAAUGUUCAGGGCGUGAGUCUGUCACAAAGAGAGUUACGAGUCUGGCUCUCUUUGUUUCAGUGGAAGCAGUAUUACAUCUCGAAAAGCUGGAUUUCAGUUUCUGAUAUUGACCCAUCCUUUGAACAUGCAGCAUGAUUAUUUGAUGAAAGACAUUAAUGCACUAUUAUGUUGUGCACUGAACAAAGAAAAAGAGCCACUAUGUUAAUAUAUAAUUCAAACAGUUCAAUCUAAAUUUUCACAGACAUGAUGCUAGUAUGCUUUUUUUAACUCUUAAAGUUGUAUGUAUUCAUUUAUAAACUUUAAUGUGACGUAUUUUCUUCCUUUCUGAUUUUUUUUAGCUGGUCUCUGACCUCAUUGUUGCUUUUGUACUGGGUCACUCUUCAGAAUCAGGUCUUCAAUUGACCUUCUGUCCCAAAAGAGACAUAAAGACAUUGAAAAAAGUGAGAGAACUGAGUCAUGAAUGUAGCUGUCGUACUAUUAGAUCAUCAUACUGGAAAAAGUAUGAGCUUUUCGUCUGAGUUAAGAUCUGGUUCAUAUCACAGAUGCAGAAGAGCAUCACAAUCACCCUCUGACAUACUACUAUCAAACCAGAGAUACAGGGUUCUUGAUGUGCACUGGGGCGCUCUUUAGUAUUCCACUUAAAUUCAAUAAGUAAAGUAAACUGAAGGUCUCUAUGUACUUUGAUUGUUGUGUAAAAAGCUGUGUCAAACGAUUCUUCUAGCUUGUACAAUUAAAAAGAGCUGCUGUGAUACAAGUCGAUUUCCAGCCUCUGACAAUGAAGUCAUGUUAUCCAAUCAAUCAGGGUAAAUUAAAACCCACAGACAUUAGAGUAUCGAUCAAACAACAGUCAGAGAUGAACAGGAAGAAAAGAAGUUUUGAAAAAACAGUAAUACAAGGAAAAAUAAACAUAACACUAAUCCAAGUUAUUAUAUAACAUUAUAUCAUAAAAACAUGAUGACACCAACACCCACAGGUUCCUUUAAGUCUGAACUCUGAAAUCUUAAAAGUUUUCUAUGUAUUUGGUAAAAGUUUAAUUAAACUUUACAACUUUUACAUCUGUUUUCAUUAGUGCACUUUUACCUUUUAUUUAAUAGACACGCAAUAAAGCAGGUUCCAGCUUCCUUGAGCAAAGGUGAGAUAUAGGUAAAGCAUUUGCCAAUACUCAUCUACAUAGUUUGGUUUUGAUUUCAAAGGUGUGUGAUUAAAAUUAGACAAGUCAUAGUUGAUGGAUUUUAGCAGCAGCGAUGAGGAGAAACACUCUGAUUAAUCAUCGUCUUUAUUGUCUUUUUUGUUGUUUAUCAGCUUCACCAUCUUCUCACUUUCCUAUUUAAUUGCCAGUGUUGGGGCUAAUGCAUUACUGGCAUGACGUGAGUGUGUGUGUGGUAACCAGUAGUGAACACAGACUUUUCAAAUUGAGUCAAAUUUAUACAGUAAGCACAAACAUUUUGCGACUUGUUACUUAAUGCAAAAUAGCUGACAACUACAAAUAAUAAAUCAUGUGACUCAGCAAGUCAUGCCAACAUCAGCACUGUCGCAUCCUUGGAGACAGAGUAUCACACACAGUUAAAACAAUAAUGGCUGAUAAUCAUCUCGAGCUUUCUUCCCUGGAAAUACCAGCAUCAUUUCCCCUUUCAGCGUCAGGGUUAGGGAUAAAAAUAUAGUGUGGUGAAGUACCGUCUGAAUGCAGGAAGGAAUAUUUUACCCACUGCCAAGACGAGUAACUGAUCUCACAUCUAAGUACCCAAUCAAUCAUCACGUUUCUACGAAGCUUGUUUCCUACCCAAUGACCCAGGUGUAGCUCAUGCAGCCUGGCAGACCAACAGCCACUCCAUCCAAACAGCCAAGGCUUGAUUGAAAAUCAUCACCGGCUCCACAAUCUGUAAGCCUAGACGGACCAAACAGACUGAUGUAAGGUAUGAUGUUGAAGACAUGCUCCCCAUACUAAUGGGAGUGAGGCUGCUGCUUUCAGAGAGCUGAUUAGCAAAGGAGGCAGGGUCCAUGGACAAGAGCACCAAACUGAUUAAAGCGAUGCUAAAAUUACUCUACAAAGUAACGUGUAACUUUUGGAGUGCAGCAUUUCCGUCAUUAAUUUUAAGAUUGAAGUUUUUACUUUAUUAUUGAGUCAUUUAUAUAUUAAGCUCAGCUCACAUGGACUGAUAUGACACAGUGAGUUCAUACAGUCUAGAGUCAGAGGGCAUGACAUGUCAAUCUGAUAAAGCAAAAUACACACUGAUUCACUUCUUUUACAGGCUUUUCAGACUAAAUUAACAAUCUUGAAUACAUCAAAUGUAAACAGCCAGUCCAGUUUUUGCUCAUCUGGUUACCACAUUAUGGUUAACUCUGCAUGUAGCUUUUGUGAUAGAACAACAAAGUCCAGGCACACUGAACCAAUCACAGCUCUUUACACUGUUGAUAAGGAGGAUUUUCCCCUCAGAUUAAAUACCUCUGCUCCAUGUUACAAUCCUUAUCUGUGUUCUGGUUUUGCUGACGUCUUAGAUUUGUUGCAGUGCCCGGGCUAAUCCCAUUUCUCUGUUAACCUGCUUAUCAUGAUGGCUGGCAUUUCACCACUUUUGGCCUGUGCAGUACAAAGCUUGUUAAAGGCUGUUUUGUAUUUAGGUGAGGGUAGAUCAAUGAUUCAUUCACACAACAAACACUCCACAUAACUGAAUGCUGAAAUUAAUCUGUUUCUGGCCCGACCAGUGCGAGUGAGAAAUGUGUUGAUGUGUGAUAGAUUUUCUGUCUAGACAUGUUACUCUCAGUUAAACUUUUCACACUCAAUAUUCAUCAUAUUUCUCCAUCUGUGUGAUGUUAUUUCAGGAUCAGCUGCUGUGUCCAGCAGUCUGCAUUGAGGACAAGUUGAUUAAACUCUUCAUAAACUUGUUGUUUUGUUGUAGCUUUAGUUUUGAAAGGCUGCUGAGGUAAAGACACAAUCAUUAAAGUCUCGUCCUCUGGGGUUAAAAAGUAAGUCCAAGAUAAGAUCAAUGUUAUAAUGAGGUUUAAAAAAGCAUUGGUUGCCCAGAAAGUGGACAAUGAAUAAAAUAUUCAUGUGUCACAUAAAGACAAACUUAGUUUAAACAGACAAUUGAAGAAUUUAGCAAAACUUGCAUAAAGACUCACAUCCAUAAUCACUCUUUUUCAUCCUCAGCAUCUACAGUUACUGAUUUCAGUAAAACGUUUAUUUUUUCAUUAGUUUUUGCUCUCUGUUCAACCUUUUAUGAUUAUAUUUUUCUGCAGUAUACUUCUAUGUUCAAUAAAUUUUUAAACAAAUGAUUGAUUAUCUUGACAGACUUUUAUUUUGGUGAGUGUUAGCCAUCUAUAGACAUGGGUCACUUCCUGUUAGUCAUGAUUAAGGAAGUAAGCUGAACCUGUCCACAUGACUUUUUUAACCUGUUGUCAGUCCACACUGCAAACAACACAGAGACAAUGCAGUAGGUGGGUGAACCUGUCAUAAAAAAGACUCAUGAGAUAGUAUCAUGCAUCACUCACCAGACAUUCAUAUGAAUUAAGUCACUCCUGGUUUUGAUUGUGUGUAUAUUUAGGGAGUGCUUCUUCACUUUAAUGAGAUAAUUUGGCUGCAGUGCUUUGAUCUGUUGUGUUGAUUUUUAAUCUGUUGUGCAGUUUACUGAGAUAAAGGACCAGACGGGUGUACCAGAUUAGAGGGUCAACCUGGUCUGUUGAUCUGAUGCCUCAUUUGCACUUCUGUACAAGGAUCACCACAGAAGAUGAGUGGAAAUGAGACGUAAAGUCAGAGUCUAACAUGUGACAAAGCUGGCUCUCUUUCACCAAUAUUAACGAAAACCAUCUUUUUACAAUUUUAAGAUACUGAUAUUGUGUGAUGAGUGAGCUCAUGUUGACUGAAGUGAACUGUGGUGUGUCCCCAUGAUGAGACCACUGACAACAAGAUUGACUAUUGUGAGAUAGUAAUGUCUUAUGUCUGUAUCUGCCAUGAGUGGGUAGAUAGGUGUAAGUUUACUCUUUUUAUCAGUAAAUUUUAUGGACUAGUUUUUGUUGUCUUGCCUUUUCUUAAUUUUACAUACUGUGUUGUUCUAAAUGUCAUGUUUCCAUAAAUAUCUUGAUAAUAUCGUUCUUGUGAUGUUUUAUGGCCGUGAUAACCUUGAGGUAAGAAUCUGAUAUCAUGACAGCCCAGUGAAAACUUUCUUUAAACUCCUAACCUUCAGUUUGCUAAUAGGUCCCUUACAAAUGGGGAAAAUGCUUUACACUGUUCCCUUAAGGAUAAGGCUGUGGAGUUACAGUAUUAUAACUCAAGAGUCUGUGUUCAGGUUAGUGGGGUUGCCUUCAGUUUUCAGUUUCUCACCUGUAAAUUCCAGCAGAUUACCCAUACAGGAAACCAGUGAUGACAGCACAGUGUUUAAAGACAGUAGAUUAUGUUUGUAUUUUAAAACCCUGCAAAAAUACAGCUGAUCAAAUCAAUAGUUUACAGGUAUUUAAACAAAUAACCUUACUGAAGGAAGCUGUGUAUUUUCACAUUAGAAACAAAGUCAUACACAGUGACACAAUCAUCCUCUGCAGUGGCUUGUUGGUGCUGGUCCUGACACCACAAAGUUUUUUCCAUUAAUCAUUGCUUCUCUUUAUAUCAGUCUGACAGAAACAGACCGCUGGUGGUUGUUCAUUUUUGUGCAGGAGAAACGUCAAAUGACACACCGACGCCCCCUUUUGUGUGACCUCACACAGCGCCUGAAGCAGAAAGCAUGAGUUAAUAGAGAACGUUCAUAACCUCCUUUGUGGAAUCAGAUAUCUUUGUGGUCAGGCUUACAAUGUGCUUUUGUAUAAAAUGUCACAGUGGAAUGUCAACUCACAGUGUGGGAGUGAAUCACACACAACCAACGCUCAGAAAUUAAGUGCUUACACUGUACUGUCCAAUUGUCAAGCACAACCUGAGUGCUCACACUGCAUGAGCUGUGUGGAGACAGAGCACUGACUGUCAAUAAAGCUCACUUUGAAAAAUCCCACAGACAGAAGUCCAGUAGGUAGACUUAUUACAAACCAAAGCUGAAAAUGUAGAAGUAGAAUUAACAGAUUUGGUAUCAGAUAGCCUUAUAUUGUGCAGUUGGUUGGUGAGCAAGUAAGUCUGAUUUGUGUCACUGUAAAUGAGCAGAUUUUGUCUACCCUUGUUUUUGAGUAGUUUUUAAAAUGAGUGCUUUAACUUAAUUUCUUGUGUGUGAAGUCUCACUAUAUUUUGCAUAGCAUCUGUUGCUGAGUGAGAAAACGCUUAAAAGAUAUUUGCUUUCCGUCAACUGUUAGCUUAAGAUGACUCUCAUUAUAAGUACUCAUAAAUUAAAAUGCUGUGGUAGUAUCCAUUUACUUUAGAUGAAAAUAUGUUAGUUUAUAAAAAUCUCUUCCUGCUGACUUCUGACUGUCAAAUAAAAUAUUAAAUGUGAACAUUUAAUGAGGAAAUUGUAUAAAUAGGUCUUAUUCAUUUUUCGGCUGACACCUUCCCCCUCGCACUAGAUUCAGGCGUCAGCACAGAAAGUUGUCAGUCUUGUUACUGACGGUGUUGUUUGCUUUUAUAUGUUUUAAAAAGGCAUCAAGAACAUUAACAAAAAAAAACUUCUCAGAUGAUGAAUCAUUCUGGUUCAGUUCAAGUCCAUUUGUAGUCGCCCUGUCCCAUUAAAAAUUCAAACUUUGUUAAAAUAAAUGACUCGCUGAAAAGCAGCUGUACCAACAAUCACGCCGGUCAAAUGAGUUUAAUUCUUGGAGCUGUCACAGAGAGAAAAGACUCUGGCUCAUAACUCCUGCGCUGGUUAUGUGGGUGUUGUCAUGUUGACAAACAGUUUUCUUACGCCAUUUAGCAUAUUUAUUCAUUCAUUUGACAUUUACUGUUGAGAAAGCAGAUGGUCUGAGUCUUGGUUACAAGUUUCUGACACCCCAAGGAUUCACUGCAUCGAUUAGGCCAAUAUGUUUGGCAGAGCGAUUGAGUGUGUGCCGUUUCAAUCAAUGACAUACCAACACUAUUAAAGCAGAGGUAUUAAAUGCUAAAUCACUCUUUAACGAUGGUAUUUGCAUGUGCCUAUAUACUUACCCAUGAUUCCUUGCAUUUACUUCAAUGGGCAUAAAGUUCCAGAUGGUGAGGGUUUACAGCAUCCAGAGGAUUCAUAUAGUCUCAGAGAAGUCCUGCAUGCAAAAUUAACUUUCACAACUUUCCAGAGUCUCUAAACUUCCUCUUUUAUUCAGCAAGGUUAAAUGGACCAACGUCAGGGUGAAGCUUUUUAUGGAGCUCCAAGGUUAUUCCUGCAACUGAUACACUUGAAAAUUACCAGUUUGGACUGGCUGGAGACUAUUUUUUCAAAAAAAAUCUCAAAAAUGUUUUUCCUGUGGUCCAUAUAGGUUUCAUUAAAGCUCCUGGAAGAAACUUUAAGUUAGCCUUGACUUUGGCGCCCCCUGUGGACAAAGUGGAACAUUUUAUUUUUUGUUUAGUUUGUCCAGUAAAUGUGUAAUGAUAUGGAAAAAACUAUCACUCACUCUAAAUCUUUGUCACAGAAAAUAGUAAAUGAAAGGUUAUUUUGCUCUGCGCUGUAAAUUUCCUUGUCUGAGAGUUUCUAAAAACUUUUGUUCGUGCUGUCCACAUAAAAACCAAAUAAUGGAAUUCAGUCAGGACCACCUUUAUCAAAAGUAUUAAUUACUUACAUGCAGUAUUUGUAUUCAGUGGAUGUUCUGAGAUCUCCUAGCCCUUCCACCUGCUUAUGUGGAGCGCCGUAGCUUGCAGAUAGUAGUGAUGGGCACGGCAGUUCUUUUAGAUGUACUGAAUCACUAGAAUCAGUUCACUAAAAAGAUUUGUUCAAAAGAUUCGUUCACCAAAUCACUGAAUCAUUCAGCGGGAGGAGCCUGCGACUCCGACCUCCUGAACUGAUACACAACUGUAUGCUAUUUAUCAGGUCUGCUCGGUAAAUUGCGGUCAGUGAGUGAUUCGUAAACUGAACCUUUAGAAGAAUUCACACUGAACAUGCACUGUCCCUCGCAAACCACUGCAAUGAUAGGAUGCUGCGGGUUUAAUGCACUACUUGUUACAUGCUGUGUCCUAUUGUAUGCCAGUUGUUGUGGUGGCAAUUUAGCAGUAAAAAAAAAAGGUAGUUUUGUGCGACAAAAAUGAUUCCAGAGAAUGUAGUUCAGUACGUUCACUUCAAAGAUUCGGUUCUUUUGAACAAACUGUUCACGAACAACACAACACUAGCAGGUAGAAGAGCACACCUCCCUGCUGUUUCAUGUGCAUACAUGUAAAGCCAGGACAGGCAGAGCAGCAGCAGUAAAAUCCCCCAACAGAACAGAGCUGAAAACAGUGACGAUACAUUUGACACUGGGAAGAUCAGGCAUAGGGAGCUGGUGGAGGCAGUUUGGAGGAAGCCACAACCAAAGCAGUUUGCCGCUCUGUCUGACAUUUGCCAACUGGAUAUGAGAAAGGUUAUUGGCUAAGCUCUCUACUGCAAUGGGUUGGCAUUAGGAUCAGUGGGCUGAGCUUGACUUUCCUGUCCUGACUCCAGUACUGCUAUGCUCUAUUUUUUUACUGACCCUUUAAACCUCAUAGCAUUACCUCCAAAAUUAAUUGCUGCUUUUCAAGGAAAUUUUUGUGACCUUUGCUUUAUUCAAUUGACACCAAACAUUUCACUCACAUCACACUAUGACAACAAAAUUUGUUUUCCUUAGUCACCGUUUUAAAACAAAAAUUGCUUUCUGGUAUUUUUCCCUCCAGUUACACAUCACACUGUGAGACCUAAAAGGGAGAGAAAGUGACAGAUAACCUAGAGCAAAGAAGUGUAUCAUUGUGAGGAAGUGGAGGGAAAAUCUGUCCUGAUGUUACUCGAAUUACCAGAGAUCUGUGUGAACAAUACUGCAGACUAGAUUCUCUGUUUUGAAAGUGAUGCUGUUUCUUAUAAAUAGCUCCAAUGUGCACUCAUCUGUGUGCACAGAUUAUAAUCCCGGCACAUGGGCUGUAAUCCAAAUUGCAGGAGUCGUAUUUUCUUCGGGGACUAACUCACCUGGCAGUGUGCCCUUCCCCUCUGUUCCUCCCAGCUGACUGGCAGCUGUCCAGUGACGAUGAUACAUCCAUGAACUCGUGUCAUCUCCUGAAUCAACAGUUAUGAGAAACAUCAUACUGUUAGAGAGUUGAACUGAAAAUGCACCAAUUAGGGCAAAGGAGCUAUAGACAAAUACUGCUCAUUUAGGUAUUUCCCACAUAUUUUAGGUGUCAAGUGUGUUUAUUUCAAUGAAAGGGAUUUUCUAUUUUCAAAUACCACAGGAUACCGUUCUGUUCAAGCCUACACAUUGUUAAAAAUUAACCUCCCUUCCAGUGAUUCAAAGCCAAAAAUAAAUCAAACUCACAUCACUCAAUUAUAAUCAAAAAUUUAAGGGAGUGACAAGUGGAUUCCAGCAGUGUUUGGUGCUGAUCGGGGGAGUCGGGGAGGGAUUGAGAGAGGGAAGAGCAGCAUGGGCAGGAGCUGUGACCUGUGGUAAUAAGCAUGUGAUGAAUCCAGACCAACGCCGGGCAUCUCCAGGACACAGUGGUACACUCAAGAUGGAGGAAAUUAAAGCGUUGUAAUUAUGUUUUCCCUUGGGGUAGCUGCAGCGACAGCCAGAUAUUCAUCAAAGCGUGCUGCAGCAGGUGCGGCUACCACAUGCCUGCACUGAUUCAUCAUCACAAGCUCUCUCCGUCAUCUUUCUGCUGCAGAGCUCUUUUCUUUCAUUGAGCAGUUUGAUUUUCUGAAUGCAUUGAUCAUUGUUUCUAAACAUGCACAGGCUGCUGUGGUUGGCUGGAGGGCUGCUGUCCAUGCUCUGUGCCCCAGCUUGCAGACAUAUUGAGCUCUCCCAGUGAGCAGAUGCCUGCGAAAUCUAAUUCAGGAGUCUUGCCAGUAUGGAAAACAGUCUUGUCUCUGCCCCAGUUUCCUUACUGCUCUGAAAUCAUUGAUGAGGAAAUGCUAACUCACGCUGGCUGUGGCCAGAAGCAGCUAAUGCUGCAGGCAACAGCCCGUGCCUGACCCUUCAAUCACACUUAAUGCAUCAAAAGCAUCAAACUCUGAUGAAAGGGCAUUCAUCUCAGAUGGAAAAUCAUCAUUUUUCCUCAGACACUUUGAGAGGGAGCUCAGUUUCCUGGAAUUAUUUCCUCGCCUUUUCAGAUGAAUUCAAUUUACAUGUGAAAAGAUGGAUACGUAUGUAUGUACAAUGGGUAUAUGCAUUUUUAUAUUUUUCUUUCCUCCCACCGACGUAUCCGGUCAUGUGUGAAUGGGGUUAGUUGUUACUGAUGGUGCUUAACAUAGCAGCCCCUGCCAUCAGUGUGUGAAUGUGACGUGAAUGGGUGAAUGUGAUGUGUAAUGUAAAAGCACUCAGAGUGGUCAAGAAGACCAGAGAUGGCCCAUAGAAACACACCUAUUUAGCAUUUUGAUGUGACUGACUAUUAAGGCAUUAUCCCCGGCUACUGGCCAAGCAUGCUUAUGUGGGAUUUUAAUACUGUCUCUGCAAUAUUGUAGGACGUCAUGAAGAAGUAUUCAUAAAUAUCUCAAAUGUGGACAGGAUUAAAAAUAUCGGAUAUUGAUAUCGGAUAUUGGUCCCAUUUCAGCAAAAAAACGAAUAGCGGAUUAUAUCAGCCUGCAUCUAAAAUUUCCGAUAUCAGCACUCCGAUACAAGCAGUCCAUUCUAGACUCUGCUCCGUCACCUCUAUCUAACAGUGCCCAGAUCUAGCAUGCAGAGCUCACUUAAUCACAAUGACAGUGUGUACUAAGGUACUAACAAAGAAGCAAGGAGUAGGGGUAAUGUUGGCCUUGUGGCAGUAGUUUUUGUUUAAGUCAGAAAAAGUUGUUGCAGCUGAGUGCAAAACUUGUCAUGCACAAGUUUGUGCUAAUAUCAGAUCAAAAUCGGUAUCAGCCAAUACUGAAAGCUACAAUAUCGGUCUCGUAUCAGAAGCAAAAAAGUUGUAUCGGCCUAUAGACCCCUAAUCUGUAUGGCCUAAUUAUGGAUGUGAGUUGAGACUUGAGACGGCUGAAUUUCCCUAUUUGUCUGAAGAGCCAAAUUAGUAUUUUGAGUCCUUGCGUAAAAGGUUGUAGUUAGCUUCAGGAAAUAGAACUGUAAUGAAUCCCAACAAAAAUCUGCAAUCUGUUGGAUUUAAAAUCUCAAAGGUUUUUGUCACUUUUGCAGCAGAGCAUUGAAAGUAAAAUAUUUCAAUUACGUCUGCUGUCAUUUUGUCUCGUUCUCGCUUGCAGUAAAACAGAAGCAAGUGUGUUUUUUGAUGUUUUUGCUGUUUCUUUUAUCUAAAUACAAGAGUUUAAUAGUCUUUUUAACCUUUAUGGUGUCUGAUUGAAAUAAACACAGAGCUUUAAUCUUCUGCAUCAGGUGAAAACAAGAGGCAGCAUUUUUCUGCAGUGGCAAAGAUGAAGAAAGAGUGGGAGGCUGAAAUCACUCAAACAAGAGGGUGAAACUUUUUGUCAGAAGCCUUUGCAGGGUGGAAACAAUGAAGAAAAGAAAAAGGGUUUAAAAAAAAAGGCAUCCUUAUUUUAGACAGUUUUAUUUUUGCAGUGAUUACGAAACCCGUUCCUUGACGAGCAGGCAAAGCUAUCAAUCAUACUGUAUGUUGCAUAAAUCUAACACGUACAACCUGAGGACGUCAAAACGGUUCCUACAAAAAGAAAUCACCAUGAACACGAUCACGUCUUACCUUUCAGGUACUUCCUGUACCAUGAGCAAUCAGUGCUACACCAGCAGUACUUACAGGGUCCUUUUUAUGCAGCUGUUGCUUCGUCAUGCUACAUACAUGAUGAAAAGUAAAUGAUGGAAAAAUGCUAUCCAAGAUGUGUAUAGAGGUUGUAAAAUAAAUAUGAUGUGAAGGAUAAGGUCACUAUGAUGUUUAAACUACACAAGGACAGCAGAUGAAUGAGGAAUAGAAAGACACUUGUUUAAAUCGUCUUUUGACUAUAUUUGGAAAUGAUGACGAAGAUUCAAGAGGACUGAGGAAGCGAGGAUGAAAGACUUGAAAACCCAACAAUCGUGGACCAUUUCUGUGUAUCUACUUGAUUAUUUUUUGCCCCAUUCUUGCAAGAAGUAAAUGUACUUUCUUUAUAUAUCCUGAACUCUGGCGUAUGCUUCUUGUCAUUUAAAAGAGAUUUUUCUAGCAUUUAAUAACAUCUUUUCUGCGUAUUGAGUCAAAUCGUCCUCAUUAGAGAACGGUCUGGGCUGAAUCCACACACAGCAACAGAACCCCCUCAGUAAGACGUUUUACCGAGCUGCGCCACGAAUUUCAAGAGCUUCCCCAAAAUGGAACACUCGACAGAUUCACAACAGCAUGCUACCUCUCAGAACAAUUGGUGCUUUCACAAAACUCUCCUGAGUACCAGGAACGUUCAAAGAUACUCUCUCCAAAUCAUCCUUCAGCCCUCGCCAUGAAAGAUCUCACGUUUGGGGAGAAUACAGACAAGCCACUUUUCCAGCAGCUCCCUCCUCUUUGAUCCUCUCCGCGCAGUCUGCUUGCACAGGCAUUAGCAAAAUGCUCAAUCUAAUACGGAUCCAUUAGUCUAUGGCUGAACACUGGCUGAAAACAAAUCAAGGAAAUGGCUACUUUGGCAGGCAAGACAGGUCUCAAUCAGGAGCGGCAGGUGUGUUUGAGAUGGAUGUUGCAGAGAGCAGCCAGAAUAAUCUCAACGGGCUGAUUAAACUCAUCACCAGAGUUAUUUCACAGUCUGAUCGGGGUACUGAAGAUGUUUAGCCGUGGAUCGCCAAGUAUCUGAAGUUAUCAUGCAACAGUACGGCAACGAGGCUCCUACCUUAUCAGUGUUUGACAUCUAUUCCACUUUUUCUCUCUGAAAUCAAUUUUACUCAUCUGACUGUGUUUCAGCUGCAGAGAACUUGAAAUUGAAGAUAAUAGAGCAUGCUAAACCGUUCCCUCAUACGCAGCCGCUGCAGCUUUAUCUGGAAUAACUUUAUUUUUCAAUAUCCUGAUGAUUGACAGCAUGACUGACAACACCUCAUGAUUAGGAGGAUUUAUUUCCUGCACAUGCUGCACACAAAUGGAGCAUGAUUUUUGGCAAAACAAGGAUUUGGCAAACAAGAAUACCUUGAGGACUUUAUUUUCUCUCCACAGCAGAGGAGACGGGGAUUUGAAGAGAGGAGAGAGAUUACUUUCAUCCUGUGCAUUAAAAAUGUUCAGAGUUCAUUGAUUUAAGGAAUUGGGAUUUGCCAAGUAUUUUUAAUUAACACUUUAUUUAUUAAAUUUUUUAGCUGCAACAUUUUAAUGAUGUUUUUCUCUCAAACAUUGUCAGGUUACCACGUUUUCUAACACAUAUGUGGCAGCACUAAAGAACUGAUCUGGGAGCUUAUGUAUUAAAAAUGCUCGAUGAAAGAGUAGGGAGUGUAAAUGAACAUAAAACAUCUUUUUCAUGAUUUAAAAUGAAAGUAAAUAGCUUAUCGCUGUUGGUUCUUUUUGAGCCGAGGGCGUGUGUGAUGUAAUCUCUGUGAACAGGUUCUGAUAUUUACGUCAGAGAAUUUAUCAGAUAUGGUCUACUGAGGCAGUCUCUCCUCCUAAUAUGAUAUGAAUAAUAAUAUAAAUUUGUAGAAAAACUCACCAGAAAAGAAAUAAAAAUCAAGGUGAAGAAAAAGUCAUUGACAUUGGUGCCAAGACACGGUCUCUAUCUAGAAUAUUGCUCCGAAUAUGUAACAAUAGCAUUUUUGUUCGCUGUAUUGAAAUUGUUGGCAUGCCAACAUAACAUGCUCAUUUAACUCCAAGUGGCAGCCUUCAGUGUUGUUAAAUGACAAUGAAAAAAGUGACAAAAGUGAAAAAAAAAAAAGGCAGAUCCUUGAAUGUCCACUUCAGGCUGGCUCCAAAAGCCAAGGCCUCUCCAAUGAGGUCUAGUGUUGCGCUGUCCAAUUUAGAGCAAAAUCAAACAUCCUCUAAACCGCGGACAAAACGUUGGUUUUCAAUUAGUUGUUUGCCAGAUGGCUAAAAGCUUUUAUCUGUUUCUAAGUUGACCUAAAGUUAGAUUGAGUUAGGAUUUCCUGUACGGCGACUGCCAUGGCUGAGUUUCAGAAUACCCCAGAAAACGAUGGAUGAUGUUGCUAAGACUAUGACCAUUUUUUAUAUAGCCUGUGAUUAACCCCAUUGGAAAUCAAAAUUAAUUCUCAAAUCAGUCGAAAGUGUUUUUGAAAUAUAAACAAUGGCACCUUUAGAAUAAGCAUUAACACUUGACAAGGAAAGAAAAGAUGUCCAUAAGCUAAAUUACUUUAAAAGAAAAAAAGUAUUCUUAAAGUUUUCCAGUUUUGUGAUAAAUAUUUGAAAGCUACUAUCCUGUCCAUUAAAGCCAAUGACCCUGGAUCACUGAGUGCACUGCGUGACUGUACACUGGAUGUCAGAAAAUUUCUCUCAGUGAAAUUCCAGUAAAACUAAAAUCCUUGUUAUCGGGUCCCAGCAGAUGGCUGAACAAAUCUUGCCUUCUGCCGGGCUCCUAGGGGAUCAUAAGCCCGUUGCAGGGAACCUUGGCUUCUGGUUUGACAGCAAUUCGACUUUUGAACACCACACCUCUAAGCUUGUACGGUCAUGUUUUUUUUAUCAUUUCAGAAAUAUCUCAAAGAUACAAUCCUUUUUAAUUUUUAAAGACACAGAGAUGAUUUUACAUGCUUUUAUUUCUUAACCGCUCAAUUAUUGCAACAGUCUUUUUACAUUUCUUAAUCAAACUUCCCCAGACAGACAACAGUUGUUGCAAAACUCAGAUGCCAGGCUUUUAUCAAGAACUAAGAAAUUUAAACACAUUACCCCUGUGUUAGCAUUUUUAGUUUGGUUGCCAGUACAUUUUAGAAUUGAUUUUGAGAUAUUAGUUACCUUUAAAGCUCUUAAUAGUCUCUGCCCAGGGUAAUUCACCGACUUCCUCGGGGUUCCUAACCAUUCCAGACACUUGGCUGAAAAAAAAGGUGGUCGACUAUAAGGACGAUUAACUCAGUGCACUCAGUUAAUUUGUUUUUUUAAACUCACUUUUUUUCUGAUUUUACAUAACCCGAAUUGUCUUGAUUUUACGUUCAAAUAUGUAACUAGUUUGAUGAUCUUUUGAACAAAUAUUUUUAAAUUUGCAUUUUCUGUUUCCUGUCUUGUAAAGCACUUUGUUAUUGAGAUUUUGAAAAGUACUUUAAGAUUCUUCUUUUUAUUUAUUAUCCGCUCUUUAUGAUCACAAACUGUUAGACCUGGUGGUGCAUCUGUAGUUGGACUGCAUACAUACACUUCAUUUGUGUAUUGAAAACCAUUUUGAAUACCUGUACUGAUUUAGAACCAAACCCUGACUUACACUGUGCAGUAAGUGCACAUUUAAAAGCCAGACAGUCAUUUACAUGUGAAUGAAAGGCCCCACAUCACUUUAGUGGAGGACGUGAGGCAUUUAUUGCAUAUGGCCUUUACAGACAGCUGUUUUGACUUGAAAAAUAGUGUUUUUACUCAGGAGGCAGCUUUUAAGGGAUUUUUUGCUUCUAUUCAUGCUGGAGCUUCAGAUAUAUGGCUAUAAUUUGGUUUCAGCAUGUGUUAGUAUUUGACACAUCUUUAUAAACAUCCCCAUAUCAGGCAGGUGGUAGGUCUAAAGUGCUUGGUCCACCUGUUGCAAAAGCACCCCUCUUGCUUGCUGUACUUGGUUUGUUGGCUUCUUUUUUUUUAGAUUAUCUUGUUCAGCUCACACUCUGCACACAGAUAAAAUGUUUGUCACGGCAGCUGCCAGAUGUUGUACAACUGACUGUUAAGUGCCCACAGUGAAUAAGGCAUACAUAAUUAGCCUGUGCUUUGAAAAUGUGCUGCGGUUUAUUGUCGACUAUAAAAUCAGUCAAAUUAGUUAAAGUAAUGCAAUGAAAAUGAUUGAGUAUCUAAAACUCUUGGUAGUGCUUUGGUUGAUUAGUUCUCUGACUCCAUCAUUUUAGAGACCAGUGUGCAAUAUUUCAUUCUGAUAGGGAAUUCCUGCUUUAUCAUUUACAUGAGCCCUGUAUGAAGUAAUUCAGUACAUGCAGCAUGCAUUUUAAUCAGUAUUGGAUGAUGUUGACUUGCAGGUCGUCCUGCCAGCGUAAUCCACCUGAUCUAACAGAGGAAGAGUCUGUGUUUGGUUUGGUUGAUGGUUUUGUUGGAGCAGGGUGAUCUAUCAAAUAGUGCUACCAAUGAAACAUCACUUAGCAUCCCUGCACACGUGCCUUUGUGAUGGGACUAAUAAUUAGAAUGUAGAGCUUGCUUUGGUACUCAAAACAAAAUCUUUAAUUGGGAUUUCAGGAUUAACAAAUCUCAAUAGAGUGUUGUACCCUGAUAAUGCAAAAUAAGUGAGUUGUGGUGGAGUGAAGUGCUCUGAUAAUAAGGUGUGAUUCAGCAGUGUCUAUUGAUAGCCUGGGCUCAGUAGUGAUGGGGGGUUUAGUGCUGUUGUCUCAGCAAGAAAGUUCCUGCGUCGAGUCCCUGGCUUGUUACACAAGUCAGGUUAAUCAUAAAUGUUGUUUGUCUUUAAAUGUUAGUCCUGUGAUAGGCUGAAAUCCUUUUAAAGAGUGUACUCAACCUCUAACCCCAUUGGAAUAGGCUCCAGCCCCCUUGUGACCUUGAAUAAGAUAGAUAGUAGAGCUAGUGCGAGUGAGGAUUGAAAGCCUCAGGUAUUGUUUGAUGCCUACGGUGCAUUGUUCAGUGAAUAUCCAUCUUUACAAAACACCUUAUACGUGAAACUUUUCUUGAACAUUUCAUGAGCAACCCAGUGGUAUAACCUUUUGACUGCCAAGAAGUUCAAUAAUCCCGAGAUCUGUGUUUCUAUACCCAGUUAUUGUAAUUUAUUGGAGAUUUUGGUAAGUCCAAACCACUUCCUGUCUCACGAAUCAAAACAGAUGCAGAAGUGCUAAAAACUUCAGCUCCUUCAGAAUCCACUAGUGGCUGGUUUCAAAACCCCUUGGAGUAGUAGUUCAGUUGUGAAAACAAAUCGGGGGGAUGUUGGAUUUUAUUGUUUGGGACAGAUAUUUUGCUCUGAUGACAGUACAUUGGGAAACCAACUGUGUACCCAUUUUAUUGUUGCUAAAGCGCAAAGAUAAUUAUUAUAUUACAUUAUCCCUCGGAUUGAGCUGCCCAUGUCGCUUGGCCAUGAUACUGAAAUCACAACAGCGUCACCAGCGCUGCUCACUGAUGUCUUUUUUUUUUUUUUUUAAAGGAAAAAAAAAUGUCAUUUUCACACCUGCCUCAUCCAGAGUAUUUUACUAAAUAUGUGCAAAGUCUGUCGCGGGGUUCUCAAACAAUCAAAAUAUAGUGGAAAAACACAUGCAUAGCCGAAAACAGGGUGAUGGUAAUGUCUAUUUACAACCGGCCGUCCAAGGUGCCAUAAAUAUUUACAAAAGUCAAAAAAAUGGUCAAAUACUAUCUACAAAAUGUACAAGGUAACAGGGCAAGAAAAUGCCAACAGGGCAAGAGUUCCACUAUGUCUCAAGAUUCUCACUCAAGAGAAAAUAACAGAAACACAACAGUAAUACAAAAGUCAGUUUGGCAGUGACCUUCCAUACAACAAACUCUCAAAGAAAGGCUCAGGCAGCCUUCUUUUAAACCCCCCUAGACCCUUCCAGUGGGCAUUAACAAUUAGGUCUACAUAAGUUUGGGGGAAAAAAAAAACAAAAAAAACCCAAUCUAUUCACAUUUAAACCAUUUAAACCCCCUCCUUGGCUAGGAGCCUCAAACACACCCAUUCUAAAAGCCAUUUCUAGGAUGGUUGUCCUCAGCACCAGUAUAUUGGGACAGCCUUACACCAGAAUUGAAUUUCUUUUCUGAGUGGCCCACUUUAUUUCUUCUCCAGUUAUAAGUGGUAAUGCUGUAACACAACCGGCCUUGGUUGGCUGUGAAAUGAAACAUGGCACCUCGAAAGAUUGUAUGUGUUGCAGGCAUGGUGUAUCUUGGCAAACUCAGAUUUUAUGUGUCUGACAGGUUCAGGAUAGAGCCUCUGGUGUGUAAUGAUGGCCCUGGCCCUGACACUGAUCCAAAAUACUCACCACUGUAGGCUAUGUUCAGGUCAGUUUUUGUCAGCCUUUUGCCUCGACCUGAAUCUGUACAUGGGAAGACAUAAAAAACCUGCCAAGAGAGAGAUCUCGGUCUUGUGACCACAGAUGUCAGUGCUUUGAGUCUCAAAGAAUUCUGCAAAGUCUGCCUUGUACCUCAGCUGUGCCCCAGACACGGCACAAAGCAAGAAAGUAGGAGGCUGUUCAUCCGGCUGCAAGUAAAAAAGGAACAUUUUUCUUCUUUUGCUUGCAGUAAGUCCAAACAUUAAAACAAUCAGUCUGCAAACAGUGAUGUGCCCUAAAGCAAGACACUCAGAUUCUAAUGGCUGAUGUUCACAUACCACAGAAGGAGUAACUUUCCAGACAUAAAUAUUAAGGCAUCUUAGAGUGCAUGUCGAGGCUAUUACUUGAAAGUAAUUUUCACAAGAUCAAUACAAUAUUCAGUUAGGAGUUUUCCACCUUUAAUGGAGAUUGUUGUGCCAUUAAGCAUAAUGCUAAACAGGCUUGACUGCUUACUUUCAGCUCAAUACAGGUGAAGUGAACCUGUUGGUGAGUAAUCAAUUUCAAUGAUUUUAUAGCUGCUACCUUUUGGUAAUUUCUGAUAUAAUAAAUCUUCCCAGUUAUUUUUUCUUGUUUUGCUAUGUAAGUGAGAGGUUGUAUGCCUCAGGUGGAAAACAAAUUUCAGAAGGUUAUCUUAAUAAUAAAGUGGAAUCAAAUCAAAUACUAAGAAGAAACUGCUUCCAAGAGAUGAAUUUUUUAGAGAGGAAGACAGUGUGCCCUAUCCUCCUGAAUUUGAAUGUGUGCGAGUCGGAGAGGUUUAUUGCACAAAGUGUGCUCCAGUGCAGAGCAAACUGGAUCUGGAAUAGCUCAUAACACAAUGUCAAUAGUCUCUAUAGUCAUGUCAACACUUCUUUUGCACAGGCAUGAUUUCAUUUCGUUUUUUAAGUACAGAUAAACAGAACAAUUCUCUAUCUUUCAGCACUUUGUCCAUGAGUAUUAAUAUUGUUCUCACCCUGCAUUUCUCAUGCUGUACUAAAGCACAUCAUAAAUCAGAGAGAUGCUCUUACUGUAGCUCAGAGGGUUUUUAAAGGCCAGGCCCUCGCUCUGACUGUCUCUGUGCAGUGAUGUCUCAGAACUGAACAAGACAAAAGCUUGCUUUGAGCUAGUUUCUUUUUUCUUUUCAUUAAGAAAACUGGAGGCUUCCAGGUUCAAAUCUUGUCACACACCAAGUAUGAACAUCUGGAAGUUUGUAAAUUAGGCUGGAUAGCAGGGAUGUGCCAGUUUACCUCCUGUCCAGUGAGCAAUUCCCCAUUGAAACAAUGUCAAAAAAAUAUAUGAUAUAGUAACUAUGGAAGACACAUCAACCAAAUGGAAGAAAACAGACAUAAAGCAAUCACAAACAGCAAUACAGUAAGUGCCCUGGCCAAGAUAGACAGCAGCAUGGUUUACUGACAAAUAGUAGCUAUACUUGUAAACAUAAUACAAGGUAAAUGUAUAUAACACAGUCGUUUGUCAAACAAAACAACUACAUUCAUUUAGCUGCAGCUCUUAUUUAAUCUAUGUCAAGUGAAGGGAGAAGUAAAUUUAAAUGCCUUUUUGCCCAUCUCAAUUCUGACCUUUGGACCAGACAGUAAUAAAGGUCCUGGAAUCCAAGAGAGUAAGGUCCUGUACUCCUCUGUUUGAUACAGGUUAGACUGUUUGGAGAGAGCAGAUCUAACAUAGAUUAUGAAUUACAAAUUGACAGUAUUUUAGCCUACACACAGGAAGGGAGGGAAGACCAACCACAUCAGUAAGCACAGUGAUAUAUGCCAAAUAGAUAUUCAACAUUGAGCAGUAUUCCACCAAAGUGACCAAAUACGGAUGGAAACCUUUGAAAAAUAGUUUAAAUGUGACACUUUUGUUGAAGUUGAGUCGAUGUCUGUGGAGUUUUCCUUGUGUCAUAAGAUCCAUCACACUUCCACACGCAUUUUUAAGAUGCAUCUAAUUAAUACAGUAGCUACAACAAUAAUGAAGGUAAAGAGGGCAUCAGCCGCCAUGAAAUAAGUGCUCUGUGUGGCCUGGAACAUCUCCAUAACAGUCUAGUACUCAUUAUAUUCACUUAUUAAGAUCAGUCAGAAUGAAAGUGCCGUUACAUCUCAAUCAAGUAAGGGAUCCUUGUACAGCUUAAGAGCCCAUGAGUGUGCAGUUUUUCUCCUCCUGCUGUGGAGGAUGUUUAAAACUACUCCCACUGUGACGUCUGUGGACCUUCUUAUUAAUGUCACACGGCCUAUGAAGUGAAGUAUUCAUGAAUUGUGUAUGAAAAAUAAAAGAUGUUGACAUCGUGUCUUUGCAAAGAUGGUAUUUAAACUAGCUGGAAAAUUCACUGAGAUAAAUGUUUAAAAAAAAGACUUAUUUCUGUUCUAUUCAAUGUUCAAUCCUGAAAUGACUGAGUUAAUGAAAUUUAAAGAUAAAAUUGUGAUUUUAGACUUAUUGAUAAUAUAUAUAAAAAGAAGGUGGUUAAUGUUAUGUCUAUGGUGAUUGUAAACUUCUUUCAACCGAAUAUUAAUAUCAAAAUCCUGCUCAGCACUCAUCAAGGUGCCCUUGAGCAAGGUGCCAGUUGGGGUGCACAUGUGCAGCCCUGACAUCUCUCCAUGAGCGCUUGUCCAUUGGGUCCAGAUUGUGUGUAUGUGUGUGUAUUUCAGCCCUCAGUGAGGCAUGUUUCAACUACAGAGUGACAAAAAUGACUUUCCCUUCAGGGACUGAUAAAACAUUGUAGCAGCUUGGAAGUGGCGGUUGCUUGGACUUCGGACAAAGAUGUUGGAGCAAAGGCUCAUGGGACUGUUGCCUUUCGUGUUAAAGAAUAUGUUUGUAGCAGCAUAAUCAAUGUAUAGUUCAUCAGAUGGUUAUCCCUAGUAAUUGUGUAUUUUUUCAUGACAUUUUUAUGAGCUAAAAUUCAUUGAGAGAUUUGAGAGCAUAGGAGAGGAUUCUGUUUGACUUGAGAUCCUUCUCUGGUUGUCAACUUGUUUGCGUCUUUAGCUGGAAGUGUGUCAGGGUGAGAAAACCCCAUCUGUUUGUCCUACACUGUCAGGAUUCUUUCUAACACUCCACUCUCCCCCACUUAACAUUACUGCUUAUAGAAAGAGUCUCCUCUUCAUGCUGAUAUGAACCCAAUAAUCUUUCCUACUAAAAAGGGCUGCAGUUCUGUUGGAAAGUGAUGUGAGCUAACCUUGUAGUCUGUGUUUUGUAUAAUUAGUUGAAUUUCCUCAUUAUCAGACGGUUUGUCAUUUGAGCUAACUCAAAGUUGAACUCUUCAAAUUUCCAUUAAAAAAAACUCACAGAAGUCACACAAGGCCGGCCCAGAUUCCUGACAUUUAACACGAUGGUGUCUGAAUAUGUGACUCACUAUUUUAACCCAAGGCAGAGUUUGACUCAGCCUCACGAGUCUCAUCAUCUAAGCCUAAUUGUGCAGUUCCGUUUAUUAUUUUUUUAAAUUUCCGCUUUAUAUUCAAGAGCUCGGAUGUUGAAUUGUGAAGCUGUGUCAACGGAAAUCUAAAUCAGAACAUGACUAGACGUUGGUUAAAAAUAUACUUCCUUGUUUCGCUUUGGGCGAAAUACAAGACAUAAUCUGUGUUGCCUGUUCUGCAGACAACGGCAACAUGUAAGGCGUCAGCUAUAACCUCCUUGAUGUCGAGCAGCCAGUGAAACCAGGAUCACUAGUGUUCAAUCUGCUAUGAGUCAUGCCUCCAUUUGAAAACAGCAUUUUUAUUUUUCCUGUCUCCACAUGUUGUUUAAGUCCAGCCAAUAGGAAAGAUCGUUUUUUUAAUGUACCAAUUAUUUUCCUUUCAGAUCCUUCACAUCGAUGGGACUUAAAAUUAGAUCAUACUUUAUCCGGUUUCAAAAUUAGACCUUAAUGUCUUACACAAGAGUCAAAUGAGGUCACACAGAUUUUCCAAAGAGGAUAUAAUCAGACUUCCUAAACAUGAAUGAUAUUUAGGUUUGUCUAAAAAUAAAGGGAACGGUGAAUGCAGGAUUAUUUUGUCUUUUGUUGCACAGGCAGCUGCAGAAUCUGCAGCUCGUGGAGGAAACGCUCAAAGGAUGCUCCAGGAGUUAUUAUCCGUUCCCAGCAGUCAGUCAGUGCUUAUUCUUCCAACCAGUCGAUACCUGUCGCUGCAGGUGUACCCGGUGUGACUCGCUUGGAGGAGGAUGUGCAAACAACACAAAAGCAGGAAAUUAACUGAGAUAUGCUCUAACACACCACCCAGUGAGUUUUUUUUCCCCCUCCCUUGGACAGUUCAUCAAUGACAGAGAAAUUAGACCCCCUUCCUCCCGUCUUCAACUCUUCUUUGAUAGAUGUGGAGUCUAAGUCGUGUUAGGAAGCGUUGGUAAUAAUUGUUUAGUGACGAAAUCUUCUCCUGCGUGGUGUUUGUUAUUAAAAUGACUCUGGUGUAAGCUGUUUUAGCAUGUUCAUCAGUUUAUAUUUAAAUUCUUACAUAUUUCCAGAUGACAGGUGAGACAACAGGGAAACAAUGUCCAGAUUCGAGUGACUGAAGACUGUGUCAUCACGGCGCUGUGUUCAAUUACUGUGCCCAUAUUGCGUGGCUAAUUGACUGUGUGCUGCUAAAGGGGAAAAAAAAGAGCAGCUUUAAUAGGAGAUUUUAAAAAAUGACAUCCUGUAAAUCUGCUUCUUGUGAUACUAAUGCAACUUCUUGUGGAUGCUGCUCUUUCAUGAUUUUUCCUUUUUCUCUUACCGUGAAAAGUUGCCUCUACAUCAUGUGUGCUUUUGCAUUUUCCACCCCCGUGCCUAUUUAAAGGAAGGGGAUGGAGAAAGGGGAACCAGGGUACUAUCAGAGGCGUACCAACACGGAUUUUCAACAACACUUGUCUACCCUUUCUGCUAUCUAAGCUUUCCCUUUCAGUUUCAAUGGGACAUAAAUCCUACACGUGAGCAUAAGAAAUGGGUUAAGUCCCCUAUCUGCGGUCAAACCCCAUUCAAGGGGGAUUUUGGUUGCAGGCAAAGCACUGACUUACACAUGUGUGAAGCAGAAAGACUGCAGGAGAUGGAGAGAAAGGGAGAGGAAGAGAGAGAGACUGCAUGAUUGAGAGAGAGAGAGAAACUUUUUCCACUCUAGUCCUCAAUUGGUUCUGCUGCUUGUUGCCUAGUAACUGCAAUCCCCUUUGAAAGGCACUCUUCCUUGCUCAAAAUAUCACUAAAGAUAUAUUCACAUUCUGUCUACCAGACUCUCUUAUCAACUAUGGGACAAUAACAUCCAUUCUGGAGAAACAAUGCAUGCGAGACUUUCUUUUUUAAUUCUCUUUCUCUUUAUUCCCCCCUCAAAGAUGGCUCUGUUUUGUGAGGUUUUCAGGCUAAGCUCGCUCAGUCGUCUUUGUGCGUAAUGGAAGAUAAUAACUGCUUUUCUGACUGAAAAAAAGUGGUGGUUUGCUGGUAUGUUGGCUGUAAUUGCUACAGCAGUGGGUGACAUGUUGUUGGCAGGAGGCGAUCUGGAAAUUCUUAAUAACUCACUUUAAGUGGUGUGGUUGGGUAUAGUUGAGUGUUGUAUGCUAAUCAGCUGAUUACUGUCAAAUCAGCCCUCGCGGCUCACUCUGCUUUUACAGCGGGUCACUGUAGGAAUUCAUUUACCCUCAAGCCAUUUGAGGGAAAUGCGCUGCAAGGGAUGGAAAUGAAUUCAGAGGAGUGGUAUGUGGAGGAACAUUCAAUAUUUAUAUUUGUGGAGUAAUACUGUAUGAACACAUUCUGCCUUACAUGUAACUCGCAGCUUCCUCACACUGCAGGAGGGGUCAUUAAGUUUGUCAUGUGUGUCAGCAUGUGUGCCACAAAAGGAGUCCUCUGAAUGUCUCUCGUGUUGAAAUACAAGCAUACUGCACUGCACGACAAGAGGGUGAUUUUCAGAAGUAAUGUUUUUGAUUCCAUGAGUGAAGUAAUUCUAUAAGAGCCUUUCUUAUACAUGAGGUUGAUUCUUUAUGGAAUCUCAUUAACUACUAUAGAGAAUAACUUUUUCAUCAUUGCACAGACGUUUUUCUUUAUUCUGUUCUGUAGAUCUGUGCAUUAAAUAGCAGAUUUAUCCAUUGUGCCUAACCCGGCCCUUCAGCAACCCCACUAUGACCCUUUGAUCAUUCAGCAGAGGAAAAGCAUAUUUUAUUAAAAAGCUUGAACUCCCACAGAUUGCUUAGGCAAAGAAAUGAAAAGGAAAGGAAUGAAAAAUAUUUUAAAUGCAAAACUGUGUUUUUUUGAGGGGGGUUGUUUUAAAAAGUGUCCUGAACCGUAACAAUGCUCUUCACAGCAGUUAUUAAUUUGACUUCUGACCUCAACCCCUCGUAGUUUAAACCAUAUUUCCUAUCUGUCUUCAGUUGUAUUAUAAUGGAAACAAACAAUCUCUGAUUUACAGAGUUCACAGGUGUCUGUCUCAGGGAUGUCCUGAAGUGCCAACCAAUAAUCCCAUUAUAAGUCAAACAAGAAAGUUAACAUUCUGACUGGCUGACUUUAGUCAAUAGGCAAGGAAACAAACGGAUUAUCUCUUCAGUCAUAAAACAGUGAAGAUGAAGAAGACGCAGACUUGCUGUGAACUAGCUUAAAGCAGCUCUCUAAGAGAUGAUUCAGCACUUUUAAAAACUAAAACUCCAGACUCCAGACAAAUGCAAUGUUAGAGCUCAUACUUCUUCUCUAAUUAGCUAAACAUUUUUACUUCCUAACUGCUCUUUUAACACUUUCCUUUUAAUCAUGUAGCUUAUGAUCUACCGGAAGUAGGUCGUACUUCAAAAUAAAAGCGCAGGGUUACAAUGAAGGACAUAAAACAACCUUAAAACACGACAGAAAAGCGGUCAAAAAAGGAUACCAAAUGAUCAUUUUAUGAGACAGUGAGUCUUCUCUAAAACAGUUUCAGUUCCACAUCCAGAGAUGUGGAUAAAUUAUAAAUUUGAUCAUAAUUAGAAAUGAAUAAUGACAUUUAUGUUUACUGUGUUUUUUAGUAAAGUUUGUAAUAUUCAUGAACUUACAAUAUAUAUCAUGUUGCUCUUCCCUCACUUAUCUUGUUGUUUUGAAUUUCAAGUCUUUAAAAAUUUGCUAUCGUUUCAUUCCCCGGAUAUUUCAUGGUCACAAUAAAUGUGAGGUGAAAAUCCGAUGUCAUGAAACUCUGAAUUCAGAGCAUUAACUGAUGAGAGCAUUAUAGCAUCUGCAAGUAUCUGGAGCUGCAGUCCAGCCUAGUGGUGGAUGGCUGCGCUACAGGUACGUUAAAACAAGCACUUCAGGCCUAAAUAACAAAUAAUAAUUAUCAGUAACCUUUUUAACCAUCUAGUAAUUCUCAUGCUGACUAAUGAGGAUGAUGAGUUUUGAUAGUGCAGUCUGUUUAUCUGUUUAUGAAUGUCUGUUUUAUUCAGUAGAGGCAGACUGAGACUUGCCAAAAAUAUAAACUGCCUAUAUCAAGAUAAAAAUAAUACAAUCAAACAAAUGUAAACAUCUCAAGUUUGAGAUACUAUAUAUUCAGGAUUUUGCCACCUUUUGUCAGCCUGAAAAAGACACACAUAUUUUAAAUAUGAUGUGCUUUGCAUUUACAAGAAGGCUAAAUAAAAAAAAUAAUAAAUGGAAAGCAUCAGAUUGAAAAUAAUAUUUUUUGUACAAAGAAGAAAGCGUUCCUUUUGCUGUGAAGGGAUGUUCGUAGGUCUGCUUAAUAGUCAGUUAUGUGAACAACUUGUUAUUUGCACGCAAUGUAACUAUGGUUACACAAAGUUCUUGUCGUCUUGGGUGUGAGAUUAGUUUGUCCCGAGCUGACUGAAUCUAAUCCCUCCAUAAAGUGAGCUCCGUUUAACUGUGAGUGUGACUCAAAGUAGAGUUCAUUACAGGGCGCAGCUGAAGUGAGGAGAGACUGAUUUAGGAAAGUGCGCUGUUUUGGGAUUAAUUUUCUCAGUCUGUUUUCUUUUAACAGUCAAAUAUAUCACUCACUGUCAACAUAUACCCGCGUCAACAUAUACAGAGAAAAAAGUACCCAAAAAAAAUGGUCAUAUGGUCUGACAUUGACCCCUUCAGUAUAUUGAUGCAGACAUUAUGAAUUACACUAUAAGAAUUGACAAAUUUUCUUGUGAGGUCAAUAAGAGACAUCAUUGUCAAUCUGUUCCAUUAUCUCUAAAUACAUCACUGUGUUUUUUUUAAUAUACCUCUCUUUAUGAGGAAAAUUCUAGAUUUUGGACACUCAAAUUUCAAGCUGCUCCAGUUAGACAAAACACACAGAAAAGCCCAGCCUGGGACUUCUCUUUCUUUAAAAACUUUAUUCCCUGAAACAGUGACUCAAUAUGCUUGUUUUUGACUUAGAUUUAGUUACAUCCAUCAGUGCUCUUUGCAUGAGGUUGGAUUUAUUGCCUUGCUAAAAGGUGACUCAACGGAGAAGAGGAGAAGCUAAAAUUACAGGCUGGAAAACAGCACCCCGCUGCUGUACGGCUGCUACCACACUGACCAUUUUGAUCAACAGGGCCAAAAAUCCAUUAACAGCGCUGACUCACACACACCUCCUGUAGCUUUGUUAAAACUCUGCCCCUUACCUUUACAAUUUUGCCCUGAGAAAAUACAAAAUGAUUUUUAAUGGAUAUUGAUUUUAAUAAGGUUGAAAACUCUCUGUGCUUAAACAUUACUCUAUUGAUUUGGCCAAAUGGAGAGAAUAAAAAGAUCCAGUGUAUUUUAGUGAGAGAAACUGGAAAAAAUUAAACACCCCCAAGAUCAAAACAUGUUAAAAAUCUAGUGCUUAUUGCAAUAAUUGCCAUAAUUGUAUUAUUUAUCAAAUUAUCACUGCAGCAAAAACCUGAAACUAAAACACAUUUCACUUAAUAUGAAGACUCUUUUUGUAAAGUAGGCUAUCAUAAGAUUUGCUGUACUCGAUGUUAAAAAUGACUGAAAAUUGAUUUUUAUUACAAUAAUUCAUUACCUUAGGGGCAACUGAUUAAAUAUAAGAUAAUCAGGAUUCCUGUAUGCGAUGGUUUAGGGGCAUCAUGUGAGAGAGGCCACCACAUUUUGGCUAUUAAAGCUGAUUUUUUUCCCUACUAUUGGGCCAUUUUUUCCCACUGGCUGGCUUCUCAGUAUUCAUGUUGAAAGUCCUGCAUCCCCUUCUCCAUCCCCUUGAGGUAGUUCAGGGACAGAGAGGUUGUUUAGUUGAAUAUGUUAGUUUAGACAUCCUGACUUAUUGAACAUUUAUCUGACACAAGGUGCUACCAUUGGGCCAUUCCUCCUUGUUAGAAAUGAAAUUUUACCCGCUUGAGAAGAAGGGAGAAAUGGUAGAAAAGAAAUACAUAACUGUGCUUGGCUUACUGUCACAGACGUUUAUAAAGCACAUUUGCCACAUUGUUAUAUCUAUGAAUUACUGUAAUAUGUUAUAAUGUCGCUGUCAUUUUUCUACAGAUGUCAAUAAGUAGAUCAGUGAAACAGCACUCCCCUUGACGUCCUUACACAGAAUGGACGAAUUAGGUGGUUAAAAAAAGUACUGCAGUGCAACGAGCAAUAUGUGUUCACUGUUACCUUUUAAAUCAAACCAUGAAGACAGAUAUGUGCAAGAACCAGAUCCAAGACAAGUAGUGCUGCACAAUUAUUUGUAAAUUUGUGGAUAUCCAGUGUCAGCUGUUGCAAUUAACACACUGCAAAAAUCUUAAGUUACUGCCACAAAUUAAGAAAUUGUUUUGAAUGUGUACAGUCAUUUACCUGGGAGAUGGAAGCUUGAGUAUAAUUAUUUUAAACUGCAGUAAAAAGAAGCUUUAGCCAGCUGUGUAACAACCUCAGGUUAAUUAGAGACUAUUUGAUGAUGAAAAAAAGAUUUUUAGAUGUAUCAUACACUCACAAGGAAUAUGCUCUAAACACAGUCAAUGUUUACAUCAUUUUAUUUUACAAAGUGCUGGCCUAGCAUCAGAUUUGCUGUAAAGGACUGAACCUAGUGUAUUGAAAAUAGAACAUACAUUAUGUUUGACAGGAGGAAAUUGACAUAAAGUCAAAUACUUAUAAAAGAGACAACUGAUAAUUCUUAUUGGAUUUAAGUACGUUAAACAUAUCACCUCGACAUGGUUUAAAUUCCUGUAGUUUUUCAUAUUGGAAAUAAUACCACAGAAAGACACUUAUUGCAAUUUAAUUUUUUAUGAUACUAUGCAGUCUGACAUGUAGGCUGUUUUUAUGUAAACAGGAUCGAAAGAUUGUCUAAAUCUGGCUAGCUAAAUGGUCGCCUGAUGUCGCCCUCUAUGCAAUGAUAUCACAAAUCUUUAAUCAUUGGCUUUGUUUGUGUGAUUACACCAACAACAGUCCUUCUGGUGUUUUAUUUCCAACAGAUUCAAUAAACUUUGCUUCCUUUUAGAUCUGAUUUAAUUAAACUAACAUGGGAGUAUGUUUCCCUGUGAGUGCCAAAGUGACAUCUGUGUUCCAUACGGGCUUGAGGGGAUUCUGGUGGCUGACCAAUCAACAUAAAAAGCAAAUGGGUUCAAUAAUUACCGAGCACCCCUAAAAUCAUGGUAAUGAUCAUGCUAAAAUGAUGAUUGUUCGUGAUCAUUAAUUAUGACUGCCCACAUCAUCGCCUGCUUCCUGCACCGUGAACACAGUUUAAUAAUUCCACACACAGAGUUAAAUAAAUUCUGAACCAAAACUCCAACAAAGAUUAGAUCAGAUGGGGUGCUUUGGAACAAGCACUAAUGAAAUGGGGGUCUUUAGUCUAAUGUGUAUCUAAAUGGGUUUCUUGAUGUGAAAACAUUUGGCAAUCCCUCAUUUCGACAAUGUGCAAUAUUGCUGCUGAUGCAGUAAAAUUGCACUGUGCUGCUGAAUAUGUGACAAUUUGUUACCCAGAGGCUGAAACAAGAGUUGGACCUCUGGUUGAAUCAGUCUUUCUGGCAUCAGCCAGUUGAAUACUGUCCUGCAGAUCCAAUCUGCUAACCUGUCAGGAGGUGUAAAUUGCAUGGGUAAAUGGCAUGAGUGUCUACAAGGUGUCUUGAGUGUUAGCUGAUCAGGCAUAAUUGUGAUUGGGAACUUGAUCAAAAGCAACAGAGACCCUCUGUGGAGAGGGAGUGCUGCUCGUUUGCAUUGCUACGGGCUGCACAUCAGAUGAAGUGAUAUCCUGGUUUGAAUGAUUCAAAGCCUGAUAUAAACAUAUGUUUGAAAAGGCCGUCGAUUGAAGUAUCUAUGAGAAUGAUUGUGGGACAGAAAGCUAAACUAAAUGAAGACAAUUUAUUUUUCAGCUAAUAAAUCUGUACACACCAUGAAGAGCUAAAAGAGAGGUUAUUUUUGUACAGCAACUCAUUAAAACAUGCUUAGGGCUAUGUGAUGGUAUCACAAGUUUUAGAAAGGGGGGGUAUGAGUGUUGCAGCUUCAAAAAUAGGCCAUCCAAUCCAGAGAGGAGUUACUGAGUGAAGUUAUUCAAUCGGAUGAUGACUGAAUUGUACAAUACAAACACUCCCCCACUUCUGAGAGAAGAAACGGUUUCAUUUUCACACAAUUAAGAUGGAAAUUGUUCAACUGAUACCCUCUUAGUGGCAGUAAUUUUACAGUUAGUGCCCUACCAAAGGGAAGAAAACCUCAGCUCAUGCGGCAAAAGCCCCAGCUCUGCUUUUUGUAGGAAGAUGAUUUACAAAAGAAUGUCUCUCUGAAUAGUGCUUUAGGGACUUUUGGCUGAGUAUAGUCAGAGGAACACUUUUUACAUUUCAAGUAUUCAUAUAGUGUACUUAUACAAGGUCAGUGGAGUUUUUCAAGUACGUCAAAUACACAGAAAUUAACUCUUUUAUGUGGCACACUGAUUAGCUGAAGGUUAAGUCUUUUAUACAGAAUGUUCCUGAAUGUAAAAGUAAAAUUGUAAAGUGUUUUUUAAAGCUCAUGCCUUCAGUUUGGCCUGAAAACCUUUUUAUCAGAAACCUACUAGGACAGUCUAUGCACCAAUCUGAUCCCUCUUUAAAACGACCUUUCUCUCCUCCAAAACAGAGGCCUCCUCAUCAGUCUUUUUAAGAAAUGACAGAACAAAUGGUUUCCUAACACUAAAAUGUUAUAGCAAAGAAAAAAACAACAACAGCAAAAGCUAUUAGUUGUAAUUUUUAGGGGAAUAUAAAAGUCAGGAAUGUAACUAUCCAUAAACACAGUAAUAAUAAUUUUAUUCUGCUGUUCUCACUCUGUAAAGUGUCCUUAAGUGUCCAGAAAGGCACUUAUAAAUAAAAUGUAUUAUUAUUAUUAUUUAAUUAAACUAGAUGGAUUUUUGGUUAACCAUCUUUUAGAUAAAACUGCUGCCUUAAAUAUCUUUUGAGUUAAAUGAUCACAUCUAAAGCCCCUGUGAGGACAUUUAAACAGCUUGUGAAACAGAUUGAAGUUGAUACUGAUGCCUUUCUAUGACCUACAAAAGCAAACAAGAUCAUCAGCAACAUGACUGACAACUUUGAUUAUGUUUUUUUUAAUGCCUGAAACCUCUGCAGUGGGUAGGGAGAAACAGACUAUUCUUACAUUUUCAACAGCAAACAUUCAAAAUGAGUGAUACACUCAACUGUUUAAAGAAAGCAGAAUGAGAUUGUUGUCAGAAAAAGAAGUACCUUGGUAUGUAUGGAACAAGAUCAGAGAAAUUGUAAGAUGCACACCUUUGCCCAAAGGGGGCGCCAAAACUGACACAAACCAAAAGUUCAUCAUAGCAGCUUCAGAUGUAAUUAAAUGUGGUCACAUGUCUGAAUUAGGCACUUAAAUUAUCAGUAUUUUAAUACAAUGAUAAUUAAAAUAACCUGCAGUCAGUUAGAUGGAUGACUGGUCUGCUGAUGGACAUGCUUCUGUUCAGUUUUUCAGUAACACACUCACACACUCACAAACACACACAUAUAUUUAACACAGUCAUCUAUCUGACUGCCGUCUCUGGAUGCCACAUUUGGCUGUUGGACAGAGUUUUAAUGUCUCUCUGCUUUAUAGUAACAGUUUACUGAAAAAUAAAUAAAUAAAAGCAUCAUAACUUGUGGGACUUGAGUGCUACUUUGCCCCAGCCAGUAUGUCUCUUCACCUUUCACCCCUCGAGCGCUGUACCCGUGGGCUGCAGAUGGCUGACUUGUUUUAUAGAUGAGUAGAGCCGUCCACUGCUGUAACAGAUGUUGGCAAACCCUGAAUAUGAAACUCUGCCACUUAUUUUUCAGUGAGGUCAUUUUGGUAGUUUAAGGUGAUUUACCAAGGGAUGGUGGCAAACACAGCAGUCUGGUCCAAGUAUAGUGAGUGAUGUGAGAUUAUCAGUGUUGUCCCUACACAGAUUCAAGUAAAGAUAAGAAAAAUGGCCAAACAAUACUGUUACAUGUUGUAUAUCAGGGUUUAUUCAAUACUGGGGGAGGCCCAAGCUGGGCGAAAACUUUUAUUAUUUGCCAUUUAUCUUGUUGCUUGGCUUGUUUUCAGGUGAUGGACCUGCUCUGGCAGUAAACAGGGCAAGGCUUUAAAAAGACAGAAACAAUGUGUAAACAAUUUGUAUGUUUUGAACAUAUCUGGAUCAUCUGUAAAAACAGUGUAAGGAAAAGAUAUCAAUUAUCCAUCAAGAAAAGUAUCAUGCAAUAGAGAUAUACAGCGAAUGCAUUGCAAGAGCUUUUCAUCUACUGGCAAUGACAACAAACCCAUCGAACUAUCAGGCUCCCUUGUUAUUUGUGAUGGCACAUCUCAGCUGUGACAGAAAGUUUACGGUCACCCUAGAUGUUCCCAUUCAUUCAAAUGUGUUGGCUGACCCAUACAAAAUAGUCUACGGGAACACAUCAACCAUCUGGGUGCCGACAACAGUCUGUUUAGCACUGCAUCAUGCAAAGGACAGUGAAAAAUUGACUCUGCAUUAACUUCUAGUUCUGACCUGGACUGUUUUUUUCAACAGUUAAUGAAUAAACUUAAUCAAUUCAGUAGAUUUAAUUCAUUUGACUUAAUAACUAUUGUUCUAGCUUCAGAUACAGCUUAUUCAGGGCACAAAACAUUGGCAAUGCUUUUCUUCCUGUAAUUGUGAUAUUUCUAGAAACGUAUACAUUUACAUUUGUGAGUGUACACAUUGUGUGAUUCAGAGAACAUAACUGAAAAUUGCUGCAGACAUUUCAGGGCCAAUCUCUUAUUUUCAAGAAAAACAGUAAACAUGGGCUUUAGGUUACAAUAAGGAGAUACAGCCCAUAAAUACAGCUUUAGUCAGCAGUAUAAUAAGAGCAACAUAAAGCCUGUCCAGUUGUGUUAUGUAGUUUCAUCAGGAAACAUUUAGUUCUAUCAAAAAGUGCUUGAGGGAUUUCAUCUUUUUGAAUUAAAGCCUGCAGAUAAAUGUGUGUUGUUGGAAAAACUCAGUAUUGAACUUCCUCCAUCUGUUGAGGUAAAUACCUAACAUAAAGUGUGGUUUAUUGUCCACUGAAUUAUCCUCAUAUUUACUCUAAUGUAGAGUGUUUGUUGGAGGGACAUAUGCAGACUACAAUUAGAGGGUUUAAAUGGACCGACACGUGAAAAUGUGUGAGGUUUGCAAUAUUUUGGUCAAUUAAAAUGGGAAAUCUCAGUCGUUUUACAAAAGACUGAGUUCCAGACAACAUGGAUUGCCAUUGGUUAAACCAUAAAUACCUAAAUUGCACAAUCUUAUAGCUCCAAACAUGUAUAAACAUCGUCAAAAUUAUUGAAGCUGAGUAUGUGGAUUGACACAAAUUGCAGAAAUGACUUUUCCCUGCACUCCUGUUUUUUGCCAUUGUUCAAGGUGACAGUGAUUGUUAGAGACAGAGCCUCACAUCUUGUGAAACCCCCAAAAGCCUUUUUUAAAAUACUGUUGCUAUGCUGGAACCAGACACAUCCUCCAGAACCAAGGAUUUAUAAGGAAUUAGUGUUUUGAUACAGCCUGUCAGUCACAUACUGCUGCAAUUCACACUCUUUCCUGUGUGAGGUACAUUAAUUGGAGUUUUGCAGUUAAUGAGAGUUAUGCCAAUUAUCCCGUAGUCAUUGGAAAUAUUUUCAAAUGGUCUUUUUUUUGCAAAAGUUAAAAGUAGCUUUGAACUUUUUGAGGGUGUCUCCGUAUUUCCCGAGUUACCAUCAGUAAAGUAUACUUUAGUAGUUAAAUUAAUAUUUUCCUAGCAUAACUGAUUGAUUUUGCUUUUAACUUUGUGUGCUGUCACUUGAUAGGUACAUUUGAAUACUAGUAGCAUGUGUGUGUGCGCGUGUGUGUAAAGGAGGUGCCACUGUACUCAAAGUGGGAUAACAAGGGCAUUUAACCCCUCCACUGUAAUUUCUGGAGUCAGAGUUGGUGGACCUUUAGAACUCACUGUAUAUUAUCUGUAAGUGAUAAGUGCAUAAGCAAGGCUGUGCUAAGAUUUGACUGAGCACGAGUCCGAUGGAGGUUGCUGAGUUUAGCUUUGUAAAGGCUGGGGGUCUCGAUGGGUGUUGCACCUGCUCUGACAGUUCAAGGUUUGUCAUAUCUUGACAAAUGGACUUGUUUACAUCAGACAAAGCGUACAGGGGACAUGGCACCACCAAGACAGAUGGCCUUCAUUUUUUUCACACCUUCCCUCUCAUCUCCCUAAUAGAAGCAGCGCAGGCUGUCAGGUGCGAUGUCGAGGAGGCCUUCAUUUACAUCCCAGAUAGGGAUCAAUAACGUCUCUAUUUAAAAAGUCAAUCAUUCUCCGUCAGUGAGGCGGAGUUGUGUGUGAUUGUUUCAAGUGGGUUACAAUUGAUGGUCAGUUUCUGCAAGUGGACAGCUCAGAGGAGAUUCGCUUUGGUCGAAGUGUGGAUUGAAAAAUGUUGUAUUUAAAAGACACACUGGUUGGAAAAGCUGCUGGCCAAGAACGGUUUGAUUCUUCAGUCUGUUUGUGUUAUUUAAAAGCUAGUAGCAGAGAUGAAAGAGUUGUAUGUGUAUGUUGAAUGGUGUGAGCUGACAUUAGUGACAAUUAGGUAAACAUCUUUUCAAAAUGGGGUUACCUUAACUCUGCUUUAAAUAGCGAGGCAUGAUUGAUUGAAAGUGUAUCAUCAAACUACCUGCGACUAACUCGUACAAGCAUGAGAAAGAUGCCUUUUUUCCCUGUUAGAUAACAGAAGUGUGUGAAAGUGCCCUCCUGCUCAUCUUUUCAACAAACACACUCACAAUAAUGAUCAAUCAUCAAUCACUGUUGGAGUUCACAGCACAAAACUGAACAUGAGUAAAAGAAGAGUUAAAACUUGAGUAUUUUAUGGUGAUUUGUUGAGAAAUUUACUGUAGACUACUGAAACUAGUGUUACAGAAGUCUGUAAGAUGGCUACAGCUCCCAUUUUCCAUUUUUUUAGGGUAGCUAAAAUGUCAACAUGGCGCUGUAAAGAGCCAAUACAGUAUCACAUUAUAUAACAUUGUGAUAUAUCAGUGCAUCAAUGUUAUCUUAUCUUAUAUGUAAGCAUGUUAGACAUAGAUGGUAAAAGAAGUUAUUUUUCUGCUGUGAUUUCAUGGAAACUCCUGACUGGGGACCCUUUUCUCCGCGGAUUUAAGAUUGCGCUCUCUGAAACAAACAGAUUGCCAGAGUAUAUCCGACAGGGUCCCAUCACACUGUCCAUCGGGUGCUCACAGUCACAUAGAGCAUCCAGGGAGCUGACACAUCUUCAUAUCAUAGCAGUGUGGGCUACCUGUCCAAGCAGCAGAAACCUGUCCGCCUCACAGCAUCCACAGAAAGGAGGUGGACCGGAGGAGAGGCAGGCUGUGUGGUUAGUGUUCGCCAGGCAAGAAGAGUAGAUGGACGCUCAAUAAACUGAGCUGAGGUCAUCAUCAAUCUCUCACCCAAAGGGAGAGACGCUUAGGAGUCCUCUGGCUGAGGAUGAUGAAUGUUGGCUACUGGAGGAGAGGAAGCUGCUAUAAUAUUUGGCAUUGUCUGGGGCGCUCUGUAACUCCACGUUGGAGACAAGUUUCAGUAUGUUCACAAGCCAGCGGGCACAGCUAUGAAAUCCUCAAUGUCUGCUCUGCUGCUUAUGCAGAGGGGAUUUAGCAUCGAACUGUUUGUACGUCAAGGCAUUGCAGAAAAAGAAAUUUACGUCAGUUUGGUGCACACAUAAAGAAGAAUUAUAUAAACGGCCUCGAAUAUGUUCAGGGUUCACAUUGUGGCUCAUUCAAGAGCAGGGUUUCAGUACCUUUGUGUUAUUCAACACAAAAUCCAUACAAAAAAGUGAGUAUAGACAUUGCAUUCACUGUGACUCAAAAAUGAGCCAUCUAUUCUGAGCCAGUGGGAGGGUGGAGAGGAAGCCAUCCCUCUGCAUUUUGGAGGGAGACGUCUUGAGGGGAGUCACGGUGAGAUGGAGAAAAAUGACCCUUCAUCUUUGAUAGCACUGAGAGAGAGAGGGCUGACAGAUAUCCAAACAGCUUUCCGAGCAGAUCCGGGGCUCAGAAUCAGUCACGCAGGCAGUGAGUGUGGUGCACAGGGAGGACAGUGACCCCUGCCAACAGGGCCCCCAAGAAAAAAGGCUGUCAUAGACAGAGACACUUUACACUUAAAUGAUGUCUGCCUGCCUCUAAGAGUCAAGUGCUCUCUGCAUGCUUGCAUGCUACUUCAUCUUCCUCCAAUAACUAAAGUCCUUACCCACAUUGAUUUCAGGAUCAUUGUCGUAGCAGCUGCUGGUGCAGAGGUUUCAGGUUCUGUUUGUCAGAGAACAGCCCCAUAAUAAAACAUGGCUACUUUUUGGGAGUUAAUUUAAACUCUGUCCAGCUUGGUGCCACUUAAUCUAAUCAGAGUGCAACAGAAAAGACAAACUCAACUUUCCAGUGAAUAGUGUGCUUUGACAAAGAAAACUCAAGCACUGAGUUGUCAGAAACAAUAAACCGUCACUCAAUCAAGCUUUUCUCUCGUAUAGCCAGCCUGUGACAGGCUCUACUUGUAACGCAAAUUGUCUCUGUCAAAGCAAUGAAUAACACUGCAACAACUUUGUACCGCUCAUAUCAAAUAGUGUUGAAGGCGAACAGUGCCAGACAUCUUCAUCAAGCUUCAAUUUAAUCUAAAUUAGAGCCCAUAAUGUGAAGUGUUAUCCUCUCCAACAAUUACACAUCACUCUGAGAUUAAGAAAAGUAUUUUUUCUCUGUUUUCUAUGUGAAUAUUCGAACUGCUGAGUAAUGCAGCAGUCAGCUUUUUACACGGAAAAAAAAAGACUGUUUCAGCAUUUCCAUAUAUUUUUUUAAUCCUGAUUACAAACCUGUGAUCUCUUACCAUUUUCUGAAACAGCAUGACUUUAAUGAUGAAGACUGAUGAAGACCUCAUUUAAAGUUAUGUAUACAGGCAGGGAUUUAUUAUGCUAAUAAAGAGGAUAUUAUGGAUGCUAUGAGUAUUGUAAGUUGGACUCAGAAUUUUGAUAGCAAAAACAACGAGAAACAACUGUUUUGGAUUGUUAUAGUUUCUUAGCGGCGCCGUGGGGAGUCUUUCACCCAUUCUUUAAAAAACUGCGAGCCCUCACUUGCCCUCACUUGGGUUAAACUGAACAAAAAACUGGCUGAUCAAUAAAACCUGCCGAGAGACUUUAUAAUCCUGUGCCUUGUUAUAGGCAUUACUUACUUUAUAGCAAACGUAUUAUAGAGAAAUUAAAAACAGAGGUCUUGCCACAUUAAAUUAUUUGCACUUGUACAAUCGUUUCCAUGCAAAUUUUAAGGACAUUCAGAUUAAAUUUCAAUAACUACCUGAAAUCACUUUAGUUUAGCCCCUCAGUUACAAACAUGAAUUAAUUCUGUGUGACAUGGCCAUUGAGUUUAAACACCUGAAAAACACCUAUUCAGCGAGACGGAUUUAGACGGUGUUAUCCUGUCUAUGUGCUAAUUAAUGUUGUUAGCACACGUGCAGAUUGCGAAACUAAUGAGACCACAAAGUGUUUACAUUCAGCAUCUAUACCUGCAAUGCAUGUACAUCAUUGUGAUGUGAAAAUCACAAGCCGAAGGUGCCGGUGGGUUUUCAUUUAAUUAGAAGAAUCAUCGCUGGGCUUGUGGCGCAGAUUAAACCUAAUCUUUCAUAACAACACAAGUUAUUGACUGUGUAAUUAAGUCGAUUGUGUUUGUUAGUAAAGUAUAUGCAGUUACAUGUUGUACUUCCUGCACUCUCACUCUUGCACUUGGUGUCAGAGGACUGAACGUUGUUUAAUGAUUUGAAAGCAGGAAAUAGACUUCAGGAUCCAAAUUAAAAAUAGUGGACCAUAAAAGAAGUUUUUAACACUGAACAUUCGCUCCAUUUAUCCGCUACUAUUCCUGAAAUCUCUCAUAGAGCCAAAUAUAUUGCAGAAAGAAAAAACAAUAGGCAAAAUGAGUUUUUUUUCACCAGAAUCAGUGUAAAUUUAUCAUUCCUUUGUCCUUAUGCUCAAUCAAGGAAAGCCAAGGUCUAUAUUCUUAUGCCGUAAUUGUUAAUGACAAGUAAUGUCAUCGUGCCAUACAAGAAAGAGAAUGAAGGAAUGAACAACAUGUACCCAAGGAUAAAAUGAUUAAAAUGCCCACAAUACAGGAAAACAGAUUGCUUAGAAAUAUCUUAAUAAAAAAAAAGGAUUUUAUAGCAUGGCCCAUUUAAAUAAGUUGUUUUUAGGAGCAUUAAAGGAGAGACUAAGUCAGUUUUUGCAUUGAGUCUCACUUUUAUUCUAAUGCCUUUUUUAUUGCUUCACUAAAUAGUUUAUUGUCCUGAUACAUUUUAAUACCGUCUGUUGUUUUCUUGUAUUUCCCAGAGAUUAAAAACAGUCCUUUUAUCCUGGGUCUCCACCUCUUUACUAAAAAAAGAAAAAAUACUUCAGUUAUACAAAAAAAAAAAAAAAAAAAACUCUUCAUGUGCUCUCCUGCAGUCCAAGAUGAGUUAACCCCAUAAAAUAGAAGUGCUGCCUGUACAAAACUCAACCAAUCACAGCUUUAUUCUCACUUUUGAAUGCUGUUAAGAGGAUUCAAUACAGAAAAUGCCCUUUAAGGUCAAGCCCAUAAUUACAGUCCUUUUACCUAAGUGGAGAGCAUGUCACAAAUCCAAUCAUCGCCUGAAUGAGGGAUACCCAAUCUUAGAGUGAAAAUGAGUUGGUUUCAGGACUGUGCAUUUGCAUUAUUGCACUUACAUUAUCCACACCGAUGCAAGGAACACCUUUAGUGACCAGCGUCCCUGCUUAACAUAAUUGAUAUCUCUCUGUUGCCAGUGCUUAUCUGGAGGAUUCAAAUAAGAGGUCGAAUAAUGGCGUAUGCCUCUGCAAAUGUAUUCCACCCAGUACUGUGUGCCUCCUUACUGUGUCACACCAAAGACUAACUGUUUCAUCCCCCAUUUUAAAUCUUCAAUAACUCUCAUGCCUGGAUUUUGGUUAGACAACAAACACCACCCUUUGUGUUGUCACCUCUGGAGAACAACACUCUGGUGCCAAAGAUUUGCUUUUUUGUUGUCACUGAUUGUUGGUAGGACGCCGGGGUGGUCAAAUGAUUGGCUGGCGUGCAGGAUUGGCAGCAAACUGUUUCCUCAACGUUCAGUCUUACGGGGAAUGCUUCUCUCUGUCAACAAGUCCAAAACCUUCCAACCUCUCCAAACAAUAAUCAUCCUGUGGGACACCACCAACAGCUUCCUGGAAAGAGAAGUGGCUUUGUGUGUGCUUUUGGUAUGUGGCAAAGUCUGGCUCAGAACAAAUAUUUACACACAGAGAAAAGCGUAGUUGGACUUGGUUUUUUAGGUACUAAGCCAAACAAUGGCCCAAAACUGAGAAAGAAAUGGCAUUAAAAUCUGCUAGCAGGAGAGUUUGGUGCCAUCGAGGACAGAAUAACAUCACUGCACAUUCAUUCAAAAAGAAACUUUAACUAAAUGAUUUAAAGUAGACAAACAAGAGGCGCCAUAAAGUGUACAUAUUAUUAAGUAAUUUACAAAAAGAUAAAUGCCAGGCAAUUUUAAUGCAUUUGUGCUGUGGUGCCAACAUUAAGCACAAGGAGAAAUAUCAUCACAGAAGGCAAGAAAGCAUACUUGAUUCAUUAAAGACAAAAUAAUGAUAUUGUUAUUAUUUUCAAAUAUUCCAUUACACAAAAUAACACUGAGAAUAAGUGGAACCAGACCAAGAUGUGAUGAUAAGUACUUAACAAUCUGGAAUGUAUGUAGCACCCGCCAAGUGGCACUUUUACACUUGUCUUUAUAUAUAUCCAGCAAGCUGUGGCAGCCAAGUGGUGGCUUGCUGUUUUUGAGCACCAUCAUCUAAGGAACUUACCACAAUGCAAUCAAUGUAUUGCAUAUUGGUCACACUAAUGUAUAGGACACAAUUGCAUUUAGGAUGAGAAAAAGCCAUUAGAAGUGUGUCCCAUGUACUGAAUUUUACGGUAAAUUAAUUCCUCUUAAUUUCAUUAUAAGAUAGCUUAUUUAUAGUUACUCUAAAGUUCUUACAGUUUAAAAAUAGUACUCUGUGAUGAAUAGAAAAGGAAUAAACAAGGGAAUAACUCAUUCAAUUGGAGACUAACUCAUUUAAAAUCAAUUUCAGGAUUUCCUCAUACAUCUAUUUAGACAUGUAGAAGUCUGUGGAAAUGACAUGACAUGUUGCUCAGCAAAGCAGAGUGUGCCCUGUCUUCAUCUGGUCUCAAAAACAGACAGAAAUCUCCCUCAUGAAAAUGAGUCUGCUGUCUCUGCCAGGAGGGCAGCACGUGUGAGGUUGUGAACCUCCAAGGGACCCCUGUUAAGACCCCCUGAAUUGUUGUAAAAUUAAGUCUCCCCUUGUUAAUUGAGUGUUGUUAAGAACCAGAGUGAUAAUGAAGGAUUACUGAAUGUUCACACUUGGGUAUUGGGAGCCAUACAAAAAAAUGCAAUGCAGACUAGUUUGCUGCAUGUUGCCAAAAACAAAAUUACAGUCUGUUCUCAUUUUUAGGUCAUGAUUAAUUUGUGGCAGUGCGGGUUUUCUGCUGCGUGUUAAUUAAUGCAAAAUAAGCAAGACCCUUGAAUUUAUGAAUUCAUGAAUAAAAUCAUCUCAAAGGAAGAAAUGGUCAUGCCUGCAGUUGUACAUUCAUAUUCAAUCACACCAAAAACCAUGAUUGCCCGGAUAUGACAAUUAUUCAGCUUGCCUACUUACUAGAAUUAUGUAAGUUUGUUGCAUAUGAAUAUUUUGUAAGCAACCCUGAACCUGUCUAAAUCUUUCUCUGUUGCAGAUUAUUUUCACCAUCCACAUUCAAACCAACACAUUAAUGUGCUGCAUCACAUUCAUUACUCUGCUCCCCUCUUGAAGUUAUUUUGGUCAGCUUAAUAUUUCUUGAAGCUAGUGUGUCAUGCUGAUGCCUUGCGGGAAGAAUACGGACAAAAACUCAAAUGACUCACCUAUUUACAGGCCCAAGGUUGUCCCUUUGAAUUUGGAUCACAGCUGUUAUGGUGAGGUGAGGGCAUGCUGAAUAGCAAGAUAACGAAAAGCCAGUUUGUUUAUGUUUUGUGGUCUGUAGGGGGAGGGAGGGAGGUAGUGUGGGGGUCAUGCUGAGCAUUAAUGCUCACCUUCUUCAGUGAGUGAAUUUUGCAGCAUCCCGAGGGCUCGUCUCUCAGAUUAGCACAAUGGGGAUUAUCCCGCCCAGCCUGUGUUGAUCCUUCUACUGGCUGAGACAAGCAAUGCAACAGCACCAAGUACAAGGAGGUGUGGGUGGCAGCCAAGUCAGGAAGUUAGCAGAUUAACUGUGGUCUAACACCAAGGACAAAAACACAGACAGAUCUGUAAUAGCAGUCGAAUAUAAAAGAAGGUUAUCAAACAAAAUAAUAAGUCAAUACACAGCCUGAAUGGUCUGUAUAAUAUGAAAGUCUGAGACAGUCAGGGUGUCAGAAUGCUUAUUUUCUGCAUUAAGCAUUGAUUUAUAGGGAUGGCUACCAAGAAACUGUAGAAAUAUUGUAGCUAUUAUUUUUUGGUACUGGAUUGGUCAACACCUGAAGGACUGUUAAAGGGAUAUUCCGGCGUAAAAUAAAUUUAGGGUCAAACUCACCGCAACGAGUUAGACACCCCCUCGAGAGAUGAAUGUUGCCGACCGCUUGCUUCUCUAGAUAUACCAACUUUAGUAACGACUGCAAGAUAGCAAUACACAAUGGUCUGAGGAGCCAUACACAAACCUCUUUUUGACUUUGCUUAACUUCUCUAGCAAAGAGACUUAACACAAGUCACCUACUCUCUUCCAGCAGCCGCUUGUUUUUAGUGAGACCUCGGGCCAAUCCUGUACGGACUGCUGUGGGGUGACGCAGCUCAAGGAAGAACAUUUAUGAUCAUUUCUUCAUGGAAAUGCAAUCAGGCUGAGACGCUAAGGCAGAAGAACUAUCACGCAUGCAGUGCAAAAUGAAUAAUAUGAUGAUUAUUACUUCAAGGAAAUGAUAAAAUAAUGAUAAUUAAUGUUCUUCCUUGAGCUGCGUCACCCCGCUUUAGCCCGUAAUGGACUGGCCUGAGGUCUCGCAACAAACAAGCGGCUGCUGGAAGAGGGUAGGUGAGUUGUGUUUGGUCUCUUUGCUAGAGAAAUUAGGCAAAGUUAAAAAGGUGUGUUGGUGGCUAGUGCUGUGGCUGGGACCUUAUAUGUACUGUUGAUGAAGUUAGGUGCUGUUCUGAGCAUUAUUUGUGGCUAUAAAGUGGUGUUUUGGUUGAGGUUUGUUUAUGGCUCCUCAGACCCCUGUGUAUUGCUAUCGUGCGGUCAUUACUACAGUUGGUAUAACUAAAAAAGCAAGCAGUCGGCAACAUUCAUCUCUCGAGGGGGUGUCUAGCUCUGUGUUGCAGUGUGUUUGACCCUAAAUUAAUUUUACACCAGAAUCUCCCUUUAAGCUGAUGGAGAAAUGCUUGUGCUGCUGUCAGUGAAUGUCAAUAUUGUGCCUUAAUACACACCCUGGCUGUCACCCAAACAACCAACUCAAUUAUAGCAAGCUACAUUUUUUUCUAUCAGUGAGAGUUUUUUUUUUUUUUUUUUUUCAGGCGAGGAUUAAAAAAUAUUGUAUUUAAAAUUCAGCUGUUAACUUUCAGAAGCUAAUUUUGCCAGAUUUUUAAGAAUGACAUUUGAGUCACUCUGUAAUAGGUAAAACAGGGGCAUGACAAAAUAUUUUUGUAGCAGUAUGUAGUCAUCCUGACUUGUGCAAUACAGUUAUCACCGUUGCCAAGUAACAAUAUUCCAGUUAAAAAUUAUGCAGUGCUCUGGACAGAUUUCCUCUCUGUCACUACUUCAUGACUCCUCAGGAUGACGCCUAUCACAUUAAUCAUGCACUUAACCUUUUGGGGGGAUUUCAUUCUCCUCAGUAAAUCGGAGACCCUGGUGUGUUACAUGAUUGUCUUGCAAUUUAUAGAUUGUCACAGAAUCACUGUAAAGUAAUCUGUCGCCGUUAUGGGCAAUGACUUUAAUUGUACUUCAAGUUACCCUGCCAAUCUCCCUUUUUAUGUAAAACACAUUAGUUAGACUGUAACAAGGCAGACAUAAGGGCUCCGAAUAAAACUGCCUUUACAGGUGAAACUUGGAUCUUGAGGAUGUCGCCCUGUAGUCACUGUAUGGUCAACAAGUGGUCAGUUUAAGCUUCCAACUUAAGAUACAUGGUCACCUAAAGCUCAUGUAUAAACAAAGAACUGAUGUUUAACUGUGUAACCAUUAUAUGCCUUUGCAUUUAGGAUCUAAAAUAUUUAAAAGGGUAUGAAAACAUUCAAGGAAAAUGUAGAAAGACUGAAAAUGAAAGAGUCAAAAUUCCUACUGUCUCUCAAAUCUGAAAUAAAGGGUGUCUUGUGUGAACAUUCAGCCAUAGAUCAUACACAAAGGUACACAAAAAUAAAGUUUUAACAUGAAACAUCUAGGGGAGUAAGAUGUCUCACCUGCUGACCUGCACCCCCCUCUUGCUCGUUGACAGCAGCAUUUACAGCAGUAUUUACAGUGUUGAACCAUGUCCUGUAACAAAACUGUACUCCAACCUGGUUUACAUUCUGCUGUCGUGCUUACGUCUGUGUGGGACACCGCCAGCAUGUUGCAUAAAGUUCAAAGUGAAUCUGAUAUCCAGAGUCUAUCACUGUGUAUAUUUUCCUGCAGUGGAGUGACAGGCCACUCCAUUACAAAUACAGCCCGACUGUAGAAAGAGAAUGAAUGAGUAACCUCAUGAAACAAGAGCUUGCUGUUUGUUCGCAGAUGAGGAGUCUUACUGUAUGUUAAAGGGAUGACGUCUAUGGCCCAUAUUUUCCCAGUGUAGUGCUCACAGUGUCUUUGUAUAUGAAGCCUUUCUUCUCAUGUAGCUCUGUAUGAGCCAUCCUGUACUCUAUACAAUGUGUAACUCCUCAUGUGUCAGUAUGCAAACUGUCACAUGUCAGUGUGUCAGAAAUUUCCACUUCCAGCGAGGCUGACUAUGGUGAAUGUUGCAUAGCGUUAAUAGAAGGUUGAAUGCUGCAGUAAUUGUAGGCUCAAUUGAAAUGCAGUGAUUGUUCGUGUCAGCAAGGAUGACUGCUCUACCUCAGGAGUAUAUUUAAGAGGUGUCACACAGGAUCCCGAUUGCUUCUAGGAGACUUUGUUGACGAUGAAAAUAAUAGCUUUGGAUGGCUUUUGAAAUUAAAAUGCCAGGGGCUUUUAUUGGUAACGCAGCACAGUCAAAAGUCCAUGACAACAUGCCCUUCUCUGUCAUCUCGUGUCUGUAAGUAGUGCAGGUAAUAAUUUGUACAGUAUUAUUGUCAUCGCCAGUUUUUUGUGACUUGUAUCCAAAGAUUUUUUUACUGCAAUUAUGUAAUUGCUCUUAUGUUGUAAUGGCUGUCACUUUCUGCCUGUGGUCUUUCCUGCCCAAGUGUCUAAGGGGGAUUUUGUGAGAUGGCUUAAGCUGCCUGCAGAAUCAACCACCUCGUCCUUUCUUGAUCUGGUUGACUUUUUUUUUUGCUUCUAGCCAUGCAGAAACAGAGACCAUUUAUUGACUAUAUAGUAGGUUUCACCAGCAGCCAGUCAAUGCACGGAGGUGUGAAAAGAAGCUUUAGGGAUUUUCUACUGUGCAGUCUCAGACACAAAGCCUUCAUGGUUCUGAAUGUAAACAUACACCAAAUUUACAUUGUAUAUUAGAUAUGGAUAACAUUCUGCAUUAUUGAGUCAGUGAUACCAGGUAGCCAUUGUGUCAUUCUACAAAUACUGGUGCAUGUAUAUCAAAUUAGAUGUUACAGUUCCCUGCUCUUCCUGCUGACUCUUCUGACAUAUUUUCCACACUUGUCUGUGCGUGGAGCACCAGCUCUCAUGAAUUUUAAUUACUCUUAGUAGCAGAGUCAUUGUUAUAUUUAAAAUAUGUUCACUCUUGGUUCUUCUGCCUUUGUGCUAACUUUCCUCACUGUCUCGCUUUAACUCCUAUUUGUUGGGAGUAGGAAUCACUCGUGGCCCCACAAUAUGAUACUAUCACGAUACUUGGUCCACGAUACGAUAUUAUUGCGAUUUUUUACAUUUUGCAAUACGGUGAGUAUUGCGAUAAUAUAUAUUGUGAUUAAUACAAUUUUUUCAAAUGUUUAGCUAAUUUAGCAUUUUGCUUUCCUUUAUGUUUGUCUUAUUUACCCUGUAUUUGUUGCACUAACUUUCUCCCGCUCUAUGAUUUGAAAAAUUGAUACUUGGCAAAUGUGACGAUAUGAUAUAUCACCAGACAAAAUAUCGCGAUACUAUGCUGUAUCGAUUCUUUUCUCCCACCCUUCCUAUUUGCUGUCAGUGCAUUGGUGUUGCAGAUGCACUCUUUUGCUGGGUAGUUUACCCCUUUUUUUAAAACAACAGAACACUGGUGUAAGUAUGAUGUUAAAAGAGUUGAUCUGUUGUGUUAGCACAGCUAAAACUGGGCCUUUAAAACACCUGUUGGACUGAAAUUGCACAUCAAAUUCCUUGAAGUUGGACCAACAAAUUCUGAUAAUAUGAUUGUGCUUUUUUGUGCAUAAAUACCUCAAGAAGUCUAAAACUGGUCUAGGCAUCCUGCGCAUACUCCAUAGUUCAAAUACGAGGUUGUGGACCAGAAGCCAAUCAUCACACAUUUGUAAAGAAGCCAGUGUUAGAGGUACAGAGCUGUAAAGUUGUCUAUUAUGAGUAAAUAUUAAGUUUUAAAAUCUAAAGGUUUGAUUGGAUGUAUUUGUAUUGGAAAGAGAAAAAACUUUGAUAUAUUGAGCAGCCUGACCUUACAUAAGAUAUUUUGUAAUACACAACGUGUAGGACACCAGAUAUAUCUGCCAGCCGAUAUUAACUACCGGUUUCACACAUACUGCCUCCGCGAUCAUCUGCCUUCCCCCACCCACUCUUUAAGAAAACAAAAAACAGAGCCAAGCAGUCCCGGAAGCAAAUGAAAUGACUCAGUCAAUAAGAACAGAAUGAUAGUAUAUAUUGUUAAGCCUUUAUACUAUAUAUAGAUGUGUUAAUCUUUUUAUCGCUGGUUGGCAGGUGGGGAAUCAUUUAAUCAUUUUGAUAUGCUUGGUUUGCUGUACCCACAGUUUAGCAUGGCAGCAGUGGUUUUGUGACUACACUGCAUGGGUAUACGAUUGUUGACAUACGAUUAAUGCUUUUACAAAAUGAGACAAAUGAGCGUGCCUGUUUGUGUGGCGCCGUUUACAAGAAUGCAUGAAUAUUAAUAUAUAGUGGGCCCAAUGUAUCACAGUGUGUUUCAUGGGAGGGGUUGAAAAUCUUGUGUGGCUUCCAACUGUACUGCCUAGACAUUGAAUAAAUGUGUGCAUAGCUAUAGCUUUACUUGAUGUAUGACUCACUGUUGGUUUUCAGCUCAUUGAAGCACAAACACAGAAAUAAUGACUUCUGCUCAUGGCGGAUAAAACUAUUACACCCACCUUUGUGCAGAAUUAUAGGCUUAAUCUGCAUCUUAUGGUGUUGAUACUGUGAUGAUUUUCUCUUGGUUGGAGUGACUUUUAGUACAAGUGCUGGAAAUUGAUUUUUGAAGUGCUUGUGGUAUUAACAAAAUGCCACUUUAAUCAUAAAACUACAAAUCUCAGUCUCUGUUCCUGCUGGUGGAUUUUGGUCUAUAAAAUUAAGACGAGCACUCGCAGUUGGUUGAGUUUGCAGAGAGAUGAGCAAUGAGUCACUCACACCAAGGCUGAAUCCCAUUGUGUGGACUCAGGACUACAGGGCUAAACCCAUGCGAACUUGGAUGACACAUUUGUGAGAUCUGAAGGCUGUGCGUCCACGAGAGGCUAAGUGUUUGGGUUUGGAGAGAAUGUGCCAGUCCAUGUGAAUCAUGAUGUCAAGCAAAUUUGAUUACCGCUAACCGAAUGAGGAAUAUUUCAUGACUACAUUAUGACGUAUAAAGAGAAUAGAAAGGAUUGCAAAGGAAGACAAGGUAAGCAAAUAUACUAUAUUAUUCGCACUCAAAGGAAUACUGUUCUUGUUUAAACCUCUGCUUGGAGGUUAAAAAGCGAGUGCAGGUAUGUUAUUGUGGGCUUCAAGUGGGCAUCUACAGUAACAAGUGUUGUGCUUGGUGAGGCACGUACAGAAUAACACCUCCAGGACUCUCAACAAUGACUCAUUUCUGAACCACCUCCAUCUACUGUAUACCUGCUCUUGGCCCUGAAAAUAUACAUAAAAUCAUUUAGCCAGUUUAUUAAUUUAAUUUAAUUUAAUUUAAUUUAAUUUGAUUUAACCAGGAAAGUCUGAUUAAAAUUAUACUGUGUUGGCAAGUAGACAAUAAGUUUUCUGCUUCAUGAAGGAGAGGAAAGCAUUACAGCAAAUAUAGCCUGUCAACUCAAAACUACAUCAAGUAACACACAUUUCAAUAAAAUGAGUUUCUUUGAUUGACUUACUCAGAUACACUACAGUAGUAGUUUCUACUUAGCACAUACUCAGAGUUUCCUUGACAAAAAUAAUGAAGAAUUUUGGUGGAUGUUUCUUUCACAAAAAUUCCAUCAGGCCAAAAGGCAUUUUUUACGACUCUUGCUUGUUUCUAUUGGCGCCGCUCAUGCCUCUAUAACCUGGCCAAAUCUCUCAAAUUUAAUUCUAUUGAUCAUACUGGCGUUUAAUUUCAUUCUUAACCCUUUUUUGCUUUUUCUAUCAUAUUUGACACAUACUUUUAGAUACUAUUAUCAAAUCAAUAUGAUCAACAAAUUACUAAAUAAAAAAAACCUAAAUACAGUCCGAUAAAUGAUAAAAGUGUCCUUGUAGUUUUCAGUUUCCAAAAACAUCUAAUGUAUCAAACAAGAUAAAUAAAUAUAUUUGUUAAAUUUUAAGGAAAUUUGUUUUUUUUUUUUUGUUUUUUUGUUUUGUUUUCAGUAGAAAGUGAAAUAAACAUUUCAGCUCCAAAAAAAUUUGAAUUUUCUGGCCAUAAUUUGUGGUGUCAGGCAUCAAAGGGUUAAAUGUAAAAAGCAAGCCAAUCAGCACAGUGCCUCAUUUUCAAAGCAUUCCCACUCACUCUGAUCACUGGAUGGGUAAUAAGGUUGGAAACUAUGAGAGUUUAAAUCGUCUGUAGAGGCUGAAUUUGUGUUUCAUAUUUGCAGUUGAAUUCAGCUCCGGUCAGUAAUGAUUGCUAUAACGCUCUGCUACCUGAAUGUUAAUAAGCAAAGAGGACUUAUGACAUUACAAAGUGUGAUGCAGUUUGGAUUCAACAAACAUAGUUAGGUUAAUUUGACUCAGCCUGUGCUGCACAACCAAAACCUGAUCCAAGGAUGUUAAUCUGCAGGGACGACCAAAAGCUGGUGGUGUGUGUAACAUUAGCAGCACUUGUCAAAUUAAUUUGACUACAGGCUUUCUGAUCCCCUGUUAAGCUGUGCUUAAGAAAUUGUGCUAAUGUCUGACAUUUUUAGAGGUGUUUCUUGCCUUCUGUUUUAACAUCCAGGAAAUAAGUCACUUUGUAACUCAAACCGAAAAUGUCUGAAAACUCUUUGAAAGGCCUCGCUGCUCCUUUUAUACACAACAGAAAAUGUCAGAGCAUUCUUCUACUGGGCAGCCUACUGUUAAAGCCCAUGGUUUAUUAAAUUCAGUUGCGAUUGAAAGAGUUUUAUUUGUCUGCUCAUGGUUUUGGGAUUUUAUGUCAGCGCCACAAUCAACUAACAGCCGAGAUGAGCAAAGGCAAUUUCAGCCACUGAGCACCAGGAUCAAACUUAAGAUAGUUUAACAUUCUUGGAGAAGUAGCUGUUGCCAAACAAGUGCACCCACAUCACAUCUGUUUGCAGCUUGUUAUUGUUCCUGUGCCUGUGUUUGACUGUUAUGUGUUAAACCUUUAUUUGUCUACAGCUUGUGGACCUGCGUUACGAUGCCAUCUGUGGUUGCUAGGGAGAUUUGGGACGCAGCUGCACACUCUCAGUUCAUGACUUGCUGUUAUGCCAGUGUAAUUUUGAUUCCACCAUCUUUGCUCUGACUCUGAACUCCAGCAGCAGACUGAGUCUUAAAAUGCAGUUCCAUCACAACGGCAAACAAUGCAACACAUAUCAAGUCUUUGUCUUCCUCUGACAGAAGAGAGAGUAUACUUUCUGAAAGGCUUUAGAGAAUAAAGCAUCUUUAAUGGAGACAUUUUGUGAUACAAGCACAAAGUAUUUGAAUGCAUUUUGUUCCCGAGUGAGUCAGUAGUACCUCAGUAGAUUUACAACUCACAGUUGUUUUUAUAAUCAUUAAUUCAAACACAUAUUUUCUGCAUUUGAUUUAUUAUUCAUUUGGUAUUUGAAAUUUUCAAAGGGCCUAUUGUCAAAAUGAAAAUGUGCAAAAGUUUUAGACCGCAAGUGGAUUUUCUUUUUGGAUAUUUUUGGUCCAGCUGUCAAAAAGUGUAACAUUUUAAUCAAACGCCGAGAAGUGCUGUAAAAUACUUGAAUAGUAAUCCUCUACUGGAGGAAAUCACCAGAGCAGGAAUGGAGUGAAUCAAUCCAUGACAUUCGAGUAGACAGCCAUCCAGUAUUUGGUCUUUGUGCACAGUAUCCAACUACCCUUUUCUUAUUGACAGGAACUUCGAGUUCCUAUUCCGAAGACCCAUGUGUCCUGAAAGGAUGAGUUCGCGCUUUUUUCUUUUUAUUGGAAAAAAAUAUAUACAUUUUCAAGUCCUUAAAAGGAGUCCAUUUAUUUUUAUCAUAGGUUUCCAAAAUGCAUUAACCAGGUGGUUUUAUUCAAAAGCAUUUCCAGGCAACUGCCCUCAGAAUUUCUAAAAUCAAGUCACCAGCAGGAUUUGUGUAAUUGUUCUGUUUACCAAGUCGAUGUUUCCAACCACCAAGAGAAUUUUAGUAAUCCAACAUCUGGAGUCUGGUUUAAAACGGAAACAAACUCAGCUAAAAUUAGCAGCAGCUUGGCUCACACACCCUUCUGGUGUCCUGUAUCUGUGAAGAACGUUUGAAAGACACUGAAUUUUAAUGUGGGAGUGCUUUAUCAAUGUGUCUUUACUAAAAAUGUUUUUCCUAAUAAAAAUGAAGCAGACUCUUAAUUCAUGAUGACAAAAUAAAAAUAAAAAACUGUUUUGUAUGUGAAUAAAUCCUCAAGUUUAACCAGAGACCUGUCUGGUUACAUCAGGUUUCCAUUUUUAUCAGGAUACAAGUUAACCUGAUUACAUCAUCAUGUUUCAUCCAUAAAAGGACUCUGUCAACUAGACUGUGUGGAGAGUCUAGUCAUGUCAAGGUGACAGAGUAGUUCUGUUGAAUAACCUCAAUAUUGACUAAAUAAAUCAUCUUUACCACUGUAUGGGGUCUUUGUCCACAGAAUCAACACGACACCAAUAAUGCUUUGAUCGGAAUAGGGUCAGAGGUCAGGCACAGCCAGUACUGUUGACUCUAUAUGAAGAUGGACAAUGUCAAUCCACUCUCUCGCAUUGUACAAAAAGGAAGCCAAGGUAUUGGUGUUAUCCAACACUGGUGAUAAUAUCGAGAGCCAGACUAACUAACCAAUAAAACGGCAAAGAUCCCUCAGGUCACAGCUUAAUGUGAUGCUUGCGUCAACACUGAAAAGUUCUGUCACCAUCCUUUCCCUACCCUGGUAGUCUGGUUCAGCACUCUAGGAGCACCAUUUGUCAAUAAAGCUGUCAACAUGACAACCUCUUUUUAAAGCUCCAGUUAACUGAUUUAAACUGAGCUUUGUGAAAAACAAACACUUGAGCACAAUUAGGCAGGAUAUGAACAUAAUACAGCAGGAGAAAUCCUAGUCUAAAAUGUCAUGUCAAGUUUCAGCCAAGACCCAUCUGUUUACAUGGAGAGGACAGGACAGACCUCUUCUGUAGCCAUCUGCAAAGGGAUAAAGUUGGCCCCACAGUACAAGAUUUAGGGUCUAAUUUGCCACCUCCAAUUAUUGGGGGUACGGCCUGAUUAGAGGAUUGACACAACCAUCUAUGUGUCCAUAUAGUCCUCAGGUGUGUGGUGUCAGCAUGACUAUUUCACUGCUCCCCUGACCUGUGAUCCGACAUUUCAAACAUGUUUAAUGUCUGAUUGAUACUGAAAUGGUUCCUCUCUUCCUCUUUGUUUGCAGAACACGCACCAGGACCAGCCAGCUGACAUUGCUGAUCAUCCUCCAUGUUUGUACAGGUAAGUCCUCUCAAGUCAUGUUUGGUCCUGCAGCUUUUGUGUGAGUUCUUGUGUUUUACUCGAGGAUUGUAAUGUUAAAAAAAUCUGACAGAACUGUGGGUUUGUGUGUGUGGUUCUUCAUGCUUCUCGAACAAGUAAAGAUCUAAAAGUCAUCUUGGCUUAAGGUGGAUGUUUUGGUUUCACUAUAAGGGAGUUGUCAUUUCAUCCUGAGUUUUUACAGUCCGUUUAACAUUGUGAGGGUCCUUUCAACAUUUCAUGUUUGCAGUAAAUAUCAAGUGCAUAAAUGACGCUAAACUCCAAAUUAGUUUCCCCUCCUUGCUUCCCCUCCCCCUCUUUCUCUUUUCCUCACCAUCACUCAGUUCCAGUGAUCACCUUGCCAACCACCUCCCUCUGAGACAUUCAAGCUGAUGGUUUGAUCAGACAAAAAGGGAAAUUACUAUCAUGGGACUCAGUGAUUGAUGGCUCUGGCUAUCCGUCAGUACACCGCAGGACAGGGGGAGAGGGUUCAGCCUGGCAUCCGUAAUACAAAUUCAACACAAACAGGGCUGACACUUAUCUGCAGUAUCAUUUACAUACGUCUUUCACCAUUUAAUUCUAUAUGAACAUGUCAAGCUAUUUUGCAUUAGUGUCACGCUUGUCCUUUUUCUCUGUGUUCUGCAAUACAUCACAAUGUGACUAUCAUCAUCAUCUGAGCUGGCAGCGGAAAGAGAGGGUGCUGGUCAGCAAGUCUGUAGAAAAGAGAGAGGUAGUUUUUAUUGCAUGAAUGACGGGCAAAUGAAUUGUUUUAGUAGAACGCAAAACAAUAGAAUUAGAGUUGUAACAUGAUACGAUUCAGGAACAUUUUAGAGUCCUUUUUUGGGACUGCAACAGAAAUAAUUACUCCGUUUACCUCAGGAAGGAAAUAAUUGGUCGGUGUAGGUUUACAUUUUUGCAUAAUAGUUUUAAAAUCGCCUUAUUACUGGAGAGAUGCAUGAUUAACUGUUGCUGCCUGCCAAUUAUUUUCUCAUAAGUUAGUAAACAAUUAUUAAAGAGCGCCAUAUGACAUUUGACCCGCUGUCUGACUUUUCCAAAUAUCACCUACAAAAAAAACUACAAUUGGAUUAUGGAUUUUCAUCCAAAAAUAUUUGUGUGACAUGUUAUUGAGUCAACAAAGAUGCUGGGUGUGUACUGAUUGAAAUUAUAGUUGCAGCAAUCCUUCUCUGAACAACAGCUUUUAUUUCUGCGGUGAGGUAAGGCCAAGAACACAAAGCAGUCUUUUCUCUCUCAACUUUUCUGUUGUGGUGACACGCGCCUCAGGAAGAGAAAAUGAUCACCGCUUCUUUCAUGUGUUGCACUGCAUUGUACUUUAGCUGCUCUGAAAUAUCUAUUAGACUAUUGAGUCAUUUUUGUUUGAGCGUAUUGAACGGCUGCAAUUAACGUCUGCUCUGAAAGUCGACCUGCCAUUGAUUAUUGGAAUGACUAAUUGAUGAAACUUUCAAUGAAAUGCACUAUUAAAUAACAAAUCAGGUAUUGAAUUUAACACUACUCUUAAAUCUUAACAUGCCAUGAAAAUCAUGAUUCAUGUAAGACAGACCAGUUAGUUUCACUGUGAACUUUAGUAACUUUGUUUAGUAUUACUUUGCUUCUUUGUUUCGCGGUAGGGGUGAAGACAAAGAGAUUAAAAGGAGAGCACAGAGCUUUGGAUUGGGGCUGCUAGGUUAUGGUAUGACUCAUAAUUACAAUUAUGUUGAUUGAUAUUGAUAUCCAUGAUAUGGCACAUGCAUCACAUGCAUUUAAGUAACUUAAAACCCUUUAAACCUAAAACUGUGAUUUGAGCUAAAAACUUCAUAAUCACAGUUUUAGGACCACUGAUAACACUUUAAGAAGUAAUUACAAAAAAAAACAAUCAGAGAGGGACUUUAAGGCUUCAAUACUUGGGCUUGUGUUUUAUUAUGAUUCAGGACAAUGUCUCUCAUGUUGUAGCAUAGCAGUCGUUAGCUUGUCAGCACUCUUCCAUGCUUGUGCUGUUUCUACAGCGGCUCUGAUCUCAUGCUCAGUCAGACACACACAGAUCCACUCACAUCCCUUGUUCCUCUCCCUGCUCUCCUCUCUCCACCUGUGGCAGCCUGAUAGUUUGUUCAGCUGUUUCACAAUGCGCUGAUGAUACAGCGGUCCGUCAUAAAUCCUAGUAAAACACGUAACACGUCAACAUUGAUCUGAGCUGCUCAUGAUAGAGUGAGAGGUGUUUGAAGAGAGGGUCACGCCCACACUCUGGAGGUGCUGUUUGUUCCAUGUAUGAGUCAUGAGGAGGUCAACACAGCAGGCCGUUUUAAUGGUCUUUUUUUUUUAUGAUCACAGGGAGCCGUAAUUGAUAUUAAACCAGUUAAUAUUCAGACAGAUAAACAAUAUCUUCCCUUUAAAUACUCACACAAGCCUGACAUGGUCUUGCCUUGAGUAAGUUCUGGUUUUCUGAUUGGACUGACCGUCUUUUUUCUCAGCUUCGACAGUAAAAUCCUGCUGACUUUCUAAAGGUUAUAUGACGAGAUGAUUUGCACAGGAAGCCAUGUUGCUAUAAUUUGUAUACUUGUUGCGUCCUGUGACAUUUUUGUGGGCAUGUCUCUCCGGAAAGAUAGUAAGUCUGUGAAAUAGCAUGAAAACAUGUACGAUAACAUCACAGACUAAUAAUUGACUACUUAAUUUGUUGUUGACCUUGUCGUCUAUGCUGACAAGCCUCUGCAGUCUGUAAUAUUGUCUUUUACUUCCUCCAAGUUCAUAUUAAUUCUACCCAUGUUUUAUAUUCUGUUUUUAUGUUCCUGUUUGUUCCUCUUUAUCUCGUCUAAUGCCUUUGUGUCUUAUUCAAAGCCUUUUCUUUGUACUUGAAAGGUGCUAUACAAAAACAUUUUGCUGGCCUUGCUUUGCCUUGUUUGUGGCUUAUUUUUUUGAAGGGAGGAGAGGUGCAACACCGACGCAACAUCUUGGCUCAGCAACCACCGAUUUGGUUUUUGUCUGCAAACUGAGUCGGCAAGAACUUGUCAUAGUCAUUUGCUCCAGGAGACUACACAGAGCAGCACCCACAGCUGCUGAAUUCAACUCUUUCUCUCCCCUCCUCUCUCUUUCUCUCUCUCCUUUCCACUCUCUCGCCCUUCCUUUGUGUUUUUGGUGUGAGGCGGCAUGCUGACUUGCACCUUAAAAGGUCUUUUGGCAAGCGUGUGAACAGAAAAUUGCGCCCAAACCUUUGACCAGAGUCUCCCUAAACAGUGGGGCUCUGCCUGCAACCAUGAAUAACACUGGGUGUAUUUGAGGCACUCCUGUACCUCUGCACCUAAGCAUCCUGCAAGGGAAAACAAGCUUAGAAAUGCAACAGUGCCCCCACUUGGCUGACAGUGGGACCACACCAACAGGCGGCAGUCAUUCUUGUGGGCACCUGAAAUAAACUGGGAUGGAAAUUUGUCAGGGGUUGAAUUCAGGAGCAAAGUGGCAGGAGAUGCUUGAGGUGAUUUGUGGGCAUUUUUAGACAGCUGUGAAGAGGUUGGCAGUGUUGCAGGGUGUGCAGAACGUUCAGCUUUCCAGCUAACAAGGCGUAGAGGGGGGCCUCGGAGGAAAUAGAGCUAUCCCGGAGGUAAGAGGUGAAUGCUGACACUGUGGAAAUUGAUUCCUGCUUAAAAUACCUGUGGCUGGUGUGUGUGGUGAAUAUGUGAACAGGAAUUAGAUACUGUUGCAUUGCUUUUCAUCUGAACACGCUUGCUGUUAUGUUGUUUGGGGUUCAGUGCAUUACUGUAGAUGCAGCACUUAACUGUGAGCCUUAAAUCUGCAUCAGGUUAGGAUUGCAUGCAUAUAUAAUGAAUAAUGAACCCGCUGAUGAAAAUCAUGUCUUUGCGUGUCAGUCUGUUUUUGAAAUGCUUGAUGAUGGUCACAGUAAUUACUGAAUUCUGCAGUGUUAAUUAUAAUACUCACAUGCACCAGAAAAUCAUAAUGAACAACAUUUAUUUCCCUAUUUGUGUUCGUGCGUGCGUGUGUGUUUGAAGUCGUGUAUGUGUGUGACAUUUGAAGGAUGACUAAGCUACAGGGCAGCUCACCCAGUGAAGAGGAGACAUUUUUUUCCUCCAACCAUUUGACUCAUCUCCUGCUACAUUUAGAUUCAGGCAGCAGACAACAAACUGAUUAACUUUAAUUUUCGAUGAGAUUUGAUGUUGUAUUCUGAUGUCUUAACAGUGACUGCAAGCAAAGAGAGCUGCACUUAAAGUUCAAAUAUAGCUCGUUCCCUUGUGCUGUCUGAUGUGGAAGUAGAUUUGUUUACCUCUUCUGAUUGGAUGGUAUUUCAGGACAACAGAAAUUAAUUCUAAGAAAAGUCUGACGCAUCAUUUGGUGAAAAAAAACUCUCCGGGGAAAUGGCCAGACAGGUUUCAAUAGACCACACUGAAUUUGUAUUUCCUUAGCUUUUUUAAAAAAGUGCUCACUCACUUACAUUUCUCUUUUAUCAGUGUAUUUAUCUUACAUCAGUAUUUGGAGGAAAUAAGGAGGCUGGCAUUAGAGGAAAAGCUCUGAUAAAAGCUUAGAGUCCAAGUUAUGGACCUGCUCUUCAUUAUUAGAAGUUUCUAUCCUUAUUUAAACCCAUUGCACCACACUGUUUAAAAUAUAUGAGAAGGCUCUAUUUUUAACUUAUUUUGGCCAAUGCUGAUCCAAAAAUAAAUAUAUAUACACACCUGAUUUUGCUUCUCAUCUGUACUAGAAUCUUCUUGUUACCCUUAAAGUGACAGUAUGUUUGUUUUGUCUGAUUCCACCAUUCAAGAUAAAUUUAAUCCUCUUCAAACAGAGACAUUCAAAACAUAGUCACUGCAGUAUUUUUCAGCUUUGUCGAGUGACUGAAGUUGAGGCUGCUGACGGGUUUCUGCUGACCCUGAUUCUUUCUGGUCUUUACAUUUCUCAGUGCUGUUUAGGAUCAUAGAUGCAUAAUUCAGUUGAUUGUGUUAUAAAGUGUUGUUUUGUUUAUCAUUCAGUCACCUGUGCAUUCCAUGAAUUGCCCAUCAUGCUGUAUGUUUAUGACACUUAAGUAUACUUGCAUUCAACCAACAUGUUGAAGCUCAUUAUUGGGGCUAAGUUGUCAUAUCAUGUACAUAAUUAAUAAGUCACCUGAGCCCUAUGAGUGCAAAUUUUUCUAUCUGCCAGCAAAGAUUAGGAACUCUUUAAUGAUUUUAUCUGCUAAUACUAAUAUUAUACUGAUAACAUUAUGCAUCCCUGAGGAGUGUACUUGACAUAGCAAAAGUAAAGGUGCCAAGAAAAACUGUCUCAGAUGUCACCACCACCUUUUUUUUUAUGAUAGCACAUUUUCCCAUCACAUAAUAUUACAUCUAGAAAGUUGCUUGUCAGUGUUUGAUUUCAAGUCUGUGAUUAAAUAAUCAAACUCAUUGUUUUUCUUUAUCUUGAGUUGUGAAAAAAACAUGCAUCUGAAAACAUGGCUGGCCUAGAUAAUCAUGUACAGUAGAUUGUAAUGUGCAAAGAAUAAUGGGAUCGUUUGUGACUUUCUGUUUUUUUUUUUGUUUUUUUUUCAAACUCAAAUAUUUCCGUUUUAAUAAUUAUGGACAACUUGACAGAAAUUUCAGAGUCCUUCGUGGCAACGUUUCACUGCACCAAAUGUUUAAUUGCUUACCUUUAAAUGAUCAAACAUUACCAUAAGUACAGGAUUUUUGUAUUUUAUUGGUUGGUGGUGUUAAAUUGUCUCAUUAUUAAAUAGAAAAAAAUAUAUCAUAACAUAAUAAUAAUAAUAAUAAUAAUCUUUAUUGUCCCCAAGGGGAAAUUUGUUUUCACAGGUCUUAUUCAAACACAACCACGAGUACAGACAACACAUAUCAUAUGACACAAAACAUAUUACAAGGACAGGCCAUGAGAACCCCCCCAGAAUACCAAGAGACCAUCCUAGCGGAGAGGCAGUUUGAGCUUGUUUACUGCGGCGAUGGCUGUUGGGAUGAAACUCCUACUGAACUGGAUUCUCUUCCACCUGGGUGAUCUGUAUCUGCGGCCUGAUGGCAUGAGGUCGAAGUGAUGAUGUAGAGGAUGCUCAUUGUCACUUAUUAUUGAGAGUGCCAAGCGGGUGAUGGCCUUAUUGUUCAGAUCGGCAAGGGUGGGUGUGGGAAGUCCGAUAACCUUGGAAGCAAUACGGGUGAUAUUGUGCAGUUUGUUUCUAUUUGGCAUGGACAGUAUGGUGAAGUAACAUGGUGAGCAGUACAACAGAAUGGGUUGGAUAAUGCUUUUGUAUAGUAACAGCAAAAGAUGAGGGCAUUAUAUAUCAGCCACCAGCAACCUGCAUUCUCCUAACUGGCAGUAGAAAAAAAAUGACAUCUUUCAACCAAACUUUUCAACAUUCUUUAUAUUCUGUGAGGUUAUCAACGCACAGAUGGUGAAACAAGUUAGUAUUCGAGUUAUUUUGAACAGCAACUGUUUUUCUGCAUAGUCUGCAGAUUGUUUUUCUGAAACAAUUAGCAAUUCAACAAAAAACAACUGAGACUUAGACAACUAAGUUAGCUUAUAUUGUUGUGAUGUGUGAACACUGCAUGUGCUCUCAGUGGGCAUGCUCAGCCAUCUGCCCCGUUCAGCUUGAGAAAUGCUCCGUAGAAAUGAUGGGAGUGGACUCACAUGGUGUGUUCUGAUCGCUCUCUGCAAAAUGAGUGACAUACUUCAUUUUGUCAUUUUGCAAAUGAAAGUAUUAUCUUAAAUGGCGUUUAUUUCACACCCCUACAGUCGACUUCUUUGGCCAACCAAAUGCUAGUCAUGUUUACCUCAUCAUACCAACUAACCAAUAUUAAGUGUUUUUAGUAGGGCCCGACAAAUAUGGAUUUUUUUGGGGCUGAUGCCGAUACUAAUUAUUAGGAGGGAGGGGGAUCAGAUUUUUAUUUUUUUUUAAUGAAGUUAUAAAAAAUAUACUUAUACUGUAGAUAUCUACAGUAUACUAUAAACUGUAUAUAUACUGUAGGCUACUGCUUUUCACGGCAACAGGAAGACCGAUUGAUCAAACUCGGACCAGAAAAGCGUUAUUAAUAACCCCCCGCGCCGAUCGGUGCCUCCGCGUCUUAACUCACGUUACUCGUUUCCGGUCCGGUCUCAUCAGGAGACAUGCAGCUGCCUCAGUAAGAGAAGUAGCUCGAUCACUAAUGUGUACUGUUAUUUAUUCUACCAUUACUGGCACGGCUAACAGUGUAGCAAGGCUAAUAGCAGAUGGCUAACUCUAACUUUAGCUUGCAUAUUAUCAAUCAAUCAAAUCAAAUUUUAUUUAUAUAGCGCCAAUUCACAACAGUCGUCAUCUCAAGACGCUUUUCAAGGAACAAGAGCAGGUCUGGACCAUGCUCAUUGUUUGAUGAUCAAGAACCAACCUAAGAUGGGUUUUGGCCCAUCUCAACUAACAUGAGUUACAGUGGCAAGGAAAAAUUUCCUUUUAACAGGCAGAAACCUUGGGCAGGACCAGCCUCAUGCUAGACAGCCACCAUGCCGCUGCUGGGUUGGGGAGGAAUGUAGAGAGAAGAGGGGAGAGGGGGAGAGGACAGGGGGAGGGAGAGAGACAACAAGAUAGGGGAAAGGCGAGAGAGAAUGAGUAUGGAGAGGGAGGGGGAGUUGCUGUCUGCAGCAACAGUCCAGAGGAGCCAAAGAGCCAAAGAGUUGGAGGAGCUCAGGGCCCAGGGUGGAUGCAGCUGGGGUCAGGCAGUUCCGCAGCAGACCUGUUUGCAGCAUUAGUCCAGUGGCAGCUAAAAGACUCAGAGACACUCAGAGAGACAGAAAACUGGUCAGUGACUUAUAUGGGACAUAAAGAUCUAAAGAGGAGAUAGAGACAGACUCUAGCUCAGUGUGCCAGAUAGCCCCGGCAGUCUAGGCCUAUAGCAGCAUAACUAAGAGCUGGUUCAAAUCAGCCCUGACUAUAGGCUUUAUCAAAGAGGAACGUUUUAAGUCUACUCUUGAAAGUUGAGAGUGUGUCUGCCCCCCGAACCUCGAGCGGUAAAUGAUUCCAGAGAAGAGGUGCCUGGUAGCUGAAAGCUCUUCCUCCAAUACUACUUUUAGAGACAUUUGGUACAACGAGCAGACCUGCAGACUGUGAGCGUAACGGUCUAGAUGGAAAGUGGACGGACCACUCUCCUCCGUGCGUCCCUGAGCUGCCUGCUUCAGAUCCGUCACUCUGCUGUGCUGUGAGGUAGUUAGUGGAUGAAGAUUGUCAUGAGGUCGCUGCGCCAUCUACUGGAUGAGUCAGGGGGAACUUUUAAAGUGGCAGAACAUUGUCGAAGUGAAACCGAAUUUUAUUCUCCACAUUUUAUUUCUAAAAAUAUCGGCAAAAAUCUGCGAGUUUUGGCUGAUUACCAAUUAGUCUCAAACUGGCUAAAAGUAGCUGAUAUAAUCGUCUCGCUGAUCAAUCAGUCGGGCCCUAGUUUUUAGCAAUACCGUUGUAAGUUGAGUGUUAAUUGUCAGUGUCAUGUUUACGUUUGUUAUAAGUUUGUCUGCAGGUCUGAAAGUAUUGUACUUUUAUUGUUCAUGAAGUUGCAUCAGGUAAUGAAAGUUAGUCUAAGAAGAAAAUAGGCGAAAAUAAAAUACUCUGGACCCAAAGUACAUUUUAUAGGCUGAACAUGCCCGCUGAGAUCCCCCAGAUAUUGCAUCCCCAAAGUGUUGGAAUAUUUUUCCAUGGAUGGCAUGUAUAGAUAGAAAGGUGGCCAUUGGUUGGAAAUCAAAUCUGCCGUUUAUUAGUUUUGUCUGCCUUGCAUUCAAAACAAGUGAAAACAAACACACAGAAAAAAUAGAAUAAAGACACUGGACAUAUACCCAGUUCUGUAAAUAAUGAACUACUUUGCAUAAAUCUUCAGCACAGUAAACAUUACUCUCCCCUGAAGAUUGUGUGACCUCCAAAGUCUGGCCUCACCUUCGUUGCGUCUGUCUGAAUAUGUUUGGAAUAUUUCUCUCCAUAUGAUUUGACAGAUAGGAAACAAACAACAGCCCCCAGGAGGAGCUUCCCAUGUGAGCAACUUGCUGUGUGGAUACACAUACCAAGACACACACACACACACACACACACACACACACACACACACACACACACACACACACACACUCUUACGCACACCGUCUCCCUCACUUCAGUUCUCAUGCACACCUAAUCACACAGACACGCGAUUCCCAUGUGAGCGUCAGCAGAGGUGGUUUCAAUCUCAAUCAUUUCAGGACCACAUCUCUUCAUCUGUGUUCCUCUCAGUCUCCAUCUGUGUUUCUGUCUUUCUCCCACUCUUUCUGCCACCUGAGUGACCCCCCAGGAAACCCCCACCCCCUUAUUUUCGUGUUGCUGUUUGGUGUGUUACCGCUAAGCCUUUAGACACACAGCCCUCUGCUCUCUUUGAUAAUCUUACACCGUGUCUUCCUCGCCUCCAAUUCCCCUUCAGCGCAGGGUUGCUGCCUGCUUCCUGCCUGCUUUAACUGGCUCCUGACAGGCUGAAUGACUGACUGACUGGUUCAUUUGUAAACAUAUUGAAGGAGACGCCCUCAUCUGACUAGACAGGAAAUGAUGAUGAGUGAUGUCAGUCCACUUAGCGCCACAGUAAUCUUAUGACCAUCCGUUAAAUUUAACCACAGUAGCCGGAGACGCUUGCAAACGAAUGAUGAAGCUGAUACAAAGCCAGAGUGAUAGCAUAAGACAUAAAAUAAAGGAAAAUCAACAAACUCAAUAAAGUCAUUUUUGUAUAUUUCCUGGAGUUCAAACUCAUUUCUGAAUUUCAUGAGGCAUGACAGAGAUGUAACAAAUGCUGCUUAUGUAGAAAAGGAUGCCUGGAGCUGCAACAUAGCGGAACAAGCAGCCAGUGACCAGAAAUGACCUCCAGCCCCAGAGAGCAACUGCAGUGUUGGGAGCAAAGCACGCACUGAUUCGUUCUCUGUUGCUCAGACUAUGUGCUGUUGAGUUUUUUUGGUUGAACUGUGGCCCAGGCUAUAGCACGAGAUAAAGCAACUCUGCUGCCGAGGAAAGGCUGGCUGCAGAGUUUCUGCUGCACAGAGCGUGAUUGACGGCUGCACUGAUGAGAGGAACUGAGUUGUAAAUUUUGAAUAACUUGCUGCUAGCUCCAUGUUUUGGCUCACAAACGCAGCAAGGGACCAUUUCUUCAGGUGUAGCAGACUCGCACUUACAAGCGCGAGCUGUAAAAAAACAUUUUGCUUUGCCUAUGAGGGGUGGGAAAUACGACCUGAAAUUAAUAUCACAGUAAAUUUUUUAGCUUUUUGCUGCAACAGUGAUAUAUGCAGGUAUAAUAAACUGAAAAAGAGACUGCACGUACAUAUGCAUAUUCACUUGCUAUGUGCCCUCUUUUCUGCUUCUAACAGGCAUGCAAUACCAUACUCGACUCAUGUAUGUAUAUCAGUCACUCAGUAGUAGCGUGCAGUGAAUUCAUUUAGGUUAACCGCACUAUGAGACUUUUGAUUAAGUCUCAUUUAUAUUUCAGUCAGACUAACGCAUUGAUGAUUGAUUUUUUGACCAACUUGUAAACCUACUGAUUAUUAGACGGUGUUUUUUUUCUAAAGUCCCUAGGUGUUCGAUUCUCAGUAUGUUAUGUCUAAAAAUCAACCAUUUUCUAACAUGGCUGUGUUGAAAUAAAGGCACUCUAAAAUCAAACUCAAAACGUUCCUUUUUAGUCGUGCUUUUAACUAAAUUUUAUAUCACUAACUUUGUUUAAGUGUUUUAGCAUUUAUUUCUUCUAGUUUUAACGACAGGAUCGUCCUUUAUUGAGCUAUUUUGGUGCUCUUAUUUUAGGAUCUUUUACUGUUGUUGUUAUUUUAUUUUAUUUGUUAUUUCUUAUAUUUUAUUCAGUGUUACUUUGUUUUUAGAUUUUAACCUAACCUCCAGUGUUUCCUUAUCUUGAGUUUUAAAAUGGCGUUUCCUCGAUGCGCACAUUCUUGUUUCUAUGAAAUCAAGCCCUCUUUAAGUUCAUGCAUUUUAAAACUGUUUCUUUUGCGUUUAGAUCGUGGGGUGGGAAUGAGGGGUUGGGUUGGAGUAGAUUUGGGUUUUCUUUGUUUCUUUUAUUCCUUUUUCUGUGUGAAGCACUUUGUGCUACAUGGCUGUGUAUGAAAAGUGCUAUAUAAAUAAAGACUGAUUGAUUGAUUGACUGUAACAAAAUAAUAGCUGGAGAUUUCAUUGUGCAGUUUGUCAGGACUGACAUUUCUUUAUCUUAAAAUUAAUGAGCUAUAAUGGUAGGAUCAUAAAAAAGAGCGGAUCGCCAUGGCCUCUGACUGUGUCUGUGGUCUGAAGAUGGGCGAGCUGGACAGACAGUCAGUUCAAAGCUUUUUAAACUGCAUCAUCAACCUAAUUAAAAGUUAUGAAACUGAGGUUUUGACACAGAUCUAGAGUAAAUGUCAGAUACUCAACUGAUUCCACCCUGUAGCUUGUUGCGGUUUUGUCACCAACAAGUACCAGCAAAAAAAGUCAUCAAUAGAAAUGAGAGCGAUGCAUGAAGGCAGAGAGAAUUGGCCGUCUCAGCACACUUGUUGCACAUUUUGCCUCUCAACUUACUUAUCCAGCUACAGGAGUGUACAGACCGUACUUUGAGUAACAAGCCAGAUGCACCAGUCGACUGAAACUGGUUCACUGCCUAUCCGAAAACCUGGCAGGAACUUGAGAGUUGGGUUCAAAUCUGAAGCUGAACAAACUGUGUGUGCGAACUUUGAACAACUUUAUGAACUAUAAAUCACUUUCCUGUUGAUCCGUCCACAAUGGGUUAACUUUUAACCUUUAAAGAUUUAGCGUUGCCAAAUUUUAGGAGAAUUUUUUUGGCUGAGUUUAGCUUUAAAAAUGAAACGGCACAUCUGCACAUCAUCCAGGGCCUGCAUACCAGCUGUAGAGUUGAUCUGGAAGCUAUGAGGCAGAUGGGGUUCUAGUCAGAUUUCAAGCUUUUUGGCACGCAGCAAAGAAGAGACUGGCUUCAGAAAAUGAAUGCGGCAAUUAAGGCCCGCAAAAGAAGCAAUCAGAGUUAUUUAGACAAGGGAAAAUGAAAACUUAACUACCUGGUGAUAUUAGAAAAAGGUUCACUAAAUCUGAUGCUUUUAAGGCCUUCUGGGACAAACCAGACUUUCAGUGUAAUAAAACGAUGCAAAAGAGAGGGCCCGAUGGGUUCUGCAGACAGUGAAGUAACUAUUUCAUCAUGGCAAUAUAUGGCUUUAUUGAUUUACUCUUUUCUUUUGCAGCAUCUGUUUAUCGCUGAGCCAUAAUCCUGCGCAUCCCCCGUGGGGAUUUAUUCAUGAGAUACACUUUUUUUCUGCAUGAAACUUUUAGCUAUGCAAGCAUGAGCUGUGACACUAAGUGCUUUUUAAAAAUACAUUUUCUGAAAACAAAGACUUUUUUUUUCUCUUCAAAGAGCGAUCAAAGCAUGCUUAAUAUGUCAGAAUCAAUCAGCACAAAAUGAUGAAACGAGCUGCAAACAAACAGAAAAGCACAUAUGAGAGCGACCACGUUUUGCUUAUGGAGCACAUUAUGAUGCCAAGUUCAGAUCCUGUGUAGCUGAAGGAACCUGCAGUUUGAUUGAUUCGCCAAAGGUCCCCAAUUAUCAGGCUUGUGUGUUUCUGUAAUCCAAGAGCUUCUAUAGAUGCAGCAGUCACCCUUUUCACUUUAACAACCAUCCUGUCAGUUUAGAGUCUACAGAAAAAAAACAUCAACAUAUGAAAAUCUCAAGGACGAUCAAUAAUCUAGUUGCCUUACCUUUCUCAGACACAACAGAAGAGGAGGCGAAAUUGGUUGACCGCGGUGUAUGAUGAACCAUUUUCCAGCCCGAUUGGACUUCAGUGACCAUCAGAAAAAGCUCUUACUCCGCAUCAGGUAAUGGUUAGCUGCCCUCCCCAGUAAUAUUAGAUGUCAUUCAGCGAGGCUGCCAUGGGGACAGCAAUUACCCUUGUGCUAAUGUCUGCCUCCCCGCCCCCACCCCCCUCUGCCCACUGGCUCCAUGAUUUCUGCUACCCGCUCCGGCCAGCCACUCUGUUUACAGUGGAGACCUCAUCACACACAGAUCCUCUAGAUUAGAUCAGAACUCUGACCUGCAUGUCUGAACGGGCUCAGCCUCCGGCUAAUGGCCAAAGCUGGCUGCAGAUCAGACAGAAGUACACACACACAUAGACAAAAAGCAGCUACAGGUACACACCUUUAAAGAUAUAAACCUUGAUGGUCACAGGAACAUCUGUUUGAAGACACACAAAGACCCGGAUCCACGAAUACCGUCAGGCUUCAUAACGAUGAAUUAUUUCAUAUUCAGAAAAAUCUGCUGACCAUUUUCUUUUCCUGCUUACUGUCAGUGUCAAGUGUCUGAUGAAAAUCCCUCAUUUCUGAGCAACAUCGUAAAAGAAAGGUAACUCUUUAUUUGAUGCUUAUCUCUAUAACACAUUAUUAAUAUAUGUAUAAUGCCUUAUAAUCAUGUUAUAGCACUGUAUGACUAUAGUUAUAAACACUCGUAAAUGAUCAUAAUGCUUUAUAGCAAUAACCAUAACACAUAAUAAAGCAUUUUAUCAUGACUUACAAGGUCAAGUAUUAUAAUGUGUUAUGCUUAUUGUUAUAAAGCCUUGUGAUAAUUAAUGUGUGUUUAUAAUGGUAGUUAUACAAGUUUAUAAACAAAUUAUAACACAUCAUAAAUAUAUGUAUAAUGCAUUAUCUAUGUGGGCAUUGUCAGUUAAUGAGUGUUUAUAACUAUAGUUACAAAGUAUAGUGGUACAGUAUACUGUGCUAUAACGUGAUUAUGACGCAAUAUACAUAUAUUUAUAAUGUGCUAUAGAGAGUGUUACCAAAAGGAUAAAUGAUAAUAACUGGCUAAUCAUGAGACUGGACAAACAGACAAUAUUCUGUUUGGGCUGGUGGAUUUUUGCUUUUUCAUUCAAGCCAUGAGUCAGUCUGUUUUAUGUAUUUACUGCAACCAAGUGCACAUUGUAGGCGUCAGCACAUCUGUGUGUUUUGCCAAGCACAGAGCUGAAGUAUCAUGGAGAAAGCUAAUUGCAAAGGCUUUGCAGUUUGAAGGUAUUUUUUAUGCUUAUUACACCUACAAUUCAGGCAGCAACUUGCAAUAUGUGCAAAGAUCGUGUUCUGAGCGAAGCAUAGCAAAAUAUAAUGGAGUUGAAUUGAGCAUUUUAAGAGUCAUUUUACCAAAGAAUUCAGUUUAACCAAAUAAAAACAGAAACCAAAACAAAGCGGUACGUGUUGUUGACUGAAGAAGUUUCCAGUGAUGCUUUAAAGUGUGUAGCAUAACAGAGAAAGUUCUUGGAUUUGCUCCUCCGGAUAACAAACACCUGCAGCUUGUUGUAACUGUGGGAUUCCACUGCCUGCUUGGACCCUUGGAACCCAGGCGCAGUUUACCACUGUGCAGUUAUUCUUUCCAACUCCGCUGUGCCAAGAGUUUGAAAAAUUGUGCAAGCACUUACCAACAGAGUAAAGAGAUAUAGCAGCAAUGGCCUUUACCACAGAAAUGUUGAACUCUGGUAACUGCAUGUUGUCAUUUACCAACACCAUAACGUCAAACCUUCCACAGAUAACACAAAUUUAAGUUUUCUUUUCACAUUUAAUGCAGAUUUUGUCAUGCAGGAAUUCACAAUGAACCACUAUUCCUGUUCAUUUUUGACGAUUUAAUUUCCAAACUGCAGAUACAAAUUUAUUUUCCUCAAUCAAAUAAACAAUGACACAGUCAGUUUAAAUCAUAGACUGUAUAUACUGUGGACAACUUGGUUCUGCCUUCCGCCAUGAUACAGAUUUGAAGCUGAAAAAGCUCUCGGUAAUUCCACAUUUUUUCUUCAAUUCCUGAGCCAUCAUUACGCAGUAGCAUUGUAAGCAUUCGGCAUGAGAGUCACAGAAAGUUGCUGUGAUGACGCUCUCAUCGCCUCUGAGUGAGCUAUGCAAUCUCUGUACGCCCAUGGGCUGUAUCAAGUGUCAAUCAUAGAAAACAUGAACCCCCUAAUAACUUUUAAAAAUGGAGCUGCCCAGAAAAAAGAGGACUUGAGCACAAACCAGUCUUACAAUAACUACAUGUCAACAUCACAAGCAGGGGGGAGAAAAAAUUAUAUUGUGUGUAAUAAAUUUCUAAAGUUUGUCCACAGCUCCAUAGGGAUUUCUGGAGGAGGUGCGAUUCAUGACCUAUACUGCAGCCCGUCACCAGAGGGUGCUGUUCUCAGGUGGCUUCACCCAGUGAGGAGGUAGACGGCGUCCAUUUUAUAUACAAUCUAUGCUUUAAAAUGAGAGUUUAUUUAUUAGUCACAUUGGUUCACAGUGUCAGCAAAGCCAAAAAAAGCAUGGAUCAGUGCAUCCUUGAAGUAAACAAGACAAAAGCUGAAGCCAAAACUUUUUCAGAAACAGUCCAUUCCUGUUUCACCACCGUGUGCCUACAUUAUGUAUAAAAUCUUCCAGCUCUAGUAAGCCUGCGUGUUACAUUUCUUAGUCACAUUCAAAGGUUACCUAUAAAUGUUUAUGCCUGCAAAAUCAACACCAGCUGUUCAAGUCUCACUUGCUUAUAGGAGGCUGAAAGAUGUACUGUAAUGUGCAUGCAUGACUUAAAAACAAAGUGUUGUUUGUACAGAGUUUACAGAGAGGCUAACACAUCAUCAUAGUGCAACUAAUUGAUGUUCAGAAUGUUCCAUACAAACAAACGUAUCGCACUGAGUAGGUGCUCCGCAUCGCAUAUGCAGAGGACGCAGGGGAAAUCAGCCUCUAUAGCUUGUACUGAUGAGACAGAAGCUUAUGGGCUAAACACUUCCUUUCCAGCGAGCUCUCACGCACUAUCUGUUGUAGCUACGGCAUCCUGAGCACAAAGACGCAGCAGAUGGGGGGGGGGGGGAGAGUAUAAUUGCACUGUUUCUUCUGAGACAAUGGAAUCAAUUUUUAUUCACACCAUCAGAGCAUGAAGUUCACAUACCGGCACAUGCAUGUGUGUGACAGAGGAUAACAACCCGGUUCUUUGACUUCUUGCUUCCCUUUUUCUGUGAUUCACUCAUGUAGCUGUCAUUCAGGCUUUUUAAAUCUCAGCUUGAGUCACAAGGGUCCCUGACAGAGUCAAGAUUGAGACCCCAAUUUCACCUGCAGUGAGAGCUGCCACCUUUGUUCAGAACUAGCAGUGCAUCCAUCUGCUUUCCACACACUAAAGGAGGCUCUGUAUUUGCUGUCUUGGGCGUACAUGAAAGGAAAAAAGAAAGAAAGUGGGCCUCAGAUUGCUUUGUAUAAGAUGAAUCCUAGUCAGCAAGGAGAGGGAUUACCUCACAGCAGGGGGUCCAGGUCUCAUUCAUCUCCCUCAGGCCUUUCUGGAGCUACGAAUAUUGAGAUGCAGUAACAGAAUUACUUCAUUAUUGGAUUCAAAAAGGGAGAAGGUGUUUAAAUAUUGGAAAUUCACUCACUGAAAUAACAUAGAAGAAUUUAUUUCAAUGACUUUGUUUAGCUACAGAGGUUCAGUGUUCAUAUGAGGGUGUUAGCAAAGGCAUCAGAUUUAAUGUAAAGUGGGGAGCCAAACAUGAAAAAUUCAUCCUGCUUUAUAUAAAUCUGAAGAUCUACAUGUGUAGCGUAGAUUAAAAUGUGCAUCUUUAUAGAUUUUAACAAUUCAUCAGCGUGAUGUCAGGCAAAUAUGUAAAUGCAAUGCAGCUACAGCACAUAGUGAUCACGAGAGUCCUGUGUGAAACUUUUACGUGAUGAAGUUGUCCAAACACACACACGUUUCUGCAUCUAUGUUUACCUUAAAUGUAAAUUGAUACAGUUAAGAGUUACAGAAGUGCAUUUGGAGCUCUGAACAUAAAGCACUUACAUACUGCCUCUUCAAGGUGCGAUAUUUAGGUCCCUGUUGUGUCUCAUCUGCAAUGUGUAACUCACUGGGCGCAGUGAUGGACCAAAGAGGCUCUGUCUUUCAUCCUCUAUCUGAGGUAGUAACAGAGGCUGAACGGCGGGAAGAAAGUGGCGAUGUGUAGCAUCAGAGCUGGCAGCACAGAAAAGCGCAGUUACUCUUUGUUUGACGGGGUGUUGUCGUUGGGGGAUAUACUAAAGGAUGGGAUAUUUCAAGGACAAGGACAGCAAACUUAUUGUGUUUUGUUGUUUUUCUAGUCUACAAACUGUGUUUGUGUGUUUAUUGGGUUUUGACAUGUUUGGAGUCGUUUUUGGGUGUCCAGGUAUUUUAUAUUUGUUCACCUUCUACAGAGACCAUAGCUGCGUUUACAUGGGUACAAAUAAUCGGAAUAAAAAUGCGUCAUGUAAACAUGUUGAUCGUAAGAUUCUGAUCCAAUCCGGCUCACUCAGAAAGAAAUUGUAUUCCGAUCAAGAGGGGUGGAUUAUGCCGAUCGUCAUUCCAAAAUGCAUCCAUGUAAACACUUACUACGAUCAUGACUCUCUUACCUGACUCGAUCUUCACUCUUUAGCCUUUGGGUUAUUUAUUGAGGCCAGUAAAGGAGGUUUUGUUAUUAACGCUCUGGCAUAAAACACAACCUCAAGUGCCGUGUCUGCUCCUCCGAUAACAAGGCGUACAUUCAGUGUAAUUAUGUCACAUCUGCACGCACAGUAAAACCUUUGACAGAACAGUAAAAUAAGCACGCAAGGGAGCCAUCUAGUGACAACAUUUAACAGGGGAGAAAAAUCCUGAAUUGGAUGGAGUGAGCCACUACCGGGUUUGUUGGUUUGUUGACGUACAGGCGUAAAAACAACUCAUCUCUAGCGAAAUCGGAACAAAUCUGUGCAUGUCCAAAUGCUCCUACUCUAAAUAAAGGUUGGUGCAUGUCAUGAUAGGAUUAUUUGGUUUGGUUUGGUUGGAUCAAGAAAUUUUGCACAUGUAAACAUGGCCAAUGCCAUGUGAUUGGAGUUCUUUCAGAGUUUUCAGAAAACUGAAUCUGUACCAAAUCAUCAAAUUAGCAUCAGAGAUGACUGGUGUGAAUUUGUAAUGUGUUAAUUAAUUAAUCAUAGAAAAAUAACAUGUAACACUAGAUAAACACACUCUGACAUGACAUCCCUGAUCAGCUGUCUACAGCAGAGGUGUAAACAUGAUCAAAAGUUCCGGCUUUAAUUUUAAUUAGCUUUAUUCUAUUUAAUCCAUGUGAGACAACAACAUCAUGAUGAUCUAUUAAUAAGUCUGCUCUCAGUCUUGGGCUUACUGUUGUGUCUGUACACACUGUUGAUCUAGAGACACACAUCCAAACUGUAAAACCAUAGAUUAGGGUGAGACCUUUUCUGUUUGUUAUGCUAAUGAAGACAGUCAACAGACGGUGAGACACAAACAAGAGGUAGGGCAGGGUACAAGUGUGCGUCUGUGUCUUUAUGUGUGUGUGUGUUGAAGAGAGGCAAGGUGAUCAGUGGUUGUGACUUUUGUUUACUCCCCUUUUUUUAUCAGUGGAAGAAAUUGUUUUUUUUUUAUUUAGUGGGCAACUAAAAAAAGUGAUAUUAUUCGAGGAGAUCUAAGAGCAAACUCCAGAGUUUAGUGAGACUCUGUGAGGCAACAGGGUUAACCCCCCUUCUCUCUGCCAGAAUAAACAUGACAGCGUUAAAUGAGGAUAUCGUGGUCAUUGUGUCUUACUCCACAUUUCCGAUCUCCUUUCAGCCAUUCUGUCUCAUAAAGGAAAAAAAUGCCCCAAACCAUAACUUUCAAAAAACAACGUCAACAAAACAGCAGUAAUGUUGUUCCAAAAACUUUGAAUUUCAAGCGAGUAUCAGAAGUCGUGGUCAAAGUUAAAGGCCACUGAAGUUGAAAUUGCUUUUUAUUCUGUAUUAAUUGUGAGCUGAAGCUAUCUACCGGCUGAACAAAAAAUCUUCUCUUCUAAUUUCAUGAAUUGUUUUGGUCCGGCCCUGAAACUUGGCGCAGGCACUUCCACCCGACAGUGAGUGAGGAGUGAGCGGUGCAGUAUAAUGUCAAGAUUCCAGAAAAAAAAAUCAGAGAGAAAGAAAGACAAGUGAAGGCAAAGGUAAGUUGACAGUAUGUGAACCAGUUCCUCUCUAAGAAAGGAGAAUCUAGGCUGUGAAUGUGACAAAUGAAACCAAGUUCAUGUGAGAUAAAGUUCUUUUGCUCCCCUGACAUUAGUUACCUCACAUAUUAGAGUGACCCUCUGAAAACUGAUUUGACACUGAACUCAAGUCUUGAAGUUUUUUUGACACACCUGAGAAUGUUUGAGUUGAUGGACUUUUAAGGGGUGCAAAACAUUGGAUACUUUAUCAUACAAUCACUAGGCUGUUUUAAUCACUAAAAAACUUGACCUAAGGUUUUGUUUUUUUAAGCUCAAAAUUAAAGAUGAUAGUGCAAAUUUAUUCAGUGAAGGUAACAUAUAAUCCAGCUGUACUUACUUUAAAGCUCCUUUGGCUUGGUUUCUUUAGCGUCAAGGCUGACACCUACCCCCUCACAAGGGUUUUGACGAUAAGAAAUUAUGAUAUAACAAUCAUCAGUCUCGUUGCCUGUGCUCUUGUUUGCCUUUGGAUAUCAAUGUCAUGUAAACUCUACCCCUCACAACCAGUUUUUCCCUCGGCUCCUCCUCUCCCCUCCCUCUCUGCUUCAGCAAGCCCCGCCCACAAACAGACACUUGUCUUCACUCGUAUCGUUUCAAUUAAAUUCAGAUAUAAUGCAGAUAAAUACUUCAGAUAUUUACAAAUGGGGUUUACAACACGCAGCAGGUCCCGUUUGACAAGAAACACUUCUGUUACAGACACUUGACUUACUUUGUUAAAGCGGUUUAUCUGUCCAGCAGAAAGAUUACAGGGUCUGUAAGAUCCUGAAGCGUCCCCCAUCAUUGUUGACCUAGCUUUUUUAGCUCUUGUCCGGUCUACCUCCUUUUUAAGCGCGCAUUAUUCCGCCAGAGUCUCCAGUAUUUACUUUGUUUUCUUGCUUGUGUCAGCAGUCGUGGCCAAAGGAGGAUUCAUACAAUUUUCCGUACUUUCCGGUUGGUUUCUACAGUCCGAUAUUGUAGCACGCUAACUUUGUUUGGGCUCGUGAACGACACGGGGGAGCAGCAUCUGCCUCACAACCAAUCAGGAUGGUAGAGGCGGAGAAUACGGCUUUGUUUACAGUCAGAAAGAGCGGGCCGCUCCGAAAAUUUUAAAAUGUCGACUACACAGCGAUAACAAAACACAGCGAUAUCGUUAUAUUACUAAAUGUCAUCAAUAACUAAUAGCUAUUGACUGAUAUUAAAAGCUUUUUGUAUAAACACCACAAAAAAGAUGCUUCUUUAACGGAUUCCUGCCUACCCCACCUUUAAUCAACAUAACUCUUUCAUGAAGUGAUUUUUAUUGUCUCUCAUCUUUGUCACCCUAAAAACUCUUUUCUGAUAUCGUAAGAAAACCCUCUGUCUAGUCUUACUUUCUCCUGUAUUUUCGACACCUCGGAGCACUUCAUCAAGUUGUUGUUAUGUAAGUGAUUGAGGAGGUGAGGAAAGGCUCUAUAGCGUGUUUUACUUUUCUGCGGCUUUCAUUUAUAUUUCAGUGGUAAUUACGCUAAUGUUCUCACACAAACCCAGUAAAAAGAUGAGAGUGCCCUUCACAUACCUGCCUAUACCCUCAAGUCUGCUUGUGAUUUCAUCCCCACUUAUCAGUCAUCGCCCACUUUCGAAUUACUGAACUGUCUGAGAGAGUGUUUUCUCCACUUCUCCGUACAGCUGUGCGUCGGCUAAAUGAUAGCUUUGUUCGCUUCAUUUCCCCUGUUGCGUAUAUCUUUGAGCUGGGAACCACAGGUGCCCUUUCAAGUAAUCCAUUUCCUCGUCCCAUAUUUGCAUACAUGCAUAAUUCAUGGCAAAAUGGCAUCCCAAAGAGAGGGUCCAAUGAGAGAGCACUAUUUUUAGUAUGCACCUGGCAUCAGUGCCGCCCAUCCUGAUACCUCAGGUUCAAUUACAAAGGUUUGGUGCUGUAGCAGCGUUGAAGGGCUGAGGUGUGUGGGCUGAGGGAGGAUGUGUAAAAAUAUCUAGCAGACUGUUCCCCAGAGUUGAAAGAGUUUCUCCUGAAUGCAAUCAGGCAAAUGAAAAUAUUAACAGGGCCUCUGAACAAAACAUCAAUCAGUAAAGGCAGCAGUGUGAGAAAAGAGGGUGCCGGCAUAUCAGGAGGGGAAACGCAGAAAAGCACAUUUUUAACUUCCCAGCACAACAAAGAAGAAUAAACAAAAGAAAAUACAGAUGAAAAGAUUUUCUUCUAUUUUUCAUUUUGACAAGUCUUAUCUCUCAGAAGUUUGUCCGUCUGUGUGUGUGUGUGUGUGUGUGUGUGUGUGUGUGUGUGUGUGUGUGUGUGUGUGUGUGUGUGUGUGUGUGUGUGUGUGUGUGUGUGUGUGUGUGUGUGCCUGUUCUCCCUAACACACUUCUCCUCUGCUCAAAUCAAUUACAUUCAGUUCAGGAGACUCUGCAGGCAUGACAGGAUUAAAUUGUCAAACUCAACAACAACGGUACACAUAUAAAAAUCUUAAAGCCGAUUUCCGCUGUGUGCGGUUUAUAGACGGUGUUAUAUGUAGAUAUGAUAAAGUCUAUUCAAAGAUAAGUCAGCCUUACAAAGCACUGAGUUUCAUCUCACUUGUUUUCCCUUCUCUGUCUCCCUCUGUUUUUGUUUGCCUCUGUUAUUGCCCUGACACUUCUAUACACUCACUCUCACUCAGUGGAUAAAAUUCAAAUGAAUUCAGAAAUAUCCUAACCUUACUGCAGCACACACCGGACAUUUCCCCGGGAUGCAGUGUGGACCUAAUUCGCCCCCUACUUUCAGUUUUGAGGACAUGAGUCGUGUGUGAAUAAAGUGGGAUGGCUUCCUUUUGAAUGUCAUUAUCUGAGCUGAGUCUGUCUACCUGCUCCACAGGCCACAGAUUUCUCUCCAGUUUCAGAGCUGGGCUGAUAAAACUUGUAGAUAAAGUUACUUCUAAUCAAAUCUAGAUUGAACACAUUUCACAUUAUUUCAUUCCGUCAUGCUGUAUUUCCAAGCACUCCCGAAUUACUCGGUGCAUAAAUGUAUAUUGUCGGCGCCUGUGUACCUGACGACGGUAAGUCUGUUACAGCACGAGGACAGACUCAGAUUGCUAUCUCCAUGAUGGAUUGCCAAGUGCAGCUACUUUAAAAUACUAUUAGGACAUAGUCCCCAGCUUGCUGAAGGGUGUUCACUAAUGUAUUACUCCUCCUGGGACUGAGUUUCUGUCUGCUCUAGUUUUAAAAGUUUGCUACAAAAGCAGCAACAAAACACGACAGAGCUAAGAAAGCUUGUGCUCCCCAGUACAAAACCCAUCUGGUCACACUUCCGUUGCUGCAUCUUUAGUUGCCUUGUUGUGGCAGAACAGUUUGGUUAUGCAAUUAAAGCAUGUAAAUUGAUAGCACAGCAAAACAACAGUCCCAGUUUAAUUCCUGCUUAAUGACAUUGCUGCUAAGCCGACCCCUUCCUCUAGAGGUGUACUACAGGAAAAACCUCAUUAACUUUUUUUGUGUCCCUCAUUAUUAUUAUUUUUUUCUGCCCUGAGAACAGCCGAGACUUAUCUGCUGAGUGAUUAGAAGCGCAAUGAGAACAAUUUUUUUGUAAUCAGACCAACCUAAGCAACGCGGCCCGCACAAAGCCCAGAAGGGACGUCCCCCUGAGAGAUGCAAAUGAUCCUGUUUUUCUGAGCAUAAGUGGUGAAAGAAUGAGAGGAGACGGGCCUAUAAAUGGUGGUCACAUUUCACGUUGGAGUAACGACUGCCCUAAAUACACACACAGAGCUUAUUCUCUACAGGCUGCUCUGUGUGUGUAGGUGUGCGUUUGUGAGUGUGUGCACGCUCUGUUUUUGUUUCGCCCUUCCCCGGGUCAAUAACUCAGCCAUGACAUAAAUGAUUUAUGCCGGGCAUCAUCUGAAAAUGUUGGUUUCAGCAUGGUCCAAGUAUUGAUCAGUGUGUAUUGACUGAAGGCCGCGGUGUCAGACUCAAUUGGGGAAACAUGAGGGUGUUGUAUUAAUACAGUGUUGUUGUUUUUUGCUCAUUAGGCUCAGCGCCUCUGCUUCUGACUCUAUUGUUGUUUGACAGGAGCGUUCAAGUGCUUCGACUGCACUCUGUGAUUUAUCUGGAAAUUCAUUUCCAAUCAGCAGUGACGCACCAUGGAGAACAUUCUCAAUAAAGUUGCUUUUGUGACUUUAAAUCAAUGUUAAUUUUUGCAAUUCAGUUGUUGUCUUGGGCCUCUUACACACUGCAUCUCUGCAGGAGUGCAGGAACAGAGUUGUGCCAUCAUUAAGCCUUUAACUUACACAUUGCACCCUGAUAUAUUAGUGUCCCAGAGUGUGGUUGAACGUUGUAUUGUAGCACUGGGAAGGGCAAGAGGCACAGCUUGUUUACACACAGUGGGAGCACCACAUACACACCGAUCUGCCUCGACACGACACGCCCACUCUGUCACCCCCUUAUUCUGCUUCUGUAACUACAGGGGGGUGGCAGUGUGCUACUGCCUCUGAAUUUACGAUUGUCCGUUUUAUUCUCAUUUUUGUUAGCUCUUUUUAGUUUAAUCUACAAAAAUUCAAAUUGAUUGUCAGUUUCGCGCAUGAACAUGCUGAAAUGAACAUAUUUAUUGAAUUUAGCAGCUUGACUUUGGGGACGUGGAUGGGGAGGGUCCGAGAGACCUCCAGAGCUUCAUAGUCACUAAACAUAGUGUUGCAACAGCUGAAGUUGGAUUCAUGACUCCCAGUGCUGAAAAAGCCAGUGUUUCUGACCAUUUGAAGUAGUAUUAUUACAGAUUAAAAAGACAAAAAAAAAACCAAAAACAAAAAUAGGAUGGAUACCAGCAGGAUAAAGUUUGAGAGAGGUGCAAAUAUUUUAGAAUGGAGAAGAAUUCAUUCCUGUGUAUCUGGGUUGGAGGAAGGCGCACACUUUAGGCAAGUAAUCUUCCGAAGUUGUAUGUGUACCUCUAAGUUUGCAAAGCUGCAGAUUUUUUCUUUUGCUUCAUUAUAGAAAAAAAUUAUUUGGAUUUUCUGGGUAUUUAAACUAAACAUCAGUUUAGCUGAGGUAGCCUCUUAUGGUAAUAAUUCAUUUAUUCUCCAUUUUCCAAAUGAAUGAACCUUCACCAGUACGUUGUUGACACCAGAGAAUUUCUGGAUGAUUGGUUUAGGUUUAGAUUUUGCAGACCUCACAAAUAAGCGAGUAAAGUAGGUAGCGUGUUGUCAAUUUGUAUGAUUUCCUCGUAUGAUCUUCUUAGUUUGCGGGGCCUCAUUUCCAUCUUUUCAUCGCCACACUAGAACUUGCCUCUACAUUGACUUUCUGUGUAAUUCAGAGCUUUGUCAUUGGGUUUAUCGUAACCAGUCCUCUAUGAAGUUGUUUUUGGUGUUUCAUUUAAUCUGACGUUUUCUUGUUCAAAAACCUUUCUUUCAUGUCUGUGUUCUUUGUGAUAUUUUUAACCUGUUUUUUUUGUUUGUUUGUUUGUUUAUCCCCCACGUACAAAUACGUGUUGAAGCUCCCUUUUUUCUGGGGUUUUUCUUUUAUAUGUGUGACCAGAUUCUCUUCUGCACCAAGCAUUGGUAUUUUUUUGUCCAAGGCUUACUAGCUUAAGCCAUAUUUAGGAGGAAAACGACUGUAAGCCAGUAUUACUCUACCUAAAUGUCACAUAACAGGCAUCAGGAAUAAGUACUUUUGUCAGAAUGAGCUGGCAAAUACUGAAAAUCUUGAGUCCACAGGGACCGCAGCGAGUACCCACAUUGAGUAAUUGACUGAAUAUUGUUUUUAUCCCACCACUGCUGCAUGUACAGCCAUCACUGUCUAGCUUCGGGGCUCACUGUGUGUCAGCUGACAGACACAACUGCUGCUGGGAAAAAUACCAUCCCUCCCUCUUUCCCUCUCUCUAUCCAUGCAUCCAUCCAUCUUUGCUUUAAAAGCUGCCAAAAUAUCUAUCUGCUGUAUUCUUAUGAAGCAAACAUACACCUUUCCCAAACUGGAUGAUCAUGAUCUCCUGACCCCUAAACCAAUAACUGACUUUAUCGUUUUUUUAGUCUUCCAGUCGUGUUUUUGUGUUUGUGUGUUGGCCCUUGUGAGUGUGUGCUCUCGUGAAUGUAAGUGAAACUUUAAAGUACCCUGAUCCUGGUUUCCAUUGACUGGGCUGUUCUAAGAAGACGUGCUUAUCGCCAGCCCUCAGGGCACCUGUGUUAAUCCCCAGGAAAAGAUGACAUCAAAUGGAAGCAGAGCAAGGGAUUAUGGGGGAUGUUGUGGAGCGUGAUCAACUGCCACUGAGCACUAGUGCACGGGAAGGAUUCCUCCUCAGGUGAGAGCGAACAAACCCUAAAAUGCUUUGGAGUGAAAAGAUGAAGAAGAAAAAAGCAACCAGCACAUGAAUUAACCAUAAGAAGACAUGGGAAAGCUUCAGUGCUGCCGAACCAACCAGGCUGUUGCAUUAAUCAAACCAACAUGAGUAAGUUAAGGAUGGAGGGGAAUUUUCCCCCUGCAGCCAGUCCCUCCAGUCUGCUUAAUUCAGACACUUCUAACUCCACUUCCUCUUUUAAGUCUCAGAACGUGGCAGAUCAUCCACUUAAAUGCAGUCCCUGUGAAACUAAGUUUUCAUAUUUCACAUCGAACCGCGGUUUCUUUUGUCUGUUUACGGAGAUAAAGCUGUAUUAGAUCAGCUCAAACCUGACUUUCAGAGUCCACUGGACAACUUUCAUUUCAGACCUUCUGGCUGACUGAAGCGGACUCAGAAUAAUUCUUCUGUUUGGACCAUAUUUGAUUUCUGUUGGAUAUCCACUUAUGCCACAACCCAUCCUGCCUUUUCACAGGUGUUUCUCAAUUGGAGCUGUCUUGUGCACAUUGCAGUGUUCCAGCACUUUUCCAACUUAAAUGUUUUCCUCAGUUUGAGGAAGAUGGAACAAGUUUGCAGAGCUGCAGCUAUUAGUUUGCCAAAAAAAAACAGUUACAAAGAAGAUUGGUUUCCUGGAGUUUGCAUGCACUAAAAAAUUGAACUUCUUGCAAAAGAAUUUAGAAGUUGUGUUGCAGCAGUUCCUCUUUUUACAACACUCUUUAAAUGAGCUUUAUUUGUUGACCUUUCUGGAUCCCGUGUAUCUAUAGUGUUCCCUUUGCAUGGUACAAUUAUAGUCUACGUUUGUUGAUGCAGUAACAGCCUGGUUGAUAUUGAGCCAAUGCAGUGAUUUCCACGACAGAGUCACGGUUGUUUGUUUGCUGAAAGGACAAGGAUCACAUCCUGUAUUAGUUUUUCAGAGAGUUCUUGACAGUCUGAGAAUCUUUACACAACAUUAUGUUCUAAAAAAAUGACAUCUCUGUAAGGCUGUGUGUUAAAUCAAUUAAUUGGCAUUUGUGGUUUAAUAAGAUUUACAAAACUAAAAUCAAGAUUUGCCGCACCCCGUGGGCACCCAUCAUUCACUACCCAUACCCCAUUUAGUAUCUCACGGCUUUUUCAGUGUUUUUUUGUCCCUUUCUCAACUUUUGUGAAAUAUUUUGGCAUCCAAUUUGUAUUUAAAAGAAAAACUUUUUAUAAAAAAGCAUUAAAACUAAUCCAAUACAGGGUUUAAAUGAUUUCCCAAACCAUCCAAAUCUAUUUUGAUCAGCAUUUUACACAGUUUUCCAACUUUUGGGGGAUUAAAAUUUUCUCACAGCCUUUAUUACUUUCAGAUUUAAGUAAGACACAUUUCCUUGAAUACAGUAAAUAUCUGUUUUUCAGCUGGUAGUGCCUCAAAAAAAAGUCUAUAUCAUUUAUCUCUAAUUUCCAGGUAAUGUACCAAGUUUGCAACAUUCCUCAGCUUUGUAAAAUAAAAAACUUUGAAAGACAAUGGUACUAGAUCAGAGGUACAGUGUUCUCACACUCGACUGAACUAAUAUUUUUUUGUGUGUUUUUACCUGGAAAUUGGUUGUCACCUUUUUUUCGUCAUUCAUAAACUUUCGUAAUCCCCGAGGAGAAAUUCAAUUUUUCACUCUGUUACUCACACGUAGACCAGAAUACGCUCAGACUUGCCCAAACAGGAUUCUAUGAACAUGCACUAAUAGAGAGAUGUCAGGGUGAAGUCAUCAAAUGUGGAUUAGCACUCCGAGAAAGUAGAAGGUUCAGUGCCUUGCUUGAGGGCACAUCAGCUGUGCCCAGUCAGGGAAAUGGCGAUUCUCAUGCUACAAAUCCUGGUCAGUGAUGGCACUUAAACAAAUGACCCUCCAAGUUCUUAAAAUUAUGGGAACUAAGUGUCAAAAUUAUGUUCAAAUGCUAAGAACGUUACAGAAAUACUAAGAGAGGUAGUACUUAAAAGGUGAUAAUAGUAAUUUGGGCUGCCUCAUUACUGUGUCAAGAGUGUAUCUGCAGACUAAAACCUGCACACUGUUGAUAAUCCUCCGUUCAGGUUGAUCUAAUAGGAAGAAACACUUUUGUUGUUAAAUAUUCGUCUCGUUCUUUUCUCUAAUUACACAUUAAUGGGCCCACGCUGAGUUCAUUUGUCGCAGUGUGAGUAAGCAGUAAAUAAUGGCUCUUUAGGGGUAGUUUGCAGGAGACUCGCCUCAUGAAGAAAGGGCCUCGCCUAUUGAUCUCACCUUGAGUUAUUCACUCGCGGUCAGAGAGAAAACUGGUGCAUGUCAGCUCGCUGUUGGACUUUCCGCUGAAGGUCUUUAUUCCUGUGCUUGCAGUAAUCAGGCUAAUUCGGGUGCAUAGCAGCUCUUGGACUUCUAUCAGACAGGAGGGAGGAGGAAACACAGAGGCAAGUUAUACCAGGUCAUGUAUUUUUAAACCCAGACAAUAAGCCAGGUUCAGAUUGAGUUUGCAAAUAAUUAUUUCUGUUUCGUUACAAGCAGCCCUUGGAUGUUUUUUUUUUUCCUGUUACAUAUUUGAUAGCGUUUGCAGUGUUCUUUUUCUAAGCGGUGUUGCAAUCAGCCACGGUUCUGUUUCCAUUUUCUCUCAUCUUGUCUCUUCUAAUGUACAUCCACACCUGAAACCGUCUGUCUCUUUAACUCACUGACAUCUUAAGAUGAAUUAUCCAAGAAAAGGCUUUUGAUUUCCAUUUUACAACAACACAUGCAGGCAGCUUUUGAUCCAAUGCUCCUGUCGUCAAUACUUUGUCAGUGCCUCCCAAAACCGUUACAAAUCACUGUUGUCAAAUCAAGGAUGGAAAAGUUUGAUAGAUAGAGUCACCUAAUGAGGAGAAGUAUAAGUCUCAUUAUCAUGACAGUAAUUUUUAGUUAGGGUUGAAAAGAUUCAGAGUCCUGCCAGAAUGAAAACAAAGAUGAUUUGUGUCUGCAGCAAACAGAAGCAAAAUGCCAGAUGACAUUUGGGCUUUUGCUGAAACAUCUGAGGCCAUUGUUGUUUUUCUUGGGAGGACAGUCUCUUUUCAACUUGACUCAUGUACUCUACACGCUUCACUAACUGAUUUCCCAGAAUGCCUUUUGACUUCUCCCUGAGAAGCAGAGAGGAGUUGUUGAAUAUACUUUUGUACAACAUGUAAGAAUAUAAACCCAAGAAAUCAAAGUCAAAGCACUGAGUUUUGUGGCAUUUAAUACAUAAUCCAAGACUGGAGUGUCGGGAAAGAAAAACAGACAUGACUCAUUGCUCAUCCAAAAAAAAAAAAACAGUUUGACUUAAAAAUGAGUAACUGUCUCCAUAAACUAAAGCGCUCCAACUGUAUUUAAGCUUUUGGGUGGAUGUUUUCUUUGUGUUGAUUUUGGCUCCCCCUGUGGACAAAGUGAGACCUCAUCUCCCGUCCUGCACAAAAACAGUUUUUGACCUAAAAUUUCAACCUGUUCUCUUUUAAGAUUAAACUGAAUCACUGAAUGUGAGUCAACGUUAAUUUCAUCAAGAAUUUUUAAUUUAGUCAUUUGCAGAAAAAAUGUUGAUUAUAGUCAUUUUUUGGUCUUUUUGUUUCUUGUUGUUUUAGUGAAGAUUUAGUCAGAAAAACUAAGUUUUUAUGCUAAUCUAAAUUCAGUCAAGGCAUCCUGGGGCGGCAGUAGCUCAGGAGGUAGAGCGGUUGUCCAAUAUCCGGAAGGUUGGCAGUUCGAUUCCCCCCUAUCCAGAGUCUGUCCGUUGUGUCUUUGGGCAAGACACUCCACCCACCUUGCUCCCAGUGUUUGUCCUCCACUAGUGUAUGAUUGUGAGUGCUGUGUGGUGGUGGUCGGAGAGAUCGUAGACGCAAACUGGCAGCUGUAGGUACUAAGUUAGUUUACCACCACCAGGGUGUGACUGUGUGAGCAAAUGAAUGAUGUAUCCGAUGUAAAGCGCUUUGAAGGUCUCUGAUAAAGCGCUAUAUGAAAUGUGAUGCAUUUUUAUUAUUCUCAGACAGUUUUAUAAUAGUCGGGUAUUAGAAGGAGGUUGGCGCUUACUGUUGGGUAGCUAGCUUUGCUCUGUUAAGGUCAAUGAUAGGACUGCUGAUAAUUUAGCUUCCUACUAGAGACUGCAAACAGACUUUAUUUAUAGUCUGCUUUCAUAAUUCCUUAUCGUCAUCACUGGUAAUUUCUGUCAGUUUCCUCACAAGCUAAAAACUCCUCACUGGAGCUUUAAAAAAACCAUAGGAGCACACUCCUUCCUCCUCCUCCUCUCCCUGAACAAUCUAAUGACAGAAACAGACAUGAUUACUCGGAGUGUCAAGGGUUCUUAUUGAAGUUAUGAACUCUUGAAAUGUAUAGUGCCUUAUAAGUCACUCCAUAUGGGCGCCAGUACGACCCAGUAAUUAGGAGGAUGAUCUUUCAGCUAAGGGGAUCAGGGCCAGGCCCCUCUGACAAGGACAGGUUUAAGAGUCCUUUGGUGAAUAGUGUCAGGUGCUGCUCUGACACUGCAGCCUGACCUGUGAGUGAGAAGUCUUUCUGCUUUGAGGAUUAAUGAAUUAUUACAGCAGAAAUCACUUACAUUCAAUUAAUUCACAAGGAGAGAAAAAUGCCAUCUUCAGUGAUACUUUAACAAUGAGAACUAUCAGAUUGACAACAGUUUAGAUAAACGUUAAAAUACUGUAAUUAUGUGAGGAUUAUAUAAUUUUGUUUUAGCCUAUGAGUGUGUGAUAAAAAACACUCCAGGAAAUAUUACAGGUGAAUGAAUAUUUAUAAUUAAUCGAUAUAUAACAACAAAAGUAUUCUUAUCAGGCACAUAUAUUGUUCACAGAGGCAGUAAGGACAAGGAGGCAGGCAGGUAGGAGACUGUUGUUUGAUUUUUAAUGGGGAAGGAUUUUACUUUUCAUACAAAAAGAUACUUAUACCAAAAUUUGUGGCACAAAAAUACAAAAGAAUACAGGAAAUAAAGGAUGACACUCAAAAUUAUGCAGCGAGGGGAGCAUUCAGUGUUUUAUUUGUAACAUGAAAUCAAAUUUUCACGUUCAAAAAUAUUAUUAUUGUUGUGAGUUAUGUUUUUUAAGGAAGGAAAAUAGGAAUUAGCCAUUGGAAAUAAGAGUGUACAACAGUUGCAGGUCAGUCAGACAGCUCACACUGUAAUGGUUCGAAGUUUUUCUUGCAGCAGCGGAGCAUUGGUAGUGUUUGACAUGUAGGUCCCGACCUCAUCACUUCUCGUCCAAGCCUUCAGGUGAAUAGAUGGAUAAGGGGGUUGGUGAGACUGAAAGUAUGAGUGUGCAGGUGUAGGGCAGCAGGUGAGACUGGAAAUCUUGAAGCUUAAAUGGAAAACCAUUUGAACAGAUGCAUUUGUCGGGUGAUUGUAAGAAUGAUGCAUGUCAAGGGUUAAAUCAGUGCAACGUGCGUCAUCUGCCUCAACUAGUUCACAUGCGUCACUCCAAAGAUGGCCAGUCAUUUUUACGUUUGAGUGCACUCAAAUCACUUUAUUAAUCUAUAAACAUACACAAUACACACACAAUAAUCUAUAAACAUACUGUACAAGUAUGAAGAAAAUCUGAUUGCUUAUUAUGUAUCACCAUAUUGUAGCAGAAUAACAUUAAUUAGUUUCACAUGAACUCACCUAACAAUCAAUAGAGAGGGAGGAAAUGAGUAGCAUUGAGACAUGUCCCACUUAUUCAUACUGUCCUACUAGACAAUCAAAUGGGCUUUUGAAUUGAAUGUAAUUGCUGGCAGUCUGUUCAGCAAGCACACUGUCAUAUGGUUUCCUCGAAAUCCACUGUAAAAGUUCAAUUUGUGGAAAUAUUGAGGAAGACAAUGGACUGAAAUAGAAUGAGGGAAAAAGUGUUACUGGCAUAUCAGAGGUCAAGAUUCCCAUAUAGGAAUAAAUGGGUUUCCAGUUGACUCACCUCCAUACGCAUAUUUAAGUGGAAAAUAGGCGUUAGCAUCAAGUUACAUAGAAGUCUGUCAUUCCAUUAUCUGCAAUGAAUCAGUAAAAGAUUUCGAGAAUCUGGAGAAAUCUGUCAAAUGAGCAUACAUUUCUUGUAUUUCUUGUGUAAAGCUCCAAUAGGGGUUUUUGGGGAGUGGGCAUAAGUUAACUUUGAUUGUUCUCCGAGUUCAAGAUGUAAAUAGAUAAGAGUAACAGUCAGAUAAUUAGCUUUGGUUGUCACCACAGACUGUAUAUACUAUGGACAAAUUGGUUCCGCCUCCCACCUGUAUAUGGAUUUGAAGCAAUUCUGCGUUUUCUCUUCAUUUCCUGAAACCAACAUUGCGCAGUAGCAUGGUGCGCAUUCGGCGGGAGAGUCGCCGAGAGUCGCUGUGAUGACACUCGGCUCAAAAAGCAUAUCCCUCGGGUAAGCUACGCAAUCCUUGUACGCCCAUAGGCUGUACCAGGUGUCAUUUUAAAAAUACUGUACCGAAAAAAAGAGGACCUGAACACAAAUUAGUCUUACAGUAACUACAUUUCAACAUCACAAGCAGGGGGGAAAAAUAUUAUGUUCUGUGUAAUAAAUAUAAAGUUUUUUGAAGGGAUUUAUGACCUGUACUGCAGCCUGUCAUCAGAGGGUGCUGUUCUCGGAGUGGCUUCACCCAGCGAGGAGGCAGACGACGUCCAUUCUAUCUACAGACUAUGGUUGUCACCAAUAACAGAGCAUCCUGUCAGUGGUUGUUUCUCAUUCAAAUAUCACUCAAUCAAUAAGCUUAAAAUAAUAUUUUUGCUUACAAGUUUGAAAACUGCGCCCUCUACCUGCUAAGAUAAACAGAAAACAGCUGAAAUCCUACCCUACUUGUCCCAAUGCACCUUCUUGAGUCUAUUUUUAGCUGUGGUUGUCCUUUAGCUCAGCAGUCAUUUAUCACGACUUUAGACAUCUACCUGUAGGGAACCUCAAAUAUGUGCUGUACUGCUUAUAUGAGUAAAUCAAUAACUUUGAUUUUUGGCUGAAUUCAAUUCAUCAGCAUGUCAUCUGCAUUUUACUCAAACAUUUCUCAGAACAAACUCUCACAGAGCAAUUUUGUUCCAAGAGCGACUAUCUAUUUAACCAAGAAAUAAAAAUCUAAUACUCGCUGUAUUAAUCUACUUAUGUAAUUAAACCAGGGGUUGAGUAAGCUUUGAGCAGCUAAGUGGAGCUGUUUGUUAAAGAGCAAAACGAUGAAGGUUGCCAAGGUCAAAUACAACACUUGGCUGCAUCCCACUAAUUAUUUUCCAGAAUGUUCAUUAGCUUGGGAAGAGACUUGUGGGUAUGGCUGUCCUCUCAACCUACUUUACAGUCUCUCACAGGAACAAGGCUCAUCCAAAAACUGCGUAGUCCUGGCUUCGACCCAAGACUGCAACACAGUUGGAAAGCAUAGAGAGAAGCAGGGCAGAGAGAGAGAGAGAGAGAGAGAGAGAGAGAGGCUGUCGGCAUCUCUAUUGGAGCCUGUGAGUUAGUGAAGAGAGCUGUUGUUUCACAGUUAAUCACCAUCUUCGCUAUUUGAAAGGGACGAAGGGGCAGCCAGAGCUCUCCUCUGGGCACCGUAAAGGAGCUGCACCACAGGGUCCGUCAGGUGUCUUUGGAGACAGAUCCAAAGUCCAAAUGGAUUUCAAAAGCCCGGGGACCAAUGUGUUUACCUCAUCAAGCAAGCAACCGAGUGGAGAGCAUAAACAAAAUGAGAGGAAUAAAAGAACAGGUAGGGUUAUCAUGUGUGCGGUGACCCUCAGGUAAUGACACUCCUCGCCUCCCACCUGCACCUUGCCAGUUUUCAUACCCUGCCCCAUGGUUAAAAAAAGGAAGGUGGUGUGCUGAUAAAAUUCCUUGUGUUCCUGAAGCUGGAUUUUCUCCAGGCACAAUUAUCUUCCCAAAGCAGUCAUUCCACCCUCUGUCAGGAGGAUGUGAAUUGCCUCAGUAAGUAAGACUGCUUCUCUUUUUUUUUUUCCCCCUCCUUGCACUGGUUGUUGGUUACUGCUCUCGGGGCUGUCAGAAAAUCGGCCCCAGGCUUAACUUGCAUUAUAAGCCUGGUUGAUGCAAUCUCUCCCUUCCAGAUUGCCCUAAAAUGGCUGGUGGAUGACUUCUGGGACCAGACUAGGGCACUAGAUCUUGAGAUUUGACUGCAAAUUAAAGGGAAGGAAAGAAAUAACGCAGCCAUUUAGCUUGACUCUGAAAGGGCAGAGGUGGAAGAAAAAUAGCAUCUAGUGUUAGUGAAUGAAAUCUCAAACUUUUGAUAUUGUGUACACUACAGAGAGUUUGGUAUUGAUGGUAGAUGGGCUUAUAUUUUCUCUUUUCUGGAGUUUUUAAUGUUUAUUUUGACUCCGACUGAAUAAAGCUUUUAUAAUACCUUGGAUAAAAAUGCUUCUAAUACCAAACAGUACGCCAAAAAGAGCUUUUGUCUCAAAUUACUGUUAGAGAUACCCAUAAUCAUCUCUUAUAUUAAUAGCUCUCUUUCUAUCGAGUUUUAAAAUGCAUCAGUUUUAAGGUGCUUUGCAGUGUCUUUGAAAAGUCCAUAUAAACAACAAACAAGUCAUUUUGUAAAGUGAAUCUUGUAAUGUGUGGUGAUAAUGUUCCUCUGAAGUCCAUGCAAAUGUGCAAAAAGCCACAAAGACAGGGCACAAAGAAACCCUCUUUGAAAUCACAGGGUUUUAGAUGUUUGGUCUGUGAUGUUAAUCUGACUGUAAGUAGCCAUUUACAGAGUACAAAGACAAAGCCUGCUGUCAGUGUUCACUGCUGAAUUUUCCAUCUGCAUGCAAAGGAAGAAAUAAUGAUGCCAUUAUAUGGUGUAACCAAACAGUGGAACAGCUUGAUAUGUUGUAAUAUCCUCUCUGAAACCUCUGUUAAGACCCAUUUCCAUAAAGAAGCAGGGAGCCGCACUUAUUAAAGACAGAACAUGAUUUCUUUGCUCUGAAAGAGACCGAGGAGGUGUCUUUGCACCGUCUUCCACACAGCUCCUCUGUGCUAUCUGUUUCAGUGCUGAGGGCUUGUUUCUGUUCGCCCGCAGAACGGAGGUAUUACCACCCCUCGUUCAACAAGCUCCUGCACACAUGACAGUUCAUUUUCUGCAUGAUCUCCCAAAAGUCGAUACGAUCUUGUAAAGACAAAUACCAGAUAGCACUGGCUAACUGAUGCAGUUUGGCGGUAACACCAUUAAUCAUGCUCUCCUGGGAGGCUGGGGUGAGGUCCAGGUCUACCCAGCAAGUCAUCAUGAAUUAAUAAAAUAAAUGAAUUCACAGUAGGCAGUGCCGUCAUUACCCAUGGUUCUGUGGGGUCUGGGAGCACAGGUCUGCAUUGAGCGAGCAGGGGAGUAACUGGAGACUUUCCUGUUGUUGUGGCUGAUGCGUCUGCUCAAUUAAGAGGACUGAGACUGGUGUGUCAGUCUCAGUUAAAGCCCCGUGUAGAUGUGGUACUCGAUUGAAUGAGGACACACGCUGUCAUUGAUGCAAAGCUUUCAAUGACCUGCAGUGUGAAGGCUCCGCAACCUUAUUCCUGUGAUUGUGUGAGUCUUAUUAGUUUCAUGAGGCUCCAAAGACUGUGCUGGGACCUUGCAGAAUCUUAGUUAGGUCUCAGUAUGUGUCUCAUCUCAAUGUCUUAUUGGUGUUUUGUUGCACAUGUGAAGAACCAGAGUGCAUAAAUUCUCAUAUAGUUAACCUAGUUGAGUCAAUGAAAGGCAUGAAAAUGAACCACGUUAUCAAACAGACUGUACAAUAAAACAGACUGUUGCUCCUGGUGACUCGCUGCAGUCCAGCUCUUACGCCUUGCCCCCACCAUAAAAACACAUAGGACAUGAGUUAAACUGCUAAAUCGUUUUAUUAUUAUAUAUUAUAGACAUUUUUCUAUCACUGCUGUUCAUUUUUUGAGAUAAGUUUGAUUUAAUUGGUUGAGAUGUUAAGAUGAUUUCUUUGCAGACCCAGUUUUACAGGAUCAGCGACGUAAAGAAGUGGUAGAAGGAAAUGUAACAAAAGUUUAUAUAAGUCAAUGAACUUUACAUACGUGAGUGUCUGUUCAAAUCAACACAAAAUCUGUUUCACUGUGGGCCGUGUCGACCUGAGGGAUCUUUGACAGCUUAUUGGUAAGUGAAACGUGUGAUUUGAUUAGCAGAAAGGGCAUGAUGUACACAUCCCACAGCUCCAUCAGUCAGAUAACUCCUGAACAAGCCUUCGCACAACCACUGUGAAAUGACAGUGCCCAUUUUAGCUUCACAUCUCAUAAUGUGUGGAGAUGUUCACAUAAACAGUGAUGCCUGAAUGUCAUGAGCUUACCGUACGUGAGAAUUACUGCAUCAUUGUGAACGGAGAUAAAAUGAUGUGUUUAACUGUUUUUAAUAUGACAUUACUAACUAAAGUGUUGCUCCUCUACCUGACUUGAUGACUUUAAUUUCUGUUACUUGCAAAAAUAAUUCCUGAAUGUAGAAAAGUUAUAAGAGUUAAAAGAGUUUUUUUUUUCUUGCUUAUUCUUAUUUUUCUUUGUUUCCUGUGUUAGGUCCUGUCUUAUGUUAAAUUGGAAAGUAGUUCAAGAAAAGAUGUUACUUUGAAAGACAAAUUUGUCUUUACUCUCUCACUCAGUCACAUUAAUUAAAUGAAAUUAAAUACAAUAAUAUUUAUUUUGAACUGCACUGAAUUAAAUAAAUUGAAUCAGUUUGAUCCAGUGUAGUCUGAUCCAGUCUUGUCCAAUCAAACCCAAUCCAACCUGUCCUUGAAACGUAACCAUCAAAGAUCAAACUGAAUAGCCAGUAUAUGUGCAAUGUUUUAUAUAGAUUAUAGACCUAAUAAUACGCAAUCAGACACUUGAAAACACAGUAGUAAAUAGAAUUUAAAAAAAAAAAAAACAUUACCAACACCUAUUAAAAACAGAUUAAAAAGACAGGCUAAAAUACAGUUUUAGACUUACAAUAAAUAUACUGGAAUCAUAUUUAAAAGACAGAAAAAAAAAUAUUCACAAACUCUUGCCACUAGACGUGGGAGGUUACAGCCUGUAGGACAAUAACUCACCUGUCAAGAGCAUUUGAACUAUAAUUUGAUGUCAGAAACAUUCAACUGACUGUUGUGCUCAGCAUACAGUGUACAGCAGGUACCCAGUAGGAUCGCACAAUCCUGUCAGAUGGCUAUUUGAUCCUACAUGCGCCGUGACAGUCAGAACUGCUCUUUGUAUUUCAUUUGAUGUCUUCAGUAAAUGUCGUGUAUAAAUCUAGAGAGAAAUCAAAGAGAAAGAUUUCUGUAAAGUCCAUGAAAAUGUAUUUUUUGAAUCAAAUAUGGCCUCAGAUUAUCACAGGGGUCACUUUUCCCUCGAAAUGGUUUUCUAUAGCAUUUUCUAGAGGGCAGCAAAUGCUGUAAAAUGAUGUCUGAAAUACCUCGAAGAAUUCUGUCCUUGGCAAAGCUUAAUGCGUACCAUACACAAGACAAUCUGUGAGUAAGCAAAGUUUGAAUCAUUCAGGUGUAUAAAUAGAAGUAUGGCACAUCUAUCAUGCUUGUUAGUCAGUUUUGUAAAUAUAGAAUGCAGUGAAUGCUGAGUCAUUUGAGUCAGGUUGUGUUCAUUAUUUAUCAUACCACUGACUGUGUAUUAAUGUGAGUACUGAGCCUCAAUCUUCUCCCACUGUGAGAUAUUAAGCCAAAAUCCCCCCUAUGUGGGCACUGACAUAUAGCGCUGGUAGAGCGAUGCAGAAGUGCUUUGAGUGGUGUCUGAUGUCACAUCCUUUCUGCUAACAAAAUCACACAUUUAUCUUAACAAUUCAACAUCAGCGAUGCCCAAGGCCAGUACAAUUAACAUGUCCAGGGAAAGUUCAAUAAUCUUGUGCUAUAAAUCCCAAUGUUUUGGUGUCUGACUAAUCAGGAAAGCUUUGCUUGCUUGUGUCCUAGUACGAGCGUUAAUUUUAGAGAUUCCUCUAGUGGACCAAAAUGUAAACUACGCUAAACAGUUUGUUGCAUCUCCAUGUUUAGUUAUUUGAAUUUCAAUCUAAAACUUUACAGUUUUGGAACAUCAGUCAUCAUUAACAGUGAAGGCACUGAGAUAUUUGCUUUCAAAGCCAUGUUUUUUUCCCAAUUAUAAUAUAUCAUUAAACUGUAAUAUUCAACUAAUUCCUCAUUUAUUUUCACAUAUAUAUGAAGAAUUCUGUCCUUGGCAAAGCUUAUAUAUGACUAUGCUAACUAUCAAAAUAAAGAUCAAUACACCUGUUCAGAGUCAAAAAUAUACUAAUUAAAUAAUGCUUAAUUAGAAGGUUUAGCAUUUGAAUCUUACUCUCUAUUCUGUCUUCUUAUGAUAAAAUCUCAAACACAUUUUAUCCUGUAUUGUCCCAUUUACUCCUGCUCCUUCUUUAAGCUUUUUGAACUGCCCAGUAAAGAAAGUGCUACAGGCUACUUUCUAUCAUUACUAGGCCAACUAAAAAGCUCAAAAACCCUUUGUUUCCAAGCUACUAAUGAUACCCAAAAUCUCAAAUGUUAUACGUGCCUGUUUAGCAGAUCAAUGCUGCUAAAUCUAUGUUGUUAAAGGACCUAUAUAGAUAGCUAAAUCCAUGUUGAGUGUAUGUGUUUUUCUGCAAAUAUGCUUGGUCCUGGUGUGCUUGGAGCUGUUUCAGAGCACAGCGCAGAGCAUGCCAUGAAAGUAGAGCAGCGGGCGUGAGAUGAUUUUGCAGGGGAACCAGAGAGUCUGCUGCUGCUGCUGCUGCAGAGUCAGUGUUAUGUCUGAGACGAGGCUGUGGCUUUUGAAAGAUAAAUUGGACUUGGCUUAUUGAUCCAGCCUCCAUUGUCAGCUGUGCUCUUGUUGUUGACAUAUUAGGGGAGUGUUUCAUGUAUUCAUACAGUUGUGAUGUUAAUGAGUACAAUCCAAGGCCAUCUCUUUUCUUUUCUCUCUGACUUGGAGUCUACACCCUGACAUUGAGCUGCAGCUGAAUAGCCUCCAUUGUAUCUCUACUUAUCACUGAGAGUGAAUUGAACAUGGUAAAUCAGUCUGCAAUGGAAACUGAAUGAAUCUGUUUUCACACCAAAAGAUAAGCAUUAUAGUGUUAGAUGGGAAUGAAAGUUUCCAUUUGGAAGAAUCUUUUGAACAGCUCUUCAGUUGUUGGUGAUUCAUGGCCGAGAGUCAUGAUAUGAUAUGUAAUGAAGAGCUGAUAAGAGUUAAGCUCUCCCACAAAACUCAGCCAGCCCACACUGAUAUAAGACAGACAGAGGAAGAGAGAAAGCAGAGGAAUAACGCUCGAGCAGAAAAGACUUUGGGAAUAAAAUGGAGUCAACAACCAACAAUCUAAAUGCUUGAAUUCAAGCAUGAUGUUUACAUGAAAUAUAUAAUUAAACACAGCUGCUUUUCUGAUUCUCUCGGGCAAUCCUCAUUUGCAUUUGAGAGAACUUGAUUUAGGAAGAACAUCCAGCACUGUAUCAUCUGAUAUACAUUUUGAAUGUCUUUGCAUGAUGUAUAAUGUGUCUAAGAAUGGCAACUCAGGCUUUGAUUAAUAAUUCAUCUGUUAUUUUCAAAAACUAUCUUCUGUUGCUUGUUGUUUCAGCUACAUUUCUUUCCCUUUUAUGAUGUUCAUUUAUAAAACAUCACCUCCUUAUUUUACUUUGAGUAAAAUGAAAUGUUUACAGCUGAUACUGGGUUUGUUUGAUGUAAGUCUCUGACUUGGGAGCAGCUUGUGAAUUGGGAGCAACAAUUCAUGGGAGGACUCAGCAAACACGAUGUAGAGCCAUCAACACAGUUGAUAACAAUGUCAUUAGCAUUGUCAGAUCCUAGAAAACAACAAUGUAGCUGCUGACACUGAGCAGUGAGUCACUCUCAAUAAACAAGAGCCUUACAAGUGCAAUGCACUUUAUUUAUCCUCAGGCAAAGUAGAUAAUUGCAGCCACAAAGAACACUUAUGGACCAAAAUACCCAAGACUGACAUCAUUCAUAGUAGUGAGUUAUCACCAGUGGAAAGAGUCUCUCCAAAUGUUUUUUCAAAUCAGAACUGAAAGUGUCUUUAUUUACAAUCUGUGAAUAGACAGCAGAGUAUGUGCUGGAAAGUGUAUGAAUGUGUUAUUACUUAUUUCAAUGGAGCUAGUGACAGCAAUGUAUUAGAGUGAACCCAGUUCUGAUCUCAAGUGCAGUCUUACUUGUGCUUCAGUUGAAGUAUAAAGUUUUUAUUCUGCUUUAUACUUUCAGAACUACAAAGAUGUCAGAUAUUUCUACUUUUCGUUGGUUCUGCAAUUCCUCUGUAUUAUCAAAAAGAUCUUGCACAGAAAGCAUCACCUCAGGUCGAAUAAUCAAAGUUUGAGCUUCACAACAGUUUAGAGAAUAGUUCAAAUCAACCCAGCCAAUUUAACCAAGUACUGAACUGCUGCUUUAACACAUAGACUCCAUAUAUAGAACAUGAGGGUAGUCUUAUGGUGGCUUUUCAUAUGCAUCUCAGCUCAGACCCCCAGCAAACAGGCACAGUGCAUCCUCAGAUGGUCAAAUUAGCUAAUGACGGCUAAUACAAUAACUAUUAGCAUUAUUAUGAUCAAAAUAGAUAAAUCAUGCAACAACCAGUGUUUGAGGCAAGUCUAGAGUCCUCUGUGUUCAAGGCUGAGUCAAAUCCAAGUUACCAGAAUAUCAUGGCGUCUGAGUUGAGUCCUUGUUACCCAAGACUGAGUCCAAAUCAAGUCCUCUUUAUAAUUUAUUAUUUACCAUAAGGGGGGCUGUUUUCUCAGUCUGGAGUCCUCACUGUAGGACCCUGGACUGGCUGACUGUGAUCUUUUAGUUCUGCAGAAAACAGAUUUUAUUUAUGAACAGUUUGACCAAUCCUGUUGGCGUGUCCAGAAAUCCGGAUCCGUUUGUGAGGCAAAUUUCACGGCGGACAGCAGGAAUCGCAAGAACUCACAAGAACCUGCAGAUUCACGUACAAUCGCGCAAUAACAAGUUGUCUCUAGCCACAUAGGCUAACUGUAUAAACAGUAGAUUAUGUCCCUCCAAAGGAGACAAUCUACUUCUAGACUUCAGCAUCCUCUCAUCCAUGGGGUCAUCCAAGUGAAAUGCUGUCUAUAAACCUUUCACUUGUUCAUCCCCGUCUGUUUGCAUGGUCUAAAAUACGAUCCGCCUGAAACACAGAGUGUUUUAUUUUGAAAAGAAGCCAGAUGUUUUAUUUUGUGUCUGUGCCCGACUUCCUUUCCAGCAUAGGUUAAUCUAUGCUGAAUUCAUCUGGCAUGCUCCGGUGUCUGGAAAAAUUAGAACUCUUGUGAUCACCUGCAGAGUCCGUAACGGAAAGAAGCCGGUGGAAAUUGACACAUUAAUUUGAAUGGUCACGAUCAGCGGAUACGCCCUUUUCAUAGCCAUUCCGGAUGCUGUGGAAAUUGGGGGUCAGAUGCUAACAUCAAUGUUAGCUUGGGAACAAUAAUUAUUAACAGUCCGAGUAGAAUAACUGGUAUCUCAUUCAGGGUGCAACUUUUCAGAUAUCUAUCAACUCCAAGCUUGUCCUUGUCCUCCCCAGGAUGGUUUUGAAAUAUGUUGAACAAGUUGCACUGCCCCUGCUCACAUUUCCUGUUAAGUCUUUGAAGGUGAAACUCGCGUUACGUCUCUUUUGGCAAACUGGCAGGAACUGUUGCUAAAUGUGGCGGCACAUGAAACCCACUUAAGUCUUAGUCCUCCUCUCCAUCUUCAGAGUCUUAAUGCAGUAAGUGCUCGAGCAUGAGUCCAAGUAUGAGUCAGUUGUGCUCCAGUACAAGUUGAGUCAGUACUCCUAAAAAUCAGGGCGGACAACAUCACUAUGAAAGGUACUGCUCCGCCGAAUUAGUUUGUUUUCUUCUGACAUUUGAAGUAGAUUUGCCUUAAGUCAUCGUAUUUCAUGUUCAUGCUCUCCUCUUCUGUAUUUAGGUUUUUUUUAAAGUUUGUUACGUUCAUCACUUUGGUUUGUGGCUAUUCUUAUCCUAUGCUACUUUAGCACUCAUUAGCUAUAAAGGACAACAGUCAGGCUUUACUUAUUGUAAUUAUGGACAGGUCAUCACCUACUGUUAAAAGAAAACACUUACCUCAAAGAUUCUCCAGCAUUUGCUAAUCUAACAUUAACUGUCAUAUGUGAUAAGAUCAGAUGUUCUGCUUUUGUCUGACAUUUCUGUCUGUUCCCGCAUUAUUGUCAGAUGCACUCGUUUCUAUCUCUGAGAAGAUCAGGUGCUACUGAAGAGUCAAAACGAGAGGGCAAUUAAUGUGUCAAGCUUUUAAGAAUUCAAAGAGAGCUGUAAUAAGAUAAAAGUUUGCUAGGUUAAAGAUAAUAGGAGAGGUUAGAUGAUAAAAGCGCUACGCUGUGAUCUUGGUUUGUAUUCUCGAAUCCCUGGUCUCCUCGCCCACACGCCUGCCUUCUUCUCACAUUUUGCAGAUGAAAAUCCCCAUGUAUAAUGUAGACCACAUAGAGGAAGAGAUGUCUGCUGCCAAGAUAUCUGUCUUUACUAUGAAUUAAGCUUAGGAAUCGUUUAAAAAUGGCAAGUAUAGCUGCAUAGAUGUAAAAAAAAAAAAAAAGCCUAGGGGAAGAAAGAGACCUCGGUAUCACCUACAGAAGAAUAAACGUACAUUUAGCAAAAAAUAAUAAUCCUACUACACUUUUGCAUAAACCACUCCUGAGGGUAGCAUGUGAUUCGAAAGGCACCAGUCCAGACCUCUUGCCUGUAAUAACUUUGCUCUACUUGAAGCUGCUCAAUGUUGAACCUGCAGUGUAUCCUGUAGGGCAUGGAGGUUCACAUGGAGCAGCCACACUCCUCCGUUCUGUUAAAUAUUUGCCCUAUCUUUUUUGUCAGGCUCAUAUCUUUUCAAAUAAAGCUCAUCGUGAAGGGAAAUUCCUUCUUCGCUGUACAAUUUUACAACUCACUUAACCAAACACACAUCCUCUUCCUCCCCCCUCUUCCCUCUCCUUCCUUCCUCCCUCCUUCCUCCCUUCUCUCCCCGGCUUCCUGUGCUCCUCGGAAGAGCCUGAUAAGUAUAAUCAUAAGUGACUGGUUCAGCAGCUUGAGCUGCCGGAGCUACCGAGACCGAUGUAUUCUCAUGAUAUCCAGGCACAGCUGUAAAUGCCAGCACACAAUCCACACAGGACGCACUCACAUACACACACACACACACACAUACACGCAAUUAUGCACAUACACCCACACUCCAGGUACUUUAUUUGGCAUGCCAGUUGUUGUUAAAAUGCAAUAAACGGGGGCAUAUUUAGAGCAGAAGGUAGUUAGAGAUCAUUUAUGCAGCACUACAGAGAGGCUCCUCUGUCUCCAGGGAGAAAAUCUUUGCCUAACUGUCUGCGUAUAGUCUUACUGCGGCACUUAACGUCUUUAUUUGCACACAAUGAACAUGCCCUCUGUGUUUGUGUGUGUACAUGUUUAGAUCUGCAUGAGAUGUCGAGUGUAUGUAAAGCAUAUGUUUACAUAUGCACAAUAAUUACCUCUCACACGGUCGGCAUGCAGAGCUGCAAGCCUCCCACUAUGGCUUUAAACAUCGUUAGCCAUCAGCAGCAUGGGCAAAGAGGCGAAAGCAUGACUUGUUUACAGAACAUACAGACAGCAGAUUGAAAUUGACUGCAGGGCUAGUAGAGCAUUACCACGGUUGUAACCUAUUUCAUUUCUCACUGAUCCUCACUGAACAGGGAAAGUGAUAUUUAAUUGAGUGUAUGGCCAACCAUCAGCCAAUGGGAUUCAUUUUUCAAUGAAAUGGAAGUUAGAUUGAAUUCCUCACAAGGUGUUGCAGUUUUUGGACGAGAUAUUGAUCACACGGGGGACGUGAUCGCACAUGCUGGCAGCGUUCGAAUGUUCUGGAUCUGGUCAGCGCUGCUUUAUCGAGGUAGAGCGCCACAGGAGACCUUCCCCCUCUUUCUCCUCUGCACAAAAUGAGUCACCAGGGGCAAGAUGGAGAGCUCUUUCCCUCAACAUGGCACCAACACUUAGUAUCUGUCAGUGGCCAGGCCGCAUAUCCUCAAGCUCAAUUAAUCAGAAGCCCACCUUUGGAGGAUUGUGCCCUGGCCCGCAUUUAAAGGUACCUGCGGCCGUCUGUGCCAGUGGUAACCCUGGCAGGAGACAAGUGGAGCAGGUUGGCCUGACUUGGCAGGGGGGUUGAGAUGGUGUUAAUACAGACUUUGGGAGAUGAUUUCCUUUGAGAGAGAUCCAAUCCAGUGUCACAGCGUGGCGCUCAGGAAGUGGUUGAGCCGCCGACUGAUGAAGUUUCUAAUUCAAUCUGUUCCAGAUCAGCAGGGGGGUCAGUGUUAGUGCCAAAGAGUAACCUUGCAUCCUGUUCUCCGGUCACUGAGGAAAUGUUAGGCCUAUUGAUUAGAGACGCCAAUAGCCAAUCAAUACAGAGAGAAAGCAGCAGCUCAUUUCUACUUUCCUUGAAAAGUUGUCCGCAUUUAGUAUCUGCAAGAGUCAGGCAUUUACAGUUCAGUCAAAUAUGCACCACACCUGUGAGUUUGGAUGAUGUAAAACAGAAUUUCACCCUCAUUAGAGUAGACAUGUCACAGUGAUUUAUCCUGUUACAUUACUCUGAUACAUUGCUGCCACCUAGUGUUUACUAUAAGGGCUAUUGGUUUAUGAAAAAUGCUCUGGCUCAUUUAUGGUGAAAGUCUUUCAGUUUUUUAGUUUUUCUCCUGGGUAUUUGUUCACAGUACUUUUUGAGGUUCAAAACUUAAAAUGGGAUGUGAAAAAAACACAUACCCACCAGUGAAAGCUAUGGGAAACUUCCAUUCUGCUUUAGUUUUAAUUUAAAGAGGGGCUUUUGUGCUUGACACGAUAAUAAAUCAUUUCAAUGUUAUUUACGACCUCUACAAUUGUGUAAUUUUUCGCUCUCACAGUGCUGGCAGGGAGGUUUUAUUCUUACACCGGGUUAUGUCCGAUCUUAAUUAACAAAAUCUGUGAAGUUGUUGAAUCUAAUUUCUUUUUAUAGCUGAUAUCAAAUUAACUUUUAUUUCACUCUAAUCAAAAGAACAGUCAGAGCAGCAGCUCCUCUGACCUUGAGGACACUUUGACAGUCGUCAGUAUUAUUAGGAAAAUGGGAGAUGUGUGUGUAUCAGUGCAGACGGACUACCAGCCAUUUAUACAAGAGACUGUUAAAUUCGACUGGUUAAUCUAGUGUUCAUUAACACAUAAAUAUCUCAACUGACACGACAGGAUAUCAUCAGCUGUUCUUAAAGUUUGUGGAAGAUGGCAACAUUCAAUUUGACAACUUCUAAAAAAUCUCAACAUCAGUUUUUUACAGUUUUGACACUUUAAUCAUCACCACCAGCCCUGUCAACAUUUACAUUGCAGUUACCUUCAAACUACUACAUCAUCUGUGACUUUAUCCACUCAUGCAGCUGGCUUAAACUUUAUUAUGUGAUAAAAUGUGAUUUUGUACUGUUAUAUUACAUUAUACUUUAUGUCUUUAAUUCUAGCAUGCCAAGAACUAAAGGCGCAUGGACUACUGUUGAAAAAUUGGGAUUUUAGCAGACUCCCAACUAGGGCUGUCAGAAUGUAACAGUACUGACAAUAAAAGCCUUUUUUUUAAUGAAUAGAGUAUUACUAUUGUGCUAAAAAUUCAGUAAUAUCAUGACUAAAUGGUAGUUGCCAUAUGACAUAUAAUGUAGGAAGGAUGAAGAAGCAAUAGCCGACAGCUAGCAAGCCAGCUGCAGCAGCCCUUUGAGAGAUGAUUUCACACUUUUAAAACUGAUGUUCAAGAUUUAUUGUGAAUCCAAAAACAAUGUUAAAGUUUUUGCCUCCUCAGGUCACUAACCAACUGAACAUUUAUACUUUCUUAUGGUUCUUUUAACUGUUAAUUAUUCUGUUCUGUAGCAUACGAUCUACCAAAAGUAGUACACUACAAUCGUUCAGGAAGCCAUUGUGUUCUCCAAAGAAGUUUUGCUCACAGGGUUGAUAGUAAAUCAUAUAUGUGAAUAUUAUUAAAUUGGAUGAUAAUGCGCAAGUUAAUCUCAUGUAUUUUUCAUGUUAGUCUUCAUACAGCCAAAAAACAGUCAGACCAUGCCACACAAUGGAAUGCUCGAUAACUAUAAAUGGACGAUAACUACUCCAAAAGCUGCUCACACCCUCCCACAUUAACCUUGUCUACUUUAGCCGCCAUUCCAGCCGCUGCAACUUUUUAACCGUCCUCCAUCUCCUCACCUGUCUUUCCCUCUUUGUUACGGACUGGAUGGGGUGGAGUCACGUCUCUGGCGUAGGACAUCGUCUUAAAGGGUCAUGAGCCCAUAGCCUAUCUACAUACAUCAGUUAUCAUCGUACAUUUCAGUAUCAGUAAAUUUUCGAUUUAUUACCCAGCCUUAAUGGUGGGUGGCUUGGCUACAGUUCAGACACAACAUGUGACCAGGAUUGUGGACCUACAUUAAUAGAAAUAAAUAAAUAAAAGAACUAGCCAUCUCACAAAGAUAAUGAUGUUUAAUCAUUUGUUUGACAUUUCUCUGAUGCUGGUCUAUAGGAAAUGACUUUUUCCUCUGUAUGUUUUAUGAUGUUGCGUUCCCACCUUGAAGAUGACAUGUCAAAGGAGCUUUUCAUUACGUCGCUUUUUAAAUAAAGAAACUAUUCAUCAGAAUGUCUAUGGCUACACUUCCACAUCCUUAUAAAACUGCCGGUCUGGUUCCACCUCUUUGUGCCCUGAGACACACUGACUGCCACCACUCCUUUAUCAGACUCGUGUUUCAUCCAGACGUGUCAGAUUAAUCAAAAAGAAGUGUAUCUACUUUCAUCCUCAAGCACGCAUAAUACAAGUGUCCCUGUCUGCAGGUGCAAAGUAGCAUCAAAAAGAAUACAUGUUUGAAGGUUUAAGCAUUGCGGUUCCUUUGCUCAGUUCUGUUCAAUUAUUUCUGCAGUGAUUUGACAUCUCAUUUAACGCACUGAACUUGAGUAUGUUUAUGAAGUUUAACUACUACUAGUGCAUAAAUUCACACCAGAUCACAGAGUGUCAUGUAGGAGUUGUUUUUGCUUUGAAAUAAGAGGCGAAGUCUUUGUGUGGCUGGUUAUUACAGAAGCAUUCAUAUUUUAUUGACCUGCUCCUCUUUUAUAUUCAAGCCCUCUGCGUCUUCUUGUUUCUGUUUCUUGUCAGCAGAUUCGGUUCGACCUCCCCCAGCACUGGAAAAAACAUCGAUAGAUCUCCUGUAACUUUUUUUCUAGUUUGCUCUUCCCGUGUCCCUCUCCUCCACCUGUGUGUUCAAAGUUUUUCUUCAUCUGUCUCCGAGAGCGUGAUGUGGGGGAUCGCCUUCAUCAGGAAGGUUUUUCUUUCUUCUUCACACAUCUCCCUCAUUUCCUCCUUUUCCUGUCUGCAUCUUCUCCCUUCUCCCGCCUUUACAAACUCGCACCAGUUUCCCCCUCCAUCUCUCCCAUUUGCGCAGAUGUCUUCCCUCAGCUCUCGUUUCAGUGGUUGCUUUAUUAUUCUUUUCAUCCCUCUCUUCUUUCAUCUGCCUCUCUUGUUCACUUGUUCGCUUGCAGAGAUUUUUGAAGUCUUGGGGUCAUCAGGAAACUUUUUAACUGUUUGGGUUCUUCUCUCCCGAUUCCCUUCCUUUCUCUCUCUCUGUUUCCAGCUCCAUUCAGCUUUUUUCGUCUCUGCAGAGCCCGAUUACUGCUUGUUCAAUCUGACCUUGUAGUCUCCCACAGUUGGGUUUUUCAUUUUGGACAUUUUCUUUGUGAGAACAUCUUUGGUGGGUGCCUUUUUCCCCCCUGUAUUUGUUGUCCUCCUUCAUAUUGUUGAUGCUUCACUUGGAAGACUUUGUGUCAUUUCUCAGUGUUUUAGCUGCUUCUUGAUAGCCCACAGUAUUUUAUCUUUCUACUGAGUUUUAAGCUCUUUUAUUUUGUUCCUGUAAAGUAUUAAUGCUUGGAAAUACUUUUGUAAUCAUAAAUGAUUUUGCCAUUGAAGAAUUUUGUGCUUCCAUCAAAUUUUUGUUAAUCUUUUAAAUCCAAUAGAGACCUUUUUUUUUUAUCCAUUACCAUUUAAAGUUAAUAAAAGGCUGGAGUCACUAGUUUCUCCAUGAUAGUACGUUCUAUCAACUCUUUGGAUACAGUAUCUGACAAUAUCUCAAACUCUGCUGAUCCACAGCUGUGAUUCAUUACAAUUCAGUAGACCGUAAUGGAUUUCAGACAACAUCAAAAUGUUGUGUACCCAUGUAUGGGCCUUUAAAGGUCAGCUAAUCACCAAUACACCCCUGACUGGUCAACAGACUAUUACAAAGAUGGCAGCCUUCCAUUAGCGGAGUCAGCUAACAACAAAAAUGACAUUAAAUCACUAUAAUUAUGAUGUUGAUCAUCACAGAUUACCUUUGUUUUUGAAUGAUUUGAUUAGUUUAGUUUCUAGAAAUGAGUGUAUCUUCUCUGUGGGAUAGAAAAGCCUAUAGGUGGCAAAGAAACACUCAAAGUUCAACUCUGGGAGGCAUUUUGGUGCUCUCCUGUGGCCUAUCUGCGUGUUACUUCCUCUGUUGUCGCAGUGCUUGCUGCCUCUUACAACGUGUUACGUUAAUGUUUUGUGAGUCAUCUGAGCCAAGUGGAGGGCAUCCCUAAGGAAAGCAUUGUGUUACAGUGAAUAAUGUAUACGGCUGGAACUAGUUGGACCAGUUUUGUUCUGGAUUCAUUUUUAGAUUCUCAUCACUACCCCUUGGCAAAUUGGGCGUUUUUUCAGUCUAGCAGGAUUUCUGACCAGCUGCCAGUGCCUCUUAAAGCAUUGUUUCACCUCAAGCAAAGUAAAAUUAAUUUACAUAAAUUAUGAAAACUAUUUUGCCAAAAACAUUUCUGUCAUUAACACAAAAAUAUAUAUUUUUGACCAUGCACCUCUAGUUUGUUGUGGUUCCUAUUUGUUUCGUCUUGUAAAAACAUCGUCUGCAUAUUGUAUGAGUUUUUAUUGACCCUUCUUUCUCUAAAAUACAACAUAUUUCCAGAUGGCUGUUUUAUUCCUAAGAGGGGAGUAAAUAUGUUCUACAUAGAGUAUAUCUUGGUGAGCCAAGGUGCAUACUGUAAAACAUGUGAAUGGCAGCAGUUACCAAGGAGUGUUUGAUGGUUUUACCUCUAAUUAGGGGUGUUUGUCAAAGCCAGUCAUCAUUUGUGGUAAUUGUAGUAAGUCAAAGAAAAGACGUCUUUUGUGCCUGCUUUGUCAAGAGAGUAAAAAUCUUCAGCUUGUCAAUAGUGUCUUUGUGUCCCAUGAUGCAAUGUGCAAAGCAAUCAAGCCUCACCUAUCAGACGGCUUCAUUUCUUCAGCUGCUUUGGAGAAACUUAAAGGGGCCAAAUAUCUAAGAGGGCUUAAACAUUGUUAGUCUCUACCAGACCAUAACCCCCCCUUACUAAUAAGUAGUAUUUGCGAAGCCAUUUGAUCUGUUCAUCGUGAGUAUUUUGUCUUUUUUUCUUUGCUCCGUUUUGUUGCUUGUCUGUAAAAUGAGGUAAGAAUAGAAACCCAAGCUGAAACUGCCUUUGGUUUUUCAGGGCAACCAACUAUGUCAAAUAACAGCAUGGGUGCUGGAAGUACAACAGAUUCUGCUGUUGUACCCAGGAGACACAGAGCAUGUAUUUAAAGUGUUUUCCCGUCUAUAGACCAUACUAAGAUAUAGCGGGGAGGAAUAAGGUUGGAAAAUGGGCCAAAAUUUCCAUUUAAAUAGGAUUCAUCUUCACACUAACAAUGUGUAUGGUGCUUUUACCUUGGAAAUAUGAAUAAAAGAUGGGAAAGUUCUUAACCCUUGGGUACAAGGGUUAAACCUUGUUAGGUUCUUAACAAGGGUUAACAACUUCACCAUCUUUUAUUCAUGUUUUACCAGGUCAGAGCCAAACUAGCCCCGGCCUGGUGAGACAGGGACAAAUUUAUAAAUUUUCUACAGGGUCUCCAUGGAUCUGAUUCGGUUCUCCAGAACAUCCCUUAGAUGCUGAUUGACUCGAGCUCUGGGGAGUUUGGAGGCCAAGUCAGCACUGUCAUGCUCCUGCAGGCAUCCUUCAUCCAUUGCUCUGUAGUCCAGCUCUAAUGCUUACAUGCCCUUUGUCAGUGCUCUUGGCACUGGAUAUGGGUCAGCAUGGACACCCUGACCCCUCCUACACGUCAGACUGUGAUGCACUUUGUGUUUAGACAACUUUUCUAUGAGAACCAACAUUAGGGUUUUUAGAAAUUUGAGCCCCAGUAGCUCUUUUGUUGAACUGGUCCAUAUGGGCUAGUGCUCUCUCCUGCAUUAGUGCACCCUGGGUUCUCAUGAUCACAGAUUUUCGUUCUUUGGAUCACUUUUAGAAGGUGCUGACCACUGUUGAGUGGAACACCACACAAGAGCUGCAGUUCUGGGUGUUAUCAAAGUUGCUCGUGACCUCACCUUUGCCUAUUAAUCCUUCUUCCACACAUGAACUUCAACAAUAAAAACUAAAUGAUCCUUCUACCUGUCAGUGCUCAUAAUGUUGUAGCUGAUUGAAAAUGAAAAUGACUCACUUUCUCUUGCAAACUUCACCACUGUUUCCUUUUAUGUCUGGGUAGAUCCGCUGUCAUUUUAUUUUCUGUCGCUUUUUUAAAGCUGCUGUGGAAAUUUCUGGUUUGUGUCGAUUUUGGCACCCUCAUGGGCAAAGUAAUACCUCCUAUGACUUGUUCAGUACAUCUGAAAGCAGUAGUGUCAGACAAAAACCUCAUCCUGUUGUCUUUUAACAGUGAAAUGUUCCAGUCACUGUGAGUAAUUGCCAUUGAAAACAGUUUUGAAAAGCUGUUUUUUGAGGUAGCUACCAGUCGUCUAUUUUGACACCAACCCCUCACAGCAGUUUCAGGCAUCAAAAGAUACAACAGAGAAACGAUCAGCCUUUCUUGCUGACGGUCUCAUUUGUUUCUGAGGGUCACUAAGAAGCAUCAGUACCGUUUCAGUCUGUUUCCUCACCCAGUUAAAAACUCCUCCUGUAACUUAUGAAACAAAUUUUAAAAAAUCAAAACUUUCUUUCUGCUUUGAAAACUAUUGUGCAGUCACAGCAAACGUUGUUCUGCCCCAGCAAUGACUGUGAGAUAAAAUCAUUACGUGCUGCCAAGAUCUGCAGCCUUUCUGUUACCAUUUGUAAUCUUGCUGCACUCUCUCUCGAUGUCAGCUUGAAAAGUUCAGUCAAGGAUACAGAAACAAGUCAUAGUUGUCCCUGGGCCAAAAUUUGUUAAGAAGACGUGACAUCAAACGAUGAUUAAUGCUUUAAUUACUCAAAGAACUUGUGCGUGAUUUAAUGAUAUAAAUGGCGUCUUCAUGUGUAAUGGAGCUAAUGACACAUAGACUCAUCUGUUUGUUAAUUGAACUUUUAGAACGUAUUAUAGAGAGACAAAUCAAGAAAGGUCAAAGAAUUAGUCACUGUAGAAUUCAUCUUAGGAGAUGAUAUUGAACAGGGGAUCUUUAUUCCUGUAGUUGUGUGUAAACAGUGAUACUUCAGCAAAAUGAACAUCCACAGCGUGACGUAGGUGUACAUGUCGGGGUUGGUAAGAUAGAAGGUAUACUGUCAGCUCUUUGCUAUGAGUGAAAAUCUCCAAGCAGCUUUCCCAGCUUGUUUACACAGACAUGCUGACAGAUGUACAAUCCUCUGUGUGGAAAUCUGCUGCCUCUCUCUCUGAGCCGAGUCUCUGAGCUCACACUCAUCUCAGUGCCCCUCCUCUCCACUCCUCUACCACCCCGACAUUCUCACGCAGGUAAAUACCAACGGUAUCCACUCUGAUUGCCACGCUUGCGGAACAGAAGUGACAGGUGAAGACAGCGACUGAGUGAAGAAGAUUACACACAAAAACCUCCUGUGAUGAGUUCAAAGCCAUCUGUUGGGGUGAGGAAAACCUCGGCGACAAAACUUUCAGAAAUUAAUAAUUACUGCAGACGGAGAGUGGCAGAGCUUUGACAAAUUCCCGACUCUACUCUUUAACUUAAAGAGAGAUAUGUGCACAAUCCUCGGUGAUGAGUUCAAGUGGAGGAGCAACUUUUUAAAGGCCCAGCGUUCAAUAAGUUCCUCUGUGACUUUUAUUCUCUCAAUCCACACCAGGUGUGUUUGAUUUCUUUGCAACAUUUGCAGACAAAAGUGUGAUUUUCAAGGGACGAAAUAUGCAGACAAAGCAGGAAAUGUGGACAGAAAUAUUAUUAAAAUGAAGCUGAGUAAGAAAACAGGAUUUUAAUGAUCUAAUUCUGGGUUGUUGUUUUUUUAAUGGCUUCAUUUUCUGUGUUAUGAAUAAAUAUUUAUCAAGCAGUGAAGACGUAUCAAAUGAAAAUGCUGUGCAACAGCGAUAUUUGCACCUAAUCCGAAAGUUUGGGUUAGCUCAGCAGUUAUAAUGCUGGUAGACCAAUGCAUCUACAACCACAUUACUGAAAGUGUCAAAGUUAAAAGUCUGUUCAAUAAAACCCUUCUCUUUUAAUGCAAGACUUAGUCACGACUUGGAAUGAAAUUUCUGAAUACGGUGUUAAGCAGCGAGGCAUAGUUGGCACUUUCAGCUCUUCAAAACUUAACAAUACAUUUUUAUCCUGAAAGUUCAAAUUAUACUGUAACCAAAGACUGUAAAGUCAAAGUUUAGAGCCAGGAAAGGGAAUUCUUGUCUUCGAACUUCUGUACUUUCUCUUUAAUGACCAACAGGGGGCAAAUCCUCUGGUUUGGAGAUAGUCUGAUAAAUUUGUGAACAUAUGGCGAUACAUUUACCUUACUUUAUUUUCUCCUUUUCCAAAAGAGGUCCACAGAGUCGACUUUAGUAUGGAGUUACUUCCAUUUUGUAGAGUGAGGGUCCCAUUUUAAGAAAACAAAAAAAAGAAGAAUUGGAAAAGAACGCAAGGUGUCAUUUGACCAAUCAGUCUGUAGAGUUGUGCAAAAGCAUCCACUGGUGGACGUCACGACAAAAUUACAGGUUUAAGGCUUCCAACUGGUACCCCAAAAACUGAUCAUUGUCUUGGCUUGUCAAUUAUGUUAACUCUUUGAUAAUAUCGUAGGAUUUUAUACGAUUAUUUGUGUUUUCAGAGUUUUAUCUGAAGUUUAUCAUCAAUUAUACAACCUGCUGUCACUUACUUUUCAGUCUUUUCCUCGUGGUUUCCACUCUGCUCAAAAAGACUCUCACUUUCUUUGGAGUACAGCACUAAAAAGUGGACUCUUCUUACUUAAAUAUUUGGAGUUUAAAAAUGGAUAAUUAUCAUGUCAGUGGACAACUCUACUUAUCUGUACAGUGACUCAGCCAGUCGUCACUCACCACUACAGCAUGGCGAUAGAAGAUGAAAAGACAAAAUAACCACAGGAAAGAAGCACCAAAGGUACCAGACAGCUGCAGCAGAUGACUUAAGCCUAAUAGACUGCAGGUUAUAUAUACAGUAUAUAUGGACAUAGAUGAAGCCUUCUGCCUAACUCUGUCUGCACAUUUUCUGGAAGCUUGCAAAUAUGGACCAAAUGUCAGACCAGCAUUCCUCAGAGAGCUUGGUAAUAGUUGAGUCAUCUGAUGGCAUCACACAGUUUAUUCGGCUGCACAUCCAUGAUGCGAAUCUCCCGUUCCAUCACAUCCCAAAGAUGCUCUAUUGGAUUGAGAUCUGGUGACUGUGGAGGCCAUUUGAGUACAGUGAACUCAUUGUCAUGUUCAAGAAACCAGUCUGAGAUGAUUCCAGCUUUAUGACAUGGCGCAUUAUCCUGCUGAAAGUAGCCAUCAGAAGUUGGGUACAUUGUGGUCAUAAAGGGAUGGACAUGGUCAGCAACAAUACUCAGGUAGGCUGUGGCGUUGCAACGAUGCUCAAUUGGUACCAAGGGGCCCAAAGAGUGCCAAGAAAAUAUUCCCCACACCAUGACACCACCACCACCAGCCUGAACCGUUGAUACAAGGCAGGAUGGAUCCAUGCUUUCAUGUUGUUGACGCCAAAUUCUGACCCUACCAUCCGAAUGUCGCAGCAGAAAUCGAGACUCAUCAGACCAGGCAACGUUUUUCCAAUCUUCUAUUGUCCAAUUUCGAUGAGCUUGUGCAAAUUGUAGCCUCAGUUUCCUGUUCUUAGCUGAAAGGAGUGGCACCCGGUGUGGUCUUCUGCUGCUGUAGCCCAUCUGCCUCAAAGUUCGACGUACUGUGCGUUCAGAGAUGCUCUUCUGCCUACCUUGGUUGUAACGGGUGGUUAUUUGAGUCACUGUUGCCUUUCUAUCAGCUCGAACCAGUCUGGCCAUUCUCCUCUGACCUCUGGCAUCAACAAGGCAUUUCCGCCCACAGAACUGCCGCUCACUGGAUAUUUUUUCUUUUUCGGACCAUUCUCUGUAAACCCUAGAGAUGGUUGUGCGUGAAAAUCCCAGUAGAUCAGCAGUUUCUGAAAUACUCAGACCAGCCCUUCUGGCACCAACAACCAUGCCACGUUCAAAGUCACUCAAAUCACCUUUCUUCCCCAUACUGAUGCUCGGUUUGAACUGCAGGAGAUUGUCUUGACCAUGUCUACAUGCCUAAAUGCACUAAGUUGCCACCAUGUGAUUGGCUGAUUAGAAAUUAAGUGUUAACGAGCAGUUGGACAGGUGUACCUAAUAAAGUGGCCGGUGAGUGUAUAUACAGUAUAUAUGGACAUAGAUGAAGCCUUCUGCCUAACUCUGUCUGCACAUUUUCUGGAAGCUUGCAAAUAUAGACCAAAUGUCAGACCAGCAAACCACAGAAGAAGAAUAGUUGAGUCAAAGUCUGUGCAAGAGCUGUUUAUUCGAACACCCUGUCGUCUACUCUUCGUUUAAUGAACACCCAAAUGUGAAGGACGCUUGGGAGUUUGUGAGCAGUGACUGUUAUUCAUUUAAAAUAUGAAUCUCUGUUUUUAUACAUACGGGGAGCAGAAAUGAUUCUUAAAAAUAACUUCUUUAUUGGUGCACAAGUAGAGGAAAAGGUGAACGGUUGAAUAGAAAUGACGUAAAUCUGAUGUCAAACGUUUUCAAUAAGUCACAUCUCUUCAGCAGAAGUCCUGAAGUGAGAAAAGUUGAUUUAUGAAACUAAAAAAGCUUAUGGAAGCACAUUAAAUACAGUUUAUUUCUUGGAAUAUGCGACUUAUUGCGUUUUGCAUUCUUUUCAGAAAUGUCACAUUGUUAUUGUCAGGCACCUCAGAAAUAAACAAAUUCCCAUUUUACCAAAAUUUAUUAUAAUAGCUUUCAUUUUGCCAAGUUUAAAAGUUCAAAUGUGAGCUAACUUUUUAACCUUUGUUUCCUCUUUAAAACCAAGUAUGAAGUCCAUAAAGUUCAUCCAGUGUUACAAAUUUGUUGUAUUUGUUAAUACGGAUAAUUUGCCUCAUUAUGAAUCAGCCCUUCAUAUGAAUGAUGCAUUAAUUCAAAUACUUUUUCAUUAACACAAUUUAAUGUGCAUAUGUACUUUGAGUUCAUCUUUUUUGACAACUUCGGCUCUGUCCUCAUCUUAUCUGAGUUUCUGCAGCAGCCUCCAGUGAAGAGCGUCUCUCCUCGCUCUAUGAAGAUGACAUGAGCGUGCUUUCAGGGGUAAUAUUAAACACCGUAUACGUGCCAACUUAGAUUAGGCCUGUAGUUGUGUGGAUUAAAAAAAAACACCAGCAGCACAUUAGCUUUAAUAGCUGCAGUCACAUGUAUUUAGGAGAGCGCAUAAUUUGCCGGGAGAUCUGAGAGUCUCACUGGCACAGCAGCACAACAGAAGGUAGGGCCCUCUUCAAGUGAGAUGUGGGUGUUAUUUCCGGCGUGGUUUGGGACCAAAAAGGAGCACAGCAGAUACACAUUGAUGGUAUUAAACAAUUUCAACUGCCUCCAGUUUUUUAUCUGCUCCGUGAACUUAAUUUUCUUUAAUCUUAGAUCUUUGAUUUAUCCCUAGAGCUUGAUUCAGCCAAAAGGAUGAAGAUGAGCGUUUGGAACAGAAAGCUUGAAGUUUCUGCUCAGACUGGGUGGAGAAAGUGAACAGAAAAAAACACUUUGUUCCAGUUUAACAUGAAUUAAUCUAUUAACAGUCUUAAGUGUUGUGUGUUCUCAGUCAUUUAUAAGGAAGAAGAAAAUGAGAGAUCACUCUAGGAUGGAUGUUCUCAGAGCGUUAAAUGACCUUUAAAUGUCACUGAAACGGUUCUGGUUCGUUUUGGGUCAGGUUAAAUAAAAAUCAUGUUUUCAGUUAAAACGCUGACAUCAGGGUCAUGAUCAAAAGUUAGUGUGAACUGAAUGAAUGUAAGAUGCCACUCAGAUCAGUAAAAUAACCACUUUGACUCUGAUCUCACUAAAGGCACAAACCUAAAAUCACCUAGCAACCUCGUCAGUCUCUGCAUGGACUGAAAAAAUGUUGCACAUGUUAGUGAGAUAGUGCUGGCAAGGAUGAUGUAUGUGCAGAGGCUGCUCAUUUGCGUGUGCAGCUCCCUAUCCACUCACGUGAAUCUCUCAAGCUCACACGUGAAUUGUGUGUCGUAGCGGCUUUUUGUCAUCAAAAUGAAUGAAACUAUACAUACUCAUGACCCAGAGCAUCCCAGGCAUGUAGAGGAACCAACACGGGAUACUGGAUACUGAGGUCUAAGUGUCUCACAUAUGUUCAUAUACAUAUGAACUUGAUAUGCAGUCACCUUCUCAAACCACAUCAGGGUGUUAUCCCUCAUUUUCACCAGGUAACUUUAACCUAAUUGAGCUGUAUGGUUAGGGCUGGGUGAUAAAAUGAUAAUGGUAUAUAUCGAAAAUUAAUUUCCCUCAAUAUGAAUCAAACAUGGUCAAUAUGCUUUUCGAUAGUCGGCAUAUUGCCAUGUUUAGGGUGACUACACAAAUAGCCAAUGAAAAGGGGAGUUGCUCCGGGUUCGCUUCGCGCUGAACCAAUCGCGCUGAAUUAAAAUCAAGUAGCAAACAACUGUGUAGUAGCAACCUGCAGCUACACGCAACCAUAGCAAUUUAACACGUGAAGCUGACAGCACUGUUGGUGAGAAAAAAAGGAAAAUGAGUGCUACCCCCGGCAGAAAUGCAGAUAAAGGCUCAACAGAUGAUGAUAUCAUCGACAACACAGGCACGAAAACGUUGGUGGUGUGGAGGUAUUUUAGUUUUUUGAGGUCAGACAUGAAGCAGAGUAAUGUGCACUGCAAAUUAUGUCGAGUACAUGUUCUCGCAAAGUCGGGGGGAUACCUCAAAUCUUUUUCACCACCUGAAGCAGAGCCACGCGGCAGAGCAUGCGCAAUGCAAAAGGUUACAAACUCCGAGUGGAGUAAGGAGCCCAUGGCACCUGUGCAGCUGAAACAGCCGAUCAUUCGGUCUGCUUUCUCUAGUGCAACACCUUACGACAAAACGUCAAAGAGACACAAAGACCUCACAGAUGCAGAUAUUGUAUUGCAAAAGACAUGCUACCAAUAAGCACUGUUAAAUUUCAUGUUUUAUAUCGUGAUAUGUAAGGAUAUCGAUUGAUAUGAGAAAAUAUAUCGUGAUAAACUUUUUCCCAUAUCGUCCAGCCCUAUAUAUGCUUCAAGAAAAGAUGUACAGAUGUUCAAGGGAAACUUUAAGGAGAAUAAAUGCAACUUUGUGUGUCUGGACCAAAAGGAAGGAGACAAAGCAUUAAUUUCUGACAACUAAGUAUGAGAGUGCAUUGCAUUGUGCUGUACUUGACAUUUUUUUAAAAUUCAGAGGUUUCCAUGCAAUUCAUUGAUCUUCUGCGUAUUCAGUAUUUCACUCCUCUGAUAGGAUUUAGUAUUUCUUCCUGCAGUAGAAUCUCAUCUUGUCUCUGGCUUUCUAAAUUCACACCCAGUUAUCCUCAACCUAACUCCCAUAUGUUCAAACCAGGCAAGAGGCAGAAAAUAAAGAAGGUUACCUGCUUGGGAUCUUUAGCUCUACAAAUUACAUACGUUGCUCAUUUCUCACAGGACUACCAUCACUGACAACCCUUGCAAUUAUCGCAAAUUACUUGAGUUCCCAGGAUGCUUGUAGCGUGCUAGAAGAAGGGCUGUUAUUCUAGCAGCCGAACCCGACAGAGCGAUGUCAGCUGCAGAAAAACUCAGGGGAGGUGCUGCUACAUCUGCAGUAGAUUCACUGUCUUUAAAUCCUUUUUCAUACAGCGCUCAAAGAAGACUUCUCCACAGCUGCAGAAGGUGUAGUUCAGACACACGCCACUGCCUCCCACAGAUUUCCACGUUUGCUGAGAUUCAAAAGAAAGUCUGUUCCCUUUCACUUCCAAUAUAAAACAUAUAGAUGCAAUAAGCUGUAAUACCAGAUGGGAUUAAUUUUGACCCGACAGUUCAUACAGAACUGCUCCAACUCAGCAGGCAUGAAAUUCUUGUUUCAGAAACCCGACGCAUGCGGAUGUGAUUUGGGCCUGAACUUUGACAGAACCAUUUCAAAACUUUAAAUUCUUCUUCCUCAGUUGCACUGAAGUCGGCCGAUGUGUCUCAGAUCAUUUUCUUGCCGUGUGACCCAUGUGCACCUCGACUGCAGCUGUAGAAAUAUGACUUCAUAUUCUCCUGCCAGAGAUUCAGUGUGGUCCUCUUCAGAGCCGGAUUCAUGACUCAGCCAGUAAUUGUAAAACAUCCAGGUGCACUAAAUCAUCCCUCAGCUAUAAUUCUGUCAUUUACUUUGACUUCAGAUUUCUCUGGGACUUCAUUCCAGACUUACUGAGAGUGUCCUGGUUUUUUUCUCACAUGUGGUUUUUCAGUCUUUUCUUUCACACCUUUCACUGGCUUAGGAUGGAUUUCAGGAGUCUGGCUGAUAUAAGUAUUUGGUUCACAGGAGUACAAUGUUGGCUUAAUGUGUACCAAGGCUGUGGUAGUAGAGCUUGAGUCAGAAAUUUGAUGAAACAAAACUCCAGGAUGUGCAGUUGUAGGGAGUAUUUAGUUGACCCUGAAGGUCUAAUGUUACAUGAAUAAUAUAAGAUAAUAUAAGAUAAAAUGACGUUUAAAGUCCUUCGACAUGAUUGUGUGUUGACAGGAUCUGUGUCACCCUCCUGUUUGUUGUUGUAUGCAUGCAGUGCAUGUACAAACUGCAACCCACAGAGGUCACUGUUAACAUACUAACCAUGGGUUCUUUUAGUGCAGUGGAAUAGGCUGGGAGUUAAGCUCUUACAUGCCACUGGGAAAAAAGAGAUAAUUAUGUUGUUCUACAUUUCAGUAAAAGCUAUCUCAAAUUAGUUUGUCCUCUUAGCUGGAAAUCAAAGGCUAGACAAAGAGAGAAAGUAUGAUUGUGCAGAUGUGAGUUUGGAGAUUCAGAGGUUGUGCUGUGCUGCUGUAGAGGAUGUAAAAGCUGAUGUACUUGGUGCAUUUUACAUACAUAAUUGUAGAAUUAUUACUCCCUCUGGUGGUCAUUUAAGGGACAUGCAGCUCUACAGGAGUGGCUCAGUCAUGUCAUUUGUUUUGAGAGAAAUUUUUUCAUGGAUGGGACUGUAUUUCUUAAUGAUUUCUUGAAAGCUUUUCUUAUAAGGGGUUCUGGUAUGAAGUCUGUAUUUACUUCAUUAUUUCAGCAGAUUUGUUUCUAAUGAAUCUCCUGAUGUUUUCCCUAAAAAAAAUCAUUCAAAGCCAAAAACAACCAAGAUUAAUCAAAUUUAUAACCUAAAAAUGUGGCUUUUCAUUUACGCUGAGUUGUGCUUGCAGAAAAAUGAUCCUCAGUCAUGUAUCACAGUCUCAUCUUCAGCUGACCUGCUGUGCACUUAGAAAAAGGUCUUAAAGUUGUUUUGCAUUUUUUGCAUUUGGAAGUAAUUGGAAAUAUACCUACACCUCUCUGUUUCCCUCAUGUUUACUUCUUUUUAACAUUGUUUUUUUCAAAGUUAUGCCAUGUAAUAUUGAUGACAUUGUCAGAAUCUAAAGAAGACCAGUUAAGCAUGUAGAGAACAAGAGAAGCUAGUCUGCUUUGUCCACAGGGGGCGCCAAAAACUGACACAAACUGAAAGUUCCUCACUGCUUCAAGUUUAGUUUGGAACAUCCUUCCUCCCCUCCUCACUGACUCACUGACUAAUUUAACUUCAUACUCACUCAGUCACUUGUGCUUCAAGUCCAACCAGUUCAUCUGAUUUUUAAUAAUAAUCAGAAUAAUUGCCUCUCUAUUAAAAUCAGUGUGCAGUUAAGAGUUUUUAUAUUCUGUUACAUUAAAUUAAUGGAUAUAUAUUUUAUACUAUGUUUAAUCUAAAAAUACAAAAAGCUUUCAGUGCCUUUAACUUUAUUUCUGUUCAGUUUAAUUUUUGACCAACUUCAUGCCAUCAAAAAGAAAGAAACUCAAGUACUACAAACUGUAAAAGAAAAAAGUUGAAUCAGUAAAUCUGAACAGCCACUCAGCAUUAUACUCAGUAAAUGAGGUUUAUUUUUCUUUCACCAAAGUAAACUGUUGAGGUGAGGAGAAAUUACAGUUUAGAUCGAGACAAAACUGAUGUGUGAGAAGAGAGAGAGAGAGAGACAGAGAGAGAGAGAGAGAGCAGGUUUAUGUGUGUGAGUGCAGUGUUGAUGGAUGAGCAUGACAGGCAGUGUGUGAAGUGAACAUUUCCCACCACACAGCUGGUGAUGGUUACCAUGAGAACCAUCAGGGGCAGAUGGCGUCCAAAUGCUGCCUGGAUGACACUCAAGCACACACACACACACACACACACACACAUUCACAAAAACACUCUCAUUUCAUGGUCAGGGUUUUUUUUAUGAUGUGAUCCAUGUAAUACUGAAGUUUCUUAAAGCUUUAUGUGCUCUCUUAUGAUGUAUCUGUGGUUUUCUGUGGCAGAUAAUGGCUCGCAGUUAUGAAACGUUAGUAUAUUUAUGUGUAAAUUUAAACGUAAACAUCACUGGUACCAAAAUACUACACCAGAUCAUAGAGACUGCAGAAACCCCUGAUUUGAUCGUAGGCAGGUGUGUAAGUAAAUAGUAGUUUAUGAAUGCCAAACAAUCGUAAAGUGACCCCACGCUCAUGAUAGCCAUGGUCUCCUGCCAUGAAUAGACGAUAAACACCAUAGAAGGAAGUUUUAAUAUAUUAUGCCUCCAAUUUGACUCAAUUUUAGCAAAAUAAAUGGAAAUUAGACUUUCUUAAUUUGCUAGUUUUGUAGAAACUUCACACUUGACAUUUAAAAACAAAAUGCUGCCUAACCUCAAGACAAUUCAUCCAUUCAGGGGCUUGUAUAAAUACUUAAUGCAGUAUUUUGUUUUAUGUUUUCAAAAUGAAAAAGAGCAGCAGUAGAGAAAGAGGUGAAAAAGUAUCUUGUGGUUUUCUCUGAUAGAUUUAUCUUAUCCCACCAGUGAGGCUGCCUCCUCUUAUCCUGAAAUCAAUAUCUCUGUGUGAGACAUUGUGCAUCACUGUAUGGGAUUUGUGCAUCUUUGUUUAUCCCCGCACAGUCGAAUCUCAGGCUUCGUUUAGAAAUGACUCCUGGUGAAAGAAAAAUAUGUAUAUUGGUAACUCUAAACCCUGGCCAGUACGACCAUUGCAUAAUUGUGUGUCUGUGCUUUUGAUGUGUGAGAGAGCACAGCUGAGCCUCCGGGCUUUGGCUCCAGAAGUGUGGCAAUUGAUUUGGCCGACUGUACCGGGUCAGGCUGUGGAAUAACACACACGCACUCACAGAAAUGGAGGAGAAGAAAUAGAGACUGACAAACAGGGCGGGGGACAUGACAGGCUUAACUGUGAUUUAAUGGAGUCACAGAGAUGAAAAAUAUGGUGACUGGAGAUAAGAUAAACAAGAAUAAUGAGGAAAUCGUCUCAUGCGAACCCUUGUUCUCUCAAGUUUUUGCUCCCUGGGGUGGAGUUAUAACUGGAUGGUAUUAUUAAAAAGAAAAGGCAAACACUUAUCUCAGUGGGGUCGAGCUCUCUCUUGUUCUCAGCACUAUAGAGUCUGUUCUUCAGUUGAGCUCUGGCCUCCCUAAAUAAUCAGGUCGCUUUAUGAAAAGGCAAAUUUCAUAGUUGUUGACGUUGCAAGUCUCAAGGUCUUUACACACCGAGCAAUAGGCAAAGCGGCACAAAUAAGCGACGCGAAAAGGCGAAUGUUUCGCCUGCGAAUUUUUUCUGUACACACCAGGCGCAACACAUUUAUGUUAAUAAAAUCUGCUUAGCGAAUAAAGUUUGGUGCUUUUUCUUUUCUUCAUAUACAAACAUUUACUGGACUUCAAAAAAGUUGCCCGAGCUGGUUGGUUAGCUAGUUUAGCUUCAUAUUAUGCUAGCUACGUUACACAUCUAUGUUUUAGGAUUGAUAUAACAUCAAUAUACUCAACAUGUAAGUUGAAGUCCUCUUCUAUUUCCUGCCAUAUAUUUUCUCUGAGGGGAGUGUCAUGGAAUAUUUUAAGGGACUUGUCCCAUAAAGCACGGCGCUCCUGCACACUAAUGAUAAAGCGCUGAGUCAUGAUGAGUAGAUGCAGACCAGGGCUGAUGCUGCCAGUAAAGUUUGGUGACGUUAUCGACAUACCAACAUCAUUUUGAUUGGUCAGAGGUCUGGCCUUUCACCUUUUCACCUCCGCAAAAUUCGACAAAAGUGCAAAUGUGUGUAAGGACCUUAAAAGUAAGAAACACUCAGACUGCUGUCAAAACUGAGCACCAUUCAUUCAUCACAACCCAAGAGUCCAGGGAUAAGUGGGGCUAACAGUAGCAGAGCUUGCACCAUCAGCCUUUAUUCCUUCUAUAAAGAUAACAUUCACAUGCCUGUGCUGGUUACACAUUGCGCUGGUUGAGUUUUUGUGCCAGUUUAACCACACACAGCCUCCAUAUGACUGAUUUAUAGAUGAAUAUACUGCCAAACUGUGCUGCACUGCAAAACAUAUCUGUGUCCAGUGCUUGUUUACAUCCAGAUAGUCCAGCAUGAUGCGUCUCAGAGUGGUGGGGUAACAUUAAUGAUGGGAUUAAGAACUUGUUUAAAUUGGAUUACGGGGUAAGUGUACUACAUUAGUAGCAACUAAACUUAAGAAAACCUGAACUAGCCCUUUAAUUGGAAUGAUAUAGCAGGACCUAUAUACAGGUGUGUGUGUGUGUGUGUGUGUGUGUGUGUGUGUGUGUGUGUGUGUGUGUGUGUGUGUAAUAAAGGAUACACAACAUGGCUUCAUGCGGAGGCAGAGUUUGUAAUUUCAGGCUUUGGCGAGUGUGAAGUCAGUCACAGCAUGGUCAGCCUCAGGUGUGUGUGUGUGUGUGUGUGUGUGUGUGUGUGUGUGUGUGUGUGUGUGUGUGUGUGUGUGUGUGCGUGUGUGCGUGCAUGCGUGCGUGAGUGCGUGUGUGCGUGCGCGUGAAGCUGUAGUGAUGGAGUGAGUGUGUUCACAUGUGUUGUUUUAACCACAAAAAUUUACAUGCUCACACACAAACACACUGGGCACAUAUUGAUGUGUACCCACCUUCACUUCUACAUAUCAAACCAUUUUCAUAUUCAAACACUGGCAAGGACUUUCCCUGUAACACAAACACACACACACACACACACACCCUCACAGUGGGCUGCCAUCUGUUCUCACAGUCGAGCUGUCUUGGCGGCCCCUCUGGCCUGGGACACAAUCAAUGACUCUUUCUAGCUCUCUCUCCCAAACACACACACACACACACACACACACACACACACACACACACACACACACACACACACUCACAGAUAUGCACCAAACAUGUUCAGGCCAACACACCGAACCAAACCACUCAACUUUCUGCUCCAUCAAAGCUAAAGCAUCACUCAGCAUCUCUCACCCAUUUCCAAACUACUUGGUAAACUUUCUCAAAAAGGUUGAUGUUCAAAAAAGAUUAAAAUAAACAUUAUUUUUGCAUUUUUGUUCGUCCUAAUUUCUUACUAUGACUGUUGGGACUUCGCAGACGCCCUAACUGGAAAUCUUCCAAGAAAUAACAAAAAAAUUCUUGAGUAUUUACUCGCUUUUAGCAGAAUAUGUGAUUCAAAUGAUACCUUAUGAGACCUGUUUGAUCUGUAGUCUUCCUUAGAGAACAGAUCAGCACACUAACACCUCAAACAAUUUGAACAGUGUUGAGAAAUUUGUCAUAUAAAGAAUAUUUCAGCCCUCUGUAUGAUGUCUGUUUGAUCGGUUUCUUUGUCAUGCAAAUAUGCGUUAGAUAUCACUCAAUGGAAGGUUACAUGUUAAAAUUUUCUCACAGGCAUUUACUUUUUUCAAUUUUGGUUCAUUAUACUGACAGCUAACAGACUACGACUGUGGUUUUAUUCCCUAUGAGACACUCAGAGACAAAGGUUAGGUUGGGUUGGCAUUUCUGUAUUGUUGUCUGAACAAUACAGUUAUAUCAUAAAGUAUAAAAGGUUUGUUUGGAUUGCCUUAUUUGAAGUCUUUUGUCAACCAUAAUCUUUGGAAAUACCCAACUCCACCUCUGUUUACAUUUUAUGGGAAGAUUUUAGGGAUAAUGGAGGUAAAAAUCCUACACAACCGGGCUCUAAAUGAACAAAUACUGUAAACAUGGGAGCAUUUUCUCAAGUGGACAACAUUUAAAACAUGGCAUUGCAGUGUUACCUGCAGUUUCCAUCCCAUAGGCUUUCUAUUUUCAUAUUAGAGGCAUUCAAAGUCUUUCAGCCUCUCUCUCUAAAAUCUCUGAGUCUUCUUGGCUGCUGGUGCAUCCACAUGCAUCACCAUCACAGUUCCAGAUUUACAUUUUCUGAAAAAAGUGGCGGCUCUCAAAAGAAAUCCCUGAGGGUAUCAACUCACUUAGCUAUCUGUUAUGUGACAGUCAAGUGCAGUGAAAGAAGGGUAAUACUAACCCAUCUAAACUCAGUAUUGAAAGUUAAGAACGUAAAGAUGAUGUUUUAUUGGUUGUGAAAGCUCUGGAUUGAACAGGAUGGUGGUUGAUUGGUAAUGCUUGCAGAAGAGCAGGUGUUGCAAUAGUUUUAUGGAGAGAUAGGUAAAACUGGUUGCAACUCAUUGAUUAUUUGCACUUCCACAAAUGCUCACAAAUACAUUUGAGGUUGCACGGGUGAAAUUUGAGGAGCAUAUGCAACUAUGAUUGUCACACUUUCAAGCUUUGCAAAACAUUCAAGACAAAGAUGAAAGUCUACAUAACUUAGUCGCCCUCUAUUUGCCACAUUUAACAGAAAUGAGUUAGAGGCAGAGAUUCAUCGUCAAUACAUCCCUCCAUUUUGCUUUCUAUGUUAUGAGAGCAUAAUACAGACACAGUAAAGGGGCUGGGCAUCAUUCUUCAUUUACUGAAUACCUCCCUCUCUCACAGAUUAAAGCAGAAGAGAGCUUUGACAGUCAUGGACACACAGAGUCAACUCUGAUGACAAAUAAAGAGAGAGAGAGGAGUGUGUGUUAGAAAUCAAAGAGUGAGCCUGACUGGUUUUGUUGUCGUCUUUUAGAAAGAGUCCCGCACUCUGUAUGACACUAAACAUGAACAUGGAGCUUAACAUGCAAACACACUCAUCUCCUCUUAAAUGUAGAGUAAUGUACACAAGCUAAAGCCAAGUAGAUCUUUAUCAGUUCAUUUGCCUUCUCAUGAAUGUGUUUUUCAGAUCAGACGCCACCACUGUCAGUCCAAAUAUGAUUAGAUAACAGAGGCAGAGGGAGGUAAAGAGUAAUAGCAGAGUAAUGCUUGCUGUGUGUAGCCUGAGGUUAUCCUGUAGAAAUGCCAGAUCAUGAAUGUUGUACCACCGCAAACAAGCUGUGAACUAUGUGUACAAGGUGAGUGUGGAUUUUGGCUGACAGAAGGUACAAUUUGGCCGCCAUUUACAUGACCGACUUCAGCUAAAGGCUGGCUGGGUUUUGUGUUGUUUAGUUAAUUUUUCUGCACUGUAUGCUGUUAACAUUGGGAAGAAUAGGAAACCAACACAGCAAGUUAGAGCUUAGUUUCUGGAAAGCUAAGUAGUGAACUUCAGUUUAGUAUCUUACAAAUGUUUCUUUAACUUAUUUCCCGAAAGGUCUUCUGCAGGGUUCAGUCUGGAAGUCUUCAAAACUUGCAGCCAUCAAUAUGACCAAGCUCUAGUAGUUUUGCAGCACUUUAAAAAGCAGCUAUUUUGAUUAACACAAGUGGUUCAAGAGUAAAUGAGCAGUGUGGAGGUCUUGAACGUAUCUUGAGUCGAGGCGACGCCCUGCAUGAGCCCCUGUGUUGUAAGCUUCCAAUUUGAUCCAGUUUUGCAUUUUAAAAACGUCAUUAAUUCACUCUCUUUUUCUCUUCCCCUCCUGUCCAUCUCCAAUGUAAUACACAUAGAGAUGUUUCCUAUCAUCUAAAUCCUCUCUGCCCUUUAUGUCCACUCCUCUCCUCCCUGUCUUCAGCACGUGACUCUCUUUUUGUUCCCUAUCUGUUAUUUUCUUUUUCUGCACAUUGGUCUCUCUGCUCAUUCUUCACUUCAUCUUCUCUUCCUAUUGCUCUGUCUCUCUUUCCACAGUGCUCUUUGUGUUUCCUAUAAUCCUCUUUCUGGUGUGGUUUAAUCUUCGCUUUUAAGAGGCGAGUGGCUGCAGGCCUUUAGAUGGCCCUUGGAUAACUCGCUCUUCCUGUAUGUGCGUGCGUAUUUCUGUGUGUGCGUGUAUGUGUGUGUGUGUGUGUGCAAAACUGUAAGUGUGAAAAUGCCUGAGAAAUUCCUCAUGGAGAGAUGCUCACUUUUUUAUCCCUCAGUCUUGUUUUUCUGACUAAAUCUAAAAUAAACUGCAUUAACUGAGCAUUUAGAUCUGAGCCACAUGCCUUCUACCUGAAUUUGCAUCUUUUCCCUCUUUAAUCUGCUGAAAACUCGCUUUUCGUCACAGAUUUUCAUUCGUUCUCUGAUAAACUGUAUUACUGAGUCAUGAGCAAUUCAAAUCACACUGCAAGCUUUUCUUUUUUCCACAAGUAGAAGUUGUUCUUUGAUGGUUUUUGUUAGUUUGAAGAGCAUCUGGACUUGACAAGGCUGACCCCUCACUCCAUCCUUCUUUCUGGACCCCAUUAUUCUGUCUGUUAACACACACAGUAGAGUCCAGCCUGGGUUUCUGGACCUCAUUAGUUUUCCAAUUAGCUGCUGUCAUCUGUCGACCCUGAUUUCUGUGGGCAAGCAAUGACACUGCAGCCGAUUCUCUGCUCUGAUUCGUCUCAGUGGGAACAGAUGGACUUCCUGUUGUCUUUUCAGGGAAAAAGUCAAGAUGAUUCUUCCCUCAGAAAAGUUUGACUUUUUUACCCCAAAGUUGAGAAACAAGACAUUGCAAGAACAAGAAGACCUCCACCAACUUAACAGACAGUUGUGUUAUAGUCAGACUUUUGUAGUACUUUAAAACGUUGAUAAAGCGACAUAUUAAUCAUGAUCCAGUUAAGUUCUGGUACUGUAAAUUGAUCCUCUCUCUUUUGUCCCUUUUGUGAGUUUAACCUGGGGGGAUGGUAAAGGGGCUACAGUCAUCAUCACUGUGGCUGCUGGUUUGACUUCUAGCCUUCACAACAUUCACCCUCAAAACUUCUCCUGACUCUCUUGGCUGUCCUCCAAUCCAAUGAAGUCAAAUAUGCCCCCCAAAAUACUUCACCUGUCUGGCUUCUCUGACUUAGUUUCAUAGACACUCUAUUAUUUAGAGGAUUGUUUAGAAGAUGCAUACAAAAACAUAUCUGUGAGGGGUGUGUGUCCAUAUUCCCACGCAUCUGUGAGUGUGUGAACUUGAAAAGUCUUGUGGCAGUAAAGACGACUUUUAAUUCCAUCAGGUUUAAAACUGGAUUUGACAAAUUUAUUCACCAAGACAUGACUCCUCAUUACAUCUUACUGUUGAUAUUACUUUUCUGAAAGAGGGAAAGAUGAUCUUAUUUCAAAUUUCAUCCAUCAACAAGAAACUUAUUAACAGGCAUUAAUAAAAGUGCUGAUCAUCGCUUUUAUAUGUUCAAGUGCACCAUGUGGAGGAUAUCAUGAGGCCUUGAGGCAAUCAGAUGUAAAAUACAAUAUUAAUGAGUGUUUUAAGUAGUACAUCGGUCAGAAUUCACCCAAACAUGACAGGAGGGUUAAUACAGAUAUUUACAUCAGGUGAUUGUACCUGCUUUUGUGUUUUGAAUGAGAGGUGCAAAUAUCUGUGCGAACAUAUUACCACAGUUACAUAAACAAGAGCUUUAAAAGGUUCCACAGGGGGCGCUAUAGUCUGAUUAUUUUCACAACUUUCAAGAAAAAACAGAUUUUCUUGAACAUCUCUACAGGUUUGUUAAACCGAACUUGGAUCACUAUUUGAUUUAGCCUCUUUCAGGUUUUGCCAGACCCAUUUUUAAUAUGAAAGGAUUAAAUAUCGUUGGCAUUGGAUUCAUCAAAGUGAAGCUCACAAUUUGCUAAUUACUUUGAUUAUUCUUAAAUUGUGUAAAAGGUUUCUUUAGCUGCUUGACUGACACCCACAUCCUCGCACCGGUUUCAGGCAUUAAAAAAUACAAAUAGUAUCUCGUCGCUAAUGGCCUUAUUUGCUUUUUGGUGUUGUUGAAAGAAAUUAAUGAGUUUCAGUCUAUUUUACAAACAUGAAACAAAUCCCUGUAUGAGCUUUAAAAUCCUUAAUUUACCUUGCUUUAGAAGUUUAACCCAAUUUUCCAUCUGUCGCUCCGAUGAGUCCAGACGUGUUUCUGUCAGUCAAAACACACCGUGUUGCUACGUUAGUUUUCAAAGCAGUUUGAAAAAAAAAUCAUUAACCUCAUUAAGUUCAUAUCAGGUACCAUUUAGAGCCUCGGGGGCGUGUAUGUGAGAAUUUGAACAGACGUCACUCUUUGAUAUGUCUCACCGAUAUGCUUCACUUGAAUGCAAAGAAACAAAACACACUUGCAGAAGCAUGCAUGUUCAACAACAGGGUGCAAAAAUUUUAACCAGUGCUCAGACUUGGAUCCAAGUCCAUCAAGCUUAUUGUUACAUAAGCUAGAUAAAUUAUACAAUACAUAUAUUCUGUAGUUCAAGGCUGAGUAUAUAUAUUACAGUCUGCAAGUGCCUCUACCAUAAAAGUCUGAAUAUAGCUGUAUUUAGUUGAAUCAUCAUCACCUCAGCUCUCCAUUUAUCACGCACUUUUAAGUUGGCUGCAUUUUUCGAGCUUGACGAAUAGUUGUGUAAAACAGAAUUAAAUACUUAGUCUGAAAAAACAGCAUAAAUAUAAACUGUUGGAAAAAUCAGUCUGGUUGUGUGGAAAAGUUUGUGGUUGUUAAGCAGACAAAUUUGCUGUUAUUUAAACAGCUGUUACACAGUUUGGAUCAUUUGAAAGCUUGUUGAAGUGGGAUCAGCUUGUCUGUGAGUCAGAUUUGUAUCUGAGUGAAAUGUAAUGAGUUUCACUCUUCAGAUCGGGACAGUGUUUGUUCACAAUCCAGCCAACCACAAACAGACACAAAGACAAGAAAACACUGAUGACAGGGACUAAAAACAUGCAAAGCAGGAGGAUAUACUCAGUUUAUACCUCAUAAUCUAUGCGUUUUUUUUGUGUAAAAUCUAUCUAAUGAUUUAUUUUCUUACUUGAAUGAUGGCAAUGAGAAUUCGGCACAAAACGGACCUAAUUAUUUUGCAGCCCAUGCAAAAGCUCUGUGUAUGUGUGGGUCUUAAAGCAUAGAUCUGACCUGUGAAACCGGAGUACAUCAUUUUCAAUAUGUGCCACUGGCUCUUAGAGCACUACUCUAGUCCUAUAUUGUCACUAAUGGAGGGCCAGUGUGUCUCUCUGAGUGUGUUUGGCUAUAUUCCCAGUGUAAAGAUUUGAGACCUCAUAGCUUUGACUUGAGCCCAAAAGCCAGAUAGAGGGCUGAGUUAAAUUUUAGGAGAUGGAUUGUGUCUAGACAGAGGAAAACCUACAAAAGUGUGUUUUUUUAUGUCUUUUGCAUAUCUGAUUACUGAACUAGUUAAGUGAAUAUGCUUCUACUCCUCUAGGUAAAGCUAUUAACAGGUUUUUGAUAACAACUGUAAUGAUUAGACACAAGAACUGCAGCGAUAACUGGGGAUAAGGUCUGGCUCACUUAGUCCUUUAAUUUACACAAAUUUACACUAGGCACAUUUUGUGGUACUGUCUAAACAAGUACAAGCACCUUAGAUAGGCAUGUCUGAGGUUUUGCAUGAGUUUAUUACAUCCUCAUUGUAAUGUAUCGUCCACAUCCUUGGGCUCUGCCAACUUCUUUAAUGCUCAUCUCCCGCAUUUUUCCCCAUUUGCAAAAACAUAAAACCCUGUGUUUAGUUCUGCAAGCUCUGCAAAUGGUAGUUACAAAGAAAACCAUGGCAGCUGAGUCUAAGCAAGUUAUGUUGGUGCUGGGACUAAUAAAUGUUGAGCAGCAGUGAUCAUAGUGAAACUAUUGCAAAGAGGAGAAGAAAGGAGACGCUGAAGGAGAUAAGAUGCCGCCAAACCACUGAAGACAGCAGAUCUCGGGAAAGUCGUAGAUGCAGGAGAAACGAGACUAUCAGGGGACCAAUCAGGGCUCGCGGUCUUUGUUGUUUCAAAGCAAUUCUUUUGAUGUAGUCACAUUUGUUUAGGAGCAUCAUAGGUUUCUGAAUACAGAGCUGUGCAGCCCUAUUGCGUCGAUUUGAAGCAGCUGACCAGUGAAGUUAGUUUUCUGUGAUAAAACGAAAGACUGAGUUGCUUAAACUCCACCAGGUCCCUUUCAUUAUUCUUUGUACCAAUCUAAAUCAGCACAUCUCUGCUGCUGUGCACAUGUAUCCCAUCACAAGAAGUUAACCAGCGAGAAUUUUUGCAACAACUGUUCCGAGAAAACUGAAACGCUUUCCUCUAAUGAUUAUCUUUGACCGUAAAUGUUUUUUUAAAUGUUCACAUUUCUCACCAAGGGAGAGGUUGGUGUCAGACCACUUUUGAAGUCCCCUGAUGAAUUACAUAACUACUGCUCUGGGUCUUAAAAAGUAUUUUUAAAACAUUAAAAAUUCAGGCUGUUUUCACUUUCUUAUGGGGGGGAUUAAAAGCAAAUUGAUGACACAAAUCCCCCCCGUUUAUCUGCGGCUCUUCGCACAGCAUUACCACAUGGUUAUCUUUAGCAUCGCUUGUGUUUCUGCAUCCUGUCAACAGUGACACCAAAUCUACAGGGAUUUGUAGAUGCAAAUGAGGAAGCUGGGGAAACGAAGGCAUGCAAACAUGUCACUGAGCUCCUGCUUUGGGCUCCGUUUUCCUGCUCCAGGUUGUGUUCAGUCACUUUGGGAAAAGGUCAGUCUUGUAUUUCUUGCCCAGCAGAGGAAACGGUAAGAAAAAGCUCUUUUUUCAUAAAUACAGGACUACCUUUGAAGUAAGCUGAUGGAUUCCUGAGCUCCUAUCCAGGCUCUGCUGAGAACUUUUGAUUUGUUUAAGACGACCAAGCCGACAAAAUCACCCUCAUUUGCAAUAUUCUCCUUAAGUUAGUUUGCAUGUGAAGCUUAUUUACAUGAGUUCCCUCUGGAAAGUGUCCAAGUUGGACACUUGACCACAUAGAGCCUCUUAGAAAAAGGAAAGAAUAAUAAAAGACUAAAGUUUAAACAGCCAGAGUGUUGCUGUAACUCAAAGGAGACCAUCUCCUGGAAAAAGUUAACAACAGAUGAUGCAGGAUGUUUUAUUUCAGAUCAUCUGUAACCUGUCCUCCCUCUUCCUCUCUGGUAUCAGAGCUGCAUUCACUAACUUCCUAAAGUUUGUUCUUAUUUUUCUAAAAGUUGUGAUGGCUUAAAGCUGUUACCAACUUUUACUCAGUUAGCAAACAUCCUCAAGAGAGCCAAACCUUCACUAUUAAUGGAGCAGGAAUGUAGUUUUCUUAUCUGGAGACAGGACGAUGAUUUCAGCCUGUUUGUCAAGUUUGAACCUCAGCUUCCCCUCGCUGUAACCUUUUGGCACUUUUAUCACAGUCACUAAAAGUCAGUUUUUCAGAAAUCCAGGGAAAAUAAUGUGAUUAGUUCCAGCUCUGUCCCUGUAAAGCUGACUCUAUAGUGAUUGGUAGGGGAUGAGUUGACCAAAUCGUCAUGGUUGAAAACUCUAAGGACCAAAAAACCUCUCACUUCAUCUUUUUAUGAGUGGUUACAUCUUUUAGGUUGGCCUGUAUGCCUUACUCCUGUGAACACAAGACCUACAUAAGUCAGCAUGGCUUGCAUUUAUAUCUUAGACUGUUAUAAACAAAGGACAGACCAACAUCUAUCUUGAUUGAAGCUGCUACAUUUGGAGCUCUCUUGGCAACUGGCUGCAGUACAGGUCACUAACCUCGCCUCCUUCAGCAAAACAGACAAGAGUGGGUCGAACUGAACUUGUCAAACUACAUUUUUUCAAUCACAAGAUCUGUCAAAACUGUAGGUUUUAAUCUGAUUUAUGCACAACCAGCCAGAUUGCUUCUGAACAUGCCUAGGCUCCACCAGCACAAUAUGUCAGCACCAUAGACUGUACAUAGAAUGGACGCCAUCUGCCUCCUCACUGGGCGAAGCCACCCUGAGAACAGCACCCUCUGGUGAUGGGCUGUAGUAUAGGUCAUAAAUCCCGCCUCCGCCAGCAAUCCCUAUGGAGUUGUGGACAAACUUUAGAAAUUGAAUACACAGAAUAUAAAUGUUUCCUCCCCCCUGCUUGUUGACAUGUAGUUACUGUACAGCUCAAUUUUUAAAGUUAAUACAAGGUUCAUCUUUCUAUGAUUGACACUUGAUACAGCCUAUGGGCGUACAAAGAUUUCAUAGCUCACCGGAGAGAUAUGCUGUUUGGACGACUCUCCCAUCGAAUGCGUACAACGCUACUGCGCAAUGUUGGUUUCAGGAAGUGGAGAAAAAUCACUGAAACACCGAGAGCUUUUGGACUUCAAUGCGGAACCAAUGUGUCCAUAGUAUAUACAGUCUAUGGUCAGCACCCAUCUAGGCUGUAAUUUGGCUUCACUUGAAGGAGAUGGAGGCGUGCAGUUGGUGAUUCAUAUGGGAAGUGAGACUCUGAGUGUCUGAGUUAGUCUACUAAAGUGUGAGAGAAUGUAAUGCAAACACUUUGGAGAAUUGCAAAAAGUCUAAAUGUGACGUUAGGUUUAAGUAAAGAAGCUGUAAAAGUGUAAUGUGCUUGUUAGCUCCAUGGCAACUUAAUGUCAGGUACUAAAUGAACCAGGCUAAAAAAAGCCAACAGUUUAUCCCUUAGACAAACUAAACACAGCUUGCAGCUUUUAACUCGCCUGAUUCUUUCAUGUCUGUUUUAGAAGAGUUUAAGUGGAAACAACCACUUCUGCAGUAAACUGUCAACAAAUAAAUAUAAAUAAGACAGGAAGUUUAAAAGAUGUGUCUCAAACAUCCUCAGUCUGACCUCCCUGGGAUUUGUUUUAUCACCCAAGUGUGUGUGCAUGUGUGUGUUUGUGUGUGUGCAUUUGUGUCUAAGGUUUAUUCCUGCUUGCACGAUAUGUUGCAUAACUACAGCUUCUCCAUCUCUCUACUGUUUUAUUUCCAUUCACUCUCCCAGCAUCUGUCUCUGUUUAUCUCUGUGUGUUUUUCCUCUCAGGAUGUUGAUUUACCUCAGUUUUACUCUGUUUUAUGGUCUUUAAGGUCUCUUUGAUUGUUGUUUGCCAUAAAGGGCUGUUAACAGUCGGUAUACAAAUAACACACGUUUGCAUUUGAGUACUCCCAAUCUGGAAUGAGGUUUGUAAUUGAUCUGGAACUGAGACGUCAUUGUGAACAUUUUAAAUUCAACAUACAAACUAUAUUUCUUCAUAGUUUUUGUCUAUCAUAGGUAGUGUUGCAAAUAUGAUAAAGAAAAACCUAAAUCACAGACAUAAAGGUUUUUAAAAUUCAGACACUUAACUAGUUGUAGUUUGUUAUGAUACCGUAAAGAUACCUUCAAGCCUGCCAUCUGAAGACAUCUUUAGUCCAGAAUUAGCUGUCUAAUCUAAGAAGUCAUGCACACACAGCUUUUCUGUAUCAAUAAUUCACCCAAACUGGAUUUGACAGUAUGGGAUGAUUGUCACUGAUUCUCUAUUUACCUUUUAUUUUACCUCAAUCAGUCUCGUAUGGAUAAACCUGUCACUAUAAACAUAAUCAAACAUACACCCACCUUGCUUCUGUCUAUGAGAAGCUCAGAUUGACAGCCAUGAAUCAGUCUGGAAAUAAGUCAGCAAACAUUUAAUGGGUUUGUGCACACUUGUGUUUCAUUUAAUCUUCCACUCUGAUUUAACAAAGUAAGACUCUUGAAGAUCUUACCCGUGUCUGCAUCUGUGAACACAAUCGCUGCGUCUGUUCCUUCCUUUUACUCUAUUACCACAUCACCUCUCGUUUUCUAUCCCUGCUUUUUAGAUUCUUCAUGCCUUUUCAUUUCUCUGGAGUCAAGUAAAUACAAAAUGCCAGGAGCUCAUUUUUUGAAGCAAAAUGAAAGAAAAAUACGUUUGGAAAAAAAGGUCACACAUCAGGGGGUGGAAUGUAAUACCUUUUCACCUAAACCGUCAUUUGCCUGAGGGUCCCUGAAAGAUGACGGUGUGCACAUGUCUCAGGCUUUCGAUGAAAUUUUGUAGCAGAUUAAACUAAUUUAAAAAAAAGCAAUAACAGCCUCUUACUGUAAAUUGUUAGUAAUUCCUCUGAUCGGAUCACUCUAAAUACCUCUCCCUCCUGCGCUGGGAUGAAUUACUUUGUAUGUUUCUACAAAUGAGUCAUGUGUUCGCUAAAUACUUCUGAUUUAAAUUAAAAGCACAAGGAAAAGAAAAGGACCAGUAAUAAUGUUCAUGUCAGCACUUAAACUGAGUUACUGAAUUACAAAAUUAACACAGCUUCUCCUCGUUUCUUUUAAAGGCUCCCUGAUGGGAGAACAAUUUAACACACAACCCUGUGAACAACAAAAACCAAAACAACAAUAAAGACAUAAAAUGUGAACAACACAAGGACAAGGAUAUGCGUGCAACAAUAUCAUCAAGCUUCAGUGGGGAUUCUGGAAACUUUCUGUUUACUGGAUUGUUUCAUAUUAUGCAACACCACAGUCAUUCUCCUUUAUACUCAUUAACUCUGACAACUUUCAGAUGACAAUCUUCCUUGGAUCCUUAAGUUGGAUUAUUUUGUGGGGGGGGGGUUUCUGAUUAACAGGAGAAUAAUCUGUUCUAUAUGGGAUUUAGAGGACCCUCUCUUCUUUGUUAGCUCUUUGAAGCUUCUUGUGAUUUAUCAGCAACAUACCGAGUGCUCUCAAUGGUCGCAUAAAUAGAUAUAACAGAUAUUAUAACACAUUAAAUUACCAAAGCAGUAAAAUACAGUAUACAAGUAAAUGCAGCAGUAAUAGAUCAUUAAACAGCAUUUAUGAUACUAAUUGUAACUGCAUUUCCACAGUUUGGUACUUUUGGCGUUAAAGCAAAAAGGAUUCAGCUUUUUCUUGAGGAUAGAUAGAUCUGUCCGUCUGUCAGUACGUUUACGUGCACAGCAGUUAAGUUGAGUAACAAUCAUAGCUCAAUUACUUCAUUUAACUGGACCACUGUCCCGCAUGCACCGGUAGAGAAUCAAGUUGUUGACAGAAGCAGGUCUGCCUCCUCUACAGUAGAUGGCGACAUGUCUUCUUUCAGCUCACUAUUAUUGGGUCGUCUCUCAGUUAACUUAUUACGUAUCAAAGCGAUCGAUAAAGACCAUAGACUGUAUAUAGAAUGCCUCCUCGCAGGGUGAAGCCACUCCAAGAACAGCACCCUCUGUUGAACAGAACAUAAUUUUUUCUCCCCCCUGCUUGUGAUGUUGACAUAUAGUUAUUGUAAGACUGGUUUGUGCUCAAGUCCUCUUUUUUCUGCGCAGCUCCGUUUUUAAAAGUUAUUAGGGGGUUCAUGUUUUCUAUGAUUGACACCUGAUACAGCCUAUGGGCAUUCAGGGAUUGUGUAGCUCACCCGGGGGGAUACGCUGUUUGAGAAGAGCGUCAUCACAGUGACUCUCGGCGGCUGCGCGGCCGAACGCGCGCAUCGCUACUGCGCAGCGCUGGUUUCAGGAAAUGAAGAAAAAAUAUCUAGAGCUUUUUGGCUUCAAAUCCGUAUACAGGCGGUAGGCGGAACCAAGUUGUCCAUAGUAUAUACAGUCUAUGAUGCAGACACAUUAGCGAGAGGCUAAUGGGAUGCGAUAAAAACACAGUAACUUUAACAGCUCUGUACUGUUUAUUUGUACAAUAGCAAAGUUUCAUCUUUUUUAUGUCCUGUCUGUGUGUCUAUAGGUUUUAUUUACUCCCCAUCUUCCUAACAAUGCAUUUAUACUAUUUCAACAGUAUAACUCCCACAGUAGCAGAUGCUUAGGCCAGUUUCAGCGUGAUGAAGCCAUAGUUUACAGAAAAGAGAAAAUCUAUCUCUGACCUCAUUAUCCAUAUGUGCAAACUUUGAUUUAGUGCAAUUUUAAUCAAAUGAAUGUGUUUACAUGUAUUCUUAAAGUCCGGUUUUAGUCAGAAUCUCUUUUUUUUUGUACCACAUGCAGACAUACUGUUUCUGUGUGUUUCUCUGUGUGUGUGUCUCCAUCUCUCACUUUAUGCCUUUAUUUGUCUUUCCCAAUUUCUCAGCUCAUCCUGUCCUGACAGGUGGCUUAUCAUGGAGAGUCUGAUUCUACUCUAGUUUUUUUUUUUGCCUUUUGAAAAGAAAGUCUGUCUUGUAGCUUUUUGCAAGUUCUUGCUCAUGGUAGAUUCCUUUUGAGUCUCGGUGGAUAAUAUGACUGAGACAAUGAUCUGGACCUUCGUGGAGUGUUUUCAGUAGGCUUUUGUUUUUAUCUACAGCCGUCCAACUGAAACUGGUUAAUCCUUUUAGUUAAUUUACUUCAUAAUGUACAGACUUUGAUUUUGAGCUGAGGACUUUGACUUUUGUUUUUACUUUAUCAGAGUGUCCUAAUAACGGAGUAUGGAGUAAUACUCAUCAAUUUCCUGCAUAAGGCAAUGGAUGCCUGGAAAAUGGGAGCAAAGAGCAUCAAUAGAAACGAUGGCAGUAUGAAGCAGCAGAGGAAUAUCAUGAUGAUGCCAAGAUUCCCUGAGGGAGAUGGAGGGGGAUACGGGGGUACAACAGAGGACAGGCUGAGCAGAGUGCACGUGAGACUGCGUGGGGUGCGCUUAGAGAUGAUGAAUGUGCUCAAAGGCAUUAAUCUAUAAGCUGUGUGUGCAGGCUGGAAGUGGACCACAUGAGCAUGUGAGCCCGAUGAUCGUGCAUGCAAAGCGGAGAUUUCCUGGAAUGGAAGAGAGUCUGAUGAAUGUGGAUGCACGUGAGGAGGACUCUGUGUGUGUGUGUGGGUGGGUGUGUGGGUGUGUGGAUGUGUGGGUGUGUGUGUGUGAAGGGGAUAAGAUGGAAGAAGGAGAGGAGGAAAUGAGAGUCUUGCUCUACUUCCUUCUCAAGGGAAGAGGAACAGACUGGGGCUGGGUUACAAAGUUUUUUAUUGCACAAAGUGCCAGAAAGAAAUCCUAAUGCUUACUUUUAAAAUCUGAUUUUGGAUCUUGAUUAAUCAAAUUUGCUUAGUCACAUGUCCUAACUCAUGAUUGAAGUCAUAGUUUGUACAGCUAGAGAAUAUUUCCAAAUAUUAUACCUCUUCUUUCUGGCCUUGUCUGCGUGUACUCUCGCUGCAUGGGCAACAAUGGUCAUGCCGGGCCUGGACUAUGUCUUUCGAUACGGUGCAGAUGUGUUCCAACCUUAAUGUGUGCGGAACAAAUCCAAGUUUCCACAUGGAUUUCACACAAACACACAAACAGAGCACGCUCAGCCCAUCAUGGCAGCCACAGCAAACGAGGAAACAAGGGCUUGAAUAUCCUCACCAUCAUGAAGGUGUCCAGUUAGAAUCAGUAAAGCACAGAGACACUUUGUUCAGAAGUGAUCAGGUACAUUUCUAGCAACACAGCUGACAGAAACACAACUUUCAUAACUUUGAGCCGAUAAAGACAAACCAACCUUAUGUGAACAAGUAAAAGUCACUCAUGUUCAUUUAAAGUUGAUUUAUGCAUAUGUAAAAUUCUGUUUAAGGUUCAGCUUUACUACUGGAAAGGUGAAUGUGUUGAUCUCAGUCUUUUGAAAGAGACCCUUAUGGUAGCAGGUUGUUGCAUUGUUCUCGAAUUCCUUCUAUUCUUCCUUAAUCAUAUACUUGGUAAGAACUGACAAGUCAAACUGUUCAAUAACCUUAAGUGAAUGAUAAGUCAUUAAAUUAAUGUUGCUUAACACAAUGUAAAAAAAAUUCUCAUCAUGUUCAGCAUAAUUUUUAGUAUUUGCCACAUUUUGUGUUGACUUAAAGCUCCUGUAGGGAACUUUUGGUUUACGUUUCUGUCAAAAAUCGAAUCCAGCUGACGUUUGACUGUCAGAUAUAUCAUUUAUUGUGAAUACUUUAAAUGUAUAUGUAAAAUCAAAGUUAUCUCCUCAGUUACUCUGUUGACACUAAUUCCCCUCACACCAACCUAAGGCCUCAAAAAUUACCCUUCAAAAUGUUUUUUCCACUGAUAGUCUUAUUUGUUUUUGGAUAUCAUGAAAAAGCACCAAAAUGAAUUUCAGUCUUUGUCAUUGAUGUUAAAAAAUUUUCAUAAGAGCUUUAAAUACUUUUUGUAAAAUUAGUAUCAUGCAGGUUACAGCAUCUUGACCAACAUAUCCAAAUGGAUCAGUUUUCGAAACAAAACACACUGUGUUUGAAAUUGAAAUAUUAAAAAAAUAUAUUAAAAAAAAAUCAUUAGCAACAACUAGGAAAAUAUUUAGAAACAAAGUGAUGCUACAGAAAACGAUGAGAUGCUUAAGUAAACGCUCCAGGCGGUAAUAUUGGUAAUCUUUGUGCGUGCGUCAGAGAUGUGUCCUCUCUUGUUAGAAUAAGUGAUCUUAUCGUGGGAACUGCCUGGAGAAAAAGUACAACAGAUCAUUAUCUGAUUAAAGGUGUUUUCUGGUUUCUACAGGGAACCGCUGACACACUCACACACAUUCACACACAUGGAUAACCUGCUCAGUGACUUUUAUCGGAUGACUCAAAUGUAAAACACCCCACCACGUUUUGAACACACACAAACUGUCACUUCAGUUUUAAAAUGAUUUUGGAUAAUCAGCGUUAAAGUGCUUUUAAGCUCUUUUACAAUCAUUUUAAAUCAAAGCAAACAUUGUGCUGUUUUGUUUUUAUAUUAAUCUCUAAAAACAGUGUGAAAGAACAGAGACUGAACACAAGUGAUGGGCAUUUUCUUGCACAGGUUCACACAUACCUGCAUUUAUCAUAAUAAGCAUCUUCAGACCCUUUUAUAGACAUUUGACUACAUGCUGCACUCAGCACAUUUUCCUAGGUGCUCUAUGGAUUGCUUCCUGUUGUAUUCUGCUCGUGAAUUUUCUCUCUCUGCCUCCAAAAUGUUUUAACGUGUUUAGGAAUUUCCACCUUAAGAAGACAAACAAUCAUUUUUGCGAAGUUAAAAUGAUUUUAAUCACUAUCAUUAUCUCUUUAGACUGACAUAUUCUCACAGACACGCUGACUGCUGGGUGGAUAUUUUUCCAGAGCAAAACAAAAACACUGUGGUUGCUGUUUGCGUGGGCAACGCCAUCCAAACUUUGUCUUUUCUUUCUGCUGCUUCUCCUGCAGUCACUGUGACCCCUCAAACUUCAAGUGUUGAAAAGCACCAUUUGAUUUCUUACAGAACUGUGUGCGUAUUUCUCCUACACAUUCAUCAAACUUAAGUACUUCUUCAUACAUGUUAAGUAAAUAUAAGGACAUAACACGCAUGCUACAAGAUUAUUUGUUUUCCCUCACUACGGCUCCAUUUUUCUAUGAUUUAUUAGUGUGAUUUUGCAUUUCUUUUGGCAUUCAUGAAGCAUUAUAAUUGGAGUCAGAGGUUUGUAACACUUCAAGAUUACAAACCUUAGCUGUUUAUGUCAUACUUGUUCGAUUGCACCAAUAAGGGAUCUUUGCAAUAUGUCAUCGUAAUGAUUAAGUGCCAUCAUCCUUACCAGUCGUAACCAAAAUUACCAAUCAGUUUACUAAUCAUUGUUAUUUUAUCACAAUAGGCCUGAAAUGCUGAUCAGAUAUUGUGUCCAAGUCGUAGACAAUCCACCAACCACUGGUCAGAGCUGUAGCUCUGGUCAAAAGCUAAUGCUGUUAUAUUCUACAACCCAGAUACAAACAAGCACAGGUGAUCGAUGUCAACACUUGUUGCUGCACAGUUUGGCAGUACAUUGAUCUAGAUUAUGUAGAUAAAGUUGUUGAUUGGCUGUGUCCAGCUAAACUGACAAAUAAACCUCUCAACUAGAGCAAUGCAGAACUAGCAGGCAUAGAGACAAUAGCCUGUAAGGGAGACUGAAGGCUGGUGGUGCUAGCACACUUGGCGCUAACAUUAGCCAUACAUACAUUUUCUUACCUUUGGACGAGUCAGUUUGAAUUUAAGUUUCUGUUGAAAUGACAAGAAAUCAGUCACUCCAGAGUUUCCCCAGGGUGAGUAAUUUUUUCGAUAUGACUCAUCACUGUUCAUCUUGGCCCGAUCCACCUAAUAGACCAUAGUUUUGGGAUAUCUUAAUCUGUUUUUGGCAUCUCAGCUGAAAACAAGUAUUUUGCCCCAGCAUGUUGAAACACAGCUGUGCUUCAAGCUCCAACACUUCCACGGAGAUUGGGUUUAACAGUUGUUGUUAUGUUUUCCAUGUUGAAAUAUGGAGGCAGAAAAUAAAUUGUCCACAAGGGAAAUUUUGUUGUUAGGUUCCCAACUGCAGUCCCUUAGUAAUUUGACAAAGAAACCACACACAACGUGCACAUAAAACCAGUGGUCGUAAAAUACAUGAAAACAUGAAACCAGCAGUGUGAAAACAUGAAUAAUUCACACCAUAAAAUGUGCAUAAUGAGAAAAAACAGGAAUCAGUCAACAUAGUUAAACAAAACAACAUCACCAAUAAAAAAGAAGAAAGGGACUGCUACCCCUUUCCUAAAAAGUGAAGCAUUAUUCAUUUUUACAAGUCUCGUAGAAAGAACUAAAGAGGCCAGUAGACUUAUGAAAAUCAUCGCUCUGUCGUCACAUGUUGUUAAUUCUUGGUUAAAACCGGAUUUCCCAACAUUGUUAGUUCCAAUACCAUCAAACCAAAACCCUGUUAAAUAUAAAAGUAGCUCAUAAGUCAGACACAGAGCUCAGGCUGUAUAUGUGAUGUUGAUUCUUCAGCAACAAAGAAAGCCUCAGAUCUCCUCUCUAAGAGGAUUACAUAGGAGGAGCAGUCUCUGAUAUCUGGAAUCAGCGUUGGAAAAGUACAUUAUGUUCAUUAAUCCCUCUGUCGUGCAUCCCCUCUGGGCACAGGAUGACUCCAAGGAUGUAACUCCCCUACCAUAUAUUUUUAUCUUAACUCUAAAAUAUAAAUCACAUGGAUUUAGCAGGGGAGUUCAAAGUAUGUAGAUGUUGCAAACAAGAUAAAACUCAUGUCUCAGCAGCUCAUGAAUACAUACUUUUACAUCAGCACCAUGCAAAACUGCAGAUGCUGAACAUGCAGCUGCACCCCUGAAGACCAGAUAGAUUUUCUUGAUGCACAUGUGCCUUACGUAAAACUGUCUGUACGAAGAACUGCAACAAGAAUAAAUCAAUUCUCAAUCAGCUGAUUAUAAAUGUAAAGGCUGUCAAACAUUAACCCUCUUGAUGCAGUUGCUGAAGUCAGUCUGGUCAGCUGCAUUUGUAUGCCUAGCUUAAAGGUUGUAGCACUGGAUACUUAUUGCUAAAUUUCCACAGGUCUAAAUCGUAGUAGGAACACCAUGGGCUCAGCUAAUGGCAAUGUUUGAGUUGCAUAUCAUAAGAUCUACCUUGGGCAGAAAAGGUGCUCAGAUUUGUAACUCACCGCUAACCAAGUUCUCCGGUCUUCUUUUUCAUUCUGAAACAUUUUUCAUUGUGCGCAUGUUAUUUUGUGUAAUCUUUAUCUUUAUUUUGAUUAACUAAAAGCCAAACUGAGGACAAGAGUUAAAAACUAGCAGUAGCAGUUAUCUCUAAAUGCAAAGUAACAGAUUCGGCAGCUUGUUUACAAAAGGGUCAAGUUGUACUAUGUAAUUUGUAGUAUCCCUAUUCCAUAAACUAUUUAAAAACAGUAAAAUAUUAAAUUGCACAAGACAAACACAAUCAGUGAAUCCCUACAAAUAAGUGCUUGAAAUGAAUAGCUUGAAAUCAGUUACCCAUUUGAUUGACUAAAGCACUUAAACUCAAACUCAACAAUCUUAAAACUUUCUAUAUAAUAAUAUAAUAUAAUAUAAUCUCUUGGGAAAUAAACUCAACAUAUGGACAUUGAAUGCACAGAGAUGAGUCCUCCUCUCAUCGAACAGUCCAUCCAUGUCGCAGCUCUACUACCUGAGGCGACUGAGGAAGCAGCACAUCAGGUCCCGUCUGGCUCCAGCAGCAGCCUGUGAUGCCCUUUCAUGGGACAGCAGCCUAGGAUGGAUUGAGUUGUCUCCGCUCUACCAGGUGAAACCAUCCACCUUGUCUCAUCUCCCCAGGGGCAUUUUUGGUGUCAGUGAAAUAAGGUGGUGAUGGAUCUAGUGUGACUCCUGUGCUGUCAUGGUGCUGCAGUUAGACUCCUCAUGAAAGUGGCAGGAUUGUGUGCUGGCCUUUUCCAUGUACUUAUCUAAGUGAUGGGUGAGUGAUGCAUGGGUGAAAACACUCUUGAUGGGUGUCCUCUUCCAUUUUCUGAUCUUGGAUAAAGGAGUUAACUCCUUAACCGAGCAUCCCAUUGUGAAACAAACAUUUCGAGGACACGCUCCAUUUCUUGUUUCUUACGUUGUUACCCCGCUCUACUGGCCUUUGUGGGCUUUAUCUGGACCAUUCCUGGUAUUUUACAUCCCACCCUGUCACUCAACUCUCAAUUUCAAGAAUUUUCUGCAGUGUUUUGUGUUCAGUCAUAACCACAUGCUCAUGUGGGUUGACUUUUCCAACUUCCGUCCUUCCUUCAGCAAAUUCCUUGACCGUCUACAUGCAGAUAUAUCACAGAGAUGAUGCCAAAGAUAAGAUUCUGAAUGGCGGCCCCGCUCUGGAACCCACUCAGGCCCGGUCAGCAGCUGAAAGUGUGUCAUGAAAAAGUAUGCGUGUUGAGUAGGCGUGGACCCGUUCUGAAAUACGUCAAUCGUGUCGCUCUGGAAAGAAAGGGAUGCUUUGUUCCGAGUUGAAUUGUUACCCGUCCAGUCAGAAGCCACAUGAAAGCAUUAGAGUGACUCAGAUUUAUGAGAGAUUCACAUUCAGUCAUCAUAGCUUUCUGAAGAAGAAACAACAGAGCUCUGACUCAAAACAGAAGCCGAGUCUAUUGUUCUUUGCUCUUUUUCUGCAGACCUUUUUAAUGUUCAUCUCUGGCCUCAUGACUCACGAUCAAACCUAAUUGUUGUCGUCAGAGGCAGCUCAAAGUGUGGCUUUGUUGUCGACGCUGCUGUGUAUCUGAUGUGCGACGCCGCAUUUCAUUCCUUGUUUGGCUACCUACAGUGCUGCCUACGUUCUUCUAUAUUCUGUGUGACUCAUUAUAUAGCAAAAACCUACCAAGUUGAGCAAAGGAGCACCUAUAUCUGAGGACAUGUGACGUCUUCUCAGCAUGUCAACCUACAUUCAAAAAAUGGGAAGCAAGAGCAAAAGAACGAAAAGACAAACCUUGAAGCAGCGGUGAUUUAAGAUUGGACCUUGGUGGUGUUCAGCCCCUCAAGACACUGAGAUAUGGAGAGGAAAUGACCUGGAAAGAGUACAAUAAACCACACUUCACUGAACAACAUAAAACAUUUUCCAACAUGUAUGGUUUUUAAUAACAACAAACAUACUUAAUAACCCGAGUUUAAUGCCACAAAAUAUCUUAAAAGAAACUUAAAGAUGGAGUAUGUUGUUUAUGCAAAAGUAUUUUUACCGUUACAAUGAUUAUUAACAGGUAUGAAGAGAUUGGGAACUAUAUUGAAUAACACAAAAGAUGUUAACAAUCCCUAUUUUUUUAAAGGUCUAAGGUUUAAAGGUAUUUUACUGCUGUAUAAACCCAUGCCUUUGUAAAUUAUGAUUCAGUUUGCAUGCAGCCUAUUAUUUUGACAAAAUGAGGGAAGGUUAUUGGGUGACUUACCACCAAUUACUGGACACCCCAUUCUCAAAAUGUGGACAUUAAUUUUGGAUUGAAUCCCUUUAUGGCUUUGAAAGCCACCACUCCUUUGACAAAGAUUUCCUCCAGAAUUGGAUUGCCUUUGGGGAACUUGUGCCCACUCUGCCAAAAGAGCAUUUGUGAGGUCAGCCACUAAUGUUGGACAAGAUGGCCUGGCUGGGAGUCAGCUCUAAUUCUUCCCAAAGGUGUUCAGUUGGCCUGGGGUCGAGGCUCUGUGCAGGCCAGGCCAGUUCUUCCAUACCAAACGUGCCUAACCAUGUCUUUAGGGAGCUGUCUUUGUGCGCAGGGGACACCAUCGUGUUGGAAAAGCAUGAGCCCUUCACUCGAGCAAGUAACCAUGACAAAUCCCUGCAAAAUAGUCCCAAACCAUUAUCCAUCCCCGAGCACAUGUUGGGCACCCAUCAUUCCAGUAAAAUCCCACAGCCAGCAGUGAAAUGUGAUUCCAGUCCAUGUCAAAAGUAAGUUUUCCACUAAAACAGAUUAGUUUGCUCUGGUACACUUUCACUGGGGUUUGCAUGAUAAGGUGCAAUCUGCAUGAAACUUUGCCAUGCUAACCCUUCCAUAAAGAUCCCAAUGCAAAUAAUAAAUAAAUACAAAUAAAUAGAUAAUCCUCUGUCUUGAUUUGGAAACAAGAGACACACAUUUUCAAUUCAACUCAUAAUGCCAGGAGAGAUGACCUUUUGCGCUUUGGCUGCAUCCACAAUUACAGUGUUUCCUGUGGGGAUGAGAUUAUUACAGCCAUAACUGCAAAGUUUGGUUGAUGCUCUAGCAGUGAUCUGCAUCACUGUAAACAGAAUAACACAAGGGAACCUCCUGGAUGUUCAGACACUUUCUACCCUUGUGAUGAUCGUCAGCAGGACUUUUUGGACCCCUUUUAAAGCAAACAGAUGCGCUUCAGUUCAAUGUCACUGACUGGCUGACAAUGUUGUUUGCAGCCAGGCAGAAGCAAUGCUUUAUUGUGAUUUCAUACUUGAAUAUUUGUACUUUUUUCUAUUAAAUAUCAAAUAUUUUUAUGAAAUGCCCACAUGCUCCCGUGGCCUUACUCUGUGUGUUUGCAUGGUUUCUUAUUUAGUAGCUGAGCUGUUUUGGCUCCCAGGUACUUCCACCUCACGAUCAAAACACAUAUAAUAUAAAUUGACAGUGGCAGGUGUACUGUAAUUGAUUUAUUCUCCAUAUUUGGAGCUACACAGCUCUUAAAAUGCUUUCCUGGUGCCUAAAUCCUGGUCUAGCUCUAAAAUGUUCCACAUAUGUAAAGUAGAAAGUACUUCAUACUUACAUACAUACGUUUUACAUAUAUAUACUGUAUUUAUAUUUUAUAAGUCACAACCUACUGUGCAAAAAGUUCCCUGUAGAACUCACAGGAUGGAUAGUUAUGGUAAAAAUCUAGUUGUGGCACAUGGUCCAACUUGCUGUGGUAAAAAAAGAGGUGUUGAUUUUACAAAAGCAAGAAACACAGAAGAGUAUUUUCAUUAACGGGUUACUGUGGCUCAUCAUCUCCCAAUCAGAGGGUCGGGGAUUCAAUCCCAGGUUCCACUGUUCACAUGCUGAAGUGUAAUUGGGUAAGACACUUGACCCUACCUGCCCCCGCUGGCUGCUUCCACUGGUGUGUGAAUGGGAUCAGUCAAAAACUGGUGUUCGCUUUACAUCGCAGCCUCUGCCAUCAGUGUGUGUGAAUGUAACUUUUGUGCUGUAUAAACAUGGAUCAUUUACCAUCUGUAAUUUCAUGCAUGUUCUUCUUGACUGUUAGUUCACUUGAAUGUCAGGUGGUAGAAAUCAGUCUCUCAGAAGGCUGUUAUGCAGUUACCCAAUUGCUGUAAUGUGAGUAAAUGUGAUUCGUUACUGCCUUGUUAAACAACAAAUUGGGCGUCCACUUAAUCAUUAACAAAGUGCAAACAGUACUUCCACAGAUCUAUGGGAAGUGUGAUUGCUAAUGCUAGCUACAAAGGUCCCCUUGCUUCCGCUGCAGAAACUCAAGUAUCUUCAAAACAAAUGACUAAUGCAUCACUUCCUUUAUUUCCCUGGAAAAACAUACCUGACACUGAGUUAAUGACACAAGGACGAAUGCUCAAUUUACAGAGCGUAAAUAAAAGAGGACAGUCCAUCUGUGUUUGUGCGUCUGUGUGUGACUGCCAUCAGAACUAUAAGUCUAGUGGACAUCUGCUUGGCCCGUGUUUGCAAUCCUAAGUAGCCCGAACCCAGCAGCUCCAUAAUGAGGGGACAAAGCAGCUGGUCUCUGUGUUGAUGUGUGAGUGUGUCUUUCAAUGUGGACACAAAGCAGUCAUUAGGUGUGUUUGUGUGUGUUUAGUAGAUAGUCAGGACACAAAGCAGCCUUUAUAGACGGAACGAAAUUGUCCCAUUCCCUGCUGAGAGGGCUGUUUCAGGACAAGAGUCUGUGUGUGUGUGGGUGUGAGUGUGUGUGUCUUUCUGCCUGCCUGAACCGGCCAUUUAGAUGCAGUGUGUGUUUCAACAGCGCAAAUGUGUAGUUUAGAUGCAAGUUAGGCGUUUGUGUCCAUGCCUGUUUGUGUGUGUUGGUUAAUGUUUGAAUAAGUACCACUCAUUUCUAUAUAGUUACAUAUAUCUGAGUGUGUACGUGAGUAUUUUUGUGUGUUUAUUAGGGCUGGGCGUCUCAUUCACAAAUAGUUUCCACAGUGGUCAAUAGCAGUUGCUUGGAUGCUUGUGAAGUCUGUGUGCAAGUGGACUCCAAACACACACACACACACUCCUUCUUGCGCAUUCUCAGUCUUGUUGUCUUUCUCUCUUUCUCUCUCCUACUCACACACACUAAAGCGCACACACAAACACACACACACGCGCAGACACUGCUCAGACUGAAGGUGUCUGUGAUUUUACACCAAUUUAAAAGUCGCAGCACAGACUGAUGUUACAUUUAUUGCAAAAUAAAAACUUUAACCUUUAUGGUUAGGGUUAUACGGAGUAUGCAGCUGCAUCUAUGCAUUCAUACAGCUGUAUCCAAAAACCCAGUUUUUAUGUGUCUGUGUUUGUGUGCUUGAUAUUCAAAUUCAGGUCCUUCCUCCAGGUUAGAGAGAGGUUAAUGUUAGUGUCUGUUUUGUAACAUCCUUCAGACAGCUUUUCUUACUGAAAUAUGUAGAUGUUCAAAUUUUUUGUUAUUGAACUUACAGCUGAUUGAUUUUAUGCACAAAUUUUCAUCAAAAAUCCAAACUUGUCACAAGUACUUGUAUAAUAGUAAGUAGGUUAAGGAAAAACUAAAGUUCUUUUAUAAAGUACAGUGUUGAUACUCUACAUGUUUAACCCCAUAGAUUUCAUAGAUAAUUCCAAUUCCAAAAUUGUUUGAUCGAUGUUUACAAUGAUGGGUAAAAACAUUUUUUUAUGGUUUGCAAAUCAUUAAAACUCCUUUGUUUUCUAGAAAAGAAUUGAAAGACAACAUAUUAAAUGUUAAAAUUGAUGAUUUUUUACAGUUUUAUGGGAAAUGCAUGCUAAUUUCAUGUUUGAUUUCUGCUGUGGCAGGACUGACAAAACAUUUUUUUUUAAAAUGGAGAAAGAUCUUCCAACUAAUUAGUUUGACUAACAGGCUGGUAACACGACUGGGUAUAAAAGGAUUUGCCACAGAGGCUGACUACCUCAGACGAUGAGGAGAGGUUGAUCCCCACUGUGAAAGACUGUGAGCAAAUAGCUCAGCAAUUUUAGGAUGAUGUUCCCCAGUAUGAAAAUUAAACAAAUGUUGACAGUAAAUAAUAUCUUCAAAGAUUUAAAGACUCUGUAGAAAUCUCUGGACAAAAAGGACGAGGCAAAAAACUAAUAGUGGAUGUAGAUGAUUUUUAAGCUGUCAGAUGGCACUGAAUCAAAAACAGGCACAACUCUGUUGUGGAAAUCACUGCUUUGACUUAAAACCACUUCCACAAACCAUUUUCUCUGUAUAAAGUUUAUUGCUGCAACUGCAACUGCAGGUUUAAACUGUACCAUGAUAGAGGAAGACUGUCUCUAAAUCAGAAUUUGACAUUCUUUUUGGAAAUGAUGGAAAACGCAUCUUCUUCUUCUUCUUCUUAUCCUAAAGACGUAAAGAACCAUUUGGCUUGUCAUCAAUGAGCUCAAAUGAAUACAGGAUUAAAUAAAGGGUUUAAAACCACAAACCAUGACAUUCUAUUUUUAUUAACAUUUUUACACAGCAUCCCAACGUUUCUGGAGUUAUGGUUGAACACAUUUCUGAAAGCAACUUUCUGCCUCUCAUGUAAGUCCUGCUUUUCUGGCCUGUGUGAUCCAGUUCAUUCAUGUCAGUGUGUGUUUGUGGGAGUGGAAAAAGGUGAAUGAGCGUGCAGGUGAAAACUGACACUGUUACGUUGUCUCUUUCUGUCAGUAUAAAUUAUAGCUGCAGCUCAGGCGCAUCAUUUUCAUUUGUUCAGCCUUUCUUCUCAGCUGGUCACAGAGGUUCCUCUGUCUCAAUGAGUUCGGAGUCGUAGUGGUGAGUAUCUGAAUGACCGAGUUUAUCACGUGCCCCUGUUAAAGUUGAGAAGCUAUCUUUGGCCCGGCACAAUAGCAGGAAGUCUCAGGUGUCUGUGUGUGAGCGAGUCUGCUUACCCAUGUGCAGACUCCCGUGCUUUAAGUGUGCGCGCAUCCAUGUGUAUAUGUGUGUGUGUGACACGUGUUGCCGACAGCCUUGAGUGACAUCAUUCUUUAUUGUGACUUGAAUGGUUAAAGGUCACUGCAGUCAAAGUUUACCAGGACAAACCUGUCAAUAAUUAACCAGCUUAUUAAUAACUAAUCAACACGAUGUAAAGCUGUCUGAGGUUCCUCUGCAACAGGACUCACACAAACAUCUAAAAUGGAAAAUAAAGGAGAGGAAAAUCUGUUUGUUUCAUUUUUUACUUAAAUUCAUCAACUCAAACAGUACUCCUUUUUUCAGGCCUGUUUGAAAACAUUUAAAUUACCGACUACUAUAGUACUACUUACUAUUUCCCAAAAGAAAACAACUAGGGCUGUUGCAAUAUUCCCGUACUCAAGGAAACCAUCUUUUCAGAGAUUAAAAUAAUUAAAAUCAUGCUAAAUAAUUAGCAUACCUUAAACCACUAGGCUCUUCGCACUCCUGCCAAGAAAGUAAACUUUAAAGCUACAAUGAAGAGUUUUUGAAUAGUUAAAAAACUGGCUAAAACAAACAGAACUGCUUUUUUUUAUGACAUCCAAAAGCAAACAAAAUCAUUAGUGAAAAGGCUGAACAUGUCUUUGUCCUUAUUUUAAAGCCUGUUACCUCUGUGAGAGGGUAGGUGCCGAACAAGGCAACUUGAGGUGUCACUUUUUAAACUUUUUUCACUGCAAAAAUCCAAGAAGAGUAGACAUUUUUCAGCAAACACAGUUACAAAUAUGCAGAACAAGAUCAGCAAAAGAGAUACAUAGUGCCAUUUCGUCCACAGACUGAUGCAAACGUUUCUCACAGCAGCUUUAAUUCUGCACCAACAAAUAGACUUUAAGAUUACCCUGAAAAAAAAAAUGUCAAAGUGAUGUGUCUUUUUCAACUGUACUUUUAUUUUUCACAUUUUUGACUGUAGUGUCACAGCAUCUCAGUCAUGUGUCAUUUGAAUGGAGUCUUCUCUUAUUAUAGAGUCCACUCCAUUCACUCAGUUUGUAGGUUUCUAUCUGUGCCAACGCCUCAAUGUAUGUCCUGGAGCUCUGGAAUGUGAAGCCACACUAUGCGUGAGACCUCCAAGCUAUCCCUUUACAUGACACGUGAAUAAUUCAGGAGUCUGGUCACGUUUCCAGGGGGGUGCACCUCGUCUCGUGCCAGCAUUAGCUGGGUGACCUAUAUCAUGAUUUCAGCCCUCGUGUUUACAUGGACAGCAAAGGCUCUUCACCAUCGUACGCACUCAGGGAAUAUGACAGAACCUGUCAGUUCAGAUAAUAAAGUUCAACUCUUAUCCUUUUAUACUCUAGUUACAUGUGCUGUAAGGUUUCUUGAUCUCCUUGAGAUAAUGGUUUUCAGAUGAGAGCGGUAACUUCACAGAUUGACAGUCAGCUUAAAGCUCCUGUUUGUUUCAGGAAACCUGUAAUAGUAAAAUGGUUUGAGAUGUCAUUUCCAAAGAUGACACCUGUCCCUCUGGCUUAACUCUAAGCUCCUGUGAGUUUUUUUUUUUUUUUAAGGUAAAAGCAGACAGGAAUGUUGAGGAUUUCAGGUUAAGUCGGUAAAGCUCCAUAAUUACUUUACGGAUCAGACUGUUUUCCUCUGACAGCUUCAGUGUUUCAAAGUAGAAGAAUAACUCACAUUAAAGUAAGGUUGUUUACAAUAAAUGUCUCUUGUUUCUUUACACUUUUAUCUGAAAAAUAAAGAAACAUUUUUCUUAUUUUUCAUAUUAUUCUUGAUUUUCACUGUUUUCUCCUUCUUCUUUUUUUCUUUUUUUUUUUGUUUUGUUUGUUUUAAACCAGCAUCAGAUUUUUUUUAAAGCGAAGAUGUCCAUCUUUUAAAUGUUUUCCACUCCCUUUGUGCAUUUAACUGCAAAGAAAAACUCCCUCUACCAUGCCCAAGCUGUACCAAAUGCUUAAAAAUAGACAGGUUUAAAGAACUUUGCUGAAAUAAAUAAAAGGCAGAAAUUAAAACUAACUCAAAACCUAUUAAAGAAGGGGAAAUUAUAUCAAAAAGGAUGAUCAAGGGGCUUUUAAAAUGUAUUGAAGCUCAAAGAAGUUUUUCACUGUUGAAGUAGAGGGCAGCCCUCUUCUGUAUGGAGCUGAUAAUGAACAUUUCAGUGAUGAAAACCAAUCCUGGGUUUCUGGUUUAACUCAGCAGUUAAAUAAUAUGAAAUGGCUUUUCAUUUAGAGAGGCUUCAGUCCUAGAAGUGGCACAUGCCAAUUCUUCUCCCAUCCUUGGCCCUGCAUGUCAUCGUGUAAUCUCUCAACCCUGUUCCUGACUCUGUCCACCAUCCUGUAUCUCACCAACAGAAUAAAAAAAGACCCCUAAAUUAUUAUGCUGUAUCUGAAAGCAACAUAUGACACUUGUACCUUUGUUUUAGAGUAAAUUGUUUGGGAAUUUACGCGUUAAGAACCUUGAGUCUUACAAUUGACUAAAGCCAGGGGUGUUUAAAGCUGAAAAAAUUGCAGUUUUUACUGUCACGUAUAAAAAUAAAGGAUGAAAAACAAUAGAAAUAUCUUACAAUGAAAUAUGUCUUAUACUGUGUAGUAUAUACUGACCUGCCUCCUUUCUCUCUUUGUUUUGUGGCUCUCUGUGUCUGUGCUGUUGUUGUUGUGGUAAUCCCAACCAGACUCUCCUGGCUCCUGGAUCCUUGCUGAUGACGCACAUCUGUCUGACCUGUCUAUGUAUUCUUGAUCAGCUCAUCAGCCUGGAGUAUUUCAACCCUGACUCCUCGACCAUGUAGUGCCAGAUCAGUGUCUCUACCAUGGAGGUAAUCACACACUGCAGGCCUCCCUGGUUCGUUUUUUGUGACUUCAUGUUUGCAUUAAUUUCAGCAUUUGGUUGUCUGUUACUCCCUUAUGCCACGAUAUCACCUCUUCUCUCUUUGGCUCAAUCGCUGGCCUUCUUCCUAAUGAUGUUAACAUUUACACCGAUUUAACCUGGCUCUACAGUCAGUCAACACCUCUCUCUACACCAUCUAAUGUAUCCAUACUUUUAUAAUGUUUUCUAUUUAAACAAAUAAAAACAGCUUAAAAUGAACAGAAAGAAUACUUUUAGGAGCUCUGACACAUUCGUAUUACUAUGUUUGAGCUAAACUGUAAAGUUACUGUGAAGAGCUAUGAAGAACUUUCACUUUCUGCCCUUUGCAAACAAAGCUGUCUUUGCUUAUCUUGUGCUCUACAUGCUUAAGUAGGGACUUUUGACAUCCUGAUGACUUGAAUGUGUCACUUAUUGGAAGUAUUUUGUGUUGUGAUUGUAAAAACUAGGGCUUUUUCUUAAGCUGCCUGGUUGAAACCUAACCCCUUACGCUGAUUUCAGGCUUUAGAAAACUCAAGAUUUUGUUGCUCUUGGAGCUGCAGAAAGAAGUUUUAGAGAUUCAUCAAUGUAAAACAAUAUGAUGAGCGAUAAUGUCAAAAAGAGUGACCAAAGGUUCUUUUGUAUUCAGUAGUUAGAUUUAAUGAACACUGUCUGGACAUUUCGCUAUGAUAAGCUCCUCUCUUUUAUUUUUCACUGACUCACAGACAAAACAUCAAAUCAUGUCAUUUAAAUUGGACUCAUAGUAAGACAUUAUAAUCAGCAGUAAUCAGUGUGUUAUGGUGAAGUUUGGAUUCAGGACAGAUGAGACAAACAGAGACAGACACAUGUGGCUGUUAUUACAGAUGAAAGACAUUAAUAUUCAAACAGUAUUAGAGCCAGUGGACAGCCUAUUAUUGAAAAUCUUAUCACAUGAUUACAACAUUGAGACUGAAUCAAUGGAGUCCAGUGAUUAAGGCUGUUACAAUCUUUCUAGUAUGAGUCAAUACAAAUUGUACACUCCAAUGAAAACAAAUAAGAAUUUUUAGGGUAAGACCAGAUGUUUUCAUGUGAAUCUUGGGAAGUUUUAAGAUUAAUCUUAUAUAUGUCCAUCUCAAAAGUAGAUUUGUUCAACACAUUUAUGCAACAAAAAAAAACACCAACAAAGUUAACUUUAAGCAACACGGAUAAUAAGUAAUAGUUGAUAGAAGCCACUGAUCUGUAAAGGCUCUGUCUGAUUGAUGAAACCACAUGGCAAUAAAGAGGUGAGAGAAGAACAUCUGUAUCUUAUUAUCUUUUAUUUACGGUUUAUUUGCUCGUGACAGAUACAGUAUAGAUAAACUAACUGGGAACAGCCAUCUGACACAAGUGUCAUUGUGUUUAUAGUGGAUGUUAAUUUGCUACACCUGUCCCUAUAGAGUUUUUGUGAGAAUAAAGGAUACCUACAGUAAACGCUAACUGUCCUGUUGUAGAAGAAAUGCUGUAGAGCCUGUUUGGUGAAAAGAGCUCGUGUUUAUGUUCCAUAAUUAGAGUGACCCUGAGCAGACCUACCUCUCUGUGCUCCAUUAACAUCAGACUAAACGCUGUUUAUUUAGAGAGGACCAGACAGUGUAUUUUUCCAGAGUGUGUGUGUGUGUGUUUUUCUGUCAGCACUGAACAUUAUUUAUCUGGAUCACUUCUGCUUGUUCUCUUGUUUCAGUAAUUUACAUUUCUGGAUCAUUUGGUCCAUCAUCUUGAGUUCAACCUGACAGUAUUUCUGCUCUGUUUCUUUUCUAACCAGGUAGUUCUGGCCUUUUACCUGAUGAUCUUUCCUUUUCUCUCUCUGUACAUGUUUUCUCAAAGCCUGAUGAAGCACAGAUACAAACAGGGUUCAUUUUAGCAGCUAUUUUUGAUUUGGUCUUAGUCGUUUGACUGAAGCCAGGGUUAAAAAAUGGGUCUUUGAAAAACAUUUAACAUCGCACAUUUAAUAGUGGAUGAAAUUAACACUGGAGACAAGUUUUGAGAGAGCUGCAGGUUAUGGAACUAUACAUGUUUGCUCUCUUAUCCACAGUCAAAGAAGGAGAUUCGUACCUGUUUCUUUUGUAAUGCAAUUUGACCUUAAAGCUCCUGUGAGGAAAUUUAUGUUUGUGUCUAUUUUGGCGCCCCCUAUAGGGACAAAGCAGUCUUUGCUAAUCUUGUCAUCAGUAAAUUUAAUUACAAUUUUCUGGCAUAAAUGUCAUCCUGCUUACUUUUGAUAAUCUUAUGUGUUAUUUAUUGUAAAUAUUUAAUGUGGAAAUUUUAAAUUUAGAUUUUAAAAACAGGCUGUUUCCUCUGCUGCCUAGCUGGCACUGAUCCCCUCCUACCAAUGUCAGGCAUUGAAAACAACCAUAUAAAAUGGUCUUGUUUGCUUUUGUUCCUUAUAAAAAAGCAUCAAUAUGAAUUUCAGUCUAUUGUAGUUACAUCAAAAAAUUCCUCACAAGAGCUUUAAUGAACACUCAAAAGAAAAAAACUGCUUUAAACAUUUAGAUUUGCCUACUAACAAACUCUACUCCUAAAAAUUAAUCAUCGUCCAUCGACUGUCUGAGGUUAUUAUAACAAACUUUGCAUUUCAACAAGAUUACCUGCAAACAUGUAGUUAUGAAGACUAAUGAUUUUAUGGAUUUCCAAGUGCUUCUGUGCCAGUAGACCUCUUGUUUUUGUUGAGCUACACUUAAGCUAACAGGCGUCUGGGAGAAGCUUCAUGUUUUCUCGCUGACAUUGUGAUUCUUUCGUCAAGAGAGCUGACGGGUCUGUCUAAAAAAUGUCAAACUUCUUUCUUCUAAAAACAGUUCAUCGUCCAAACCGCACUGCCAUCAUGAGACAUCUUGUCUCUUUAUUUUGUUUGGUAACAUAGUUCAUGUAGAGACACCGCAGGUUUCUGAGCUUAACUCCGGGCUGCUUUUUUUAUUGCCCAGGGAAACACAUGGAUAACAUCUCUGCUGCAUCUGUUCCCUGGAAACUUCCAUCUGCCUUGGCAACAACAGAGAUCAUCAAAAGCAGGGAGAGACGGGCAGAGGCAACACAAAGGUAGGCAAAACAAAAUAAAAGAGGGCUAAAGGAUGCUGGGAAAUCAGGGAACAAGAGGAGGGGGGAGAAAAGGUAAGACAAGCCAGGAUGUAAUUAUUUUGAGAUGAGUUUCAUUGAAUCUGAAGAGAGGUUCGCCAUUUUUGUGAUAUCUUGAGAAAAUCUUUUUGUUUUAUGAAACUUUCAGGUUUAGUUUGUCAGCAUGAAUAAAUGUUUUUACACACUUUUAGUCCUGUCAGAUACAGAACGUUGUUAUUACUCAAAGCAGCCUCACAGGCCUGAAAUGUGGAUUUACUGAAACAGAGGGAUGCUGUCCAGCUCACAGUAGUUUAACAACUGUCAACCUUGAAAAGGCCUGUUCCUCACUGUGCGGCCAAAAAAAAAAGUCUAAAAAGACUCUCCAGGAAUAUUUCCAGAUGCCACUGUCAGUCCAAAGCCCUUUUCCAUGGAUUUAUGCCUCUGUCACAAUAAUUUCAGGUCAUUUAGGAUCACAUAUCCUCAAAAACUGCCAUGGACCCCACAGUGGGAGAUUGUGUUUAUUACAUGCUGGGUUCACAAAUCAGCUCACCAUGACUGUAACCUGCUAUAGAUGCCUUACAGGAAGCUGGCAGGUAAAAGUCUGGACGAAUUCAGGAUGAAAAUAUCCAGCCUUUUGCACAUGAAUACUCAGAGACAAUGAUAGGGACAUUUUCAGGAGUACAGCUUGUUCAGGUGGGUAGGGGCUCACCAUACGGCUAACCUUGUAUUUAAAUCAUCAUCCUGUCAAAGCCAUAAGUAAUAAAAAGCUCCUUUAACUUUUUAUCUACACUGACCUGUUCUUUGCCAUGUCUUAUGUAACAGGUAACAUAAACAGAAACCAGGUCACUGUAGCAUAAGUGUGUCUGCAGCCGAGGCUAAUUCAAACAUUCAGGACUCUCACAAAUGAAGGUUACAUAUUUUCUACCUUUGGCUGUGAUCCAAUCUCACUUUUAUGUCACAUCACAUCAGUGCAUAUACCGUGCAUUUUACUCAGCAUGAACUUAUUUUACUUUCACCAUAAAGCUCUUUCAGAUGUAUAUCACAUCAUUAUACAGGGUGGGUUGCACUAAGAUAAACUCAAACAGGAACAUACUGUACUCACAUACCAUUCAGUUUUGUGGUGUCUGUGACCCUGAGGGAACUUCAGAGAUGGAAAAUCUGUGCUGUCAGUAAGGCAAGGAUAAUGAGGACAUGAAGUUUUAAAGAUUUUCAUAUUUACAAGCCAGGACUUAUGGAAAAACACACUUUUAAAGUACCAAUCUGAGUUUUAAUGGCUGUUUUAUUUAAUUUGGCAGUACCAUAAAUGUAAGCAGUGAUUGCCGACAGGUUUAAACCUCACAGAGAUCCAAACCUCUUUAUUUAUUAAUGGUUUCUAUUGAUUCUUAUGACUUUUAAAAUGAAACUCAAGCUAGUUUAAACUCUAAAGAUUAGCACAGCUAUCGUAAGUUCCCAGAUCUACAAUCUUCAAACCCAGCAGCUAUCGUUUUGCUUCAGGGUAACGGCUUAUUUUUCAGGGGCUUUUGCAACAUUUCCAAGAAAAGAAAUCCAAGAUUUACUGAUUUAUAUGCUGAUUACUGUCAACAGGCUGACCUGCAGCUUUAGAAAUACAACCAAAUUUGACUUGAGGGAUGACCUUUCAUACCAGAUGGCUGUCUGCAUCUAUGUUAUACGAAGAAAUUGUCCCCAGCCUACAGACAACAAUGAAACUGUUAUCUAUCAAAGUAACCUCAAAACUCUGUGGCCAAUAUAAAGAAGACAGCAUGAAGGGUAAAUACUGGGCUGAUUAUGUUUUUAGUGGCUGAAUUUUCACCAGAAAUUUCUCAGUCAUUCCAUGUCAUGCUGGACCACACGUCUUUUAUGAUUAUUAGAUUUUAUCUGAGGCCAAAAUUGCAGAGGAAAAACACCAUUUGUGGUUCAAUUCCAUGAAACUCUUACCUUUCAGUUCAUUGUUUGCAAACCACAAAAGCAGCCUGUGUUUUCCUGAGCUGUAAGAUGGAUAUGAGGGUUGGAAAAACAGCUUCAAGUGUGGAGGGAGCCUAGGGAGAGAGUGGAUUAUUUAUUUAUUUUAUUUUGGUGCAACUGUCUGACCCACACACUAACACUUACUGAAUCCACAGACCAUUAUAGCAUGCUUCUGUUUUGGUUGUAUCAAGUUUAGUAGAAUUUCUGUAUUAACCUAUCUCAUUUUUAGACAUCCUUUUGAAAUGUUAUAAUUCCAGACUGACAGCUGGAGCGCAUAAAGCCUGAACAAAUACCAAAACAGUGCCAGUCUGGAAAGAGAAAUAUGACCUGUGAGGGUUAAUAGAGUAAUGACUGCUGGGAUUGUGACACUGAAUUAGUCGAGAAAUGAUGUCCAAUUCCUCAAUUUUUUUCAUGAUGGUUUUGUUCCUGCCAACAGUUCAAUGGCUGAAGCAAAAAAAUGUGAACUGCAGAUCAAUGUGAAAUAAAACAGACUGUUUUUCGUCGUCCAGUGGUGAUGGUAGAUGACGGCACUUCCUGUCUAAAAUCCAAAACUGACCACAUCAUCCACACCUUUGUCUUACUGCCACACAAAAUACACCCUUUUAUUUUAUUUUUUGCCUAAUACCAACAAAAAAGCCCCCCUUAAAGGUACAGUGUGUAACUUUUUGUGGCAGUAGAGUUAAUAGUUAAAGAAAAAGUCUCCUUCAACAGAGACCAAUUUCUUGCACCGUCAUGUUUCUACAGUGGCUUAGACAAACUUGCAAAGGCCAUAAGUGUUAUUCUUUAAGCAGAUGGCUGCCAAUAAAUGGUAAAAACUGGUGAUGAUGGUAUAAAAAAAGAGAGGAUUACACGCAUCGUGCAACACAGGAGCUUCUUGUCCUUAAGGGCCACCAUAUUUUCUAGAGCUUUACCAAUGGGAGUGUUUCAAUCCAGAAUUUGACCUCUUGUUAUCACUAUACAUUUCCAUUUCUACAUACUGUACUUUUACUGGCAGCCCACAUCUCAUUUACUAAGAUGAUCACAAACGUCCUUAAUUUUGGCACUCUAAUGACUGCCCUUCAAAAUCACCAAUUCUUUCCAAUCAAUUCUUGACAUGGGAUAAAACUAUGAUGCUGUUUGUUUGUACCAGACCCUGAAAAUAGCAUCAGACACUUAAACUGCAGUAAUCCAGAGGAUCAGCUCCAAAUUAAGCAUGUGUGUUGAACAUAUGCUGUAAACAUUAGGCUAAUUGCUCCAAGUAACCAUCAUCACAGCUUCUGUUUUAACUGAAAAAGAUUUCAAACUCAGUGGGUGUGAGAGUUUUGAAGAUUGAUCACAGUAGAGCAAAACAUAAAUCUGGAUGAGCUCUGAAUGGAAAGGAUUUUUUUUUCUAUAGACUGUAUAAAAAACACAGGGGCAUCACUUAUUGGUUUAAGAGGAAGAGCGAUUAGCCCGAAGAUGGGGGUCACCGUGUUGAUGAUCUGUGAUCAGUUAUUGAUAAAUUACAAACAUUUUCAACAGCAACAUAAUGAAUAUGACUGAGCUACAGGACAAACAGAGGCUACACACCGUUCAACACACCAGAUAUUGACAUGUAGAGCAGGCUUGCAGAAAAUAAUCUUAUAAUCAUUUCAAAACUAAUAGAUAUGGAUUUGCUGCAAAAAUAUUUCCAGAGUCCAGUUUUCCAUGCUUGUAAUUUAUUUAUUUUUUACUUUUUUACACGUUCAUAAUCAGUCUGGCAGCAGAAAGUUGGUUUGCACUGAAAGAGGCAUUAAACUUAAAACAUCAUCCAUAGAUAAAAGUCAUAUGAGACCACAUACUGUUUAUCUCUACCUAAAAGAAAGUUGGGAAAAGAGAGGUUCAAGGAUGUUCUUGACGAUCAAUUACUCAAUAUACAAUUUGAAUUUUCAACAUCCCUUUCUUGCUCCACCUAAUAUAGGUCUGAACUCGUACUUCUCAUGUAGGUAAAAUCCUAACCUACUAUUCUUCUUACAUCCUGUUCCCAUCAUACCAUUCGCCCCCUCUCUCAGUGAAAUCUGCUGCCCUUAUUUUACCCUGAGUAUUUCUGUGCUCCAUCAGCUGUGUCUAAUGAUAUGAGCAAAAUGAGCAGUCAGUUUUUAGGAUCUGUCUCGGUGUAUGAUGCAAACAACAAUUACAUAACAUCAACCUAAGCCAGGAUCAAUGUCAUAAAGGGUCUAAAAAUAGGAUGCUUUCUGAAAAUGAACAUUUGCUGCUUUUAUGGUGAAUUUAAUGAGCGUGAGUUUGUUUUUCCUGUUGACCUGACUUCCCCUGUCAUCUGAGGCCUCGAUCCACAUUAACACACCUACAGACAUGUCUUUGAGAAAUGAAUUGCAUAAGACGAUUUGUCAUCAUUUAAAAAAAAAAAUAAGGAAUAGUUUUUCAUCUUGGGGAGUACAUUAUUUCCAUGCUUUGAGGUUGAUGGAGUUGUUUUGUCCUGAUUAAGUUGGAUGAAAUCUGUGAUGAUGGUUUCUGAAAGAAUUUGGCAGAGCUAGCUUCACUGUUUUCCCUAUUUUUUUCAGUUUCUAUGCCACUCUAAGACUUUUGUAUUGUUUUGGUUAAGAGGAGGGGUAGUGAAGGGCGCUACAUGGUACGUGAAGGAGUUUGGAUAUCCACAGCCACGUAUCAAUCACUGUUAGUAGAUUGGGUUCUAUUAUAACAAGACAGGUAGAAGGUACGGUGAAUUGAAUCUUGUAAUUUUUAACAAAACAAAAAAUUACACACUAUUCCUAUAAGUCCACUCCAAGCUGUCCUUCUUACUUGCAUUUGUCAACGUUUAUCUAUACGCAUUUUCCUGUUUUUAUUAGCUUCUUUCCCAAUUUUAAAUCCACUUUAGUAGUUUAUUCCAACUAGACAUUUCACUUUGUUUUUCUGACUUUGCAUAUUUAAAAACAAUCUUAUUACCGUUCUUCCUAUGCAGUUCUGACCCUUAUCUGUCUAAAGCGUUUCUUCUAAUUGACUUUUGACAUACAUGUAGACAUGCUUUUCAACAAAGAUAAAUGAUUAUAUGCAGCAGUCACUCUCUUUUCUCAGCGCUAAAUGCCUGUCUUUUUAUGUGUGGAGUGACGUGUGUGUAAAGGAUUUAAAGUAUGACUCUCCACACAUGCUCUCUUUGUCUCUCUGCCUUUGUAUUGAACUGUUAAAUGUCUCGUGUCAGAGUUAAAUGUAAGAAGAGUUUCUCUUGUGUAAGUUCUGAAAAUCCAAACACACUAGAACUGAUGGCAUGUUUGUCUUUUCUGUUCUCUUCGUGUCCCAGCAGGUGAUGUUUAUGUCCCUGCAGGAGCGUGGCCUCUCUCAGACUCAGGACUGUAUAAGGAUAGUUUCUCUUGAGUCCCUGUAAGUGAUAUUUCAGCCAAAGGAUUUCAUCUUGAUGGUGUCUGUGGUGUAAGAAGGCUGUUUGUGAAAUUAAUAACCAAAAGCUUCUUUAAGUGCUGAUCUAUAAUCAUUUUAGGCUCCAUAUUUUAAAGUAUUUUCAUUAAAGAGAUGGCGUUGAGCUUCUUUCACAUGUGGAAAAAUUGUGAGAUUAAAGUGUUUAAGGCUGGGUUGAACAGCUUGCUCAAAGAUAUACAUGAGAACUAAACAAGAGCCACAUGAGAUUUGCUCAAUUCAUGACAUCACUAAUUAGUGAAUCUCCUUAAAAGGGC
rnacentral:lncRNA from 1 species